CUGAAGAAGUUGGCAGGUGACAAAGUCGUUGUGUGUCAUAAGCAGAACUAUCCCUAUGCUGUGUUUUUCUGCCAUGCAAUAAAACAUACAGCAGCUUAUGCUCUCUCCCUGAAAGGCGAUGAUGGGGAGAAGGUUAAAGCAGUAACCAUCUGCCAUCUAGACACAUCAGAAUGGGACCCAGAGCAUAUGUCCUUCCAAAUCGUCAACGUUAAGCCCGGAACCAUUCCCAUCUGCCAUUUCAUUUCCACUGAUGCUAUUGCCUGGGUUCCGAACCACAAAUCUGCAUGAUCAUCACUUAGCACUGUACGUAUAAUUAUCUCCUUACUUAUUUCUGCCUCUUCAUCAUGUGGUGUAAGAUAUAUGAUGAGAUGAAGUUUUUGGGAUUAGUGGUUGGGUUGCCUGAAAAACACAGAUUACAGAAACUGCUUGAAAUUAACCCGAUCAUGUUUUCUCUUGUAACUAUAUAGACUUCAACUUGUACUCAUAAUAAAGCAUGCUAUAUUUAUGAAGAGAUAUUAAUCUAUAUAUAUUUUUUAUAUAUGCUUUGGCUUUGUGGUUCUACCCAAUGUUUGAGUGUUGAAUUGUUACGUUGGAAUAGGCUGCUAAUGCAUGUAGUUAGAGAAGCCUUCAUUUAUAUCAAAGUCCUCAAACUAUCAAGAACUAAUGUAUCCAGAAACAUAUACCAAGACGCAAAACAACAUAUUUUCCAUGCUCUGUCUGUAACACCAAAGCAAACUUCCUUGAUCACAAAAGGAUCAAAUUCCAGUACUAAUCUAAUCCAUCAUGUAAAGCAUACAAGUGCCUCCCUAAAUACUAUACUCUUUUUGUUAUUUCCUACUAUACUAUUUAAGUUUGCAUACUCAUAUAGCAUAUGCAAACACAAUUAGAAAUUCUACAAGAUACAAACAACCCCCUCAACUUUGACCAGUGUGUCAAUUUAGUUCUUGAAAUUUAGAUUACAAAGCAAAAUCAAAUCAUACCAUGAAACACAAGCGACUUAAACCUCCAGGCAAAUAGAUAUUAUGAACAUAUAUAGCAAUUUAUAGAACAAUACAUUAAUCCAGAAGAAAUAUUAUGAAAUGAAAAGAAUAAAAAGUAGAAAAACACAAGGAAAGGAAUUUGCACCUGCUCACUUGCAGAUUGCUUUCUCCGGCCGUAGAUGUAACAGAAAUUUUCUCUUAAUAAUACCACAAUGAUCGGGUAAUUGUAAGAACAAGUUGAUUUAAAAUUCCUUGACCCAAAAAAAAAAAAAGUUGAUUUAAAAUUCAGGUCAACCCAUAGAUUUCUCCCCUUUUUCUUCUUCAUCUCGUGGGGCUUGUCUUCUUCUUGAGGAUUGUAUAGGCCAAGGAAAUGCUUUGAGUUAGUUUUUACGCUUUUGCGUUUUGGGCCUUGGAAGUUGGGACCCAAACCAACUUCACAAAAAGAAAACGCUCAGACUAUAAUGAAUGGAAAGUUAUAAGGGGUAAGUUAUAAGGGGUUCACUUUAUAGCCAUCAGAUCAAUCCAAGGGCUGGGGAGAAUUGAGAUAAAGUUUUAAAAUCGGGUAGGUGAGGAACCCAAACCCGAAUUGAAUAUCCAGCACGUCCGAAAAAGAAGAAGAAGAGGCAAGCACGUCCGAAAAAGAAGAAGAAGAGGCAAGUUCGAAGUUUGAACAGAAAAAACUCAUCUCUUUAAAACCCAUAGCUCUGAGAAACGGUUGAAGGCAACGGUUAACGACGGUUAAAGGCAACGGUUGAAGCCACUCCGUUCUCCAGACCCUGAAAAAGUAUUUAUUUUGAGUAGAAGGGGCAAAGGUGUGGAUUCCGAAACAGUGAAGGGGCGAAGCAGUGGAAGGGGGAGGAGAGAAGCCGUAUUCGUUGGAAGUGGUAGGUUCCAUUUGUGGAGCAAAGCAACACAAAGACCCCGCACAGACACCUUGCGAUUGUUCAAUAACCAGCAUUUGGUGAGUAAUUUAUGGAAUUUGAGUUUAGGGUUAGAGUAAUGGUUUUCCCCAAUUUGUACCAUCAAUUUUGUUGGAUUUGGCAUCUCUUCUUUGUGCUUCAGUUGCAUGUUAAUUUUUGCUUGGGUAUAUGUUAAAAAAAGAAUGAAAAUCAAGUCAAUAACAAGUGAAUAACAUGUCAAUAAUGAUAUGAAUAAGAUAAUGGUGUUGAAUUGGAGGAGGCCCUCAAAACAUUCCACAUUUGAAGCAGUGCAUAGUGCAGAUUAUCUCUCUGGCGCUAGAAUAUAUAUAUAUUUUGAAAUAAAUAUGAUUUCCUUUGUUACUAAAUUUGCCUGAGAAACAUGAGAACAGAUAAUAAUAAACUCAUGAAUAGAAGUGCAAAGCAUUUGAUGAGUAAUUUAUGGAAUUUGAGUUUAGGGUUAGAGUAACGGUUUUUCCCAAUUUGUACCAUCAAUGUUGUUGGAUUUGGCAUCUCUUCUUUGUGCUUCAAUUGCAUGUUAAUUUUUACUUGGGUAUAUGUUAAAAAACAAAUAAAAAUCAAGUCAAUCACAUGUCAAUAACAUCUCAAUAACAUGUUAGUAAUGAUAUGAAUAAGAUAUAAUGGUGUUGAAUUGGAGGAGGCCCUCAAAACCUUCCACAUUUGAAGCAGUGCAGAGUACCUCUCUGGCACUAGAAUUUAUAUAUUUUUUUAAAUAAAUAUUAUUUCAUUUGUUACUAAAUUUGCCUAUGAGAAAUGAGAACAGAUAAUAAUAAACUCAUGAAUAAAAGUGCAAAGCAUUUGAAAUAAAGGUUGAUCUAUGACAAUUGUGGCUGACAGAAGAAAAAGCUAGAAAGAAAGAAGGAUGUGGCAAUUGCUUAGCAAGCAGAUAGCAGAGUAGAUGCUUUGCUUUGCUUCCUUCCACUAUAUUAUUUAUUUAUUUAUUUUGUGUUGUGUAUGAGAUGACAAUAAUUGUCAUGUGUGUGAAGUGCAGAACUUGCCUAGAUUGCACUCACACUCACUCAUGCAUCAACCAUUGAUUCGAAUUUGGAUCCAUGAAUAAAACACAUGAAAUUGUUUGUAAUUCACAUAAUCAUUGCAUUAACAGGUAUUUGCACAAAAUUUUUCAUAUUGCUUUGAUGAUGUUAAAGCCUGUGAUCAGUAAUCCCUAUGCUUAUGUACUUUGUAAAAUUUGUAAUGUGCCUGGUUGACUAGUUGUGUAAAUACCAAUGUGAUUGUGCAAAUACGUGGUAGUAUAUGUGUUCAUGUUAUUUCAUCUUGUAUUUCAGGAAAUGGGAUCCAAUGUGGAGCUGGUAUGGCCAGAGUCAGAGGCAUAUUCGUCACGGGUGAACAACUGCUCACAUGCAAAUUCAUCUCUAGCUGCAAUUCGAGCGAAGUUGAGUGCGGAACAAUUAGAACAAUUCAAGACAUCAUGCUUUGGCCAUCUUCUGAAUAUAGAUAAGAUUCAGUUUAGCGGGCAGAUUGUGCAUGGGGUUGUGUUGCGUAGAGUAGCGGGGCAGGGUGUGAAAGACUUGGAUGGACUGAGUUUCUUAAUAGGGUGUGACGUUGCUCAGUUCACUCGUCAAGAUUUCUGUUUGAUCACAGGGCUUCGUUUUGGGGAAGUGCCUGAAGUUUCCAGUGGAGAGAGUGAUGAAAUUAGACUUCAGAAAAGAUAUUUUAUAGACGAAUGAAUUACAUGCAAUGCUUUAGAAUAAACAUUUUUGAGGUGCACAGAGGAAGAUGACAUCUACAAGCUAGCUCUUGUUUACUUUGCUGAGUUAGUGGUUUUGGGAAGGGACAAACAUUUGAACAUCAAUCUAAAUUACCUGACCCUUGUAGAGGACUUAGAUGCGUUCAACAGGUAUCCGUGGGGUUCGGUGUCCUUUGACAAAACCAAAGACAGUCUAUUUUCUGCACCAACAAAGUAUGUGAAAAGCUUUGAAAAUGAAGAGGGAAGAGGGAAGGGGAAAAGUAAGGUAACAGGAACAAGCCGGAGAAAUGAAAAGGGCAAGAAGGAUAAGCAUGGUGAAGUGCAAAGGGGUGGUUGGAGUUUUAAAGGUUUCACGUAUGCUUUCCAGGUACAUGGUAAUAAUGUUCAUGUCAGUUAUGUCUUGUUUUUCUUUAAAACUUAAAUAAUGACUUUUGUCCUGUGAAUUGUGUAGAUUUGGGUAUAUGAAUUAAUUGCUAGAAUGGCAGACCUGAAUUACUGCAAGGUUGUUGAUCCGACAGCUGUCCCGCGUAUUUUGCGAUGGAGAACUACUACGUCUGUUCCUGAGAUGAGAAAGUUGAACAAUUAUUUUUUCCAGAGCAAAGAGGUUUGGUUUGCAGCCCUUAGAACUAUUUAUAAGAUUUAAUGAAAUUAUGAAGUAGAAUGAUUGAAUAUGACUCUUGUCUGUAUUCUGAAACAGUCAGUUCAGUUGCGGGCGCUAUGUCCGAGUGAAGAGGAAAUGAGACAACCAUAUUGGAGUUGGCCACAGGAUCGCCCUGCUGUUGUCUCGGCAGAGUCAAUUCCUUCUUCAUGUGCUGACCUUGAUGAGUUGAACAAGGUGGUAAGCUUGUUGAGGUCCGAGUUGUUUCAAGUAAAGUUGGAAAAAGACGUCCUUGAGUUAAAGGUCAUACGGAUGGAAAAACUUUUGGACCACUGUUUAGGUCCUCAAUUUGAGCAGGAAGUAAGGAGGGACCUAGCUUUACUGAAAGAGAGGACGAAUCUUUGUGUCAUCUCACAUCUAUUUAAGGGAAGUGAGGAAAUGGAUGACAUUCAAUGGGAUGAAGGGCCAAGUAACAGAAAUGAGGGAGAGGAAAAGGAAGAUGAAGGGAUUGAAGGGGGUGAAGGGCCAAGUAAUAGAAUUGAGGGAGAGGAAAAGGAAGAGGAGGGGAUUGAAGGGGGUGAAGUGCAAGGAAAACCAAGUGAGGUAGAGGAAGCUCAAAGGAAAAGAAGUGAAGGAGAGCAAGUGAAAAUAAAAAGCAGUAAGGGAGAGAAAACGCAAAGAAAGAGCAGUGAGGGAGAGGAAGUGAAAAGAAAAAGCAGUAAGGGAGAGGAACUGCAAAGGAAAAGCAGUGAGGGAGAUGAUCCGCAAAGAAAAAGAAGGGAGGGCAAGGAAGUGAAAAGACAAAGAAGUGAGGAAAAGGAAGUGUAAAGAAACCAAUGUGAGAAAGAAGAUAAUGAAGUUAUGUUGCUUGGCGAUGACAUUGGCGAGAGCACAGAGGGGACAAAGGUUGAGUUUAGUCUCGGGGACAUUGAUUUGGAUCAACCUACAGCUGUGCUAUCUCAGUUGAAUGUUUGGUUGAAUGAUAAAGGUAAAGCUGUGGAACAAGGGGUCCAAUUACGGAAGAGGAAGAUGAUCAUUCCUAUGUGGAAGAUCAUUGAAGGUAGUGAAUUGGUUUCAAAAACUUUGGCAGAGACAACCGGACUUCAGAUGUUAGACCCAACGAAGGCGAUUCUGUAUGAUGAUCUGGUGAAAUUGCUGAAACUUUGUUGGGAAUGGCGCCAUAACCCAAAGUAAGUCCCUUGUUUUUUGAGAUAAAAGGCAUGAGUGUAUAUAUUUUUUAAUUGUUGUGUUCUAAAACUUUUUUAUAUUCAUAGUUUGGUGAUGCAAUUUGGCAACAUGGAAGCUGAGAUUGAAUUCUUCGCUUCCCUCAUCAAAGCUGAUGGUUGGCUGAAAGGAGAUGUAAGUUUAAUUGAUUAUGCAUUUGUUUUAAUGUACAUAGAUUAUGAGAUUGACAAGAAAAACAUGUUGCAGCACAUUGAUUUGGGGUUGUAUCUCAUCCGGAAGCGACAACAAGAGUUGGAGGAAGUAGAAAUAUCGGACUGGACAAUGACCGAUGUAUUUUUUAUGGUAUGUCAUGGGCCUUGACCAAGUGCUGUUAAUAAUUACAAAUUAUCCAUACUUGUUUUGUGGAGGUGUUUAACCAUUGAUUGUUUUCUAUUUCACAGAAUCACAUUCGUACUUGCUUUGCGGAUAAUAAAAGAAAAAAAGAGCAGGUUUGGUGGAAAAUUAGAAACAGUUUACUGAACGUUGUAAAUGGCAAGGUUCCGGCGUGUGAGAUGGAUUGGCAGAACAUAUAUAAGGUGUAUGCCCCUUGUAUGUUGACGAAGUACAAGCAUUGGGUGGCUGUAAUGAUUGAUCUAGUUUUGUGUGAAAUCCAAGUGUACGAUUCAAAGGUUUCACUUAUUCCAGAUGAGAUCUUAAAGGAAGAACUCGCCCCGCUUUCAAUUACGAUUCCAAAUCUUCUCAACACCAUCGACUUUUAUGAAGAAGGUGUUUACGUAAACAAUUGCAGCCGAGAUUGGUGGUGUCCGUGGCCAAUAGAGCGUGUGGAUGUUCCACAACAGUCUAAUCAGUAAGCACAACUUUUUAUUUAAUUUUAUUACUUUAAAUUGUCAAUUACGUUAGAAUGUCAUUAGUUGAAUUGAUCGAGUUCUUGUUUUGCUUCAGAGGCGAUUGUGGCAUGUUCGUGUUGAAGUACAUUGAGCUUUUGGGCGCUGAGAUUCCGUUAGCUACUUGCACCUCGGAGAACAUGCCCUUUUUUCGGUUGAAAUUGGCUGCAAAGAUAACACGGGGAGAUGCUUACAUGCCAUGAUAUUGGUUGAACUUGGUUUAGGUACAUGAUGAUUAAAUAGGUUUUGGGAAUGUCCAAUUUCAAACUCAUGUAAAUACACAAUAGAGACCUACGGGUCCUUUUCGAAUUCUACCUCUGCUCCUCUAUUCUUCUUCGUCUUUCUCAAUCUUAGUGUAUUUUUGUACAUAAUUUGAGGUUUAAGUUAUUGGACGAUAACAAUUAGAACCAAAAUAGUGGCAAAUAUUAUAGCGGAUGCAUGCUUUCAUUUUGAUUAGUGUGAUACUACGCUACAUUUAUUCUCAUAUUGUGCUAAAUGUAUAUGGAGUUGGAUGCAGAGCAUAGACAGAAAAAUGAAGAAACUGAAAUGGAGAUGCUGAGGCUUGGUGAGGAGAAAAGUAAAUGGAUCUGUAAAUCUAUUGCACGUAGGCAAUCUAAAUGGAUAGGCAGAUGAGUUUUUGAAGUUAGACACUUGUCAUUCCCAUACAUAGAAUGUGCCUAUGGAGUGUAAAGUAUUUUUGGAUUUAAUGAAACAAACUUCUGUGUAAUAUUAGCCUAACUCCUUCACGACAUUUACAUAACCUUAACCAACUGCAUUGAAUUGGGAUUUAAAGACUGCAUAUGUGAAUUGGGAUUUGAAGAUGGCUUUUUAAGUGUAUUACAUCAUUGCAAAGUGAUAUGUCAUCGUUUAUGCAAGCCACCAUUAAUCGCAAUAGGUUGCAUCUUAAUAAGGUAAUUCUGUAAGGGGAAUAAGCGGCUAUGGCCUCGCCUCUAAUGUUUUAUUCAACCAUGCCCUCUUUAUAGAAACACAUGAAAAAAUGUCCCCAGGUGCAAUGCUAUAAAAACUUCCAGUUGGUUCUGUACCGCCCCUCGGGUUUGAAUCCCUCUCUCCUUUAUAAUCGGUUAAUAAAUUCAUUGAUUUUCUUUUUUUUAUUGGUUUUGGGCAGCUCAGUAGCAUAAAAGUAAUGUAUAUUGGUGCGUCUAUAUUGCAUGUCUGUUGCGUCUAUAUUGCUUCUCUAUUGUGUGUAUAUCUUACAUUUAUUGUAUGUGUAUUGAUUGUUUAUUGCUUACGAAGGAAAUAAACAACAAUACACAGGCAACAGACAAACAAUAUAUACACAACAGACAAACAAUAUACACACAAUAGAUACGCAAUAUACAUACAAUAGACAUGCAAUAUACACACAAUAGACAUGCAAUAUACAUCCGUCCCCAAUUACACAAACCAUAAGGAAGUCGUAUUGAAUAGGAAAUUAAACUUAACAGUUGUUCUUCCUACUAAAAGAAAGAAUAAGGUCCGUUUUCCCCCUUAAAUCUUACUUGAGUGGUACUUGUGCCCCCAAUAAACAUCCAAUAUUGGAGCAAUAACAUUCGAUAUACAUGCAGCAAACAAUCAAUAAACCUUUAAUAAACAUUCAAUAUCGGUUCAAUAACAUGCGAAAUACAUGCAGUUAAUAAUCAAUAAACCUUCAAUAAACAUGUAAACAAUCAAUAAACUUUCAAUAAACAUUCAAUAUCGGAGCAAUAACAUGCGAAAUACAUACAGUAAACAAUCAAUAAACCUUCAAUAAACAUUCAAUAUCAUGCGAUUUAUAUGCAGUAAACAAUCAAUAAACUUUAAGUAUACGCAAAUAAACAAUCUAUAUACACUAAAUAAUUAUGCAAUUUUCAAAAAAAAAAAUGUAUUGUCUUGUUAUUGCAUCGUAUUGGCCCUGUAUUGUGAUUUUAUCGUCUUCGUAUGAUUUUAUUUUUUUAAAGUAAGUCUUGGAAAGUUUUUGCUGGGUUUCAAACAAAUAAAUGCUUUUGUUUAAAUUCAAUGCCAAUCCACUUAUUUCAAGAACAAAAAUUACAAAAUGGGUUUGAAAACUCAUUGGUGGUGCGUGCAACAUGUCUUUUUGGGGAGAAAUUUCACAAUCCUUGAAACCGUGCACUUAAUUGAUCAUUAAAAGAACAAAUAAUAUGACAAUUGAUACAACUAAUAAAACUAAUACCAAGUCCUUAAUGGACUUCAGCAUAUUCAGCACUGUAGCAUCAUACGUGUCAUCUUGAUGUUCUGCUUCAGCGGAGGUUACAUCAACCCAUUCGAAUCCAUUGCAACUGGUGGAUCCCUAAUUGCAGGCAUCAUAUAUGCAAAAUAAUUCUGUCAGAGUUAGACAUAGGUUUUUUUUCCCCCACACACAUAUUCUUGAAAUGAAAACUUACAUAGGAGGUUAGACACUUCCAAAAUGGCUUCCCUCGAUUUUUAUCUGAUUUUGAAACCCGAACCACCAUUGUAGCUCCACAAUACUGACACCUUUUUGUUUGAGCAGGAGAUGAAGACGAAGACAUGUUGAAUCUUCUCACUUGUACCUCUUCUCACUCAGAUCUUCUCACUGAAACCUCUUCGGACUCAUACCUUCUCACUCAUAGUUCUCAGUCAUACCCCUUCACUCAUAACCCUAAAUUUCUCACUCAGCUCUCUCUCAUCUCUGCCCAAAUCAAAUUAUAUCCUUCUUUGCUGUGUGUGGGUGGGUUGGUCACGAUCUGGACACCUGUACCGUCAGAAUUGUGACAUCUUUUACCCCGAAAAGCAAUAUAAUAUUUCACUACCAAAUAUUAAUCUGAAAAUUGAGGGGACACUGCUUGAAAUAUAUUAUUUUAUUUAUAUUUCAUUAAGACAACUAGUUGGAUAAGAAUCCAUCAUCAUUGGUUUCAUUUUAAUAACAUUACUAGUGGUAGUUUGGUGUGGGAAAAUGAAAAAGUAUAUGAUGGGACCUUCUGUGACUAGUCAGUAAUCCAUCACAUUUGUAUCAAUGAAUUUGAUGGUGGGAAAAUCCUAAAAAUGGCUAUGCAAAUAGGUUAUUAAUUGAAUUUUUGACUGUCUGACUCUCUAUGCAAUUUUAUGACGUUUUCCCUUCUUUUGUCUCGAGUUUUAGGGUGUCGGGUUCAGUUUCUUUAAAAACGGUCAACUUGGAAAAACCCCAAGUGGAAACACCUUUUAAAAACACUAUAAACAGAGGCUAAAACAAAACCAAAACCCCAUAUAUUCUCAUUUCUGCCCUCUUCCACUCCUCAAAUCGUUCCAUUCCAAAAACAUUUCAAUGAAUUCGAAACAUUUCACUACACUCGGAGGAAAGAGAAGGAAGCAUCUCCAUUUGGAUAUGCCCCAAGCCUUCAUCCCGGAGUUAGCUUGGUUUAAAGUGAUGUUAUACGUGGCAACCCAAUCAUCGGAAGAUCUCUUCCGUAUGGCAUCUGUGUGCCCAUUGUUCCAUACUUUGGCAAACACUCCACAAGUGUGGAACACCAUUUCAGUGGCAAAGUACCCAAACCAUCCUAGCUGGUACCGUGCCAAUCCUGCGGUCCAGCAUUUCUUGCAACAAUGCAGGGCUUGCGAUAACCCUAAGUCGAUAUUUAGAGAAGCAUUCGAAGUGUUUUUUAAGCAGGGUAACGUGGAAGCAUUGUAUGGGAUGCGCAUUACAGCCACGGCAGGCCAUAUAGAAGCGGCAUAUCUAGUUGGACUACUUGACAUGUCCGGAAUUGGUCAGUCAAAAGAGGAUGCAUUAGAAUUCUUGUGUUCUUUGAAUCAAUGUAACAACAUUGAUAUGAAAGGAACCAGGGAUGCUUUGAGACAAAGAUUAAGCCGACCAACAGUUGCAAGACAUAUCCUAGAUAUGUUUGACUAUGGGAAGAUUAAGUUCAAUCACUGCAGCCCUUGUAACAACAAUGAAUGGUGUUUUGUUAUUCAAGGCUGGCCUACUGAAGAAAAGAUAAAUCCUGCCUUCUGGACUUGUUGCAAUCGAUGCAAAUGGCACCGUGAGAGUAUUUUUUGGUUCAAGGUGAUGCGUGUGUAUGUUGUGCGAGGGAAUCCAUACCCUUAUAAUUAGUUGUAGUAUGUUUUUACGGUUUUUAUGCAUUGUGGACUUGCUUCUCUUCAGUUCUAGGUUCGCUGGCUACGUUGUACAAAUGUUGUUUAAAUGUGGGGUUUUAAUCUAUUUUGUCUGGUAUUUGUGCUGUCAUAAACCGUUUUAUAUAUAAAUGUAUAAUAUAUAUUAUAUAGCGGAAUUAUUACUGACAUCAUAGACGGCUACGAAUGACAUUUUACUGACACAGAUAUUUUGCACAACUGCAAUCUUAAUAUUUGGUAAACGAAAAGGCAUGCAUGGAGUAAAUAGGUGUCUUUUCACCAGUGCUUGGGAAUGACAUUUUCCCACUGAGCAUAUCCCAAAUGAUUUGGUUACAAGUUUCUUAAGCAAAACUUGAAUAGUGAAUGACGUUGAAUAAUUUUUUCCUAAUGUUGUAGAAUAGAUGACUUGUAUAUUUCCAUUUUAUUUUUCAAAACAUCCCUUAAACCUAAAAAAUAAAAAAAUUAACAAAUUGAAGAAGAGAGAAACCGAUUAGCACCAGAAAUGGCCUAUUCGCACGGAAAAUAAAAAUUAAAAAAAAAAGUUGGAGUAAAUAUAAUUAACAAAUGGACAGGCUAAAAAGUAAUAUAAUAAUAAUAAAAAUAAUUUAGGAUAAUAAUAAAAUACUAAUGUAACAUAACCAUGAAACAGGGAAUUCAGUAGGAAGAUGAAAUCUCAAUAAGUUCGUAGCAAUUUUCGAAACAUUAUUGGGAUUUUUGUGUAUUUAGUUAUGAAUUUUCCAAGAAAAAGUAAUAAAAUAAUAAUUUAGGGUAAAAUGCAAGGAUGUGGCCAUGUUGACUGACGUACACUUGUGCAAGUGAUGAAAGUUGACGGGCUGAGAUCGUGCCAGGUGUCCUCUUGCAAUUAUUUUGGCUUUUUUAGUGCAAAAAUCUUUGAAAAAAGGUAAUAAAUAGUAGGUCUUGUGACGUUAUAAAACUAGGGGAACCUAUAAAUCAUCCGUCUCGCAAUGAAAAAAUCCAAAUUAUUUUAGAUAACUCACUUUCCUCUUAACCCUAAGUAUUUAUGUUUGUUAACUUUAACUUCAAUAACCUACUUGAACAAUCAUCUCCCGUUAAUGUUCGGAAUUAUUUUUUUAAAAUGUGUAACCAUGUAUCGGGGAAUUCAACAAGGGAGAUUGAGUGUCAAUGAGUUCGUAGCAAUUUUCGGAUCAUUUUUCUAAUUUUUGUGUAUUUAGUUAUGAAUUUUCUAAGAAAAAGUAAUAAAAUAAUAAUUUAGGGUAAAAGGCAAGGAUGUGGCCAUGUUGACUGACGUACACUAGUGCAAGUGGUGAAAGGUGAUGGGCUGAGAUCGCGCCAGGUGUCCUCUUGCAAUUAUUUUGACUUUUUUAGUGCAAAAAUCUUUGAAAAAAGGUAAUAAAUAGUAGGAAAAUCCUAAAAAUGCCCCGAAAAUUACUCGGACCUCCUUGUGAUGUUAUAAAACUAGAGGAACCUAUAAAUCAUCCGUUUCGCAAUGAAAAAAUCCAAAUUAUUUUUACAUAACUCACUUUCCUCUUAACCCUAAGUAUAUAUUUUUGUUCACUUUAACAAUUAUAUUUCCUUAAUAUUCGUUAUAUAAUUUGUAAUAAUACAAGAAUUAGUUUCCUUUCAUAUAUAAGGAUGUAAAAUAAUUUGUUUUGUUAUAAUAAUGUACAUAUAUAAUAAUUGCACAUGCUUUGAAGCCAUCAUUGCAACUACGCCUAGAGCUUUGAACACGUCAGAGGUAUUCAAUAAGUUGUCCAUAUGACGCCGCAUUGGGAAUCAGUAAUAUAUUUUCUAUCAUGUCCAAUCACAUAAAAUAAUGCCAUACUUUUUCUGAAAAACCUCACACAAGUCAAGCAAUUUUAAAAUAUUAGUGAAUAUUUGUCCUAGUCUAUAUGAGUGAUUAUAUAUUCAGUCUGCAUUUUUUCACAGUAUAUGUUAACUUUCAGAGGGAUUCCACAAACAUAUAAUAUAAAGAAAGAAAGAAAUAGUAGGAGAUGAACCAGUACAAAAAACAAUAUAUAAAUGGUACAUAAUAAUUCCAUAACCUUGUCACAAACGCACUCACAAAUGCUUUUCCAUAAACCUUGUCCUAACAUAUAAUAAAUAAAGGCAACAUUGCAUAUGAUGCAACCAUGUCCAAAUCUGAUACGUGAUCACAAAAAAAUGGACAUGGCAGCAACAUAUGACUGAAGUAGAUGAGCUCUUUGCAUCUUGUGUUAUCGUAAUUAAAGACAUCAAAAGAUUAAGGUUGAAAUCUUCCAUAGUAGUAAGCAUCAAAAUAGGUUUGAAGCAGAGUUUAACGAAAAUUCCAAUUCCACUUAUUGGCCUCUGCUCAAACACGAGAACCAAAAUGGUUACUUCCCUUGCUGAGUAUAUUUGUUAACGUCGGAAACAGUAACAGAUGACCAAUCAAACCCGGGUACGACGAGUUUUGCAUAGGAUCGGAAGUAGUCGAAUCCAGCUUGCAUCACACGCUUCUUUGACUCCACUGCAUUAGAUGAGUUCUUGUAUUUUUGAACAGCUACACUCCGAAGUCGUUUGUGUCUACGCUUCAUGCACUGCAAAUUCGCCCUAUCCAGAUUGGCCUGCCUUUUGUCAUCUUCAAUUUGGCCUUCAACAAAUUCCAAACGUGCCCUUGGCCUUUGGAUUUCAUCACCAAGUUGAAGAUGCCUCUCCUUCCAAAAAGCAAGAACUCUUUCAGAUUCAAAACUUCCAACAAAAUGGUCAUUCUGUCUAGGAAUGUGACAUUGCUUGUCUAGUGACUCACUUGCGUUUCGAAGGCAGUCUUUGUUUGGAGGGGUGUUUAUUAUGCUCACAUCAAACUUGGUUAGUAAAUCCAUUUUAUGGGGGGAGUGAGUUUCUAUGGAGGAGAGAGUUUUAGUAGAUGGAGACAGAUUCGGUGAAGGAGUGAGUUUUGUGUGGAGGGAGAAUUUCUAUGAAAGGAGUGAUAGUAAUAGCAAUAAAAGGGUUCCCGCCAAAAAAUAUUUGGUUGACAAUGUAUAAAUUAAUUUUUGGUCUGAUACAAUCUAAGUUUAAUCCUAACUAGUUUGGUUGAGUUCACUAACUAGAUGUCACUUCCAUUGAGUUUCUUUCAACCACUAUCAGUGGUGUAAGGAGAGUGUGAGGUUGACAUGCUUGAAAAGCAAAACCUGACACCUCUUUUUUUAAAAAUUGAAAGAAAGUACAUAUGUUGACUACACACAACCUUUGGUAUGUUGGUCUAUAAACCUAUGUUCCCUUUCUCAAAUGAAAUUGCAUAUGCAAUCCUCAUCCUCCCAAAACAAAUAGGAUUAUUCAAGCAUGUCAACCUCUUCAGGCGCCAACAACACAAUCGAAGAUGACAAAUUGGAGUCGCAGGUUCUAUUUCCACAUUGUACUCACCGACCCCUUCCUUUUUCAACAUCAUUUGGGAGUGAGGGGGACUCCGAUGAUCCAUUAGAGGCAAUACAUGCAGUCAGUAGCAAGCUGGAUUAUAAUUCCAAACUGAUCAAUUCAUGGCACGAGAAAUGUGUUGAAGACGAGGCCAUUUUGGCUGAUCUUAACAUUAGAGUGAACAAAGGGUUCUCCCAAAAGAACAAGUACUUGAAGCUGAGUCAUAAAAGGAAGCUGAAAGCUGAGGAGUUGGAUACAGUAAUAAAUGAUGAAAUUAAAGGUUGUUUGAUGAACCAUAUGCGAUGCAAAGAGCAUCAUAGUGAACUGGAGUUGGCAUUCAACGAAGGAUUUUUAAAAUUUCAAGCAUUUGCGGCAACUACUCAUACAAGUUAUAAUUGGGACUAUGUGUCCCCUGAUGCUGUGAGAGAGAUACUAGACGAUGAUGGUGACAUGAAUGAGCAUAAGCACGUCAAAGCUGCUCGGAAGAAGCCGACCGAUACGACUAAGUGAUUGCGGCUACCGUUGUUCAGUUGGUUGAGGGUGAUCAUGGUAUUGCACAAAUUAGAAGUAUAUUCCCUUAAUGUCAUUAUCUAAUUUAAAAUAACACAAAUAUCAGUUUCAUUUGCUUCAUAUAUAAUUAUUGGGACUAUGUAUUGCAAGUCAUCAUGUGUUCCUUCUGUCUAACAUUAUAUUUUGCAAAUAUCGAAAUAUUAUUCAAUAAGCAGUCAAUAUCACAGCAAGUUGGGAAUCAGUAAACCCCCAUUAUCAUGUACAUUCACAUUAAAGAGCUGGUGUACUUUUUCUCAAAAAACUGACACGUGAGUCAUAAGUAACAUAACAUGUGCUAUACAUUGUUUAGUGAAUGGUUUAUGAUUUAUUUAUAUAUAAUAAAAUUCCAAAUAUUGCUGAAUAUUUAUUUCGUCUAUAUCACUGGGGACAUGAGUGAACAUACGCAUGUGAGACCUGCUAAGAAGAAGCUGACCAAUACGACCGAGGGAUUGUGGCUACCAUUGUUCCGUUGGUUGGGGAGAUCGUGGUAUUGCUAAGAGGGAGCACAUAAUAUGUUUUGCAAUCAAAUUUUCUUUUGUGUGUGGAAUUUUCUUUUAUGUGUGGAAUUAUGAGUAGUUCAAAUGUUAGUGUACCCUUUAAUAUUCUCCAACAGUUCAAAAUGUGAUUAGCUGAAUGUACUUUUUUACACGCUGCUUUCUAAUCACUCUGUUCCAACAAAAGGCUUUAAGUAUCCUUCAGUUACAAAUGUUUACAAAAUCGUGCCCCUAAUAACCAGUCGAGCUUAGAUCUUAAUAACCAGUAAAACACUAGAACAUAACAUUCGGAAAAAGUGAGUACUGUUGGAAAUCAUUACUGGUAAUGGAAACAACAGCUGGCUGCUGGAAAUGCUGCAUUAGCAUGUGAUAUAAUCAAUGAAUCUCUGUUAAAACAUAAUUCACCAUAAACUACCCAUUUUACAUGGUAAAAGUCAUUGCUUCUUCACAUAACUCAAAAUUUGAUACUUUAUCAAAUGUCUAUGAAAAUUUCUAAAUAGGGAGAAGACGUAAAAUUAACAUGUGUCCAAAUUUCAUGCAAGAAUGAAACCAAGCAAAUUUUCAUUUCAAUUACCAGUGGACAUAGUAAGAGCUCAUGGGUGGACAUGAACAAAAUAAUAAUAAUAAUAAAAACUGAAUCUAGAAAACUUCACCUGAUCAUUAGUCUUCAUAACAACCGGAUUUCGUCUAAUAGAAACAUAAAUCAUUCAGUUGGUCCGUGCAUCCUGUCAAAUUCGUCGAAUAAUGGGUCACUACGAUCUAUUGGAGUUGAUUCGUCAUUGUUCGAUGGUGAUGUCCUGCAUAAACAUCAAACAAAAGCACAUAAAAAAUUUACCUAUUCAAAUUUUAGGUGUUAUUAUAAAUAGUGUUAGCAUCUUACGGUGUGUUCAAAUUUCUUGAGCAUUGUCUUCUAUCAUGGCCAAUGUGUCCACACUCCCGACAGUGUCUAAUCCUUCGCUUCAUUGCCUUUUCCUUUGCUCCCGUUACUCGUUUCGACCUUCCUUUGCACCUCACUCUCUUAGGGUCUUUCAUAUAUUGUGUUUGAGAGCUGGACUCUCCAACUUCGUUAUUACUUGGUCCAUCCUUCAACAACUUCAACUUCACCUACAAACUUUUUAGAGUCUCUGACAGUAGCUCACAUCCUUCUUCACUCAUUAAUGCAUCCUCAACCACAUCUGAAGCAAGUCGAGACAUUGUACUCCGCUUUAUUAAAAGACCAGGAUUUGCAGAGUCUUUAAUUUCGUUGCCAUUUGCAUCUGACACCAAUCCAGAUUUCGCAGUUUUCUUCCACCUCUUCAAAAUAUAUUUAUCGGGCAUAUAUUCAAUCUGGUCCCUUCUGAACAAUGCUAAGAUGUGCUUGCAAAUAAUUCCAACAAAUUCAAAUCUUUUGCAGCUACACGAUGCGUGGUCAGAAUCUUUGACAUAUACAACUUCUGCCACUCUUGUUUCCCAAUUUUUCCUUUCGCUCACGUUAAAGACAACUUUAGAAGCAUCCUCUGUUUUGAGCUCUAGGAAACAUGCUGUACUUUGUAUUAGUUCUUGCUCAAACUUUUGAAACAUUGUCCUUGUGUACAAGGUAGCCAUUUGUUUGUUUAUUGGCAUCGGUAGAAUACAUUGAGCCACUUCAAAUGCAUCUAUGUGAUCAGCAACUAACUCUUUUUGACGUUGAUGAGAAAGUGCCCUCUCAAAUCGUAUUAUGAAAUCCAUCAACGAAUUUCUCUUUGAUAUGUAUUGCUUGAAAAAACCAUGAGAACCUUCCGCUAUUUGGCUGCUUGAUAUUCCAGCGGCAAAAAAUUGUCGUGCGUAGGCUGGAACCCAAGAUUCCCUUAAAUCAAACAUUGAACUUAGCCAUGGAUGGUCAGUCAAACCAGCCUUUGUAACCACAAUAUUCCAUUUUGCAUCAAACUCAUCCUUAUUGUCAGUAUCCCAUAUGACUUUCUGAAAUUCACUCCAAUACUCCUUAUAAGCAGAAUGUGGUAACUUAACAGAGAACUUUGAUGUGAUGUGCCAUAUGCAAAGUCGAUGAAAUGUAGUCGGGAAGGCUAUUGAAAUCACUCUGGUCAUUGCCGCAUCUUGAUCUGUAAUGAUCAUUUUAGGUUCGCCACCUGGCAUGGGUUUCUUAAACUCCUCAAACAUCCAAAUAAACGACUCAGUCGUUUCCUUGCUAAAAAAUGCACAUGCUAAGACAAUUGUCUGACCAUGGUUAUUAACUCCCAACAUUGGUGCAAAUGUCAAGUCGUAUCGAUUCGUGUUGAAUGUGGUAUCGAAUACAACAACAUCUCCAUAAAACCCGUACGCCCGUCUAGAAGUUGCAUCUGCCCAAAAAAAUCGACUAAACUUGUCAUGGCCAUCUCCCUCAAUCUUGAAAUAAAAAGCCUCAUUUUUUUCUGUUCAGCCAUAAAAUACUCGGUCACUAGUUCAACAUCGUGGUUCCUCAGCUUCCCAUUCACACUACAUUCAAGAUUGUAGAUAUCUUUUUUGAUAAAUCUGAUUUUAUCCAUUCCUCCGGAUUGCACCUCGAAAAUACUUACCUUCUGAUGAAUGAGAAUAUUAACUGAACCCAACUGUUUUGUGAGUACUUUUGUAGAAUCUGAAAUACGACGGUGUGAUCUUAAUAAAUGCAUUCUUUCUGAGGGUGUCAUCUUAUGAUUGUGUCCCUCUGCAAAAAGAGAGAUGGUAUACUUCUUGCUCCCAUUUGCCUUCACAACUACAAUCUUAGCUUUGCAAUUGCAUCUACUUAUUCCCCGUUGUCUUUUUCUCUCUCAAGUUUCAUCUCUCAUGUAUGCACCUUGUUUGCAACAUACAAAUUCUUUCCUCAAAAUCUCUUUCUUAUUUUUCCCCCAAAAGCUGGAAUGAAGUCGAAUACCAAAGCCAGCCAAGAAUGCAUAUCUAUUAUAGAAAUUGUAAACGAGGUCAAGCGAGUCGAACUUCAUCCCAACUGCUGGUGUUUCCUCAUUUCUUACUUCAGGAAUAUAAACCCUCCCAUUAGCUGUUACACAGUCAUCACUCUCUGAGCCCCCAGACAUUUUAUCUACAUAUAUUAUUGAUCCACUUCUAUAUUACUGCAUAGCAAAUAUUAAUUCAUUAAUCAGUCAUUACUGCAUCACAACAUAUCAAUGCAUUCCACUUACACAAAACAUUGCCCAAAUUGACACAAAACACACAUAGCCUAACUUGUUGGAUUCCGAUUACACAAAACGCAAGCAAAAUUUAAUAAUAGUUACGUCAUCUCUUGUGAAAUAAUCUGGAAAAAAUAACAUUAGAACCAACAUGUUCAACUAAGAACACAAAUGUAAUUCAAACCACCAAUUACAGAACUUCACCCAAUAUCCUCUCCAAAUGCUUACUCCUAAUGUCAUUAAGCCUAAAUUUAGGAUCUUUUACCUACAUUUCAUAAUUUUCCACCCCCACCAAAAACAAUCAACUAAGUAUAUUGAAUAUUCAUAAAGAAAGGACACAUUAUUGACUCCACCAAUGACGCAUUAUUGAUGCCACAAAUGACGAAUUUCCCACCCUCACAAAAAAUAAACCAAAGCCAAUAAAAUCAAUCCAGCAAGUGAACUUACCUCUCAAAAUCAAUCGGGAGCUCCGAAGUCAGUCAGCUUGAGAGAAUGUGGUGGACAUUAGAGAAGACUCUUUGGUAUUUGAGACUCCAUCUCUACCAAAAUUGAGGAACAACUGCUGCUGCGGCAUCUAGCUACAAAAAGAGAUAUGCUACUUUACUUUCAUCUGGAAUCUUGUCUGCUGAAUGAAAAAGAGAAGGGGUUUUCACUUGAGCCAUAAAAUCAAAACAGGGCAACAGCUAGGUAAGAGCCAUUAAUCGCAAUACCGAGGAUACCAUAGAUCGCAGGCCUCCCAAGAAGCUGAUGACAAUGGAGUGACUAUAGGGUUUGGGAGCUUUGGAUCCUUCUAAUUGUGGGUUUUCUUUACAUUCAAAAAGAGAGGAUUAUGUUCUUGAGUUUUUCACAAAGAGGGAAAGAGGGAAAGAUGAGACUGAAGUUGGGUUUCUAACGGGUUAGAUUUCAACCCGAUUCUACAUGCACCCUUUUUAAAAACUCACCGUUGGAUGAAAUCCAACGGCUCUUACAUACCCCUCAAAAACACCCCUUAUAACUUUCCACUCACUAUAGAAGCUCCCAAAAGAAAACAGAUUUGCCAAAAAUCAAAUUUUAAGUCUCUCCUACGAUCGAAAUUUGGAUUUGAUGAACUAAAGUGGUUUUACUUUCUCCAUCAGUGUUUGAUGACUUAAUUUGUUAUUUACUUUUUUUAAAAAAACUUUAUCUUAUAUAUAUUAGUUUUCUUUUUUCCUUCAUAUUCACCACCUUUAUGUUGCUUAAGUAUUUCAGUCUUAACGGGUUUCCAUCUACCACUCAUCUUUGCUCUUCUCAGUGUAAGCCUUUUUUUUAAGCAUAAGAUUAGAGGGGAGGGGGGGGAGGGGGAUUUCUUAAUGUAAGCUUUGCAGUUUCAUAAUUAAUAUUUCCAAUAUCUCACUGUUAGUAAAAUACAAAACAUGAAAAGUAUGAAUAAAAUACGCACAUGUUACUAAUUUAUUGAGAUAAAAUACCAUUUUGCCCCUAGAAUAUUUUAUUAGGUUUAAAGUUGACUUUUUGACCAGGAAGGAAUUUGGGUAUUUCGACUAUAUCGUUGCAUAGAGCACGACGAGGUGAUUCCAUAGACACGUGGUAGGCUCGAAUCGGAGUUGUAAUGAGAGACAUACGAUCAAAAUACCUUCAGUGGCAUAAUCGUAAUUUUGGCUUAAAGGGUUUGAUAAAAUAUGAUUUUUCUUUCUUUCUCUCUCUCUCUCUCCCCGCCCAGUCUCUCUCUCGUGACGGCAGUGAUAGCCGGCCACAUUUUGGCCAGCCGUGCUCUCGUCCGGCCACCAAAGCUGAUGGGGCCGGUACCAAAAUGAUCAGGCCACCAUCCUUUUCCAACCUCAGCCAGGCCCCGCCGCCAGCAGUCGUGGUUUUGCCGGAAAAUGGAGAAGAAGCGGCCGGUUUUGUUCGAACUUCUCCGACUUCGUUCUCCCUCCUCUGGCCACCGAUUCCGAUGAAUGAGGUAUGGUUUCUCACCUACUUUUCAUGCUCUAGCUGCCUGUUGGGUAGGAUUCGAUCAAUCCCUAGUGUAGGUGGCUUGAUUUUCGAAUUGGGUUUCAGCCGAUUUUGGGAUCUCGAUUCCAGCCCCUUUCGAUCAGUUUUUAGGGUAGGUCCCAGAACAAAAGUGGUUCCAAAUAGGGUGUUAUACCUAGGUAGGAACCUUGAGCCGUGAUUUUGAGAAUUUUCUACGAUGCCUAAUCGCUUUGGACACCCACGCGCUACCGGCACGUGGGCACUGUAGAAAAAGGGCAUUGUGUCCCGAUGCGAUCCCCUUGUUGUCUUGAGUGCAUAGGUGUGCUCGGAUUUCAAUUGAAUACCGUUUGAGUCUCGAACGAAUAUCACAUAUUGUGCGUUAUCCGGAGUCGAUAGGUUUGAACCGUUGGAUAGUCUUAGAUUUAUAAUAUGUUAAUCUAGAUAUUCUUAGGAUCAAAAAGGAUUUGACGGAUCGUAAAAUGGAGUCCCGGAUACUCCGAAAAUGCCAACCCUAGGGCUAGGUUCCUAGUAACCGUCCGAUCGUGCAAUCAUGAGCAAUCCGACAGUCCGAUCCGGACCAAACUUGCAGGACGUGUAUCCUAAACCUUGUAGAACCCAUAGGAACUUUCAGAUUAGAAUUUGGAGGUCGUGGGCCCCUUGGGCCCGUUUGACUAAGUUUGGGUAGUUUGACCAUUGGCUGAUCGUGAGUCUUCAAAGGUAGUUUUACCUUCCUAGGAGGAUUAUAAAGACCCUAGUGACAGGUCUUGAGCGUUGUUGAGCUAUGUUGACUAGGUUUAGACUUUUAGAGUGUUUAUUAUUAUCGUAGGAAACUCUUGGAUAUUAUUUUAAUAAUUGAAAUUAUGAAAUUUAUGUUUAUGUGCAUGAUCGUUGGUCUAAAAAUAGCAUUAUUUUCCUGAUAAAAUUACGUUGCAGUAUACUAUAGAAUGGUAUCACUAAAUGGGGAUUACCUCUAUUAUUAGUUUAGAUAAUUAUGAGUAUGUCAGUUUGAAGUGCUAUACGCACUACCCUAAGUACCACCCUGUGAUUGUUAGGUCCCAUGUGGUGUAGGUUAUCCAGUGUAAGGACAGACCCCAUACGUGGCUUCAGAUGUUCUGAAGUAUUGGGGAGAUUAUGUGAUGGUUUUGUCACACGUGGCGUAGGUUAUCCGGCGUGUUGACAGACCAUAUACAUGGAGUUGGAUGUUCCGGCAUAUGGAGAGAUUUUGUGAUUGUUAGGUCCCACGUGGCGUAGGUUAUUCGGCGCGAGGACAAACCCUAUAUGUGGCUUUAGAAGUUCCGGCGUAUGAGGGAGAUUAUGUGAUGGUUAGGUCACACGUGGCGUAGGUUAUCCGGCGUGUUGACAAACCUCAUACGUGGUGUUGGAUGUUCCAGCGUAUGAGGAGAUUUUGUGAUUGUUAGGUCCCACGUGGCGUGGGUUAUCCGGCGUAAGGACAGACCCCAUACGUGGCUUUGGAUGUUCCGGCGUAUGGGGGAGAUCAUGUGAUGGUUAGGUCACACAUGGUGUAGGUUAUCCGGCGUGCUGACAGACCCCAUACGUGGCGUUGGAUGUAACGACCCGGUCCUAAAUAAAUUAGUAAAUAUUAAUUUAUUCAAAGAAAAUACCAUUUUGCCCAUAGAAUAUCUUAUUAGGUUUAAAGUUGAUUUUGUGAUCGGAAAGGAAUUUCAGAAUUUCGACUAUACCGUUGCGUAGAGCACGACGAGAUGAGUCCGUAGACACAUAGUGGGCUCGAAUCGGAGUUGUAACAAGAGAGAUACGAUCAAAAUACCCUCAGUGGCAUAACCGUAAUUUUGGCGAAAAGGGUUGAUAAAAUCAUAUUUCUCUCUCUCGGCCGGAAAUCCCAGUUGACAAAAUCCCGGCCGGAAACCUUGAAUUUCAGCCACAGCUUCGACUGGUUUGAACAGGGUUUUUCCCGGCUUUGCCCCAUCGCCUCCGCCGCCCAAUUCUGGUGAAACAGGUAUGGUUCCUCACCUAUUUUCCGAGAUCUAGCUGCUGUUGUGUAGGAAUUGGACAAUUUUCGUGUUUAGGAACUCGAUUUAGAAUUUUGGUUUUGCCCGAAUUUUCAAAGUGAAAUUUCGGCCACUUCUGCUAGUUUUUGGGGUAUGUCCAAGAACAAAAGUGGUUCCAAAUAGGGUGUUAUACCUAGAGUAGGAACCUUGAGCCAUGAUUUUGAGAAUUUUCGGCGAUGCGUAAUCGCUUUGGAAGCGCGUGGGCACUGUUGAAAAGGGGCAUUGUGUCCCGAUGAGAUUCCCCUGUUGUCUUUAGCGCGUAGGUGUGCUCGGAUUUCAAUUUGGAUACCGUUUGUGUCUUGAACGGAUAUCACAUAGUGUGCGUUAUCCGGGUUCGAUAGGUUUGAACCGUUGGAUAGUUUUGAAUUUGAUAUAUGUUAAUCUAGGCAUUUCUAAGAUCGUGUAGGAAUUCACGGAUCUUGAAUCGGAGCCCUGGAUGUUCCGAUUUAAUAACUUAAAGUUUAUGUUUAUAAUAACCGUCAGAUCGUGCAAUUGUGAGCGAUCCGACCGCCCGAUCCAGACCAAACUUGUUGGACGUAUAUCCUAAACCUUGUGGAACCUAUAGAAAUUUUCGGAUUAGAAUUUGGAGGUCGUGUGCCCCAUGGGCCCGUUUUACCAAGUAUGGGUAGUUUGACCCUUAGUUGACCAUGAGUCUUCCGAGGUAGUUUUACCUUCCUAGGAGGAUUAUAAUGACCCUAGUGACAGGUCUUAACCGUUGUUGAGCUAUGUUGACUAGGUUGAGACUUCUAGAGUGUUUAUUAUUAUUGUAGGAAAUUCUUAGAUAUUAUUUUAAUAAUUGAAAUUAUGAAAUUUAUGUUUAUGUGCAUGAUCGUUGGUCUAAAAAUAAUAUUAUUUUCCUGAUUAAAUUACGUUACAGUCUACUAUAGACUGGUAUCACUGAAGUGGGAAUACCUCUAUUAUUAGUUUAGAUAAUUGAGAGUAUGUCAGUUUGAAAUGCUAUACGCACUACCCUAAGUACCACCCUAUGAUUGUCAGGUCACCCGUAGCGUAGGAUUUUCUGGCGAGAUGACAUACCCCAAUUGUGGCGUUGGAAUUUCCGGCGUAUGGAGAGAUUAUAUGAUUGUCAGGUUACGCGUGGCGUAAGAGUUUUCGGCAUUAUGACAGACCUCAUACGUUGCGUUGGAAUUUCCGGCGUAUAAGGAGAUUAUUUGAUUGUCAAGUCACCCGUGGCGUAGGAUUUUUCGGCGGGAUGACAGACCUCAUACGUGGUGUUGGAAUUUUUGGCGUAUGGGGAGAUGAUAUGAUUGUUACGUCACAUGUGGCGUAAGUUAUUCGACGUGCUGACAGACCCCAUAGGUGGCGUUGAAAUUUCCGGCAUAUGGGGAGAUGAUAUGAUUGUUAGGUCACACGUGGCGUAAGUUAUCCGGCGUGCUGACAGACCCCAUACGUGGCGUUGGAAUUUCCGGCGUAUGAGGAGAUUAUGUGAUUGACAGGGAGAUGAAUAAAGGUAUUGUAUGUGUUUGGAAUGGGGAUUUAGUAGGAAGAACUACGUGUGGCUUGAUCCCUCAGUGAGGGUAUGUAGGUAGCCUAAGGUUAUUAGGUGCAGCCGCGGACAUAGAUGUGAUUGUGUUAGGAGGUUAAAACCUCGUAUGUUGGAAUUGGAAAAGUUAGAUGAUGUAUGUUGUAUUUAGUAUUCAUAAUUCAUAUUUGAGUUUAUUAUUUGCCUUGCUGAAAGCAAUAUGUGACUCAAGAGCUUUGUGGGUAGUUUGGGAUAUUAAAUGUGUUUUAUGCAGGUUGAAAAAUUUGGGGAAUGAUCAAUUUACAGGGGAGACUUUGCCGAAAUUUCGACAGAAAGUCCCGGUCUUUAGUAAGUGGGCCCGGCAUCGGGGUGAUGUCGAGAAUUCCAUAGGAUUCGUAUCGGGUUUCGGGAAAUCUGGGGCUAGUCUUGUCAUUGGAUGUUCCGGCGUAUGGGGAGAUUUUGUGAUUGUUAGGUCCCACGUGACGUAGGUUAUACGACGUGAGGACAGACCCCAUACGUGGCUUUGGAUGUUCCGGUGUUUGGGGAGAUUAUGUGAUUACUAGUGAGAUGAAUAAAGGAUUGUUUAUAUUGGGAAAAAUGUGUUUGUAGAAAGAAUUACGUGUGGCUUGAUCCCUCAGUAAGGGUACGUAGGCAGCCUAGGGUAGUGGUUAGGUGCAGCCGCUGACUAAACGUUAUAAUGUUGUUUUUAGGUUUGAUUAUAUGGUAUUAUGGGCCGAGGCCCCUGGGACUAUUGGUUAUAAUUCAUAGAUGGUAGUUGAUGCAUGCUAGAAAUUUGUAGGAAGUUAUUUCAUGUGGAUUGCAGUGGUACUCGUAAAAUUUAUUUGAGUUCCUGAAUUGCAUUGUUAGUAUAUUAAUUGACUUAAGAGUACUGCUAGUAGUUCUGCCUUGAUUUAUUUGAAGGUUGGAGGCCUUGUCUGUAAACUGUGUGCAAUUACAUUGUGUGUGCUGGCAGUUGGCUUUUUAAAUUGUGAAUUUUGUGCAUGUUGAAAUUUGGGAAAUGUUCAAUUUACAAGGGAGACUCUGUCAAAAUUUCGAUAGAAAGUCUUGUGCCCUUAUUCCUUUUUCGGAAAAAGGAUAUAUAGCUUUAGAAGUGGGCCCGACAUCGGGAUGAUGUCGGGAAUUUCGACAGAAUUCGUCUUAGGUUUCGGAAAAUUCGGGGCGGGUCCGAAAAAGUUGCUUCAGUUUUGGCAAGUAUCGGAAAAGACCAAAAUUUUCCGACUUUAUUAUUACUAGAAACAAAGUCGAAGUAUUCACCAAUCAUGUGGCCUUCCAAGUGCUCAAGGUUAAGCCAGGAACCGUUCCUAUCUGCCGUUUCCUUCCCAACUAUGAUCAUGUUGUCUAGGUUCCAACCCACAAAUCUACAUUGGGCUAUGUAUUUGAAUUUGUACUAAAGCGUGAUCUAUAGUAUGCAUUUAUUAGAUAAGUUUGAGAUGGCAGUGGCUUGGGUGUCCGCCGAGCUUGAACAAGUUUGGGUGUGCUGAGUGUUUCCAUGGGUGCGUUGAUGAUCAUGGUUAUUAGAUUUGUGAUAGUUUGGGCUCAAUUUCAACAGAACUUAUCUCAAGCCUAGUUAGUUGAUUCAUAAGUUUAUCAGGAAAAAAAAAUGAAAAAUGAAAAAUGAAAAAUGAAAAAAUCUUAAGUUAAGCCCAAGGACUUCUCACCAAAGUGUGCAUAAAUUGAAAUAUUUAAUAGAAGCCCAAGAUUUCUGAAGCACAUAAUAUCUACUAAAUUCUACAAAGUGUUAUACUUUACAAACUUCCUAUGUGUACCAAUUUUUACUAAAAUUAAUUUCUCUGCGGUGUUGAGAUUCAUCAUAAUUUUAGUAGAAAUUGGAAGUUUUCAUCAUUUUUGCUUUAAGUCUCUCCUCCACUCACUAAUAAAGAUUACUCAAGUGAGUUUACAAAACAUUUUUUUCUACUCUCUCCUGAAAACUACACUUCUUCUCAAAAGAUUAGAUCACUUCACAUCUUGCAUAUGUGAAAACUAAUGUAAAAAGUUGAAACUUUAUCAUAAAACCUCGACAAAAAUUAGCUCUACUUAAAACGUUAAAUUUGGAUUCGUUGAUUUAAAUGGCAAUUUGACACUUCAUAGAAAUUUUUACAUACAUGUGUUAGUGUUUGAUCACUUCACUUGUUACUUACUAUAUUUAUUCCAUGAUUCUCCCUCAAGUUAGGUAAAUAUUAUUAUCAAACAUUUCAAUUCAUUUGUGAUCUUUCUUGUCCAUCUUUUAAUGUACCCUGAAAUCCAUUAGCCACAUAUGAUGACCAAAAUCCAUACGUUCCUAUUUUUAAUGUAUGUUUACUCCCUAUAAUGUUCCAGUCUAGGGUAAUAACACUGCUAGUUUCAUAUGACAUCCUAUUUCUAAUGUGUAUCUACCCUUGUAAUGUUCCAGUUUAGGGUAAUAACACUGCUAGUUUACUAUCAUGUUGAUUAAUGCUUGUCAUGUUGCUAUUUCUAAUACAUGUCCAACAAAGAAAAGAUGAAGAAAGAACAAACCAGACCAACUCAAAAUAAGUUGAGUCCAAAUAGUUAAUACUAUUAUGUCGUAGAAGUACGUUGUUAAUACUCUGUAAUAGAAGUACAUGGUUAAUACUCUGUCAUAGAAUUACAUUGUUAAACAAAAAUAAGAUCCAUAACUGAAAUAGUAAUAAAAGAUAAGUCGAUCAUCAAAUCUUAAAAUACAUUUCGAAAAUCAACUAAAAUCCGAAGAGAAACACAUAAUUGAAGCAAAAGAUCAAAAAUCUCAAGUCCAAACCAAACAACGACGACGACGACAAUGAUGACGACAAUGACGUGGCGAAGAGGAGUAGAGCUCGAAGAUGAGGAGUAGAGCUAAGAGCAUUUGAUCAAGGUUCGUUUGAGGUCUCGAACAAUCCGAAAAAAAAAAAUCAAUAGAAGCAAGAUUUUAAAACAAGAAUCGAAUGUGAAAUAUUGAAAAUUGUAGAUUAAAGAUGAAGAAUAUAGUUGGACCUGAGACUGAGCUCCAAUGGAAGCUCCUCUUGCUCCAACACCAGAGAAAGCACCAACAAGAAAAGAGAAAAUAAAUAUGAUUUGGAUUUUUGGCAGAUUUGAAUUUUUGGCAGAUCUGGUUUUUUUGGCAAAUUUGAAUUUUUGGCAGAUCUGUGCAGAUUUGUUUUUUUGGCAGAUCUGAUUUUUCUCUCUCAAAUCCAUAUUGCAAGGGCAAUAUAGGUAUUUAACACACACAAAUAAACUAAAAAACAGCUAUUAAAUUGAAAAAUUUGACAGCUAUCAAUUUUGGGUGUGUUUGUAGUUUUUAAAUAGUAUAGGGUUUCUUUAUUAGACUAUGUCUACGAUUGGGUAUAUAAUUAAAUUUCUAUUAUUAAAAAAAAAGGACCCUAGUAAAGCCAUGGGACGAUACUCCUUUUAUAUAUAUUAUAUGAUAUAAAUAUUAUAAUAUAUUAUCUAAUAUUUGGAAUAUUUACUCUAAAAUAAACAAUAUAUUAGGUUCUUUUUGUCUACAAAUUGACCAUUAAACUUCUUAAUCACUCUUAUACUUUUAAUUAAAUCUACUAGGCUAGGUUACGAUAUUUGCACUAAAAACUCCUAAUUGUUUUUUCUUCUCUUUCUCUUGCUCUUUUUUUAACUUAAGCUGAAGUUUUGUAAUUUUUUUUCCCUCCCUUUUUACAUGUAUGAGUAGGGUACUUUAAUAUUGGGAUUUAUGAACUUUUUUUGUAUUUCUUCUCUAUGUUGGAAUAUAAAUUAGAGAUAUUUAGUCAUAUACCCAUUCUUAGCACUAAUAUUAUAAAUAAACCUUACAUCAUUCAAUUCCUAUAAACAAACCCAAAAAAUAAUAGCUGGCCCUAUUGAAUUUAAUUUUGACUAUUAAAUUACUUUGAUGCCCUAUUGAGUGUUUUGGGCUUUUUUUUAUGAGAUUUUGGAGUUGAGUUUGUUUUAAGAAAUCAAUGGCAAUUUUGUAAUUUAAAAAAAAUUAAAAGGCUUUUUGUUAUGUUGUAAAUAGGUUUCGAGUGUGUUUCUAAAGUCCAUUUCAUAUAGGUUUUUUAUAUAUAAUAAUUUGAACUCCUAUAUUGGGUAUAAUAGUGAAUCUCCAUUUAUUAACUUUUGAGUCUUUAAUAGUGUAGAUGAUGAGAUUAAUAUUCAACCAUUUUAUAAUAUGAAAUUAAGGACAAUCAUGAUUGUAAUGAAUGGAUUAUUAAUCAAUAUGAAAUGAUAUUAUGAAGUAGGCUAAAUGGAGUAGUUAGUAUCGUAUUAACUUAUUAACCGGUUAGCGCUUGAGCCCUCUAAUUCAAAUUAUUUUAUAAAAUUUUGUGAAGGGCCCCUUCUAAUGCAAAUUCCUGGCUGCGCCACUGCCUAUAGCAACUUGGUAAUGUGUGUGAAACAUCCCCUCCUUUUGUCGUUUAAACUAUCGGUUCGCUUGUAUUAAUAAAACAAAAAAUAAAAUAAAAGAUAAAAUUAUAAAUAAAACAAAACACAUAUUAAAGCCUAACUGUUAAUAAUGGAUCCAACAUAAGAUCCAGCCCAAGCCCAUGAAUAAAGCCCCCGAAAACGGUUGGUCCCUCAAUUAAAUUAUUCGUUCAAAUGGUCCAUCAACUCUAUAUUAUUCGCUCCAUUGGUCCUACCGUUAUAUUUUGUCAAUAUUUCUGUUAAAUAUGAGGGCAAAUUGGUCAUUAUUUAUCCUAAAAUUAGGUUAAAUCUAACAUAAAAUUAGACGGUAGGAAUUCGGGGCAGGUCAUGUCAAAAAGCUAAUUAGAGGGGCGAAAUUGACAAAUAAAUUUAAUACAAUAGCUAAAUUGGUUGAAAGAUUAAUUCAAGAUGUAGAUUUCAACAAGUGUGAUAAUUCAUGGGGUAUUCGGUAAUUUACUCCUUUUUUUCCCCUUGAUCUUCUAUAUUCAAGUAAUGGAAAUGUGUUCCACAUUUUCCAUUUAGUUGAUUAUAGAAAAGGAAGAGCAAACAUGAGUUAAGCCCAAGGCACCGAACUUAGGGUCAGUUUGGCAUUGUUAUGCUGUGAAAAUAAUCGUUGUCAGAUUUGCUGUGAGAGAAAAUAGUUUGGCGUUUGGUAAAAUUUUUGUUAAAAGUAUUAUUAGUAUUUAUUUUACGCAUAAUCAGAAAAUGAUUGCUGCAUAAUCAUUAAAUCCAGCGCCUUUUCGAAACUGAUUUUUGCAUAAUCAGAAAAUGAAAGCACAUCAUUAGCUGCUUUCCUUUAUAGCUUUCUCUCACAUCAAUUUUUAACAAUAAGUGAUUUUCUCACAGUUUACCAAAUGGAUUGGGCUUCUCAAAAUUUUAAAAAAAUCACUUAUCACCCCAAAUAAGUAAUGCCAAACGGGCACUUAGACUUCUCACCAACGUGAGGAAGAAAAAUAUGACAAAUUGAUAUAUUUAAUACAAGCUCAAACUGUGCACAAAUUAAUAUAUGCAACGGAAGCCCAAGAUUAUUUCUGAAGCACAUAAUUUCCGCAAAAUCUACAAAGUGGUGGGAGGCAGACCAACAAAAAAAAGUAGCGAAGGCUUAUAACUCUGGUAAAACAAGAGUGACUUGGACAGAAUAAUGUUAUGUCGUACUGAAGAUUUUUGGGUUUCUUUAAUUGGUUAAGUUUAUAUACCUUCAUUUGAAGAUUCUUUAUUUGGGUUGCUUUCAAGAUGAAAACCAUAUCCACAACCACAACCACAACUGGCAGACAAUCUUUGGCUGUUCAUCACAAUUGGGCGACAAUGAAGAAGACAGAAAUUGGAGUAAUGUAUGUUACCAGCAAUCCACGAGAAACUGACAUCUGCAAGCUUUCGUAAUAUAAGGAGGAUGGGGAGGCCGUGCAAUACUUAUCACCUUAGCCACCACCUACACCACAAGACCAAUAUGUUGUAGGCCAGGAGGCUUUCCAAUUUUAAUAUAUAUAUAUAUAUAUAUAUAAAAGUAAAGUGACAAAGAAAUUAAUGUAGGGUAAAGGUAGAAUAGAAAAGAGAAUGAACAAAAUUAAUAAAAAAAAGUUUUAAAAAGUAAAAGGGAGUGUAGAUGGAGAAAAGAGGAAUGGGGAAAUUAGCUCCCUAUAUAUAUAUAGAUUGAAAAAUUAAAAUUAAAAUCAAUCUAUUAUCUUAUAUAUUAUAAAAUAAAGAUUAUUGCUCCAAGGAAAUGAGAUCUUUUGUUUUCUGGGAAUUUUCUGAACCAAGAAGAAUCAAGUAAAAUUAAUAAAGCAUAAAUUGGAAAGGGAAAAGAUCCAGAGGAUGCAUUGUAAGAUUGCUGAUGCCAAUAAUUGUACCCUCUAAUUUUAUACAUGGACGGGCAUUCAAAUCGGCAAAUCAGAAAUCCAAGCCAAAUCGCACAGGAAAAAAUCGAGUUGACCAAAUAGUCAACAACCAAUCAAAAACCAUACCGGACCAGUUUGGACCGGUUUUGGAUCCAAUUCUAUGUCUUCAAAAACUGAACCAAGCGGAACCGAACCAGUCAAAUUAAAAAAUAUAUAAUUUCAAUAUAUAUUUAUAUUCAAUGCUAUAUUUUUAGUCUCAUAACUAAUAUUUAUGCAAGUUCAAUUUCAAAACAUCUCUCUUUUCUGGCUUUAAUAUUUAUUUUUAUAUAAAAUUAAAUAAUUUAUUAAUUUUCAAGUCAAAAAAAUAAAAUUUUAGUUGAAAUUUGUAUUAAAAAAUUAUUUGAAAAAAAUUAAUUUUAAUAAUCCAGUUCAAAACCAAAUCGGACCGGAACCUAAUCAAAAUCGGUUCAACCUGAACCGGACAGUUUUUGAAUUUUUUUUGUUAAAACCGAACCAAACCAAACCGGACAAAUAGUAUCGGAUUCGGUUCUAAUUUGAGACAAAAACCAGUCCAAACCGGACCGUGCCCACCCUAUUUUUUUUGUUUUCAAGUCUUAGAUGACAUGUCGACCUAAAAUUAUUGUUCCUAGCGGGCUCUCCACCCCCACUCAACCUAUUGUGUAUUAUUAUUUUCAAUAUUAUCUUAAAUUUAACUACUUAUGUCCAUUAUGAUUAGUCAUGUAUUUUAUGGACCAUCCAGCUGUGAGGCUUUAUCUCAAAAACAUUCAGUACCUUUUUCCCGCUUGCAACAAUUGUAUUUGAUUCAGAAUUAUGUCCUAUAUUGGUGGGUGGAGUGUUACUUCUGGGUACCCCUCAUCAUUCGUCUAUAAAAUGGUGAAGCCAGUUGCUACUGUUACCAUAAGAGCCAUCUCCGACUUUCUUUAAUUUCUUGCUUCAUAUCCACUAGCUACAUCUGUUGCCAAGUUAAUUUCAGUCCUAAUGGGGUUUCAUCUCCCACUCAUCUUUGCUCUUCUCAGUGUAAGCUCUGCAAUUUGAUUAACAUUUCCAUUAUCUCUCAUUGUACUCUAUAUAAACGAAAGUUUUGCAUUCCUAUAAUCCUCUCUGAUUUUAUUUACCACAUAAGUGUCGUCCACUAAUUAAUUACACUUUGUGAUUUGAUUUUAAUUAGAGUUCGAAUUAAUGUUGCAGCUAGCAGCGGUGGCACUGGCAAACCAUGCUGCUCAACCAGCAGCUCAACUUUACUGGAACUCCGUCCUGCCGAACACACAGAUGCCAAGAACUAUCAGUGAACUUCUGCAUCUUGGUUUGUGUUAAUCACUUUAGAAUCUUAGAUAUUUUUUCUACCUGCCAUUUUACUAAAAUUUGUUUGACCACAUAUUUAUCGGUUAACUACUGUUUUCCAAUUUAUUAUUAACCUCUACAUGAGUAAUUAUAGUAUGGUACUAGAGUACGUACGGCAACAUAUUCACAAAUGUCUCACUGAAUCUUCAAUCGGCUGAUCACUUAUUUUCCAUUAUGACGUUGAUAUAUAAUUUGCCGACUCCACAAAUGAAGAAAAGAGCACAAAUAUCAUGAAUGCUGUUGGGAAUGGAAAGCCAACUGACCACAAGGGAAAACCUGAAAUAAACGCAUUGUUUAGCGGAUACACAAUUCAAGUACAGUAUGCAGGAGUUCCUAAUUCUGACAAUCAACUCCAGUAUUAUAAAAACAUAACUAUUUUCUUCUUGGGGAAGGACAUGCGCCUUGGCGCAACAAUGAACUUCCAAUUCCCUAGAAAUUCAAACACGGCUACUUUCCUGCCACGCGAAAGUGCUCAAUCAAUCCCCUUCUCCUCUAACAAACUAUCAGAAAUUUUCAAACAUUUUUCAGUGAAGCCAACAUCUGUGGAAGCCAAAACAAUUAAGAAAACAAUCGAAGAGUGUGAAGCUCCAGGCAUUAAGGGAGGGGAAAGAUAUUGCGCCACAUCUUUAGAAUCAAUGGUUGAUUUUAGCACUUCCAAGCUUAGAACAAGAAACGUUCAAGCAAUCUCGACUGAGGUAUUGGAAAAAGGAACUGCCAUGUCCAUGCACAAGUAUACAACAAUGCCGGGACUGAAGAAGUUGGCAGGUGACAAAGUCGUUGUGUGUCAUAAGGAGAACUAUCCCUAUGCUGUGUUUUUCUGCCAUGCAAUAAAACAAACAGCAGCUUAUGUUCUCUCCCUGAAAGGCGAUGAUGGGGUGAAGGUUAAAGCAGUAACCAUCUGCCAUCUAGACACAUCAGAAUGGAACCCAAAGCAUUUGGCCUUCCAAAUCCUCAAAGUUAAGCCCGGAACCAUUCCCAUCUGCCAUUUCCUUUCCACAGAUGCUAUUGCAUGAACAUCACUUAGCACUGUACGUAUAAUAAGCUUGCACCCCUGUAUAAUUAUCUCCCUACUCUACUUAUUUCUGCCUCUUCUGUUGAGAUUUCAAUCAGAACUUGCACACACAAUGCAUCAGCUCACACAAAACCAGAUGAAUUUAAGAAAACAGAAAAAUGCAGAGAAAGAAUGGAUUGGCUACUCAGUAAUGCUCAAAGGUUCGUUGCUAUGCACAAAACAUGGCAGUGCACAAUACUCUCAUUUCUAACGGAACCAUUCCUUUUUACAAUGCUGAGAAUGUGAUCUCAGCCUUACAAUUGAUCCAGCAAUGUAAGCUGGACACUUGUCUUAAAUCUGAGUCAUAUAAGUUUCAUCCAACCAAAAUAUUACAUCUGUGAAAUAAAACUUAAACCAGCAGGAAUUUAUAAUUCGACAUUCCCUUCUAAAUUGUUGACUGGUUUAACACCAAGUAGACCUCUUAAGUAAUUGAAUCGAUCCUUAGACAAAGCUUUAGUGAAUAUGUCAGCUGCUUGCUCUUCGGACUUGCAGUAUCUUAGAUCCACCACACCUUCUUGCAAAGCAUCUCGAAUGAAAUGGUAUAUGCGGUUAAUGUGUUUGGUCUUUUGAUGGAAAACUGGAUUCCUUGUCAUUGCAAUGGCAGAGGUGUUAUCUACCAUUAAUGGAGUUGCCUCUGUUUGCUAUUCUCCAAAGUCUUCAAGCACAAACUUCAACCAUAUAGCUUGAGUAGUAGCUUCACUUACACUAACAUAUUCAACUUCAGUUGUGGAGAGAGCAACACUGGGUUGCUUGACAGAUGCCCAAGAUGACACGCCACUUCCAAAUGAGAAAGCAUAUCUAGAAGUGCUCUUCAUGUCAUCUUGACUCCCACUCCAGUCACUGUCACAGUAUCCAAUUAAUACAACUUCUUUUCCCUUCUGGUAUUCAAUACCAUAAUCAAUUGUGCCUUUGAUAUACCUCAACACCCUCUUAGUUGUUCCAUAGUGUUUCUUUUAGGACAAUGCAUGAAUCUAGCUAAUAAGCUAGCUGCAAACAUUAUGCCAGGCCUUGUAGCUGUUAAGUACAACAAACUUCCCACAAUCUGCCUAUAUUCAUUCUCAUCUGCUGGAUCACUUCCAUCUGCUUUGCAUAAUUUCUCACUUGCCACCAGAGGAGUGCUAACAGGUUUACAUUGUUUUAAGCCAAACUUGCUUAACAGAGUCAAAGCAUAUUUCUUUUGACUUAUGAAAAUACUCUUUUCAGUUUGAAUCACAGCCAUACCAAGAAAAUGAUACAAAAGACCUAAGUUAGUCAUUUCAUACCUUCUCAUCAUCUUAGACUAAAAAUCUGCAAUCAAUUCUUCACUGCUUCCUGUAUACACUAUAUCAUCAACAUAUAUCGAUACAAUGAGUGUUCUAGAGUUUUCCUUGGUCUUGCAAUACAGAGUUGCUUCACUAGAGCUCCUUGUAUAACCGCAGUCAAUAAGAUACGAGUUUAUUUCCUCAUCCCAUGCUCUUGGCGCCUGUUUUAGACCAUACAGAGCUUUCUUUAGUUUGUACACUUUGUCUUUAGAGUUCUUAAUCACAAAACCAUCUGGCUGGUCCACAUAUACUUCUUCCUUAAGCACACCAUUCAGAAAAGCAGACUUGACAUCCAAUUGAUACAACUUCCACCCCUUUUGAGCUGCCAAUGCAAUAAAAGUUCUAAUGGUGUCUAAUCGGACUCUGCACCCCUCUCGAUUGAAAACCUAUUGUGUAAAUCUUCAAUCCUAAACGAUGCACCUAAAACACAUGUUGCAAUACACAUCCACCCAUUCUCAGGCCAAUUAUUGCUCAUAGUGGGCUCCCGACCCCCUCUCAAAUUUAAGUGGUCCAUUAUUCUUAACCACAUAUUUUAUGGACCAUCCAGCUGUGAGGUUUUGUCUCAAAAACCUUCGGUACAUUUCUCCCACAUGCCACAAUUGUAUAUUCACAAUUACGUCUGAUACAUCACAUCAUGCCACUUGCCUCAAAUGAAUUUAAGUGAGUGAGGCAGUUGGAAGUAAUUAAGCUCUAUAUUGGUGGGUGGAGUGUUACUUCUGGGUACCCCUCAUCAUUUGUCUAUAAAAUGGUGAAGUCAGUUGCUACUGUUACCAUAAGAGCCAGCUCCGACUUUCUUUAAUUUCUUGCUUCAUAUCCACUAGCUACAUCUGUUGCCAAGUUAAUUUCAGUCCUAAUGGGGUUUCAUCCCCCACUCAUCUUUGCUAUUCUCAGUGUAAGCUCUGCAAUUUGAUUAACUUUUCCAUGCUCUCUCAUUGUACUCUAUAUAAACGAAAGUUUUGUGGUCCUAUAAUUCUCUCUCGAUUUUAUUUAGUACGUACUUAAGUGUUGUCCACUAAUUAAUUACACUUUGUGAGAUUUGAUUUUAAUUAGAGUUCGAAUUAAUGUUGCAGCUAGCAGCGGUUGCACAGGCAAACAAUGCUGCUCAACCAGCACCUCAACUUUACUGGAACUCCGUCCUGCCAAACACACAGAUGCCAAGAUCUAUCAGUGAACUUCUGCAUCCUGGUUUGUGUUGAGCUCUUUAGAAUCUUAGAUAUCUCUUCUACCUGCCAUUUUACUUAAAUAUGUUCGACCACAUAUUUAUCAGUUAACUACUGUCAUUACAUGAGUGACACAUAUUCACAAAUCGGCUGAUCACUUAUUUUCCAUUAUGACGUUGAUAUAUAAUUUGCAGACUCCACAAAUGAAGAAAAGAGCACAAAUGACGUUGGCAAACCUGAAACUUUCCCAUUGGGCAAUCAAAAUUACUCCAGUCAAAAAAAUUAUGGAACAGGCAAUAAACGUUACUGCAGUCAAAAAAGGUAUGGAAGAGGCAAGAAACGUUACUGCGAUCAAAAAAAGUAUGGAAGAGGUGCUUCUCCAUCUGACAAUCAACUACUCCAUUAUAAAGACUUAGCUAUUUUCUUCUUGGAGAAGGACAUGCGCCCUGGCACAACAAUGAAGUUCCAAUUCUCUAGAAAUUCAAACACGGCUACUUUCUUGCCACGAGAAAGCGCUCAAUCGAUCCCCUUCUCCUCUAACAAACUACCAGAAAUUUUCAACCAUUUUUCAGUGAAGCCAACAUCUGAGGAAGCCAAAACAAUUAAGCAAACAAUCGAAGAGUGUGAAGCUCCCGGCCUUAAGGGAGAGGAAAUAUAUUGCGCCACAUCUUUAGAAUCAAUGGUUGAUUUUAGCACUUCGAAGCUUGGAACAAGAAACGUUGAAGCAAUCUCGACGGAGGUAUUGGAAAAAGGAGCCACCAUGUCCAUGCACAACUAUACAACAAUGCCGGGACUGAAGAAGUUGGCCAGUGACAAAGUCGUUGUGUGUCAUAAGCAGAACUAUCCCUAUGCUGUGUUUUUCUGCCAUGCAAUAAAACAUACAGCAGCUUAUGUUCUCUUCCUGAAAGGCGAUGAUGGGGAGAAGGUUAAAGCAGUAACCAUCUGUCAUCUAGACACAUCAGAAUGGAACCCAGAGCAUAUGUCCUUCCAAAUCGUCAACGUUAAGCCCGGAACCAUUCCCAUCUGCCAUUUCAUUUCCACUGAUGCUAUUGCCUGGGUUCCGAACCACAAAUCUGCAUGAUCAUCACUUAGCACUGUACGUAUAAUUAUCUCCUUACUUAUUUCUGCCUCUUCAUCAUGUGGUGUAAGAUAUAUGAUGAGAUGAAGUUUUUGGGAUUAGUGGUUGGGUUGCCUGAAAAACACAGAUUACAGAAACUGCUUGAAAUUAACCCGAUCAUGUUUUCUCUUGUAACUAUAUAGACUUCAACUUGUACUCAUAAUAAAGCAUGCUAUAUUUAUGAAGAGAUAUUAAUCUAUAUAUAUUUUUUAUAUAUGCUUUGGCUUUGUGGUUCUACCCAAUGUUUGAGUGUUGAAUUGUUACGUUGGAAUAGGCUGCUAAUGCAUGUAGUUAGAGAAGCCUUCAUUUAUAUCAAAGUCCUCAAACUAUCAAGAACUAAUGUAUCCAGAAACAUAUACCAAGACGCAAAACAACAUAUUUUCCAUGCUCUGUCUGUAACACCAAAGCAAACUUCCUUGAUCACAAAAGGAUCAAAUUCCAGUACUAAUCUAAUCCAUCAUGUAAAGCAUACAAGUGCCUCCCUAAAUACUAUACUCUUUUUGUUAUUUCCUACUAUACUAUUUAAGAUUUAAAAUUCAGGUCAACCCAUAGAUUUCUCGCCUUUUUCUUCUUCAUCUCGUCGGGCUUGUCUUCUUCUUGAGGAUUGUAUAGGCCAAGGAAAUGCUUUGAGUUAGUUUUUGCGCUUUUGCGUUUUGGGCCUUGGAAGUUGGGACCCAAACCAACUUCACAAAAAGAAAACGCUCAGACUAUAAUGAGUGGAAAGUUAUAAGGGGUAAGUUAUAAGGAGUUCACUUUAUAGCCAUCAGAUCAAUCUAAGGGCUGGGGAGAAUUGAGAUAAAGUUUUAAAAUCGGGUAGGUGAGGAACCCAAACCCGAAUUGAAUAUCCAGCACGUCCGAAAAAGAAGAAGAAGAGGCAAGCACGUCCGAAAAAGAAGAAGAAGAGGCAAGGUCGAAGUUUGAACAGAAAAAACUCAUCUCUUUAAAACCCAUAGCUCUGAGAAACGGUUGAAGGCAACGGUUAACGACGGUUGUUGAAGCCACUCCGUUCUCCAGACCCUGAAAAAGUAUUUAUUUUGAGUAGAAGGGGCAAAUGUGUGGAUUCCGAAACAGUGAAGGGGCGAAGCAGUGGAAGGGGAAGGAGAGAAGCCGUAUUCGUUGGAAGUGGUAGGUUCCAUUUGUGGAGCAAAGCAACACAAAGACCCCGCACAGACACCUUGCGAUUGUUCAAUAACCAGCAUUUGGUGAGUAAUUUAUGGAAUUUGAGUUUAGGGUUAGAGUAAUGGUUUUCCCCAAUUUGUACCAUCAAUUUUGUUGGAUUUGGCAUCUCUUCUUUGUGCUUCAGUUGCAUGUUAAUUUUUGCUUGGGUAUAUGUUAAAAAAAGAAUGAAAAUCAAGUCAAUAACAAGUGAAUAACAUGUCAAUAAUGAUAUGAAUAAGAUAAUGGUGUUGAAUUGGAGGAGGCCCUCAAAACAUUCCACAUUUGAAGCAGUGCAUAGUGCAGAUUAUCUCUCUGGCGCUAGAAUAUAUAUAUAUUUUGAAAUAAAUAUGAUUUCCUUUGUUACUAAAUUUGCCUGAGAAACAUGAGAACAGAUAAUAAUAAACUCAUGAAUAGAAGUGCAAAGCAUUUGAUGAGUAAUUUAUGGAAUUUGAGUUUAGGCCCAGGAAAUUCCUUGACCCCAAAAAAAAAAAAAAAGUUGAUUUAAAAUUCAGGUCAACCCAUAGAUUUCUCGCCUUUUUCUUCUUCAUCUCGUCGGGCUUGUCUUCUUCUUGAGGAUUGUAUAGGCCCAGGAAAUGCUUUGAGUUAAUUUUUGCAUUUUUGCGUUUUGGGCCUUGGAAGUUGGGACCCAACCCAACUUCACAAAAAGAAAACAGAUUUGCCAAAAAUCAAAUUUCAAGUCUCUCCUCCGAUCGAAAUUUGGAUUUGAUGAACUAAAGUGGUUUUACUUUCUCCAUCAGUGUUUGAUAACUUAAUUUGUUAUUUACUUUUUUUUUAAAAAACUUUGGCUUAUAUAUAUUAGUUUUCUUUUUUCCUUCAUAUUCACCACCUUUAUGUUGCAUAAGUAUUUCAGUCUUAAUGGGUUUCCAUCUACCACUCAUCUUUGCUCUUCUCAGUGUAAGCCUUUUUUUUUUUUUAAAGCACAAGAUUAGAGGGGAGGGGGAUUUCUCAAUGUAAGCUUUGCAGUUUCAUAAUUAAUAUUUCCAAUAUCUCACUGUUAGUAAAAUACAGAAAAAGUACUAAUAACAUAUGCACAUGUUACUAAUUUAUUGAGAUAAAACACCAUUUUGCCCCUAGAAUAUUUUAUUAGGUUUAAAGUUGACUUUUUGACCAGGAAGGAAUUUGGGUAUUUAGACUAUAUCGUUGCGUAGAGCAUGGCGAGAUGAGUCCGUAGACACAUGAUUGGCUCGAAUCAGAGUUAUAAUGAGAGAGAUACGAUCAAAAUACCCUCAGUGGUAUAACCGUAAUUUUGGCUUAAAGGGUUUGAUAAAAUAUAAUUUUUCUUUCUUUCUUUCUCUCUCUCUCUCUCUCUCUCUCUCUCUCCUCUCUCUCACGACGGCAGUGAUAGCCGGCCACUUUUUGGCCAGCCAUGCUCUCGUCCGGCCACUAAAGUUGACGGGGCCGGUACCAAAAUGACCGGGCCACCAUCCUUUUCCAACCCCAGCCAGGCCCCACUGCCAGCAGUCGUGAUUUUGCUGAAAAAUGGAGAAGAAGCGGCCGAUUUCGUUCGAACUUCUCCGACUUCGUUCUCUCUCCUCCGGCCACCGAUUUCGAUGAAUGAGGUAUGGUUUCUCACCUACUUUUUAUGCUCUAGCUGCCUGUUGGGUAGGAUUCGAUCAAUUCCUUGCGUAGGUAGCUUGAUUUUCGAAUUGGAUUUCGGCCGGUUUUGGGAUCUCGAUUCCGGCCACUUCCGGUCAGUUUUUGGGGUACAUCCCAAAACAAAAGUGGUUCUAAAUAGGGUGUUAUACCUAGGGUAGGAACCUUGAACCGUAAUUUUGAGAAUUUUCGGUGAUGCCUAAUCGCUUUGGACACCUACGCUAUGCCUGCGUGUGGGCACUAUAGAAAAAGGGCAUUGUGUCCCGAUGCAAUCCCCUUGUUGUCUUGAGCGCGUAGGUGUGCUCGGAUUUCAAUUUGGAUACCGUUUGAAUCUCGAACGAAUAUCGCAUAUUGUGCGUUAUUCGGGGUCGAUAGGUUUGAACUGUUGGAUAGUCUUAGAUUUAUAAUAUGUUAAUCUAGACAUUCUUAGGAUCGAAUGGGAUUAAACGGAUCGUAAAACGGAGUCCCGGAUACUCCAAAAAUGCCAACCCUAGGGCUAGGUUCCUAGUAACCGUCCGAUCGUGCGAUCGUGAGCGAUCCGACCGUUUGAUCCGAACCAAACUUGCAGGACGUGUAUCCUAAACCUUGUAGAACCCAUAGGAACUUUCGGAUUAGAAUUUGGAGGUCGUGGGCCCCUUGGGCCGUUUGACUAAGUUUGGGUAGUUUGACCCUUGGCUGAUCGUGAGUCUUCAGAGGUCUUGAGCGUUGUUGAGCUAUGUUGACUAGGUUUAGACUUUUAGAGUGUUUAUUAUUAUCAUAGGAAACUAUUAGAUAUUAUUUUAAUAAUUGAAAUUAUCAAAUUUAUGUUUAUGUGCAUGAUUGUUGGUCUAAAAAUAACAUUGUUUUCUUGAUAAAAUUACGUUGCAGUCUACUAUAGACUGGUAUCACUAAAUGGAGAUUACCUCUAUUAUUAGUUUAGAUAAUUAAGAGUAUGUCAGUUUGAAGUGCUAUAUGCACUACCCUAAGUACCACCCUGUGAUUGUUAGGUCCCAUGUGGUGUAGAUUAUACAGCGUCAGGACAGACCCCAUACGUGGCUUUGGAUGUUCUGGCGCAUGGGGGAGAUUAUGUAAUGGUUAGGUCAUACGUGGCGUAGGUUAUUCAGCGUGUUGACAGACCCUAUACGUGGCGUUGGAUGUUCCAGUAUGGAAAGAUUUUGUGAUUGUUAGGUCCCACGUGGCGUAGAUUAUCCGGCGUGAGGACAAACCCCAUUCGUGGCUUUGGAUGUUCCUGCGUAUGGGGGAGAUUAUGUGAUGGUUAGGUCACACGUGGCGUAGGUUAUUCGGCGUGUUGGCUAACCCCAUAAGUGCCGUUGGAUGUAACGACCGGUCCUAAAUAAAUUAGUGAAUAUUAAUUUAUUCAGAGAAAAUACCAUUUUGCCCAUAGAGUAUUUUAUUAGGUUCAAAGUUGACUUUUUGAUCAGAAAGGAAUUUGAGAAUUUCGAUUAUACCGUUGCAUAGAGCACGGCGAGAUGAGUCCGUAGACACGUGGUAUGCUCGAAUCGAAGUUGUAACGAGAGAGAUACGAUCAAAAUACCCUCAGUGGCAUAACCGUAAUUUUGGCAAAAAGGGUCGAUAAAAUCAUAUAUAUAUAUUUUCUCUCUCUCUCUCUCUCUCUCUCUCUCUCUCUCUGCGAUAUUGUCCCUCUCUCUCUUUGAUUCACUGCCAUCUGCCCACGGCAGGACUUGAGACUGGUCACGUUUGAACCGGCUCGAUGUCCCGAUCACGUCGCACCCAAAAUGCAAAUGGAAACCUUGAAUUCCAGCCACGGCUUCGACUGGUUUGAACUGGGUUUUUCCCGGCGUUGCGCCACCGCCUCCGCCGCCCAAUUCCGGUGAAACAGGUAUAAUUCCUCACCUAUUUUUCGAGAUCCAGCUGUUGUUGUGUAGGAAUUAGACGAUUUUCAUGUUUAGGAACUCGAUUUAGAAUUUAGGUUUUGGUCGAAUUUUCAAAGUGAAAUUUCGGCCACUUCCGCUGGUUUUUCGGGGUAUGUCUAAGAACAAAAGUGGUUCCAAAUAGGGUGUUAUACCUAGGGUAGGAACCUUGAGCUGUGAUUUUGAGAAUUUCCGGCGAUGCGUAUUCGCUUUGGACACCCACGCGCCGACAGCGCGUGGGCACUGUAGAAAAGGGGCAUUGUGUCUCAAUGCGAUCUGCUUGUUGUCUUGAGCUCGUAGGUAUGCUCGAAUUUCAAUUUGGAUACUGUUUGAGUCUCGAACGGAUAUCGCAUAGUGUACGUUAUCCGGGUUUGAUAGGUUUGAACCAUUGGAUAGUUUUGAAUUUGAUAUAUGUUAAUCUAGGCAUUUCUAGGAUCAUGUAGGAAUUCAGGGAUCAUGAAUCAGAGCCCCGGAUGUUCCGAUUUAAUAACUUAAAGUUUAUGUUUAUAAUAACUAUCAGAUCGUGCGAUCGUGAGCGAUCCGACUGUCUGAUCUGGACCAAACUUGCAGCACGUAUAUCCUAAACCUUGUGGAACAUAAAAAAAUUUCGGAUUAGAAUUUGGAGGUCGUGGGCCCCGUGGGCCCAUUUAACCAAUUAUGGGUAGUUUGAUCCUUGGUUGACCGUGAGUCUUCCGAGAUAGUUUUACCUUCCUAGGAGGAUUAUAAUGACCCUAGUGAUAGGUCUUGACCGUUGUUCAGCUAUGUUGACUAGGUUGAGACUUCUAGAGUGUUUAUUAUAUUAUUGUAGGAAACUCUUAGAUAUUAUUUUAAUAAUUGAAAUUAUGAAAUUUAUGUUUAUGUGCAUGAUCGUUGGUCUAAAAAUAAUAUUAUUUUCCUGAUAAAAUUACGUUGCAGUCUACUAUAGACUAGUAUCACUAAAGUGGGAAUACCUCUAUUAUUAGUUGAGAUAAUUGGGAGUAUGUCAGUUUGAAAUGUUAUACCCUAAGUACUACUCUAUGAUUGUCAGGUCACCCGUGGCGUAGGAUUUUCCGGUGAGAUGACAGACCCCAUACGUGGCGUUGGAAUUUCCAACGUAUGGAGAGAUUAUAUGAUUGUUAGGUUUCACGUGGCGUAGGAUUUUUCAGCGGGAUGACAAACCCCAUACGUGGCAUUGGAAGUUUCAGCGUAUGGGGAGAUGAUAUGAUUGUUAAGUCACACGUGGCGUAGGUUAUUUGGAGUGCUGACAGACCCCAUACGUGGCGUUGAAAUUUCUGGCGUAUGGAGAGAUGAUAUGAUUGUUAGGUCACUUUGGAUGUUCUAGCGUAUUGGGAGAUUAUGUGAUUACCAGUGAGAUGAAUAAAGGAUUGUUAUGUUAUAUUGGGAAAAACAUGUUUGUAGAAAGAAUUACGUGUGGCUUGAUCCCUCAGUAAGGGUACGUAGGCAGCCUAGGGUAGUGCCUUGGUGCAGUCGCUGACUAAACAUUAUAAUGUUGUUUUUAGGUUUGAUUAUAUGGUAUUAUGGGGCAAGGCCCCUAGGACUAUUGGUGAUAAUUCAUAGAUGGUAGUGGAUGCAUGCUAGAAAUUUGUAGGAAGUUAUUUCAUGUGGAUUGCAGUGGUACUCGUAAAAUUUAUUUGAGUUCCUUAAUUGCAUUGUUAAUAUAUUAAUUUACUUAAGAGUACUGCUAGUAGUUCUGCCUUGAUUUAUUUGAAGGCUGGAGGCCUUGUCUGGAAACUGUGUGCAAUUAGAUUGUGUGUGCUGGCAGUUGACUUUUUAAAUUGUGAAUUUUGUGCAGGUUGAAAUUUGGGAAAUGUUCAAUUUACAGGGGAGACUCUGCUGAAAUUUCGGUAGAAAGUCUUGUGCCCUUAUUCCUUUUUGGGGAAAAGGAUAUAGUUUUAGAAGUGGCGAUGUCGGGAAUUUCCACAGGAUUCGUCUCGGGUUUCGGGAAAUUCGGGGCGGGUCUGAAAAAGUUGUUUCAGUUUUGGCAAGUAUCGGAAAAGACCAAAAUUUUCCGACUUUAUUAUUACUAGAAACAAGGUCGAAGUAUUUACCAAUCAUGUGGCCUUCCAAGUGCUCUAGGUUAAGCCAGGAACCGUUCCUAUCUGCCGUUUCCUUCCCAACUAUGAUCAUGUUGUCUGGGUUCCAACCCACAAAUCUACAUUGGGCUACGUAUUUGAAUUUGUACUAAAGCGUGAUCUAUAGUAUGCAUAUAUUGGAUAAGUUUGAGAUCAGUGGCUUGGGUGUCCGCUGAGCUUGAACAAGUUUGGGUGUGCUGAGUGUUUCCAUGGGUGUGUUGAUGAUCAUGGUUAUUAGAUUUGUGAUAGUUUGGGCUCAAUUUCAACAGAACUCAUCUCAAGCCUAGAUAGUUGAUUCUUAAGUUUAUCAGGAAAAAAAAUUAAAAAUUAAAAAAUCUAAAGUUAAGCCCAAGGCGCCGAACUUGGACUUCUCACCAAACUGUGCAUAAAUUGAAAUAUUUAAUAGAAGCCCAAGAUUUUUGAAGCACAUAAUAUCUACAAAAAUCUACAAAGUGUAAUACUUUACAAACUUCUUAUGUGUACCAAUUUCUGCUCAAAUUAAUUUCUCUGUGGUGCUGAGAUUCAUCAUAAUUUUAGUAGAAAUUGGAAGUUUUCAUCAUUUUUGCUUUAAGUCUCUCCUCCACUCACUAAUAAAGAUUACUCAAGUGAGUUUACAAAACAUUUUUUUUCUACUCUCUCCUGAAGACUACACAUCUUCUCAAAAGAUUAGAUCACUUCACAUCUUGUAUAUGUGAAAACUAAUGCAAAAAGUUGAAACUUUAUCAUAAAACCUCGACAAAAAUUAGCUCUACUUAGAACAUUAAAUUUGGAUUCGUUGAUUUAAAUGGCAAUUUGACACUUCAUAGAAAUUUUUACAUACAUGUGUUAGUGUUUGAUCACUUCACUUAUUACUUACUAUAUUUAUUCCAUGAUUCUCCCUCAAGUUAUGUAAAUAUUAUUAUCAAACAUUUCAAUUCAUUUGUGAUAUUUCUUGUCCAUCUUUCAAUGUACCCUGAAAUCCAUUAGCCACAUAUGAUGACCAAAAUCCACACUCUGUUGUUUGCAAACGUUCAAUAUACGACUUGCAUCCACAGUCCUGACCCAAAUGAAAUGCGGAAACUGUCAAGCUAACUGUAGGGAGGACUAUAUUUGAUUUUACCUUAAAGACUGAUCCGAAACCACCUUCUCCAAGUUUAUUGUUGUUUGAAUAGUUUUUGGUUGCACAAACAACAGCGGCCAAGUCAAAUAAUGGCAAUUCCAGAUCUUCCUUUUGGCCGGGCUUCAGUUCUCCUGUGAAGUACGUAGUGAAGUAAAUAAUGUAGCAUGGAACCUUAGCUUAGAAACCAGAGAGGCAACAGCAAAAAUUUUCUAUAGAACUGAACCUACCUAUCUUAGAAAAUGAAGGGGCAGAAGAGUAGAAAAUCAAAUAGCUUACCAUAUUUUUGUUGCUGGUUCUUCCUCACAUAUAAUAGCAGGGUAAGGCCCAGGGUCAGCAGUCCAGUAGACAACACAGUACUGGUUACUAUGAUCUUUGUAUUGUGUCCUUGAUCUAGGAAUGAAGUAUUUGAAAGCAGAAGAUUGAGGAGUCAGAAAUUCAUAAAGAAAAAAUCUCUACUUUUUAUCAUCCAACGAACAAUUAAUGCUAGUUUCUGAGACAGUUCUAAAGAAAUAUUUUUCUAACAAUGUCAAAAGUUUUCUGGCUCUAUCUUGUUUCUAAUCAUGUCACUGUUGGAAGAUUUCUUUCUUCUUUUUUCCUUGGUGGCUUUUAUUUUUCUUUCAAACUUUGUUUUAAACAGCAAGAUGAUUCCAUACCUAGUUCUGACGAAGCCAUUCUUAUGUAAAUAUCUUGCCCAUUUAUAUUGGAAUAUCUUAUAUCAACCAGAUCGCUGAACCACAGCAAGGACCCCCUUCCUCCAUCUCGGAUAUCCAAAUUUGAAAAAGCGGCGCAGGAGCAGUUGUUCAUGCACAUCAUCUCACAUUCCUUGAGGUUCAUAAUUGUGUUAUACUAGGAUUGUUCUGUACUUUAUUUCACCCCAGUGUACUUCUUAAAGAUGUCUCCACUGCAAUUCAGUUGGCUCUUUCUCACAGAUCUAUAUGACCAAUCCACCAAGUCCCAGUCUUGUUGAAAGUCGGUAUAAAUCCUUUCAAGCAGCUACGUACUGGGGACUUGUCAAUACAACAUGCACCAUUCGGACCACAUAUUCCAUAUUUGUCGCAGAUAUCAGUCGUUGCUCUUAGAUAAACAACCCAACCUUGGUUUCCAUCACUCCCGAUGUAGCUCAGCCCAAAUCCAUCUUGAGUUAACGCCAGCCUGAAAAGAGUUGAGCUGUUGAGAAGCUUAUAACCAUAAUAUACUUCAUCAUCAUUAUCCAACACAAAAUCAUAUGUUGGAUUUAAAUUAUGCAUCCCACUAAAUUGGAUUCCAUUCCAUGGUGCAGUCCGAUAUUUUAUAACAGAACCCUCCCUCAGAAUUAAUUCAUGGUACCCAUAAGGACCAAGUUGAUAUGGGUAAUGUCCUUGAGAAGGAUCCUGGGGGCUUUUCCAGGGUGUAAGAUGCCAAUUAAAACCUGUGAUUUUGUUCCUAACAAGCUUCAUACCUGGUAUUAAUGUAUCUCCUGGGUAAUCAAAACUCUGCCAUAAAAUAUUAUCAGAGUCAUUACGACCAUUGCCAUCUAUCACAACAAGAUUUCCGGAAUCCAAAAUCUGUGCCACUGGAUUCUAUGAAGAACUUGAUGUGUUGGAAGACCUGUAGUGUUCUUUGUUGAAUAUUUGGAUUGCAAAGGGAGCAAGAAAUGUACUGAGAGAGAAAGAGAGAGAGAGAGAGAGAGAGAGAGAGAGAGAGAGAGCAGUGAGCCUUAGAUUGUUCUAACAGUUUUCUUACUCUGCAUGAACAUAGCAGCAGAGCUUAUAUUCCUUCAUGACUGUUACAUGUUCUCUCUUACAUCAGUAGAUUCAAAUCUAACGGUUUGUAAUAGUAAGCCAAUGUGAGUAUGACACAUGGCAAUACACAGCUGUCCUAACAGCUGGGAAUUCAAAACAGACUCUAGCAUUGCACCUGGCAUAUAAGCACAAGGCACUCAGCUAACACAAAGAUUAAAAACAGAUUGAAUAUAAACUGACAUAGAACUUACUAACUAAUCUGAAAUUAGCUAGACAGUUUACAUUUUAACACUCCCUUCUAAAGUGCUAGCUGAUUUCACUCCAAGCAUUCUCCUCAAAUAGUCAAACCUGUCUUUGGGAAGAGCUUUGGUGAAGAUAUCAGCAAUCUGCUCUUCUCCUUUGCAGUAGAGCAGUUCAAUCACUUCUUCUUGUAUUGCAUCUCUAAUAAAAUGAAACUUCCUUUUAAUAUGCUUGCUCCGUUGAUGAAAAACAGGAUUUUUAGCCAUUGCUAUGGCUGAAGUGUUGUCACAAAACACAGUUGUUGCAGUGGUCUGUUCUUCCCCAAAAUCUUCAAGAACAAACCUGAGCCAAAUGGCUUGUGAUGUAGCUUCUGCUGCACUCACAUACUCUGCCUCUGCAGUAGAGAGAGCCACACUGUGUUGUUUGACUGAUGCCCAUGAAAAAGCACCACUUCCAAAUGAAAAUGCAUAUCCAGAAGUGCUUUUCAUAUCUUCCUCAGAUCCACUCCAGUCACUGUCACAGUAACCAACUAAGAGUGCAGAUUUUCCUGUCACAUACUCAAUUCCAUAGUCAAUUGUGCCUUGUAUGUACCUUAGAACCCUUUUAGCUGCCCCAUAGUGCAUCUUAGAAGGGUUAUGCAUGAAUCUUGCAAGCAGGCAGGCAGAGAACAUGAUAUCUGGCCUGGUUGCAGUAAGGUACAGCAGGCUGCCUACAAUUUUUCUGAACAAACUUUCAUCUGCAGCAUCACUUCCAUCCUCUCUUUUCAAUUUAUCAGUAGCCACUAAUGGAGUGCUUACUGACUUGCAGUCUUUGAGUCCAAACUUAUCCAAGAGAGUGAGAGCAUACUUCUUUUGAUGAAUGAAGAUGCUCCCUUCAGUUUGUGUUACUCCCAUACCAAGAAAAUGGUGGAGUAAACCCAAAUCAGACAUCUCAUACUUGCACAUCAUUUCAGCUUUGAAUUCUUUCAUCAUUUCAUCUCUACUUCCUGUGUACACUACGUCAUCUACAUAGAUUGACACUAUUAGUGUUCCCACCUUCCUUUGUUCUCACAUAGAGAGUGGCUUCACUUGGACUUCUGUGAAAACCACACUGAUUCGAGUAGGUGUCAAUUUCACUAUACCAGGCCCUUGGAGCCUGCUUCAACCCAUAGAGGGCUUUUCUUAACCUAUACACCUUAUCCUCAUCAUCUUUAACCACAAAACCAUCCGGUUGAUCAAUAUAAACUUCUUCUUCAAGGACACCAUUUAGGAAGGCUGACUUGACAUCCAAUUGCCAUAGUUUCCAGCCUUUCUGAGCAGCAAGAGCUAUGAGAGUUCUAAUGGUGUCUAACCUUGCUACAGGAGCAAAGGUUUCAUUGAAAUCAAUCCCUGGUUUUUGUGUGUAUCCCUUGGCAACAAGUCUUGCUUUAUGUUUUUGAAUGGAGCCAUCAAGAUUAAGCUUAAUUUUGAAUAUCCACUUCACUCCCACAAUUGGUUUACUACUUGGCCUGUCAACCAAUUCCCAACUGGAGUUUUUCUCUAUCAUAAGUAUCUCCUCAGUCAUAGCCUUCCCCCAAGCUUCAUCUUUGACUGCUUCUUCAAAAUUUUCAGGUUCAAUGAUGCUCAUCUUGCAUUGAGCAUACACUUCACUCAAACUCUUCCAUUUCUUUGGGGUGUUAUCAUAAGUUUCUAAUGGAGCAGAGUCUUGAGUAGCAUGCACAUCAUUACUUGUUUGUGUUUCCAUAGGAGACUGUACAAUCUGUUGCUGUAACAGAUUUGGUUAUGAAUCCAAAUCUGAUACAAUUGAACUUACUCCAUCACCCCAAGACAUAGGGAUUUGCAAUGCCUCAUUGGUUUCCCAAUUCCACAUUGCUUCUUCAUCAAAAAUAACACUCCUAGACAGCUCAAUCUUUUGAGUUCUCAAGUUGAGCACUCUAUACCCCUUUUCACAUACACCAUAUCUUACAAAUACUCCCUUCUCACCUGUGUCUUCCAGCUUGUGCCUUUUCUGUGUGGGGAUGUGAAUAUAGCAUAGAGAACCAAAUAUUCUCAAAUGCUUGACACCUGGUUUUCUUCCACCGAACUUUUCAAAUGGAGUGGAAUUGUCCAGUGCACUUGUAGGACAUCUGUUCUGCAAAUAUACAGCUGUAUUGACAGCUUCUGCCCAAAACUUCAAAGGGAUUUUCUUCUCAUACAUCAUGGCUCUUGCCAUUUCCAUCACAGUACGAUUCUUUCUCUCUGUAACUCCAUUCUGUUGUGGAGAGUAGCCUACUGNNNNNNNNNNNNNNNNNNNNNNNNNNNNNNNNNNNNNNNNNNNNNNNNNNNNNNNNNNNNNNNNNNNNNNNNNNNNNNNNNNNNNNNNNNNNNNNNNNNNNNNNNNNNNNNNNNNNNNNNNNNNNNNNNNNNNNNNNNNNNNNNNNNNNNNNNNNNNNNNNNNNNNNNNNNNNNNNNNNNNNNNNNNGGUGUGGUCAUCAAUGAAGGUGAGGAAAUAUCUGUUCCCUCCAAGAGUGAUGGUCUGCAUUGGACCACAAAUGUCUGAGUGAAUCAGUUCUAGAGGUUGAGUGGCUCUCCAAGCUCCUUCCUUAUCAAAAGAGCUUCUGUGAUUCUUGCUUUCAGCACAACCUGAGCAGACCUUCUCAUGUUCUUGUAAAUUAGGCAUUCCCUGAACCAUAUCUCUCUCUUGUAACAACUUCAAACUAAUAUAGUUUAGGUGCCCAAAUCUUCUGUGCCACAGCCAGGAUGUUUCUCCAACUGUUGCUCUGUUUGCCAUAGGAGGAUUAACAUAGUCAAGAUUUAAAGGAAAACAUUUGUUUCCCUUCAUUGGCACUCUUGCAAUGCAAUCUUCCAACUGCCUAUCUCCAUAGAUAUCAACUGCAUUAUCACCAAAUACAAGCCAAUGCCCAUGUUCUAUCAUUUGACCUACACUUAGCAAAUUUUCAUCUAAACUUGGUACAAUCAUGAUUUCUUUGAUAUAUCUAGUCACACCCUUCAUUUCUAUAGCCAAAGUCCCUUUGCCUAUUAACUGCACUAGAUCACCAGUCCCCAUUUUGACUUUACUCUUCAUACUUUUAUCAACAUUUACAAGUAAUGACUCAUGGGAAGUCAUGUGAUUGCUGCAUGCACUAUCAACAUACCACAUAUUCACAUUCUUUCCAAUUGUUGCAGCAUGACAUGCAUAGAACAUAAUGGCAGGUUCAGUUACCUGAUUUGCAAUGUUAGCAAGUUUCCCUGCCUUGUUUGCUUGGUCACAGUCCUUAACAAAAUGACCAAAUCGAUUGCAGCCAUGACACUUUGGUUUUCCUUUAAACCAACACUCACCAUAGUGUAACUUCUCACAAUGUUUGCAUUUUCCAGAUUUGUCUCCUUGACUUGGUUUUCCCCCUUGAUUGGCACUGUUUUGGGGUUUAGAAUCCCAUUUCUUAUCCUUGGACUUCCAAUUCUUCUUUGAUUUAUUAGAGCCAGAACUAGAACUUGAUUGAGAUCCUUUUGAGUUUAUGCUCAUGCUGCUGAAAGCUUUCUCAGUGGUGCUUUCUGCAUGUCUGUCAAGGCGCUGAGCAAAACCUCUUAAUGCUGCAAUUACCUCCUGCACUUCAAUGGUUUCAAUGUCUCUAGUUUGCUCAAUCACAUAGCAGACUGGAUCAAAUUCCUUGGUUAAGCUUAUUAGCAGUUUUUGAACUAUCCUCCCUUUGGUCAGAUCUUCCCCAUAUCCCUUCAUCUGAUUUACAAGCUCAAGUAACCGAGUGAUGUAUCCAGACAAGAUCUCAUCAUCCUUCAUCCUGGUGUACUCAAAAUCUCGACGCAGACCCUGCAACAUGAUGGAUCUGACUUGCUUAUCACCAUGAAACUCCUGAUGCAAGAUAUCCCAAACACCUUUUGAGGUUUCUUCAUUUGAGAUUCUGGGAAAGAUGUCAUCUGAAACAGCACCUUGGAUAAUACCAAGAGCCUUAGCAUCUUUCAUCAACAAGGACACCAUCUCUGAAUCUGAUGACCCUUCUUUAUCAGCUUUUGAAUCUGGAACUUGAAGGCCUUUCUCAACCAAAUUCCAGAUUCCAUGAGAUUUGAAAAUUGUUCUCAUUCGAAUCUUCCAAAACUCAUAGUUCUCCCCAUUGAAUAUUGGAGCUCUAAGAUCACUCCCUCCUGACCCAGCCAUCUGAGACCAGACUCAAUGAGUUGAGAGUAGGAAAUUUCCCGUUGGAUUUCCAGACUCAGCUCCCACAGCUUCAACGCCCUCUAUCCAGAUCCAACCUGCGCACCUGAUACCAUGUUGAAUAUUUGGAUUGCAAAGGGAGCAAGAAAUGUACUGAGAGAGAGAGAGAGAGAGAGAGAGAGAGAGAGAGAGCAGUGAGCCUUAGAUUGUUCUAACAGUUUUCUUACUCUGCAUGAACAUAGCAGCAGAGCUUAUAUUCCUUCAUGACUGUUACAUGUUCUCUCUUACAUCAGUAGAUUCAAAUCUAACGGUUUGUAAUAGUAAGCCAAUGUGAGUAUGACACAUGGCAAUACACAGCUGUCCUAACAGCUGGGAAUUCAAAACAGACUCUAGCAUUGCACCUGGCAUAUAAGCACAAGGCACUCAGCUAACACAAAGAUUAAAAACAGAUUGAAUAUAAACUGACAUAGAACUUACUAACUAAUCUGAAAUUAGCUAGACAGUUCACAUUUUAACAUUCUUAUGGUCGGCAGGGACAAGAAUUCCAGGGCUGCUCAACUUGAAUACACCUGAUGAACCAGUGAGGGGUGUGUUUCUUUUAGUCUGCACUAUAUAUGCAGGGUCUGACUCUAAUUAGAAGAUAAUUGUAUUAAUUUGGUAAAGCUUUGUCUGUAACUGUCUCGCACCUUAAAAAAAUUUCACAAUUAGCAGCAUUGGCAAUACUUGAUUAGAAAGCAGAAACCCUACAGUAUAUAGUUAAGUUGAGUAGCUGGGAAGACAAUUAGUAAGCUUUCAAUACUAAAGUUGAAUAUUGGGGAGACAAAUUACUAGAGCUUCAAGUUCAGAUAAAUAGGAUGAAUUUCUCUUAAGGGAUCCCCUUUCACUGUAGCUUGGAGUAGAAUUCAUUUUGACACAAUAUCAAUUAUCAAUGUAAACACGUUACUGAUGCACUAUUGACAAUAUCGAUGCACGUCAUAUCAUAUUUGUGGGAGUAAAUUUCCUCACGAGAAUAUUUGGUUCAAAAGAUUCCCCUUUUUUUUUUUUUUGCCGCCUCUUUCUCCUUGCAAAAUAGAACAAAUAAGAGGACCACACCCGGGGGGUGUUGGCCAAAGGCCCUCCGAUGCUAAAUUAGUUCAAGUAUUUGUAAGAAAAAUACUAGCUAACUAGGGUACAGAGGUGUAUUUAAGGUGUAAACCGGGCAGCCGAAGUCUUAUGUAAAAGAGAGAGAGAAAGGAGGUGGCUAGCGUUUGAGAGGAAUUUUCUGCAGAGUUUUUAGUAGAGAUUUCAGACGUACCUCAACCAUUGUGUGUGGCCAUCUUUUUAUAGUGGUCUUGGAGGCUAGGGUUUCAGAGGAAUAAUUCCGUAGAUGGAAAGGAAUUAUUCCUCCCCUAUUUGGAAUUGAUUUGAUUAAUUAGGGAUUUGAUUUAUUAGGGUAAAUCAAAUCCCUAAUUGUGGUAGGUAUCAAAUCAAAUCCUUUUUUAAUUAGGUAACUCCUCAUUUAAUUGGGAAUUGUGGUAGGAAUCAAAUCAAUUCUCAACCUAAUUAGGUAACGUUCAAUUUAAUUGGGUAAUUCCCAAUUAAAUUGAGUAACUCCCAAUUAGGUUGAUUAAUUCCCAAUUAGAUCAAAUAAUCCCCUAAUUGAAGGAAUUAUUUGACCUAGGGUCUGAUUUAAUUCGAUUCCCACAAAUGCCCCCCAGCUUCUGCAUGGUGCAUGGUGGCACGUAGGAGAUGUAAAUUAUCUGUUGGGCUGUCCAGCUGUAACUGGGCUUCCUUCGUGGACCUGGGCUCCCGAGUAGAGGAGGUGUUUGACUUGCCAAUUUUAUGAACACCCAAUUGGAAAGGGUUUGAGAUUCCUUGUAGGUCAAGGAAUUUUGCUCCUUAUAAAUGUAGGGCUCCUCCAAAUUAUUCUCGACAUCAGAAAUCUACUCCUCCAAAUUUGUUAGUGAGAGAGAGAAGACUUUGGAGAAUUUUUCAGCGUGCUUGAGACUUCAUCUUUGCAGCCCAUCCAAGGUAAUUUGAUAGGAAGAAUUUUAUUUUGAGUUGCUAUGACUUUUGGCAGCAAGCUGUGAGACUAAGGGCAUGUCUUGAGGUGCGCGCUAGGGCUUUAGGCAUGGCAAGAGACUCGGAAAGGCUAGCAGGUUCGUUUCCACCUACGCUGGGCUCAAGGAGAAGGCAACAGGGCUUCAGGCCUUGUGGAUGAAGUGGGCUUUCGCUGGGAGCAAGAGGCCUGGAGCUGAGGCAAGGAGACAAUGGGCCUGGUACGAGGUGUGGGCUGAGCAUGCCAGCUUUGGAGCAAGGGGGCCAGGACGACUGCUGGGCAGGAGGUGCGCUGGGCUGCAUGCGCGAGCUGCGCCGAGUGCUGGCUGGAGGAGCGAGCUGGGCUGCGCGCUAGGCCAUUCAUGCUGGGCUACUUCCGUUUUUUUUUUGUUUUUUUUUAAAUUUUAUUUGCUGUUGCUGCUUUUUUUUUUGUUUUUUUGUUUUUUUUUUGUUUGGUAUUCUAACUCGUAAUUUUUUUUUUCUUCUUACAGCUACUUGUUGAUCAACCAUGUCUUCCGGAGAUGGUAGCAAGGCUCCAAGCUCUUAGGUCCUUUUGUAUUUAUGGGGAGGCUCCAUAGUGCAUGGCAAGAAGUUUGUGGUCAACUUGCAUCGCGUCACGACUUAUGCUCAGUUCCAGAAGUGGCGGGCCACUUAUGCGUCUGCCAUUCCAGAUGACGUGCUGGUCAAGCUAUUGAAAUCUCAAACUGAUAACGAGCCUUUGGUGGACGUGAGUGAUCAUGAUGCUAGGAUCAUUACCUUCCGUCCUUUUUACUUCUCUUUAGGCUUCAAAUUCCCGUUGUCAAAGCUCUUCAAGAAGGUGUUCUGUGCCAUGGGGUGUGCUCCGAGCCACUGUACUCAUGUGCUUCAAGAAUUUGAGUCGUUUCUUCAUGUUGGAGCUGACGAUGCGAGAGUUCUUUUAUUUUUUUCGAAGUGAGGCACUUUGAGCGGUACGCCCAAGUUCGUAUCUACAAGGCCAAGCUGUUCCACGGUCUCAGUCAAGGAGAUCACGCUUGACAUGAAGAUGUGUUGGAGGUCAGCAGACGGUGGGAGGGUGACGUCGGUGACGGCCCACCUGUUCCCAUCACCUAUUGUGAUGGUAUGUCUCUUUACGAUUUUUGAUAUGCUCCUUUUAUUUGAAUUUCUUGAAGUGUGGCAGACUAACUUCUAUCUUCUGCUCGUAGUGAGUGACAUUAGCAAGCAAUUGGAGCUCCGACCAGACAUGGCUAAGGUCCGUCGUGCUUUGAACAUCCCUCUAAGGUUUCACGAGUGGCGCUGGCUGUUGAGUGAGUACCGGGAGGAAGACGGUGGUUUUCUCCUUGCCGAGGAUGUCGAAAGGUGGAAGCAGAACGAUCCUGACCCUGAUGAUCUGCUUGGCAGACAGGAAGAAUGUUCUGCUUAAUCGCUCUUAAAGAGAAAGGCUGCUGCCAAAUCUUUGAGAUGUGAAGCUACUUCUUCGCAUGCAAAGGAUGGGUCUCCAUCGAGGAAGAAACCAAGGCUCCCUUCUGCUGAGAAGACUCAAGUGGGGUCUGCUCCCUCAUCAUCUGCCAGGGUUAAGCAUCUCGUGGGUGCAGAUAGCAAGAAGGUUGGUGGUAUGCAUGGUACUCGGGGUGUUCUGCCCAAGCUUCCUGCUGACACGCUCGAAAACCAUGAUAUACUUCGUGAAGUGGCUCGUGCCCAACCUAGUUCUGCCAAGCGUCAAAGAGAUGUAGACAUUCCUCCUAGAAGUUCGAGUUGUCUGCAUCGGUCAAAAGAUGGAGACCGAAGCGGGAGGUCUGCUUAUGAUCCAGCAUUAUUGACUCAUUUGGAGAUGAGGUUGGCGAAGGCUAAGAAGGUGAAAGAGUCAUCUGCCCGGGUUAAGGGUUCUUCCUCGGCGUUGGUAGUUGGUCCCAAGAUGAACAAGUCUAGCUCUGUAGGGGAUGCAUGCGUAUCUGAUCUGCUCAAGAUGAACUUCCUAUCAAACCCGUCCUCUUGUGUUGAGUUGGUUGAUCACAUCCCUCAAGCGGGCGAUCUAGGCACUUUCUCGUGCCUUUCCUUAGAAAAAUGAAGGAAAAUGACAUUCCAUCUGAUUCAAAAAGGACUGGUUUUUGCUACUGAGACUAUUUGGAACUCAUCUGCUAUUGCCCCUCUUCUGUCCAACUCAGCGAGUUGGAGAAGAAGAAUGCUGAUUGGCUAGACAGCUUUCCGCCGAGCAGGCCCGUUACGAGAAGAAGAUGUCUGAUUUGAGGGCGAUGAUAUCUGAGCUGAAAAGCUCCCUUACCGAGAAGGAUUUCGAGCUCAACUCUUCUGCUGCUGAUUUGGCUAGUCGAAAAGAUACCUUCUUUCGUCUUGAGCAUAAGAAUGCUGACAUCUUCCUUAGCUAUAACAAACUCCUGGCUAGAUUUCAUGCCUACCAUAAGUCUGCUAAAGAAUCCAAGACAGAUGGAGCUGCUGAAGGCGUAGCCGGUCAGGUGGAUGCCGAAGAGGCUGCAGCUUAAAAGUCUUCUGCUGGCGUCUCAGAGUAGAUGAAGACUCUUUUUUGUUUCUUUUCAGCUUUUGUAGUUUGCUUUAUUGUUUAGAAUAACUGGUCUUAUUUGACCAUCUUCUUUUUGUUGAACUUGGCUGGUUGGUCUGUUUGUUAGGGAAAUUUCAGUUACAUUUUCCAACUUCAAUUUGCAUAUUUGACUUGUGAACUGCUUAAGUAACCAGCCUGUGUUUUGAUUGCACAUCCCCCUUUAGAGAUUUGUGAGUACCAGGGUCCCCCUUGGAGGACUCCGGCCAUGCACAGUAUAUCUCGUAGGAUGGUUCCCCUUAGGAAGUUGGCGAGUACCAGGGUCCUCUUUGAGAGACUCCGGGUGUGUUCUGCACAUCCCGUAUGAUGCCUUAAUCGUCGCCUUGCUUCUCCCGUAGGACGCUGCUUAUAGGCAACUAUAUGACUAUCCUGCCUUUCUUAGGAAACGGAUAGGAACCUGGAUAUUUCCCGCAUGAAGCAUGGAGACCUCCUUUUAAGAAAUUUUUGGUGCACCAUGCUUCUCCCUUAGGACGCUUUUUUCGCAGGCUGGGUCUCCAAAUGGACGCUUUUAGUCGUUGCCCUGCGUCUCCCUUAGGACGCUCCUUAUGGGCAACUGUGUGACUAUCCUGCCUCCCUUAGGAAAUGGAUAAGACUUGAAUAUUUCCCGCAGUAAGCAUGGCGACCCCCUUUUAAGAAACUCCUGGCGUACCCUGCAUCUCCCUUAGGAUGCUUUUUAAGAGGGCUGCUUCUCCAAACGGACGCUUUUAGUCGUUGCCUAUGUCUCCCCUAGGAUGCUCCUUAUGGGCAACUGUGUGACUAUCCUGCCUCCCUUAGGAAACAGAUAGGAAACUAGAUAUCUCCCUUAGGAAAUUCCUAGCGCACCUUGCGUCUCCCGAAGGACGCUUUUUUAGCUGGCUACGUCCCGAAACGGACACUUUUAGUCGUCGCCCUGCGUCUCCCUUAGAAUGCGCCUUAUAGGCAACUGUGUGACUAUCCUGCCUCCCUUAGGAAACGGAUAGGAACCUGGAUAUCUCUCUUAGGAAAUUCCUGGGGCACCUUGCGUCUCCCGAAGGACGCUGCUUAUGGGAAAAUAUUGUGUUUCGUGGGCAGAUGAGACAUUUUGGAAUGAGAAACUGAACUUAUAUUGAUAUUCAUAAGAUUACAGUCCUUUAUUUGAAAAUGGAAAUAACUUGGUUCAAAAACUUAGAACUUCUAGCAGCUACGAGGAAGCACUAUGGAUAAUACUUUCGGAGAUGGUGAGCAUUCCAUUGUCGUGGUAUUUCCUUCCUAUCCAUGGUGUCCAGUGUGUUGCUUCCUCUGCCCCGGACCUGCUGAUCACAUAAACGCCCUCCCAGUUAGGAUUCACUUUUUUUGACCCGUGUCUUGGUGCAGUAAUGAAAGCCUUAGCACGAGGUCGCCUGGUUGAAACUGUUUGACCUUAGCUCUUUUGUCGUAGUAAGACUUCAACUGCUAGUGAUAGGAGGCGACCCGAAUAAUGGUCUUCUCACGCCUGCCCUCAAGUAAGUUGAGGUUGAGCCUCAUCUGCUCGGAGUUCUGAUCAACACUGCCUACCUUAAGACUUAUAGAGAGGACAGUGAUGUGAGGUGGUAUGAUCACUUCUGUUCCAUAGGCGAGAGAGAAUGGGGUUUCACCAGUCGAUCUUCGCUUGGUGGUGUGAUAAACCCAUGGUACUCUGGGGAGUUCAUCCACUCAUUUCCCUUCAGCGCCUUCCAGCCUUUUCUUUAAGCAGUCCAAUAUGACUUUGUUGGAUGCCUUGGCUUGUCCAUUUCCUUGUGGAUACCUCGGGGUGGACAAGUGUUGUUUGAUCUUGUAUUUCACAAAAAAAGCGGUGAUCUGCUUGCCAAUGAACUGUGAGCCAUUGUCGGUAACCAACGACUGUGGGCAGCCAAACCGGCAUAUGAUGUUUCUCCAGAUGAAUCACUCCACAUCGGCUUCUUUAGUAAAUGAUAGAGCUUCGGCCUCGAUUCAUUUAGUAAAGUAGUCGGUGGGGACGAUCAUCAUUUCUUUCUUGGCGGGCGCUAGUGGCAAGGGAUCCACUAGGUCGAUGGCCCAUUGCAUGAACAGCCAUGGACUGUUUUGCGGAUGAUAGACUUCGGCAGGCAAGUUAGGGAUCGGCUUGUAUUGCUGACAGCGUCACAUUUCUUGGCACAUUCAGCACAGUCGUGACGUAUGGUAGGCCAGAAGUAGCCUAUGUUUAGAACUUUCUGGGCGAGUGACCUGCCCCAGAAUGGUUGCCAUACUCGUCGUCGUGAAUUUUACAGAUAAUCUCAAGUGUUUGAUGGUACUUUAUGCAGGUGAGAUGAAGGCCGGAGUAUGAUCUGUGGAUGAGCUUGUUGCCGUGCAUGUAGUAUCUCUCGGCCUUUUGCUGGACUUUUCUAGCUUCGGACUUGUCCGUUGGCAGGUUUCCAUUCGUGAAAUAGUCGAUGAUGAGGUCUUGCUAGCUGGGGUCCUCGUCAAUCUGCAUGGUAUUAAUCGGCUCUAUUUCUUCAAUGCUUGGUCGGUCAAGGUGUUCGACCUAGAUGGAGUGUUUGAACUGGGUAUCCAGCGUUGAACCUUGGCUUGCCAGUGCGUCUGCAUGCGCGUUCUUUGCCCGGGACACUUGUUGGAUAGUGAAGGUAGGAAAUGCCUUCAACAGCUCUUGGACUCUAUCAAGGUAUAAGAUCAUCCUUGGGUGCUUUGCCAUAUAUUCACCUGAGGCUUGAUUCGUGAUCAACUGUGAGUUUGAGUAGAUGGCUAGCUUUUUGAUUGCGAGCUCCUUUGCCAAGCGUAAGUCGGCGAGUAAUGCCUCGUAUUCUACCUCGUUGUUCGAGACCGAGAAGCCAAGCGUAAUAGCUUGCUCUAACAGGGUUCUAUCCAGGGUGGUGAUAACGACCCCUGCUCCAGCUCCUUUUUGGUUCGACGCUCCGUCUACACGCAACUGCCACAUGUCUCUGGGAUGGCUUGGUUCUGCGGAGGUCCUGUCUGCUUUUGAACUUCCCUCCUUUUGGUUGACUAACUUCUCUUUUUUGGCUGAUGGGGUGAAUUCUGCGACGAAGUAUGCUAAAGCCUGGGCUUUUAUUGCAGUUUUUGGCCCGUAGAGGAGGUCAUAUUGGCUUAGCUCUAUAGCCCACUUCAUGAGUCGCUGAGAAGCAUCAGGGCUGUGGAGGAUUGAUCUCAAAAGAAAGUCAGUCAUGACUAUGACUCGAUGAGCUUAGUAGUAGGGUCGCAGCUUUCUCGCAGAAACUACAAGAGCCAAAAUAAGUUUCUCCAAUUUCGGGUAACGAGUCUCUGCAUCGAGGAGAGCUUUUGACGUGUAGAAUACCGGAUAUUGGGCCCCUAUCUCUUCUCGGAUGAGAGCUGAACUGACAGCUGAGUUGGACUUACCUCACUAGGGACUGGAUUUGAGAGCAUGGAAGGUGAGGUGAGGUAAGUCUUCAGAUUAUGGAAAGCUACUUUGCAGUCCUCAUCCCAUUUCUCUCUUUGUCCUUUCUUCAAAGCUUUGAAGAGUGGUCUGCACUUGUCGGUUGAUCUCGAGAGGAAUCGGUUGAGAACCGCUGCUUUGUCCGUCAGACUUUAUAUCUCUUUCACCGUGGAAGGCGACUUCAUCUCUAGAAUGGCUUUGAUUUGACGUGGAUGUGCCUCGACACCUCGUUGCGUGGCUAGGUAUCCCAAGAAUCGGCCGGAGGAUACACCAAACAGGCAUUUACUUGGAUUCAACUUCAUGCGAUACUGGCGGAGCAAGCUGAAUGAUUGGGUAAGACUUCCGAUGUGAUCUGCACGUUUUGGGGCUUUGACCAGCAUGUCAUCCACGUAGACCUUCAUAGUUUUGCCGAUCUGCUUAUUGAAGAUUUUAUUCCCGAGCCUUUGAUAGGUUGCUUUGGCGUUCUUCAGCCCAAAGGGCAUGACCUUAUAGCAGCAGGUCCCUCUCUCGAUGAUGAAAAAAGUUUUUGCCUUGUCAUCCUCGUGCAUCAGGAUUUGUUUAUAGCUGGACUAGGCGUCCAUGAAGCUAAGCAGUUGAUUGCCAGAAGUGGAAUCCACGAGUUGGUCGAUUCUCGGCAAUGAGAAGUUGUCUUUAGGGCAUGCUUUGUUGAGGUCUGUGUAAUCGACACAAACUCUCCAUUUGCCAUUUUCUUGUUUUGCCACCAAAACAACGUUGGCAAGCCACUCUGAGUAGGAGGCCUCUUCGAUGAAGCCGACAGCUAGGAGUUUGUCAAUCUCGGCCUCGAUGAUAGCAAGUCGCUGGGGUGCGAAGUUGCGUCUCUUCUGCGCCACUGGCUUGCAGGCAGGGUUGAAGUGGAGUCAGUGACAGAUGAUGUUCUUGUCGAUGCCAGACUUGUCUGACGGCAACCAUGCGAACAUGUCUCUGUUGCUCUGGAGGAAGGUGGUAAGCUCCACAUUCUCUUCUGGCCUUAGGCGCGAACCGAUCCACUCUUUCCUAUCUGGUUGGUCAGGAUCCAAGGGUAUUAACUCGACGUCCUCCUUGGGUUUCCAUCCUUCUUCAGGAAAGACCUAUGGACGGAUUUCCUCGACUUGGUCCUGACGCUUUAAUUGCUAUAAGAUAGCAAGAUCCAGUUGCUCAACCUCCUCCAGAUCUGCCUGGCUCACAGGGAGAAACUGCGCUUGUUUACCUUUCUUUAGCCCUUGGGCGGAGCAUUUCCUCGCCAUUGCCUAAUCGUUGUUGAUUUGGCCGACACCGCCCCCAAGGAUUGGGUACCGAAUUUUCUAAUGUGUGGCGGAGGUGAUUGCAUUAAUUUUGCCAAUCGAUGGUCUGCCCAGAAUGCCGUUGUAGGGUAAGACCUUAUUAAUGACCAUGAAGGUUAUGAGCUGAUUAUAAGUGGGGAGUAGACGUCGAGGUCUAUCAUGCCCACGGUAACCGUUGUUGCACCAUUAAAAUCGCUCAGCAACCUAGCUAAUUUGUAAAUCUUUGUCUCCAAUCCCAUCUGUUGAAUGACCUCCAGUUGCAGGAUAUUGGCUGCGCUGCCCUCGUCUGUGUGGAUUCAGUCUACCAUGACCUGAGCAAUUUGAAUGCUGAUGACAAGGGCUUCGUUAUGUGGCAUGUAGAGGCCGAUCAGAUCUUUCUUUUGGAAGCCGAUUACAGGAUCGUCUUCUGCUGGUGGAAGGUCGGUCGAGAUUUGGGAGAUCACAGUGGUCUGUUUGAUCUUCCUCUUUUUUUCCUUUCUGGUCAGCCCAGACUCCUCGGAGUCAGCUAGGAUUGUGUUAAUUCUUAUGACCUUCUGAGGCGGCUCCUUGGCGAUGUCACGAUCUUCUAUCCGCUGGAUGACCUUCUUUGCAAUGAAUUCUGUGCAGUGACCUUCUCUCACGAGUUCUUCAAGAUGUGCUUUCCAAGCGAAGCAGUUGUUCAUAGUGUGUCCGUGCAUUUCAUGGACGGCACAGUAUUUGCUAGUAUUCCUUUUGUCCGGAUCUUCUUUCAAGGGUGGUGGUCUUCUUACCCAAGGUUGUUCUUCACUUGGGCUAAGAUUUGAUGUAUGGAGAUGGUGAACUUGGUGUAGUUCUCUCCUGCCGUAGCAUCCCCUUAUGGGUGCGACCUGCGCUUGUCCUUGUCCCUGUUGCUAAAUCCGUCGCUUCUUUGGCCUGCCCCCUUAGUCGGCUGAUCUUCCUGCUUAGUAGAGUUCUUUGCGGCGAUUCGAUCGUCAUCCCAAAGCGCAUAGCUUUCCGCGGUCUCGUAGACCUCUGCCAAAGUUUGGCUGGGAGUGAUGGUCAGCUCGUGGUACAAGUCGUGCUCAGUCGAAAGGUCUUUCUUGAAAGCAGAGGACGCAAUUUGGUCAUCACAUCCUACAAUGUUGGCCUUUUCUACUUUGAAUCUCUUGAUGUAAUCUCUAAAGGAUUCGUCGAACUUCUUGCGCAGGUUAUACAGGUGGUCAGGGUUCUUCUUGAUUGUUCGGUAAGAGGUGUAUUCUUUGGUGAAUAAGUAAGUCAGCUCCUUGAAGCUGCUGAUCGACCUGGAUGGCAGAGUAUGGAACGAGUCUUGGGCUUCCUCACAAGGUCAUUGCAAACACCUUGCACAUCAGCGCGUCGUCAACCUUGUGGAGGAUCAUGACACUUUUGAAGUGUUUUAGAUGGCUCUCAGGAUCGGAAUCCCCCUUGAAGUGUGUGAAUGUGGGCGUUGAGAAUCGCUUCAGGAGAGCAGCCUGCUCGAUUUUGGCAGUGAAAGGUGUAGAGUAUGCCUGGUCUACCUCAUUUCGUACAUCUUCGAAAUUUCCACCGGUCUUCAAGUCUCGAAGUUGGUCAUUCACAAGCUUCUCUACGUCUUCCGCACACAUUGCUUGUCGGCCACAUUGGCGACCUUCACGAAUUGUUCGAUGCUGACUGACUUCCUCGUUGAUUUCCGAGGAUCGACCUUCUUGUCUGCAUUGCCUAGGUGGAGUGUUGGUGGAUUGCGCCUACGAAAGAUUCUCUGUGGCUUGUCAAUGAGAAUCGGUUCUUCGAGAGUGAGUAACGAAGUGCCUUUCCUCAUGGUCCUUAUUGUGAGGGUUAUCCAGCUGACCUCCCUGGGGCCUAGCCUUUCCUGAAUGCUUCUCUGCGAGUAGACAGUUGAAUGCUUUUCUUCACGAUCCUCGUUGUGAUGGUUGUUUGGCUGACCUCCUUAGGGUCUUAGCCUUUGAUGUACAUUUCCCUGCCUGCCCAAGUAGGUGCGGACGUCGAGUCGUGGGCCCAGCCUUUCGUGCACGUCGUUCCUUAAACUCAAUCUGCUCUGAGUGUGGCUUGCAGAUGCUUGCGACAUGUCGGCAGGUCGAUCACGUUGUUGUCCCUCGACUUGUCUGCCCACUCUUGCUUGACCUGCUUGGUACUCGUUGAGCUGUCUACCGGCCCGUUCAUCCUUCCUUCUUUCCUCGCCUGGUUGUCCAAGGCCAAGGUUUUGAGCAAAGCUUAUUUGGUUGAGGAGCUGCCUCAUUAGAUUGUUUUGGUCGUCCAUUCUUUAAGCUAGCUGGUCAACUCUCAGAUUAAGGUCUGCUUGAUUUCAUGGAUCAGGAGGAGAGAAGUGUGUGGAGCUCAACUGCACAUAGGCUAGGGUUUCAUUAGAGGUGUAUGCGGGAGCGUGUGUCGAGCGUGGAGGCAAUAGAGGGAAUGCUUGGAGUUGCUCCAAGACCGGCCCUAGGUCGGCGGUGGUAACGAGUCCACCUUGAUGGGAAGUUCCACCAUGUUUGGCGGCAGUGACCGAUGCAGUGGUGAGAGGUGGUGGUGCCACCAUGUCGAUCGCGGGAUCGUUGGUGGAGUGGCUUUGGGCCGUCGCAAAUCUAGCCAUCAUGGCGGCUUUGCCUCUCGUGUUCAUGCUUCCAACCAUGGUUGUUUGGAAGGCUUAGGUGGAUUGGAAAAUUAGAGGAACGGAUUCCUUGAGCACGCAUUGAGUAUAACUCGUGCUCUCAAUGAAAGCACCAAUUUGUGGGAGCAAAUUUCCCCACGAGAAUAUUCGGUUCGAAAGAUUCCCCUUUCUUAUUCGCCGCCUCUUUCUCCUCGCAAAAUAGAACAAAUAAGAGGACCACACCCGAGGGGUGUUGGCCAAAGGCCCUCCGAUGCCUAAAUUAGUUCAAGUAUUUGUAAGAAAAACACUAGCUAACUAGGGUAUGGAGAUGUGUUUAAGGUGUAAACCGGGCGGCCGGAACCUUAUGUAAAAGAGAGAGAGAAAUGAGGUGGCUAGGGUUUGAGAGGAAUUUUCUGCAGAGUUUUUAGUAGAGAUUUCAGACGUACCUCAACCAUUGUGUGUGGCCAUCUUUUUAUAGUGGUCUUGGAGGCUAGAGUUUCAGAGAAAUAAUUUCGUAGAUGGAAAGGAAUUAUUCCUCCCCUAUUUAGAAUUGAUUUGAUUAAUUACGGAUUUGAUUUAUUAGGGUAAAUCAAAUCCCUAAUUGUGGUAAGUAUCAAAUCAAAUCCUUUUUUAAUUAGGUAACUGCUCAUUUAAUUGACAAUUGUGGUAGGAAUCAAAUCAAUUCUCAACCUAAUUGGUAACGUUCAAUUUAAUUGGGUAAUUCCCAAUUAAAUUGAGUAACUCCCAAUUAGGUUGAUUAAUUCACACUUAGAUCAAAUAAUCCCCAAAUGGAAAGAAUUAUUUGACCUAAGGUAUGAUUUAAUUCGAUUCCCACAAUAUUUAGAUGCAUAAUUGAAUGCGAAUAAACAUCACUCUCUCCAGUGUGAAAUGGCGAAAAUUCUCUUCAAUCAAAAGUGGGCUUACUUCAAAUUUAGUUGAAGAAUGAUGGUGUGUCUUGCCUGACAAUUGACAAUUAGGUUUAGGAGCGUUCCUCUAGUAGAAAAAUCUAAAUCAUUUGUGGUCAUCCACUCACUUGGUUAGUCUUCCAGAAUCAAAUACCAAAUCAACCCAAAGGAAGCUGCAAUUUUCUGAAUUGUAUACUUGUUUUAAUUCUUCCUAUCUUUUUCUCUCUUUCAUUUUUUUUGUCUCCCUCAAGUUAAUACUUAAGUGAGUUGCCAAAUGGGGGUAAAAAAGAGAGUAGAAGAGAUGAACCCCACAUUUGACUUUAAUAGACAAAUGCCCAAGAGAAGUACCAGUAAGAGCAUCUCCAAUUGGGAGGUGCUAUCCUAUAAUUUGACACACAUUUCUUUUUUCUUUUUUUUCAAUUCUAACAACAUGUCAUCUAUAUCGCAAUAGGCCGUUGUAGUUAAAUUUUCAAAUAACCAAGUUGCUCUCUAUUUUCCAAAGAAGACUAGAAAACAACUUACCAUCUAUCUGGUGCUGCUUCUUCCAAACAUUAGAAAAAACAGAGCUACACCCAGGAGGAGCCCAGGAGAUGACACAAUACUGCCUACUAUGAUUCUUACUUUCUUCACAUUCAAUGAGACUAUAAAAUAUAACCCAAGUGGUCUAACCCCCCAGGGCGGAAAUUGGGUUUAGCAAGUUUAGCACUGAUUGUUGUAUAGUCUUAAACAGUCCUGAUCUCUUGGACCCCUGUAGUCCAAGAGAUUUAUGGUCACCCACCGUUGGAUGUAAAUUCAACGGUUGACUUGAAUCGGGUAAUAAUAAUUUAUGUCAUAUUGCAUUUAUAUAUAUCAUUUUGAACCAUUGGAUUAAUAUCCAACGGUGGGUGACCACAAUCUCUUGGACUCCUGUGGUCCAAGAGAUCGGGACUGUAGUCUUAAAAUAAGUAGUUUAGCGAGUGCAAACUUCGACUUAAAAAAACUCUCAUGUAUAGCCGCGCGGCUAUACUAUUUACAUAUAAAUAUAUAAAAAAGCACCCCCUAGUCACGUGUCACAAAUAGUAUAGUCGAAAACAGUAGAGCCGCGCGGCUAUACUGUUUUUAAAAUAAAAAAAACCAUAUUCGAUUCUCCUUAUAUUUAAAAGGGGUAUAGCCGCAUGGCGAUACUAAUUUUUUUUUUUCAAAAAAAGGGACCCCAGUACUCCUUUUAUAUAUUAUAAUAUAUUGUCUAAUAUUUGGAAUAUUUACUCUAAAAUAAACAAUAUAUUAGGUUCUUUUUGUCUACAAAUUGACCAUUAAACUUCUUAAUCACUCUUAUACUUUCAAUUAAAUCUACUAGGCUAGGUUAUGAUAUUUUCACUAAAAAACUCCUCCUUUUUUUCUUCUCUUUCUCUUCCUGUUUUGUUUAACUUAAGCUUAAGUUUUGUAAUUUUUUUUCCCGCCCUUUUUACAUGUUUGAGUAGGGUACUUUAAUAUUGGGAUUUAUGAACUUUUUUUGUAUUUCUUCUUUAUAUUGGAAUAUAAAUUAUUAACUUUUGAGUCUUUAAUAGUGUAGAUGAUGAGAUUAUUAUUCAACCAUUUUAUAAUAUGAAAUGAAGGACAAUCAUGAUUGUGAUGAAUGGAUUAUUAAUCAAUAUGAAAUGAUAUUAUGAAGUGGGCUAAAUCGAGUAGUUAGUAUCGUAUUGUUGAGACCCAAAAAAUCCAAGGCUAGGCCCAAAUAUAUUAUGAAGUGGGCUAAAUCGAGUAGUUAGUAUCGUAUUGUUGAGACCCAAAAAAUUCAAGGCUAGGCCCAAAUAUAUUUCCGGUCCAAUGCGAUACCUUACCGAGAAGAAACCUUAUUUGGGCACGCGAAAGUUCGUCAUAUGCUCUUGCACACAUGCCAUGCCAAGCAAAUAAGCAACAUGCCACGCUACAAGCUUAAGUGGGCCCAAGCCACGUGAAUGCCUAGGGCCUGCUGAGUGGGUUGUGGUAUGGAUGGUUAUGAGUAUUCACGAGGCCCAUUGAUGGUCUAAGGAGUGGAAGUUUUGGGCUACUUGGGAGCACCAAAACUCAAGCCCAUUCAUUGAGCCCAAACAUAUGGGUAAGCAUGAGAUAAAACCUAGUAGCCCAUCACCUUAAGAAAUCCUAAUAGCCCAUAACAUGUGAGAAAAUCCCACAUCAACCAAAGCUUCCAGCAGUCUGACGAAAUCAAAGGGAACUCACAAGCCGUUGGAAACAAAACAACCCAACACUGUAACACCCCGACCCCAAAUUUCCCCAAAUUUAACCCUUAUUUAAUUAUUUAAGGGUAUUUUAGUCAUAUUUUUAACCGGAGAGAGUUUGGGGCAAUGACUAGUAUUUUUGGAUAGGUCGUACUGAGACGAGUUUAUGGACACGCAGUGAGCUCGAAUCGGAGUUGUAACGAGAGAGAUAUGGUCAAAAGAAGCCCAGUGGCACAAUCGUAAAUAUUUUGAAAUGAGAUUUUUUAUAAAAAUCUGGUUUUCUCUCUCUCUCUCUCUCUCUCUCUCUCUCUCUCUCUCUCUCUCUCUCUCUCGCUAGCGACCUCUCUCUCUCUCCCCCGUCGGUCUCUCCCCUCUUUCUCCUCGUAACUCCGGCCACCGGCCCCGGCUGUGGACGGGGCCGGUACCAAAAUGACCGAGGCGUCGUCCUCUUCCUACCCCAGCCACCUCCCACCGCCAGCCGUCGCGGAUUCGCCGGAAUCUGGAGAUGAAGCGGCCUACGUCGUCCAAAUUUCAAAGCUGCCGAUCUCCCUCCUCCGGCCACCAAUUCCGUCGACCCAGGUAUGGAUUUUGAACUUCUCGAGCUGCUCUAGCUGAUGGUUGGGUAGGAUUAGAUCGAUUCUUAGCUUAGACAACUCGAUUUUCAAAUUGAAAAUCGGCCGAACUUCGGCUGCCGUGAUCGGCCAUUUCCGGCCACUUUUUGGGGUAGGUCCAAGAACAAAAGUGGCUCCAAAUAGGGUGUUAUACCUAGGGUAGGAGUUUGGAGCCGUGGUUUUGAGAUUUUCCGGCGAAGCGUUAUCGCUUUGGGCACCCACGCGCUGCCGGUGCGUGCGGCGGCGCGUGGGCACUGUAGAAAAAGUAGCACUGUGUUCCGAUGAGAUCCUUAGGUUGUCACGAGUGCGUAGGAUUUUGCGGAUCUCAAUUCGGACGUCGUUUGACUAUCGAACGGAUAUUCGCAUAUUGCGCGUUAUUCGGGUUCGAUAGGUUGGGACCGUUGGAUGGACCCAAAUUUAAUAUAUGUUAAUCUAAUUAAUUCUAGGAUCGUGUAGGAAUUCACGGAUUGUGAAUCGGAGCCCCGGAUGUUCCGAAUAAUAAUUUUAAAGUUUGUAUUUUAUAUUAAUUGUCAGAUCGUGCGAUCGUGAGCAAUCUGACCGUUCGAUCUGAACCAAACUUGCAGGACAAGUGUCCUAUACCUUGUAGAACCCAUAGGGACCUUCGGAUCGGAAAUUGGAGGUCGUGGGUUCCGCAAGUCGGUUUGACCAGGGUUAGAGAAGUUUGACCCUUGGUUGACCGUGAGUCUCCCGGAGUAAUCUCACCUUUCUAGGGGAGAUUAUCGGGUACUAGAUGAUUGUGGACACAAUAUUAGAAUUAAUUUAUAUAAUUAUAAUUAUAUAUGGUUGUACAAGGGUACAACAGAGUCUAGAAUGUCAGUUUGGAGUGCUAUACGCACUACUUUAGGUACCUCCCCGGAUGUUGGGAUUUACUACAAGUACCACCAAGUGAAAUUGAGGUCCCGCGUGGCGUAGGUUAUCCAGCGUUGGGAUAGGUCUCAUACGUGGGGUUGGUUGUACCGGCGUAUGGGGAGAUUUGUGAUAUUAUGUUCAGGUCUCACGUGGCGUAGGUUAUCCGGCGUUGAGACAGGCCCCAUACGUGGUGUUGGUUGUACCAGCGUAUGGGGAGCUAUGUGAUAUUGUGUUGAGGUCGCACGUGGCGUAGGUUAUCGGGCGUGUCGACAGACCCCAUACGUGGCGUUGGUUGUACCGGCGUAUGGGGAGAUUUGUGAUAUGAAAUUGAGGUCCCACGUGGCGUAGGUUAUCCGGCGUUGGGACAGGCCCCAUACGUGGCGUUGGUUGUACCGGCGUAUGGGGAAAUAUGUGAUAUGAUGGCAUGGUCGCACGUGGCAUAGGUUAUUCGGCUUGUUGACAGGCCCCAUACGUGGCGUUGGUUGUACCGGCGUAUGGGGAGAUUAUUUGAAAUGCAGAGAAACGAAAUAUGGUAUCGCCCAAAUGUGGAAUUGGGUUUUAGGGAAGAACUACGUGUGGCUUGAUCCCUCAAGGAGGGUACGUAGGCAGCCUAAGGUUAAUAGGUGCAGCCGCAGACUAAAUGUUAGUCAUAAUUGAUAUUUGAAUUGUUUGGUAGUUGGUUAAGAAUUAUUGGAAGGCCGAAGGCCAUUUGUGUGAAUUGCAUGAAAUUAUAUUGUGCAUGCUGCCAGUUGGGAAUAUUAAAUGCGUUUUUAUGCAGGUAUAAAUUUUAGGAAAUGUCCAAUUUAUAGGGGAGACUCUGCCGAAUUUUCGGCAGGAAGUCUCAGUUUUUAGUAUCUGGGCCUGGCAUCGGGAGGAUGUCGGGAAUUCCAAAGGGUCGUCUCGAGUUCUGAAAAAUUCGGUGCGGGUCCUUUCAAACACCUUAUAAAAUAUCCAACGCCGUGCAUCUCUGUUAAAACCAGAUCACAGCCAAACCACCAAAACCAUGCAAACCCAUAUGCUGAUCACCAUUUUUACUAGCACCCUUACCCAUUCUUUCCUCUUCAAGCUUUGGUGAGAAAACAAGAAACAAAAGUGGGCGGAUCUUCACCCACAUGGAGAAAUCCAGCUGCCUGAGGGCCCUGGAACUCCAAAAAACUUCUUACCUACAUGCUCAGGCUAGGGAAGUUUCACCAAAUAAGCAAGAAUGGAAGAAAGUGAAGGAAAAGGGGAAAGGGUGGCUUGACGAAAUUAAGGUUUUCAGCACUUAUAAAAGGAAACACUUUCUAUCCAGCAAAAACAACUCACCCUGGUUGCUGCAAGCCUCCUAGCAACCAUGAGAAUUCAUUGAAGGCAAGCAUCCCCUUUGGAACCCUUCAAUUUCAUGCUUUGUUCUUCCAUCUUCCUCCUUUCUCUCUCUCUCAAAACCCACAUCCAGAGAGAGCAAGCAUCAUCUCUCAUCUUUGGAACCCUUCGAUUUGAAGCCUUGUUCUUCCAUUGCUUCCCAUUUUCUCUUCUGUCAAAUCACCUAGGAGCUUGACGAAACUUUCGUCAAGCUGCUGGAAAUAUGGUAAAGCCACCCAUGCUUCCAUCUUCUUCCUCUCUUUCCAUAAACACACAUCCAAAGAGCAAGCUUCAUCUCUCAUCCUCUAAACCUCUGCAAUUUCAAGCCUCAUUCCUCUAUCUUCUCCCAUUUUCAGCGGUAGUGAGAAUGAUUUCUGCGUGUGCAUGGGAAGGAUUGUAACUCAGAUGAGGAGGAGAUGGUUUGGAGUGGGGUGAGGCAGUUGGAUAGAGCUCUUGGCCUUUUCAAGUUUGGAUGGGAAAGAGCAGGGAUGAAAGAAGCUUUACAACUGCAAGGGCAUAUAUGGUGCGUAGGGGCUGAAGGCAGAACACUUACAUAUAGAGGAAACACAUUUUUUGUCCAUGGGAUUCAUGUUUGACAAACACUUGUCUUAGACUAUGAGUUCAAAUUUCAAAACCUUUUUUUUUUCUUUCUGAAAUCAGGACCAGUGUGGAGAACUAGCAAGGAUUGGAGAAACAGAUUUUUGGGCGUCACUUGACCACAGAUUGUUGAUUGCUCAAAUGUGUAGAAUUGGCCAUCUUAAAUGUCAAAAUGAUUUAUCAAUUGGGGUUUUUUUAGAAACGUUUAUGUUUGUCAAUAGAGACAGAAGUCAGAGAACAUAAACCUUUCUCAGCAAAUUGAAAUUCUCAGUGCAUGCUCUGUUCUUCCAUGGCUUUCAAACCUUCUCUGCCACGGUGAAAUGGAUCGAUAGAGAUAGUUUAGGCCGUUCCAUUUGUUUGAUGAAGCAUUCGUUCUAGGGAUUCUGUAUAUUCAUAACAAAAUCACUAGAAUGAUUCUUAGAAAUUCAUCACUGCUAAAGGCAAUGGGUUCAGCAUAAUAACUUCUUAGUCUUGCUUCUUGGUCCUUUAUUUUCUUUGCAUAAUACUCCAAGUUUACCUGGGUUCUACAGAGAAAAUCUCGUAGAUACCUCUUUUUGUGGUCUUCCAUGGCAUUUAAGUGCUGCUUUCCAUGGUGAAGUGGGCCUAUAGAGACUACCUGAGGUGUGUAGGCUUUGUCAUUUCCACGCCGUAAUCGCUCAGGAACUCUGUAGAUACACCUUCAAGGGGGACAAGGGAGACAAACUAUCCAAUUCCUUGCGCCUUACAAAUAGAUCGCAUGGGUUUUCUAUUUCAUCUGCAGCUUCAUCAAUUCCUUCCAUUUUUCUCCUGAUCAUCAUGCGCGGUGAUUCAAAUAUUUCAUAAUGAACAUUGAAAUGAGAUGCUACAAGCAAACUUAUGAAAAGAAACAGAAAUACCAAAAAGACAAAUCAAUGUAGAUGGUUUAGAAAAUCUAAACAUUGCAAUUAUACUCCUUUGCCCAACUUCUAGGAGCAAACGUACACAAAGACCUUAUUGCUUCCAACUUUUCCAACAGAAUUUCAUAUGAAUUGCUCCAAGUGAAAUCCGUAUGAAAAAUCGGUAGUUGGAUUUUCAUCCUGCUUUAAUAUGAUUAUUUAACUUCUAACAAAAAAACUCUUAUUACUUGAGCAAGUAAAAUACUAUUCCAGGUUUCUCCUAGUUCUAUAUGCGCUUAUAAUUGGUAUACUCUAUAAAUACCAUAAUCUGAAUUUCUCUGUUUUGAUUACUUUAAUUUAUUACUUAUGUUUUAAUUAUUGUUUACUUAGUGAAUUAUUAGUAUUUAAGAGAAGGCCUUCCAUCGAUUAGGCACCACGUGUCUAUAAUAAGUAAAGCCGUCCGGCUAUACUUAAAAAAAAAAAAAAUUGUAGUAUAGCCGACCGGUAUAGCCGCGCGGCUAUACUAUUUAAUACAUUAUAUUUAAACGGUAUAGCCGCGCGGCUAUACUAUUUAAUAAAAUAAAAAACAAAAGAAAAAGAAAAAUUACCCUCCUAUUUCAUUAGUUUGUACUUUAUAGAUACUAGCCCCUUGACACAUGCUCACGCAUGUGCCAAUUGGUUUUCUUUUUCUUUUUUAUUUUUAUUUUUAGAAUUAAGAAAAAAUAACAGGAUAGUUAUGUUCCAUAAAAGUAGGACCUAUUAUCUUAUUUUGUUUUUAAUUUUAAUUUUUUUAAUAUUAAAAAAAUAUGAAUUUACGAUAUUAUCCUCAUUUAAUUAAUAAUUUCAAUUCUUAAUGUUUGAAUUAACAAAGGGCAUUUUCUGGUAUUUUGAAUGUUUCACCAUUCUCUGCCUUUUGCUUUAUAUAUAUAGAUUAAUUUGCCAGUUUCAAGAUAUCCAAAGUACAUAUUAGACUUUCACUAUAUAAAUUUCAAUAUAUAUUUUUUAUAACAUGUGUUGUUCUUAUUCAAUAAUAUGUGAGAAUUAUUUGUAUAAUACGUGAAUUUUGUGUGUCUUACUGAAUUUUUUUAAAUACGUGUAUUAAACGUUACAAAUACGUACAUAUAUGUACAACACGACUAUUGUAAGUUUGCUAUAUAAAAAAAAGUGAGAUGUAUCUAGAACACGAAUGUAUUAUCGAAAAAUAUAUAUGUAUGUAUAUAUAUAUAUAUAUAUGUAAAAGCCUAUAGCCUCUCACCUAUACUAUUUAUUAAAGACAAUUUAAAAAUUACAACAACAAAAAAACCAGUACAGCCACAAAGCUAUACUAUUUUAAAAAAAAAAAAUAGAAAAAAUAUCAAGUACUACACAGGGCAAAGGCCCAGUGUAAAAUAGUAUAGCCGUACGGCUAUACGUUUUUAAGAAGAAUUUAAAAAACUAAGUAUAGCUCACCGACUAUACUAUUUUUUAAUAUAAAAAAACAACCCCAUCCAUUAGGCGCCACGUGUCAACAGAAGUUUAUUUUUAAAAAAAAAAAUUAAAAGACAAGGAGUAUAGCCGGGUGGUUGUACUAUUUUUUUAUUUUAAAAAGAAGACAGUCCAUCGAUUAGGCGCCACGUGUCCAUAAUAAGUACAGCCGCUCGGCUAUAUGUUGGAUAUUUUGAAACUAGCAAAUUAAUAUCAAUAGCCGGUCGUAACCUAUGCUGUCCACGUCACUCAUGUUUUACCAGAGUUAAAGCAUCCACAAUGAGCUCCCCAAACCAUCUCUUUAGACAAAUUUUAGGGAGAAAUUGGAAAAGUACAACUCCAACCAUGCUCCCUAUCCACCAACUAAAAUAGGGAGACCUCUAGGAGCUCCUAAAUCUGAGGAGAGGGAAAGGACUCUUAGUGACUCCCUAUAAUUUAAUGUUGCUUUGUUUUAUGCAUAUUUUAAACUUUUAAUUAAAUCAAAUUAUUAUUUUAUAUUAUUUUGUAUACAGAUGGACCAAUUAUAUUAAAUUAAAAAAUAAUUAAAGUAUUUGUGACUCUCUAAACUAAGGAGUAUGAUUAGAGUUCAAAUUUUAUAAAAAGCUCUUAAAAUAGCUUUUGUGUGUUUUUAGCUAAAUUUUAACUAAAAAAUUUGAAGAUUCUUUAUUUGGGUUUCUUUCAAGACGAAAACCAUAUCCACAACAGACAUCUUUGGCUGUUCAUCACAAUUGAGAGACAAUGAAGAAGACAUAAGGGAGAGGCUGCCAAAUACUUAUCACCUUAGCCACCACCAACACCACAAGACCAAUAUGUGUAGGCCAGGAGGCUUUCCAAUUUUAAUAUAUAUAUAUAUAUAUAUUAAAAAAUAAAAUAAAAAUCAAUCUAUUAUCAUAUAUAUUAUAAAAUAAAGAUUAUUGCUCCAUCCUCCAUGCACUUGCGUGCCCUCUUACAAAGUAUGAAGUAGAUUUUGUUAGCUGGAUUUAUAAGAUCUUUUGUUUUUUGGAAAUUUUCUGAAAUAAGGAAAAUCAAGUAAAAUUAAUAAAGCAUAAAUUGGAAAGGGAAAAUAUCUAGAGGAUGCAUUGUAGGAUUGCUCAAGCCAAUAAUUGUACCCUCUAAAUAUAUAGGGACAUAUUUUUUUUGUUUUCAUGACAUGUCGUCCUAAAAUUAUUGUUCUUAGCGGGCUCUCCACCCCCUCUCGAUUGAAAACCUAUUGUGUAAAUCUUCAAUCCUGAAUUAGAAAAGUACAACUCCAACCAUGCUCCCUAUCCAUCUCCUAAAAUAGGGAUACCUCUAGGAGCUCCUAAAUCUGAGGCGAGAGAAAGGACUCUUAGUGUCUCUUUAUAAUUUAAUGUUGCUUUGUUUUAUGCAUAUUUAAACUUUUAAUUAAAUCAAAUUAUUUUUUUAUAUUAUUUUGUAUACAAAUGGACCAAUUAUAUUGAAUUAAAAAUAAAUUAAAGUAUUUAUGACUCUCUAAACUAGGGAGUAUGAUUGGAGUUCAAAUUUUAUAAAGAGCUCCUAAAAUAGCUUGUGUGUGUAGGGGUCUUUUUCUUCUGGCAACUACAGAUGGGUUGGGCUACCGUAAGGAGCAAACUGAAGAAAAUAUCCCCUGUGUCUGAGUUCAAAGAUUCGGCCCCAAAAUAUUUCGAAAAGGCAGUAAAGCCUUAGGAAACACCUUAGUUACCUUCACCAACGAAAAUGACGGCUGCUUACAGGUAGAUUCUUAGUGCUUACAGAUGAAUUCUUAGCUUAGCAUGAGGAGAUCGUGGCAUGGAAGCAAAGUUAGCAUGAGUUUAGCACUAAAGAGAAAAUUAUGUGUUCUUGGGAGGAAGAAGGGGUGUCCAGGUAAAUGGGAAAAGGUUUUGCAAGUAGAUUUGGCUAAGAGAGAAGGGAGAGAGAGAAGAGGGUGGCUAGAGUGCUUCUUCCGGCAGCUUGACAGUGACUCUGUCAAAUGUUAGAGCAAUCUGCCAUAAGAGGGAAAAUGGGGAAGAAGGAUGAACAGUGCACAAAAUUGCUAGGUUUUUGCAAGUAAGAGAGGAAGCUUGCUCUCUGGAUGUGGAUGAUCCGUUGGGUAGAAGAGGCCCCAUUUUAUAGCCGCUGGAAACUAUCAUUUCUCAAGAAACCCUAAUAGUUUCUACCCAAUUUGGUCAAGCUUUUCCCUUCCUUUCUCAUCUCCUCCCUUGACUUUUCCUAUCUUGGUGAAAUUUCCUCUGUCUAUUUGCACAAAAUCAGGAGCUCAAGGCCUCCCUUUCCCGCAACUGUUCAAUGGGAGACUCCAUUCUUAGCUAUUUUUCUUCUUCUUUCCUUCCUCCUUCCCUGACCAAAUCUGAUGAAGGAAAGCAAAUAGGUGCACACAUUGGUUUGAAGGGUGCUUCUCCUUCUAGCAGCUUACAUGCCAAUAUCCCUUGGGUCCUUGCAUGUUUUUUGCUUUGAAACUUGUUUCUUCCUUCCCGUCAACUCACGUGGUCUUCCAUGCUUCUUCAUGGCUUUAUCUUUCAGCCAAAAGAUGGAGUUUUUACUGCUUGCUACUUUUAAUUGUAUGGGUCUUCUAGGAUAGGAAGUCAACCUACCAAACAAAUGGGCCACCUUUAUCAAAUAUUGGGCUGUUGGGGUUAGUUUUAGUGGGCCAUUUUGACUGGGCUUUUUGGUUGGGUUAUUUAAGUUAUUUUCCCUUUUGUGCUCACCCAUGUAUUUAGGCCUAAGAAAUGGGCUUGGGCUCCGAGUCUCCCAAGCAACCCGGAACCUCCAUUUCUUGGCCCAUUAAUGGGCCUCAUGACAACCUAUUACCAUCCAUACCACAACCCACUCAAGCAAGCCCCGGGCAUUUGAAUGGCUUUGGCCCACUUUAGGCUUGUAGUGUGAUUGGGUGUGGCAUAACGAUUUCUCGCUUGGCAUGGCAUGUUGCUUGGCAUGUUUUUUCAUUACGAUGCUUGAUGGAUUUGUAGAGCUACCUAUUUUUAUGAUCUUAAUCUUGAUUCCUAGCAUGACAAAUUUAUUUAUUUGGCAUGGCAUGCGGAGCGUGACUUGUGCGUGGCGAGUUUUGUAUGCUCCAACUUGGGCCUUUCCUAAAUAAUGUAUCAUUUUGGGUUAUGAAUUCUUUCGGGCCCAACCGUGAAUUUUUUGGGUUUCAACAGUGUGUUUUUAGCUAAAUUUUAACUAAAAAAUAGGGAGCAUGAUUGUAGAUCAUCUUAUAUACCUUAAUUUGAAGAUUCUUUAUUUGGGUUUCUUUCAAGAUGAAAACCAUAUCCACAACUGGCAGACAUCUUUGGCUGUUCAUCACAAUUGAGAGACAAUGAAGAAGACAUAAGGGAGAGGCCGCCAAAUACUUAUCACCUCAGCCACCACCAACACCACAAGACCAAUAUGUGUAGGCCAGGGGGCUUUCCAAUUUUAAUAUAUAUAUAUGGAGUGAAAAAAAUAAAAUAAAGAUUAUUGCUCAUCCUCCAUGCACUUGCAUGCCCUCUUACAAAGUGUGAAGAAGAUUUUGUGUGCUUCAAGUCAUUGACUAGAGCUGAAACAUGGUUAGCUGGAUUUAUAAGAUCUUUUGUUUUCUGGGAAUUUUCAGAACCAAGGAAAAUCAAGUAAAAUUAAUAAAGCAAAAUGGAAAGGGAAAAGAUCUAGAGGAUGCAUUGUAGGAUUGCUCAUGCCAAUAAUUGUACCCUCUAAAUAUAUAGGGACAUAUUUUUUUUGUUUUCAUGACAUGUUGUCCUAAAAUAUUUGUUCCUAGCGGGCUCUCCACCCCCUCUCGAUUGAAAACCUAUUGUGUAAAUCUUCAAUCCUGAACGAUGCUCCUAAAACUCAAGUGUCCCAGGCCAAUUAUUGCUCUCAUACCACUUGUUGCAAUACACAUCCACUCAUUCUCAGGGAAAGAAACCCAUCGAUAUUAUCUCAAAUUUAACCACUUUAGUCUAUUAUGAUUAACUAUGUAUUUUAUGGAUCAAUGCAGUUGUGAGGUUUUAUACCCAAUUAGAUCGACCAAUACAGAGAUCACAUGUGGACUGAAAAGCGCCAUCGGUAGGGGAGUGUUUGGCACCCUUUACUGCCGAGUGCAACACAAGACCCCUUACCAGGAACUUAUCUACUAGGACACGUGAAGCCACCACAAGUAAUAUCAACAGUCCCACAUCGAAGUUUAACAUAACAUGUACACUCCCCAGGACUGAUAAAAGUGGGCACAAGUCCCAAAAAUGGGGGAACUUGGACUUUCAGCAAUUCAUCCAUUAUUAUGUCCAAAUUACUAUACACUCCGUACUUAUUCUUACUUAAGCAUUGGAGAGCCUUCGGCCGGUACCACACCAGUGCCUAAGGGCUUACCGAGCGUUCUCUAUCUUGCAUAUUGAUCGCUCUACUGAAGCCCAUAAAGAGUUAAAGGUCAAGACAUCACUAAGUUGAGCCCAAAAGUGCUGAACCACAUCAAAAAUAUGUAUAGAUUGAAAAAAUAAAAUAAAAAUCAAUCUAUUAUCAUAUAUAUUAUAAAAUAAAUAUUGGAUAAAUUACUCAAAUGGUCCUCAAACUUAUACUCGAUUUACAUUUUGGUCUCUCAAUUAAAUUAUUUGUUCAAAUGGUCCAUCAACUCUAUAUUAUUUCUGCAAAAUCUACAAAGUGGUGGGAGGCAGACCAACAAAAAAAAUUAGCGAAGGCUUAUAACUCUGGUAAAACAAGAGUUACUUGGAUAGAAUAAUGUUACGUCGUACUGAAGAUUUUUGGGUUUCUUUAAUUGGUUAAGUGAAGAUUCUUUAUUUGGGUUUCUUUCAAGAUGAAAGCCAUAUCCACAACCACAACCACAACUGGCAGACAAUCUUUGGCUGUUCAUCACAAUUGGGCGACAAUGAAGAAGACAGAAAUUGGAGUACUGUAUGUUAUCACCCACACCACAAGACCAAUAUAAGGAGGAUGGGGAGGCUGCGGAAUACUUAUCACCUUAGCCACCACCUACACCACAAGACCAAUAUGUUGUAGGCCAGGAGGCUUUCCAAUUUUAAAUUAGAUAAAUCGGAAACUGUUUCGAUAUCCAAUUGUAUUCUAUAAAAUCAAUGAACACGGUGCUUCAAGAAAGUAAUAAAAUUUCAAUAAUUCAAUUGAGUGGUCAAAUUCAAGUGAUUUUUUGUAGUGAUGAUCUUUGAAUGAGUAUCUAUAAAAGAGACGGUUUGGAUUAGUGAAAUACAAUAUGGAGUGGGCCCUACCAGCAAUCCACGACAAAAUGUCUGCAAGCUUUCGUAAUAUAAGGAGGAUGGGGAGGCUGCGCAAUACUUAUCACCUUAGCCACCACCUACACCACAAGACCAAUAUGUUGUAGGCCAGGAGGCUUUCCAAUUUUAAUAUAUAUAUAUAUAUAUAUAUAUAUAUAUAUAUAGGGAUGUGAUUUCUCUACUCCCCUUUUCUCUACUUAUACUCCCUUUUGCUUUUAAAUACUUUUUAAUCAAUUUUUUUUCCGCUUUCCUAUUAAUAUUCUACCAUUUCCCUACAUUAAUUUCUUUUUACUUCACUUUUAUAUUAGUUCUUUUUCUUUAUACUUAAUUUUUCAACUUGCACUCCAUUUUCAUUAUUUUUUUCCUAAUCGAGUAAGAAAUUAAGUUUUUUUUCCCCAUUUAAUACUGAAAAUGGAGUGUAAGUUAGAAAAUUAGGUAUAAAGAAAAAGAAAUAAUAUAAAAGUAAAGUAAAAAAGAAAUUAAUGUAGGGUAAAGGUAGAAUAGAAAAGAGAAUGAACAAAAUUGAUAAAUAAAUAAAAAAGGUUUAAAAAGCAAAAAGGAGUGUAAAUGGAGAAAAGGGGAAUGAGGAAAUCAGCUCCAUAUAUAUAUAGAUUGAAAAAAUUAAAAUUAAAAUCAAUCUAUUAUCAUAUAUAUUAUAAAAUAAAGAUUAUUGCUCCAAGGAAAUGACAUCUUUUGUUUUCUGGGAAUUUUCUGAACCAAGGAAAAUCAAAUAAAAUUAAUAAAGCAUAAAUUGGAAAGGGAAAAGAUCUAAAGGAUGCAUUGUAGGAUUGCUGAUGCCAAUAAUUGUACCCUCAAAUUAUACAUGGACAUAGGGGUGGGCAUUCAAAUAGGCAAACUAGAAAUCCGAGCUGAACCGCACCUAGGAAAACCGGAAAAAAAACCGAGUUGACCAAAAAGUCAACAACUGGUCAAAAAUCGAACCGGACCGAUUUGGACUGGUUUUGGAUUCAGUUUAUAUGCAAUGCUACAUUUUUAGUCUCAUAACUAAUAUUUAUCCAAGUUCAAUUUCAAAACAUCUUUCUUUUUUAGCUUUAAUAUUUAUUUUUAUAUGAAAUUAAAUAAUUUAUUAAUUUUCAAGUAAAUAAAAUAAAAUUUCAGUUGAAAUUUAUAUUAAAAAAAUAAUUUUAAUAAUCCAGUUCAAAACCAAACCGGACCAUCCAGCUGUGAGGUACAUUUCUCCCACAUGCCACAAUUGUAUAUUCACAAUUACGUCUGAUACAUCACAUCAUGCCACUUGCCUCAAAUGAAUUUAAGUGAGUGUGGCAGUGGAAAGUAAUUAAGCUCUAUAUUGGUGGGUGGACUGUUACUUCUGGGUUCCCCUCAUCAUUCGUCUAUAAAAUGGUGAAGGCAGUUGCUAUUGUUACCAUAAGAGCCAGCUCCGACUUCCUUUAAUUUCUUGCUUCAUAUCCACUAGCUACAUCUGUUACCAAGUUAAUUUCAGUCCUAAUGGGGUUUCAUCUCCCACUCAUCUUUGCUCUUCUCAGUGUAAGCUCUGCAAUUUGAUUAACUUUUCCAUUCUCUCUCAUUGUACUCUAUAUAAACGAAAGUUUUGUGUUCCUAUAAUUCUCUCCGAUUUUAUUUAGUACGUACUUAAGUGUCGUCCACUAAUUAAUUACACUUUGUGAUUUGAUUUUAAUUUGAGUUCGAAUUAAUGUUGCAGCUAGCAGCAGUGGCACUGGCAAACCAUGCUGCUCAACCAGCACCUCAACUUUACUGGAACUCCGUCCUGCCAAACACACAGAUGCCAAGAUCUAUCAGUGAACUUCUGCAUCCUGGUUUGUGUUGAGCUCUUUAGAAUCUUAGAUAUCUCUUCUACCUGCCAUUUUACUAAAAUAUGUUCCACCACAUAUUUAUCAGUUAACCACUGUUAUUACAUGAGUGACACAUAUUCACAAAUCGGCUGAUCACUUAUUUUCCAUUAUGACGUUGAUAUAUAAUUUGCAGACUCCACAAAUGAAGAAAAGAGCACAAAUGACGUUGGCAAACCUGAAACUUUCCCAUUGGGCAAUAAACAUUACUCCAGUCAAAAACAUUAUGGAAGAGGCAAACCUGAAACUUUCCCAUUGGGCAAUAAACAUUACUCCAGUCAAAGACAUUAUGGAAGAGGCAAACCUGAAACUUUCCCAUUGGGCAAUAAACAUUACUCCAGUCAAAGACAUUAUGGAAGAGGCAAACCUGAAACUUUCCCAUUGGGCAAUAAACAUUACUCCAGUCAAAAACAUUAUGGAAGAGGCAAACCUGAAACUUUCCCAUUGGGCAAUCAGCAUUACUCCAGUCAAAAAAAGUAUGGAAGAGGUGCUUCUCCAUCCGACAAUCAACCACCAAUUCCAUAGAAAUUCAAACACGGCUACUUUCUUGCCACGAGAAAGCGCUCAAUCGAUCCCCUUCUCCUCUAACAAACUACCAGAAAUUUUCAACCAUUUUUCAGUGAAGCCAACAUCUGAGGAAGCCAAAACAAUUAAGCAAACAAUCGAAGAGUGUGAAGCUCCAGACCUUAAGGGAGAGGAAAUAUAUUGCGCCACAUCUUUAGAAUCAAUGGUUGAUUUUAGCACUUCGAAGCUUGGAACAAGAAACGUUGAAGCAAUCUCGACGGAGGUAUUGGAAAAAGGAGCCACCAUGUCCAUCCAAAACUAUACAACAAUGCCGGGACUGAAGAAGUUGGCAGGUGACAAAGUCGUUGUGUGUCAUAAGCAGAACUAUCCCUAUGCUGUGUUUUUCUGCCAUGCAAUAAAACAUACAGCAGCUUAUGCUCUCUCCCUGAAAGGCGAUGAUGGGGAGAAGGUUAAAGCAGUAACCAUCUGCCAUCUAGACACAUCAGAAUGGGACCCAGAGCAUAUGUCCUUCAAAAUCGUCAACGUUAAGCCCGGAACCAUUCCCAUCUGCCAUUUCAUUUCCACUGAUGCUAUUGCCUGGGUUCCGAACCACAAAUCUGCAUGAUCAUCACUUAGCACUAGUACUGUGCGUAUAAUAUGCCUGUAUAAUUAUCUCCCUACUUAUUUCUGCCUGUUCAUCAUGUGGUGUAAGAUAUAUGUUGAGAUGAAGUUUUUGGGAUUAGUGGUCGAAAUUAACCCGAUCAUGUUUUCUCUUGUAACUAUAUAGACUUCAACUUGUACUCAUAAUAAAGCAUGCUAUAUUUAUGAAGAGAUAUUAAUCUUCAGGCAAAUAGAUAUUAUGAAAACAUAUAUAGCAAUUUAUCCAGAAGAAAUAUUAUGAAAUGAAAAGAAUAAAAAGUAAAAAAACAGAAGGAAAGGAAUUCGCACCUGCUAUGUAUGAAAGGACCAAGAUUGUUUUCCCUUUGGUUAAUGACUAGAAAAGCUCACUUGCAGAUUGCUUUCUCUGACCGUAGAUGCAACAGAAAUUUUCUCUUAAUAAUAGCACAAUGAUCGGGUAAUUGUAAGAACAAGUUGAUUUAAAAUUCCUUGACCCAAAAAAAAAAAAAAAAUCAUUUCAAAUUCAGGUCAACCCAUAGAUUUCUUGCCUUUUUCUUCUUCAUCACGUUGGGCUUGUCUUCUUCUUGAGGAUUGUAUAGGCCCAGGAAAUGCUUUGAGGUAGUUUUUGGCCUUGGAAGUUGGGACCCAACCCAACUUCACAAAAAGAAAACAGAUUUGCCAAAAAUCAAAUUUCAAGUCUCUCCUCAGAUCACUAAUACAGAUCAAAUUUUGGAUUUGAUGAACUAAAGUGGUUUUACUUUCUCUGUCAGUGUUUGAUGACUUAAUUUGUUAUUUACUUCUUUUUUUUUUUUUACUUGAUCUUUGUAGGGGUUUUUUUCUUCCGGUAACUUAAACGGGCUGGGCUGCCGUAAAGGGUAGAUUGAUGAAAUUGUCUCCUUUGUCUGAGUUCGAAAAUCAAGCCCCAAAAGCGCUUCGAAAGGGCAGUAGAGCCUUAGGAAGCGUUCUAGUCAUCUUCACCAACUAAAACAACAGCAACUUACAGAUGAUUUCUUAAGGCUUACAGAUAAAUUUUCUAGCUUGGCAUGAGAGGCUUGUGACAUGGAAGCAAAAUCAGCAUGAGUUUAGCACCAAAGAGGAAAAUAUGGCUUCCUAGGGAGAAAUGGGAGUGUUUAAGGUGAGGAAGAAGAGGUUUGCAGGCUGAUUUGGCUGAGGAGAGAGAAAGAAAGAACAAUGUUCUUCCAGUAGCUUGACAAAGCUUCUGACAGAUGUGAAAGUCGUCUGCCAUAAGAGGAAAAUGAAGAAGAAUGGUGAAUAGUGCAUGAAAUUGCUGGGUUUUUGCAGGUAAGAGAGAAAGCUUGCUCUCUGAAUUUGAGUUGGUUUUUGGUUGGGUAGAAGAGGCCCCCUUUUAUAGCUGCGGGAAACCAUCUUUUUUCAAGAAACCCUAAUGGUUUCUAUCCAUUUUGGCCAAGCUUUUCCCUUCAUUUCUCUUCUCCUCCCUUGACUUUUCCUAUCUUGGUGAAAUUUCCUCUGCCUAUUUGCACAAAAUUAGAGAUUUUGAGGAGCUCAAGACCCCUUUCCCGCAGCUGCCUCAGUGGAGAAUCCCCAUUUUCAGUCAUCUUUCUUCCUUCUUUUCUCCCAUCUUCCAAGGUUAGGUCUGAUGAGGGAAAGAAAUGGGUAUGCACACUGGUUUGAAGGGUAUUUUUGCUUGAAACUUGUUCUCUCCCAUGUGCUGGAGCUUCCCAGCAACUUACACACAUGGAUAUUUUGGCUUUCAUCGUGGCUUUUGUUUUCAGCUAGGUGCUGGAGAUUUCGCAGAUAUUUUCAUGAGUUGCUUGGGCCUUCUAGGACAAUAGGUUGGUUUAUCAAGUGAAUGGGCUAACUUCAUCAAUUGUUGGGCUAUUUUGGUUGAGUUAAUGGACUAUUUUGGUUGAAGUAAUGGGCUAUUUUGGUUGAAUUAAUGGGCUAUUUUUCUCUCUUUGUGCUCACCCACAUAUUUGGGCCUAAGAAAUGGGCUUGAGUUCCGGGGCUCCCAAGCAACCCCGGGACUUCCAUUUCUCGGCCCAUCAAUGGGCCUCAUAUCAACUUAUUACCAUCCAUAUCACAACCCACUCAAGCAAGCCCUGGGCAUCUUGCGUGGCUUGGGCCCACUUAAGCUUGUAGCGUGACGUGUUGCUUAUUUGCUUGGCAUGGCAUGUGUGCAAGCGCAUAUGACGAACUUUAGCGUGCCCAAAUUGGGUUUAUUCUCGGUAAGGUAUCGCAUUGGGCCGAGAAUUUAAUUGGGCAGAACUGUGGAUUUUUGGGCCUCAACAAUCUUAUAUAUAUUGGUUUUCUUUUUUUCCUUAAUAUUCACCACCUUUCUGUUGCAUAAGUAUUUCAGUCUUAACGGGUUUCCAUCUACCACUCAUCUUUGCUCUUUUAAGUGUAAGCUUUUUUUUUUUUUUUUUAAGCACAAGAUUAGAGGGGAGGGGGAUUUCUCAAUGUAAGCUUUGCAGUUUCAUAAUUAAUAUUUCCAAUAUCUCACUGUUAGUAAAAUAUGGAACAGGAAAAGUAUGAAUAAAAUACACACAUGUUUUAUUUAGCAAAAUUUUGACAAGAUACAACUGAAAAGUUUGGCCACUAUAUAAUAUUUUGAUAUAAUUUCUACACUUCUUCUCAAAAGAUUAGAUCACUUCACAUCUUGUGUAUGUGAAAACUAAUGUAAAAAGUUGAAACUUUAUCGUAAAACCUCGACAAAAAUGAGCUCUACUAGAAAAUGUUCAAUUUGGAUUCGUUGAUUUAAAUGGCAAUUUGACACUUGAUAGAAAUUUUUACAUACAUGUGUUAGUGUUUGAUCACUUCACAUGUUACUUACUAUAUUUAUUCCACUCAAGUUAGGUAAAUAUUAUUAUCAAACAUUUCAAUUAAUUUGUGAUUUUUUUAUUAUUUAAUCAAUUAUGAAUUAAUGGAUUCUUCUUGUUGUUUUGAAGACCAAUAAAAAAAAAAGGGUAAGGAUGGCUUAUAACUCUGAUAAAACAACAGUGACGUGGACAGCAGAUGUUACACCGUACUGAAGAUUUUUGAAGAUUCUUUAUUUGGGUUUCUUUCAAGAUGAAAACCAUAUUAUCCACAACCACAAUGAAGAAGACAGAAAAUGGAGUAAUUCAGAUGUUACCAGCCAUCCACGACAAACUGAAGUCUGCAAAGCAUUCGUAAUCUAAAGGGAGACUUUGGAAAAGCCCAAAGGAGAGAGAAAAUUUUUAAAAGAAGCAAAAAUGGACAAAAUUGCCCUUAUUUAUUUUUUGAUUUCCUAAGAAAUCCUUUACAUUUGCAUGUCUUUGGUUUGAAAGUUGAGAGGUUAUUCUGUCUUUUUUCAAAAAGCUUUGGCUUUUUCCAAAAGUGAAAGUUUUUUUAUGGGUAAAACCUAAAUUUACUUAAUCCCUAAAAAGGAUGGGGAGGCUGCGCAAUACUUAGCCACGUGUAGGCCAGGAGGCUUUCCAAUUUUAAUAUAUAUAUAAAUUGAAAAAAUAAAAUAAAAAUCAAUCUAUUAUCCUAUAUAAAAUAAAGAUUAUUGCUUCCAUGGGCAGUGCUAUGCACAGGACAGUGCCUGCCCAGCACAAAUUUUUUUUAAAUAAAAAAAAAAAAUCUACAUAUGUUAUAAGCUCAUCCAAAAAAAUAAAAUAAAAUAAAAGUAAAUUCUACAUAUAUGUUGCCCAUCUAGGUGGUUCCAUAUCUUCUCUCUCCUUCUCUUUUGGCUAUUAGACUUCUUGUUUCUCUCUCUCUCUUUGCUACCUCACAUCAGCAAGUUUCUCCCUCUCUUUUUUUGGGGUCAAAUUCUUCCUCUAUUGACAAAAUCUUCUAUUAUCUUGGGUGGGCAACUUGGCAACAACAUCUUCUCUUCUCCUUUUGUCAACAACAAGUAUUAUUCUCAUUCUCUCAUUUGCUAUAUAUCUUUAAUUAUAGUUUUAAUUUAAAAUUGAGUAUUCUAGGGUUUAAUUAGGGAUGAAUUAUAAUUUUAGAAUUUUGUUGAAAUUAAUUAAGGCUUCGAUUAGGGGUGAAUUAUUCUACUGCUUUGGUUUGGAAUUUUGUUAAAAUUGAGUAUUAUAGGGUUUAAUUAUGGAUGAAUUAUAAUUUUUGAUUUUGGUAUUAUUGAGAUGUUAUUAUGAGAAUUUGUUUCAUUUUUUUAUUGGUAUAUUUGAUUAAAAUUCUUUCUACAUAUUAUUCAUAGGCUAUCUUUUAUUAUGUCGGAUCACAAUCGGAAUCCCAAGAGAACAAAGAAUUUGAAUAGUGUUGUUUUGUAUUGCAUUGCAUUUACUUUUGGUUUUAGUUUUGCUUUUAGUGUAAAUUACUCAAAUGGUCCUCAAAUUUGUACCCGAUUUACAUUUUGGUCCAUAAACUAAAUUAUUCAUUCAAAUGGUGCACCAACUCUUUAUUAAUCAGUGCUUUGGUCCUACCGUUAUGUUUUCUAUUAAAUUUAGUCAUGUGAGCAGCACAUGCUACAUUUGUAGGGGUAAAUAAGACUUUUGACCACUUUAUCACCUAUGUAUCACCACUUUAUAACCUAUUUGGAGAACAUAGGUCAGUUAUGGACGGUUUUACAAUUAUAUUUGACGGCAACAUUAACAUAAUGUAACAGUGGGAUCAAUGGAGCGAUUAAUAUAGAGUUGAUGGACCGUUUGAACGAAUAAUUUAAUUGAGGGACCAAAACGUAAAUUGAGUAUAAGUUUGAGGACCAUUUGAGUAAUGUACCCUUCGCUUUUAUAUUUGUUGAACUUUUAUUUAUGGAUAGAUAUGCAUUUGAGGGUAAGACCCAUUAUGUUCCCCCUGACUUGGUGUAUCUUUUUAUGUUUAUUAAUGAAAUUCACUCGAACUGUUGAGUUUAGUAUGUAAGUUUUGCCUAACCGGCUUUUGAAUCCUAGAACCGCCACUGUUGCUCCAUCCUCCAUGCACUUGCAUGUGCUCUUACAAAGUGUGAAGUAGAUUUUGUGUGCUCCAAGUCAUUGACUAGAGCUGAAACAUGGUUAGCUAGAUUUAUAAGGACCCAUCUCUCUAUUUCCUAGACAUAUACCCAUCUCUCUAUAAAUCUAUAUGUAAAACUCAAUUUCAAACUUAAAUGACCAGUAAGAUAUAAGAGGUCAUAGUAUUCCUAUGUUUUUACAUCGUUGCCACCAGACUUCUUAUUUUAUUUAUAAUUUAUUUCAAGCAUUUCAUUAACUGCCAUAAUUGUAAUUAAUACUCCAUAUUAAUAGCAUAUCAAUCACCCCAUUUCUUUUGAUUGCCAUUCCCUCUAACAUAUCGCCCCUUAAAAUUGAAAACCAAAAAAAAAAAAAAUGUAAAUUACAUAUCCAAUAAUGUACCUAUGAAAAAUAUAAAUAUAAAUAUAUACGUAUAAAAAUAUAGGUUUAUUAUUUACCAAAUAAAAAAUAUAAAAAAACUAGGUCAGUUGCUUUGUAAUUGAAAUUUCUAUACAUUUUCCACAAAUUAAAAAUAGGUACACAAUAAUUUAUAGAAAAUAUAGGUGCAUUAUUUAUCCAUAGGUAAAAAUACCUAUAAAUGCACAUAGGUAAAUUAUUUACCCAUAUAUUAUUUUUUUGCUAAGGAUUUACCUUAGUUUUUAGUAGAUUAAUUUACCUACCUAGAGGCAUAGGUAGCUUAAAAAAAUUGUAGCACCUUAGUUGGUUGCAUACUAAUUUACCUACCUAGAGGCAUAGGUUGCUAAGAAAAAAUGUAGGUAAAUUCAUGUACCUAAACACAUAGGGGUCAAAUAGAGAAUAACAUGUUAUUUCCCUUCGAACAAAUUAAUUUCAAACCAUAACAAUAAUUGAAUUCGGAAAUUGGUAUAAAUAAAAGGAAAUAAAUAAGCUAUCAAUUUGAAAAUUAAAAUAAGAAAUGAUCAAGUAGUCAUAUUUGAAAAAAAAGAAAAGAAUAUAUUCUUGGUUUUUAUAGGAACAACGUGUAUAUUCAAACCAAAUGGCAGUAACUACACCAAGCUUUAAUUACUUUUUUUUAAGGCCAAAAGUCACUUUUGGUCUCUGUAGUUUGACACUUCUAUUACUUUUGACGCUGUAGUUUCAAUUCCGUCAAUUUUGCCAUUGUAGUUUCAUAUUUGUAGCAAUUCAAGGACAUGUUAAUAUUAAUGUCAAUUUGUUUAAUGAUGCAAGGGGUAAUUUCGUCAUCCCAAAAUCCUUGAGCAUAAAAGCUUGUCUGAAAUUCUCCCCAUUUCAUAUUAGGGCUCGAAAUUCAACCACUAAUCCCAAUUUUUGAAGAACCCUAUACCCAAAUGACCAAUUUCAAGCCCUAAUAACAAAUUAGGGAAGUUUUAGAUGAGCUUUUAUGCUCAAGGAUUUUGAGUUGAAGAAAUUGCCCCUUGCACUGUCAAAGAAAUUGAUAGGAAUACUGACUUGUCCUUGAAUUGCUACAAAUACAAAAAUACAGGGUCAAAAUUAACAGAAUUUAAACUAUAUGGUCAAAAGUGGUUAAAGUGCCAAACUACAAGGACCAAAAGUGACUUUUAGCCUUUUUGUUUAAAUAAGGAAAAAACUUACCUAUUAAAUCCUUGGAAUCUAUACAAAAUUGAAACACAGUUAAUCAGCAUUGAAUUGCAGCUAAUUUCUUAAACAAGGGUAUUAUAGGAAUUUAAAAAGUAUAACAUUUAAUCCAUUGAGCUUGAUUAGGAAUCUUGAUGAGUUGGAUCCUAGUUAUAUAGUUUCUCUUAUAAAAAUCGGGUUUUAUUUAUAGACAAAUAAAACAAUGGGUUGUAGGUAAGAAAAUAUUAAUUUGAAGGGAAAGUGUCACAUCCUGGGAUCGGCUCCGCCGUAGCACGAUAUUGUCCGCUUUGGGCCCCCCUCUCUGCCCGCACGGUUUUGUUUCUGGGAGCUCACGAGCAACUUCCCAGUGGGUCACCCAUCCUGGGAUUGCUCUGGCCCCCAACUCGCUUAACUUCGGAAUUCCUAUGACUCCGAAGCCAGUGAGCUCCCAAAAGGCCUCGUGCUAGAUGGAUGCGGGUGUGUACAUAUAAGACACAUCACCCCCUCUCCGUUGGUUGAUGUGGGAUCUUACAGAAAGAGUCAAAUUUACUAAAUUAAUAAAGCAUAAAUUGGAAAGGGAAAAGAUCUAGAGGAUGCAUUGUAGGAUUGCUCAUGCCAAUAAUUGCACCCUCUCGAUAUUGAAAAACCUAUUGUGUAUUAUUAUCUUCAAUCAUGAAUGAUGCACCUAAAACCCAAGUGUCCCAAGCCAACCAUUGCGCUCAUACCACUUGUUGCAGUACACAUUCACCCGUUUUUAAAGAAAGAAAUUCUACCAAUCGAUAUUGUCUCAAAUUUAAUCACAUAGGUCUAUUAUGGUUAACCAUAUGUACUUUUAUCGGCCAUAUAGAGGUACCUUUUUCCAACGUGCAACAAUUGUAUUUGAUUCACAAUUAUGUCUGAUAUACAUCACAUCAUGCCACUUGCCUCAAAUGAAUUUAAUUGAGUGAGGCAAUGGGAAGUAAUUAAGCUCUAUAUUGGUGGGUGGAGUGUUACUUCUGGAACCCUCAUCAUUCGUCCAUACAAGGGAACAAUUCCCUUCCUUCUAUAAAAUGGUGAAGCCAGUUGCUAUUGUUUGUUAGAGUUUUAGGAUCUGAGUGUUAGAUUUUGUGAGAAGAGAGAAGAGAAUUUAGUGAAAACUUCCAAUACUGCUCUGCUAUACGUGUAGCAGAGAGAACAUUCUGUUUUGUUAUAUAUUUUCAGUACAACAACACACACUUGGUGUGAGAAGAAAAAUGACUGUUAUGCACAGUACCAGCUGGAUGCUUUCCAUCAAAGUAAUCUCAGCCAUUCACUAUCUAACCAAUCAAGCUAUGACACCUGGACUAAGUAUAAAGAAAUACAACUAAGCAGAAAACAAGACUCUUAAUCCUGAAAUCAACUUAAGCACUUAUAAUUCAACACUCCCCUUUAAGUCUUGAGGUGAUUUCACUCCAAGCAUGCCUCUGAGAUAAUUGAAUCUGUCUUUGGCCAGAGGUUUGGUAAAAAUGUCAGCCAAUUGUUCAUUUGUAGGACAAUAUUCCAGAUUGAUUACCCCUUCUUGCAAUGCAUCCUUGAUGAAGUGAUACCUCCUGUCAAUAUGCUUUGUCUUCUGGUGGAAUACAGGGUUUUUAGUGAUUGCAAUUGCUGAGAUAUUAUCACAAUGCAAUGGAGUAGCUUCAGUUUGAAGCUCUCUAAAGUCUUCUAGCACAAAACGGAGCCAAAUAGCUUGAGUAGUAGCCUCAGCUGCACUGAUGUACUCAGCUUCUGCAGUAGACAGUGCAACACAGUUCUGUUUCACUGAGGCCCAAGAAAAUACUCCACUUCCAAAACUAAACGCAUACCCUGAUGUGCUCUUGCAAUCACCAACUGAUCCUCCCCAAUCACUGUCACAGUAACCAACUAGAAUUGAUCUUUUGCCUUUCACAUAUUCAAGACCAUAGUCCAGAGUUCCUUUGAUGUAUCUCAAAACCCUUUUAGCUGUUCCAUAGUGUCUAUUUGUAGGACAGUGCAUGAAUCUAGCUAGCAAGCUUGAGGCAUACAUGAUGUCUGGUCUUGUAGCAGUUAAGUACAGCAAGCUACCAACAAUGCUUCUGUAUUGUUCUUCAUUUGCAGCUCAACUCCCAUCAUCCUUAGCUAGUUUCUCAGUGGCAACAAGGGGUGUUGUCACAGGUUUGCACUCAGUCAAACCAAACUUGCUCAACAAGGUGCUAGCAUAUUUCUUUUGAUGUAGAAAUAUACUAGACUCAGUCUGAAUAACUCCCAUGCCAAGAAAGUGAUGAAGUAAGCCCAAAUCAGUCAUCUCAUACUUAGCCAUCAUGUCUUCUUUGAAUUCAGCCAACAAUGCUUGACUGCUCCCUGUAUACACAAUAUCGUCUACAUAGAUAGACACAAUUAGAAUCUCCUUAUCUCCCCUUACUUUGGUAUAUAAGGUUGUUUCACUUAAGCUUUUCACAAAACCACAUUGAGUGAAGUAGCUGUCUAUCUCUCCAUACCAAGCCCUUGGGGCUUGCUUCAGACCAUAAAGGGCUUUAUGCAAACGAUAAACCUUGUCUUCUUUACCUUUAAUUACAAAACCUUCAGGCUGACUGACAUAAACUUCCUCUUGCAGCACACCAUUAAGGAAAGCAGACUUCACAUCAAGCUGGAACAAUUUCCAAUCCUUUUGAGCAGCUAGAGCAAUAAGUGUUCUAAUGGUGUCCAAUCUGGCUAUAGGUGCAUAAGUCUCAUUAUAAUCCAGUCCAGGCUUCUGAGCAUACCCCUUAGCCACUAAUCUUGCUUUAUUCUUUUGCACUGAGCCAUCCAAAUUCAGCUUUGUCUUGUACACCCACUUAACUCCAAUCACUGGUUUUUCAGUUAGUCUAUCUACCAAUUCCCAUGUUUCAUUCUUUUCAAUCAUCUGCAGUUCAUCUUCCAUAGCCUUAAGCCAAGAUUCAUCCUGAGCAACAUCAGCAUAUUUUUCUGGUUCCAUGAUACACAAGUUACACUGAGCUAGAACAUCAUCUAGCCUUCUCCAUUUUAGAGGGGUGUGAUCAUAAGCUUGAGUUCUCCUUUCUUCACUGCUUAUAUCACCUGGAGUUGAUGAAAUGCUCUCUUGCAUAUCCAAAGUUUGAGGUGUACCAGUAGAAUUCUCAUUAGAACUGUCAGAUUUCAAGUCCAAAUCAACUUGGUUUUCAAUUGAGUAUGUUGUCAUAACUGAACCAUUUUUGUUUGUCCAAUGCCAAGCAUUUUCUUCAUCAAAUGUCACAUCCCUUGAUAGUAAAAGCUUGUUAGAAACAGGAUCAAAAACUCUAUAUCCUUUUUCACAAGUUGCAUAUCCCACAAACACUCCCUUUGUACUCUUAGGAUCCCGCUUGUGUCUCAAUUCAGUUGGCACAUGAACAUAACACAGAGAACCAAACACUUUCAGAUGUGCAAUUCCAGGCUUCCUUCCACUAUAUGCUUCGAAUGGAGUAAUGUUGUUGAGAGCUUUGGUAGGACAUCUGUUCAGCAAAUAGAUAGCUGUAUGCACAGCUUCUGCCCAUAGGAAAUAAGGCAUUCCCUUCUCAUGUAACAUUGAUUUUGCCAUCUCAAUGACAGUUCUAUUCUUCCUCUCAACUACUCCAUUCUGCUGAGGAGUAUAGGCCAUUGUAAGCUGCCUUUGAAUGCCAUUAGCUUCACAAAACUCCAAAAAAUCAGUAGACAUAAACUCUCCACCCCUGUCACUUCUUAUGCACUGAACCUUGUGUCCAGUUUGUAAUUCAGUCAUGGACUUGAACUUCUUGAAACAAAAGAAGGCUUUUGACUUGUUUCUCAAGAAGUAUACCCAAAUCAUUCUUGUGAAAUCAUCUAUAAUCAGCAUGAAAUAUCUGUUCCUUGCAACAGACUCAUUUCUCAUGGGACCACAGAGAUCCACAUGUAUUAGCACUAGUACUUUGCUUGCUCUUUGAGCUUGAUCUUUUGGAAAAACAUUUCUGUGCUGUUUUCCAAAUUGGCACCCGUCACACACACCACUUUGUUCUUCCAAUUUUGGUAAACCAUGUACCAUUUCUUUAUCACUUAGCUGCUUCAAUCCUCCAAAAUGCAGAUGACCAAAUCUCUUGUGCCAAAUCCAUGUGGAUUGAAGAAAACUAGUCUUCAUUAGUAACUGUUUUUCAGCUAGAAAAGAGACAGGAUAGCAUCUGUUACUCUUCAUUUGCACCUUUAUGAUGAGAUAAUCCAUGGAUGGGCUAUCAAAUACCCUGCACAUCCCUUCUCCAAACACUAGACAGUACCCAUGUUCAUCCAUCUGCCCAACACUUAGCAGAUUUUCUUUCAAUCCUGGCAGAUACAUUACUUCUCUGAUGUAUUUCCUGCCCUUUGCUGUAUCAAUACUCAGUGAGCCAAUACCAGCUACACUCACUAAUGCACCAGUUGGCAUUUGUACUCUCCCAGCUACAUUAGUUCUCACAUCAACCAGCAAAUCUAAAUUUCCUGUCAUAUGAUUGCUGCAGCCACUGUCAAUGUACCAUUCAUUGGUUUUGAUCUCAGUGGUUGAGCAAUUGGCAUAAAACAGGUUUCCUGUAACCUCCAUUUGAUUUACACAAUUAGCCUUCUGCACAUUUUUGCUCACUGUACAGUCUCUAGCAAGAUGUCCAACUCUGUCACAGUUAUAGCAUUUUGGUUUUCCCUUAUACCUGCACUCACCAAAAUGAUGCUUUGAACACACCUUGCAUUGAGGCUUUGUGUUUUCCUGAUUUGAGAACUGUGUUGAAGUGUGGUUCUGUGCAGAAUAAUUAUUCUGCUGUGUCUUGUCUUUUGCCUCCCAUGACUUCCCUUUAGAGUUCCAGCUUCUCUGUGACUUAGAUGAACCAGACUGAGAAGCAUUUUUGUUCUGACCCUUUGAAUUCACAGUGAAUGAGGCAAAUGCCUUCUCAGCUGUAUCAACACUAUGCAUUUCAAGCCUUUGCUCCCGACUCUUCAAAAUGGCAGUUACUUCCUGCAAAUCCACAGUUUCUAGUGUCUUUGUGUUUUCAAUCACAAUGCAUAUAGGGUCAUACUUCUUACUUAGACUAAUUAACACCUUCUGAACCUACCUCUCAUUUGACAGAACUUCACCAAAUGUUUUCAUUUGGUUAAUCAAUUCAGUUAGUCUAGUAAGAUAUUCAGAUAAGGUUUCACUAUCACGCAUCCUACUGUAUUCAAACUCACGUCUAAGGUUUUGAAGCUUUACCGAUCUAACAUGCUCUCCACCAUGAUAUUCUGAGUACAGCAGAUUCCAAGCCAUCUUUGCAGAGUCAGCAUUGGCAAUUCUGGGAAAAAUCUGAUCAGAAACAGCAUUUUGAAUGAUACCCAAGGCCUUCGCAUCCUUCAUGAGAAUCGCAGCUGUUUUCUCAUCAACUUCUUCUUCUGAACCAUCCUCAGAUUCCUGCUUCGUCUUUGAAUCUGGGAUUAAAAACCCCUUCUCUACCAAACCCCAUAAACCAUAUGAUCUGAAUAUGGUUACCAUCUUAAUCCUCCAAAAUUCAUAGUUCUCACCUGAGAAAAUGGGGAUUCUAGCCUCUGAACUUCCAGAUCCAGCCAUUACGAAUUUCAGAUUCGCCUGGAAACAAGAUGUUUUCAGAUUUGACCCUUGAUCGAGCUCAAUCAGCUUCGUGAGCUUAGAAUGAGCUCACCUCGAUCGAUUUUCUUCACAGAACAACGCCCAGCUUCAGAUAAUCAAACUUGGCUCUGAGGCCAUGUUAGAGUUUUAGGAUCUGAGUGUUAGAUAUUGUGAGAAGAGAGAAGAGAAUUUAGUGAAAAUUUCCAAUACUGCUCUGCUAUACGUGUAGCAGAGAGAACAUUCUCUUUUGCUAUAUAUUUUCAGUACAACAACACACACUUGGUGUGAGAAGAAAAAUGACUGUUAUGCACAGUACCAGCUGGAUGCUUUCCAUCAAAGUAAUCUCAGCCAUUCACUAUCUAACCAAUCAAGCUAUGACACCUGGACUAAGUAUAAAGAAAUACAACUAAGCAGAAAACAAGACUCUUAAUCCUGAAAUCAACUUAAGCACUUAUAAUUCAACAUUGUUACCAUAAGAGCCAGCUCCGACUUUCUUUAAUUUCAGUCCUAACGGGGUUUCAUCUUCCACUCAUCUUUGCUCUUCUCAGUGUAAGCUCUGCAAUUUGAUUAACUUUCCCAUUAUCUCUCACUGUACUCUAUAUAAAGGAAUAAGUGUCGUCCACUAAUUAAUUACACUUUGUGAGAUUUGAUUUUAAUUAGAGUUCGAAUUGAUGUUGCAGCUAGCAGCGGUGGCACUGGCAAACCAUGCUGCUCAACCAGCACCUCAACUUUACUGGAACUCCGUCCUGCCAAACACACAAAUGCCAAGAGCUAUCAGUGAACUUCUGCAUCCUGGUUUGUGUUGAAUAAAUAUAGUAUGUUACUGGAGUACGUAUGGCAACAUAUUCACAAAUGUGUCACGUAUUUUCCAAUAUGACGUUGAUAUAUAAUUGCAGACUCCACAAACGAAGAAAAGAGCACAAAUGUCAUGAAUGCUGUUGGGAAUGGAAAGCCAAUUGACCACAAGGGCAACCUGAAAAUACUGUACUACCACAGCUUGCACGACGCCCAUUUUCUUACAAGAGUGAUGAUCGUCCCACUGACAAUCAACUCCAUUAUAAAAACGUAGCUAUUUUCUUCUUGGAGAAGGACAUGCGCCCUGGCACAACAAUGAGCUUCCAAUUCCCUAGAAAUUCAAACACGGCUACUUUCCUGCCACCAGAAAGAGCUCAAUCGAUCCCCUUCUCCUCUAACAAACUACCAGAAAUUUUCAACCAUUUUUCAGUGAAGCCAACAUCUGUGGAAGCCAAAACAAUUAAGCAAACAAUCGAAGAGUGUGAGGCUCCAGGCAUUAAGGGAGAGGAAAUAUAUUGCGCCACAUCUUUAGAAUCAAUGGUUGAUUUUAGCACUUCGAAUUUUCGAACAAGAAACGUUCAAGCAAUCUCGACAGAGGUAUUGGAAAAAGGUGCCACCAUGUCCAUGCACAAGCAUACAACAAUGCCGGGACUGAAGAAGUUGGCAGGUGACAAAGUCGUUGUGUGUCAUAAGCAGAACUAUCCCUAUGCUGUGUUUUACUGCCAUGUAAUAAAACCAACAGCAGCUUAUGUUCUCUCCCUGAAAGGCGAUGAUGGGGUGAAGAUUAAAGCAGUAGCCAUCUGCCAUCUAGACACAUCAGAAUGGAACCCAAAGCAUUUGGCCUUCCAAAUCCUCAAAGUUAAGCCCGGAACAAUUCCCAUCUGCCAUUUCCUUCCCACUGAUCAUAGUGUCUGGGUUCCGAACCACAAAUCUGCAUGAUCAUCACUUAGCACUGUACGUAUAAUAAGCUUGCACCCCUGUAUAAUUAUCUCCCUACUCUACUUAUUUCUGCCUCUUCAUGUGGUGUAAGAUAUAUGAUGAGAUGAAGUUUUUGGGAUUAGUGGUCGGGUUGCCUUAAAAACACAGAUUACAGAAACUGCUUGAACUUAACCCGAUCAUGUUUUCUCUUGUACUCGUAAAGCAUGCUGUUGUGGUUCUACUUAAUUUCGUUCUCCCCAAUGUUUGAGUGUUUAAUUGUUACGUUGGAUAAUGCUUGUAGUUAGAGAAGCCUUCAUUUAUAUCAAAGUCCUCAACUUGUAAAGAUAUCAAUGGUCCUAGUGCUGCCACGUGUAAGAAGAUUGAAGAAUAAAGCUGUUGAGAUAUUGUUAGACCUGUUAUGCAGUUUAGGAAAACUGUUAGUAUUGAUAAGAGAAGGUUAGAGAUGUUAGAGAGGUUAGAAAACACGUGAACAAGGCUUUAACUCAGCUGAUAUAAAGUCUGUAGUUGUGCUCAGUUGAACUUAAUGAGAAAUACAACAAGUCUCUUCUCUAUCUCUGAAAUUCUCUCUGCUCUCUCUGCUUUACUUCUUUUGUCUCUGCUCUACAUUUUUUUUCAAUCUUCCUAUCUUAACAAAACUAUCAAGAAUUAAUGCAUCCAGAAACAUAUAUACCAAGACGCAAAACAACAUAUUUUUCAUGCUCUGUCUGUAACACCAAAGCAAACUUCCUUUAUCACAAAAGGAUCAAAUUCCAGUACUAAUCUAAUCCAUCAUGUAAAGCAUACAAUCUACAAGUGCCUCCCUUAAUUUGUCCAUUGGAUAUAUAUGUCACUUUUUGGUAAUUUGGUAUAGCAGCACCACGUAGUCUUGAAAUAGUAGUGCGGCUAUACCAAAUAUACCAUUUGCCCCUGCAUUUAACAGAAAAGUAAACAAAAUUGACGGUAGAACUAUUUGUCCUAACGAAACUGCAGUUGAAAGACCAUGAGAACGAUUUUGAAAAUUGAGGGACUCAAAUGAAAAUUGGGUCUAAGUUCAAGAACCAAUAAAACGAUUAACCCAUAGAUUUUGGAUCCAGUACCACAUCCCAAAGAGAAAACCACAAGUUUGCAAGCAAGUUUGUCCAUAAUAACACUACGUACAGUAUGGGCAGUGCGCUAGACUCAUCUCACUUUCUCAACCUAUCCUAUAGUUGUCUAAAAGAGUUUCUAAUUUAAUGUACUGAGAUUUACGAAAGAAAUAUCAGAGAAACAAUUUUCAGGCAAUAAAAAAAUGUCUUGGCAAGAAAAUGUACAAUUUGUUACAUAACUUAUUAAAUAUGAACAGUUGAAAGAAAAAAGAAUCUGGAUGAGGGAUUUGCAAAUUCCUAUGGCCCAAUUACCUUUUUUUCUUUGUUGUUUUUUUUUUUUUUUUUUUGGUUCUUUUGAUCCAGUAGCAUAUUCCAAAGAAUGAAAACCACAGGCAUGCAAUGCAAGCUCUUUUCCCACGUUUUCCUCUGUUUUUCUCCUAUCAUGGAAGUGAUUAAAACACACCUCUAAGCUUGUUUUGCGUUUGGUAGCCGAGUGUAAAAGCUCAAUGCAAGAUAGUUUGAGGUAGAAUUUUCUCCUAUUUUAUUAGGACAAUGAUAAUUAAAAAAAAGUGUGAUUCAUUGAAUAUUUGCGGGGUUUUGUUCAGACCUGACAAAGUUCUAAGUCAACACAUCAAAUUCCUUUUUCCAACAUGCAACAAUUGUAUUUGAUUCCCAAUUUUUUCUGAUAUACAUCACAUCAUGCCACUUGCAUCAAAUGAAUUUAAUUGAGUGAGGCAAUGGGAAGUAAUUAAGCUCUGUAUUCGUGGGUGGAGUGUUACUUCUGGAACCCUAAUAAUUCGUCCCUACAGGACUCUAGAACUCUCAAACUUCUUACAAGGACUACUUAACUCUAUAGCUUAAUGCAUAUAGCAUAUAUAUGCAAACACAAUUAGAAAUUCUACAACAGAAGCAAGAUCAAUCUCACUAUGCCUUCUAAACAAACAAACAAAUAAAACAAGCAUAUUAAUUGCUUUAAUCACUCUACUAACAUCAACACAGCACACUUAGUUUACUAACAGAUGAUAUAGAAAGGAAAAAAAAGGACCAAUAGGGAGAAAAUGGUGAACUAAGGAGAGACUAAUACUUCUGGUCCUUAGAAGGCAUAACAGAAAUAAUAGAGCACACUGCUUGAAUGCAAGUCAGUAUUAGGAGCAAAACAGCUGCAAUGAAAGAAAUAGUUGCCCAAGGUGUAUUGAAAUAAUGUUGCCUCAAAUUUGCCUUCCAUUUGUUCCAAGGCUUUCUGCAGUAGCUAUUAAGGCGCUCAGAAAGAAUAGCAAAGUAGAAGCUUUCACGAUACACUGCAAUUCCUUUUCCGAGGUUGUUAAUCAGAGUGCACACCUCAUUGUAGUCACCAAGCAUAUUUUUGACAAUCCCAUCCUUCAGAAGGAACUCCACAUCCUUUUCGGUGUUCACAAACUCAUCCAUGAGUGAAACAUAAUCACUUAUGUAAUUCUUACGGCAAUGGCACUAUUCAAAGGCAAUGAGGUUACGGAGUGUGAGCUCUGUGUAAUCGUGUAUUUUUAGUUUUGGAAUUUCUAGAAUCCCAUCGUUGAAUUGUGUUAACGCAGCUUUCCUUUCCUAGCCUACACGGAAGUCAACUUCACAAUCUCCUCCUAGCAAUUAGUCUUUCCUGCUGUAAAUCAGAUUUCCUACUGUAAAUCGGAUUGUAUUCAUGUCUAUAUUAUUUCCUACUUUAAGUAGAUAUCUUGUACUAGUAUAAAUAGGGACUUUGUGUAAUCUGUUAAAUACAAGGAAAUAUAUACUCUGCAUGGUAUCAGCCUAACCUAGGGUUCUCUCUCUCUCCCUUAUUCGAUCCUCUUCUCCUUUAGGUCCACCUCAUGGCUUUGUCUGAAUCCACCAUCUCCCUCCCAAGCCCCAACUCUUCUAUUUUAUCAAGCUUAUUGACUCCAACUAUCUUCUUUGGCUCCGCCAACUCAAACCCUUUUUAGUCGGCCAUGACCUCUGGAAAUUUAUCGAUGGCAUUCAUAAACAACCUUCUGCCCACACCUCCACCUCUACCACCGCAACACCCACAACCACCACCACUCUUACCCAAAUCAAUCAUGCCCAUGCUCAGUGGUACCAACAAGACCAACUCAUUGUUAGCUACAUCACCAAUACACUCUCUGAGUCCAUUCUCUUUCUCACUGUUGGUUGCACCUCUGCCCGGGAUCUCUGGGAGUGUCUCCAACGCCACUUCUCUCAAUCCAGUAUGGCCAGUGAAUCUACUCUUCGUUUUAAACUCAUGGAUUUGCAAAAAGGCUCUGAACCCACUUAUGCUUACAUUCGUCAUGCUAAGUCCUUUGCCGAUUCACUGGCUGCCAUCAAUGAACCUGUCUCCCCAAAAGAACUUGUCACUACUGUGCUUUGGGGUUUAAGACCCUAUUGCAACAUCCUCGUCACAGCAAUUCUCAAUUUCCCUCUGCUUCCUAACUUUGCUAAUCUUCGUGCUCGUUUGUUAGCAUUUGACGCACAGACUCCUUGAAUCUCUCCUGAUCAAAACACAGCGCAAAUGGCCACCCAAUCCUCUCCUCACACCACCGGUCAUACUUCCUUCCCUUCUCACCGUGGUGGUGGCUCUUCCAACAACAGGCGUGGUGGCCUCGGUGGCUGGCGCAAUAGCGGCCGGGGUGGCUGGCGCAGCUUCUCAUCUUCCUGGAGCAACCCGUGGAAUGGCUUCCAGCAGCUCCAAUGACCUAAUCAACCAUGGCCUCCUUUUGCUCCAAGUUCUGGAUCUCAAAGCAACUGGCCUUCCUUUCAGCCUCCUUGGGCCUAAUCUGCCGCUUCUAUCAAACACUUUGCCCGGCCCAACUCAGCUCCUGGUGUCUUGGGACCCGCUUGGUGCACUACCUGCAAUACCAAUCACAUACUACUACAAUAUGUCCUCAUCGCUACAAUGGCCCAGAAUCCUUUCUUUGCUAGGGCUCAAUUCAUGUAGCCACCUGACUCUACUUGGUACCCUGACACAAGUACCACUCAUCAUAUGAUUGGUAGUCCUUCUAAUCUCCAAAAUCAAUCCUUCUAAUCUCCAAAAUCAACAGCCAUAUCAGGUUCAUAAUUCUGUAUUUCUUGGUAAUGGAGAUUCUCUCCCUAUCUCUCAUACUAGCUCUCUCUUUUGUCUUCCAUCUCUUCGUACUAAUCUUCUUUUUGUUGCCCAUUUUACUUGUGAUAAUUUAGUUUUCUUUGUCUUUACUCUUGACUUUUAUCAAAUCUAUGACUUAUGUACUGGUUCGUUACUCUUUCAGGGCCCUUCUAAAGAUGGUCUUUACCCACUUUCCAUCUCCUCUCACUCAUCCAUAGUCCCCCAUGCCCUUACCACCGUGCACUCUCCUGCUUGGCAUCAUUGCCUUGGCCAUCCAUUCCAUCGUGUGCUCUCUCAUUUAGCGCCAUCUCUAGGCUUUAAAGUUUCUCAUGCUUUCUGUAAGGAUUGUGCACUUAGCAAAUCCACCAAACUGUCAUUUCUUAGUAAUAAAACCUUUGCCCCAUCUCCCUUUUAUUUAAUUCACUCUGAUGUAUGGAUGUCCUCGGUCAUUUCUGUCACUGGUUAUCGCUAUUAUGUCUUGUUUACAGAUGACUUUUCUCGUUACUCCUGGAUCUAUCAUAUGCACCGUAAAAAUGAGGUCUUUUCUCACUUUCAAACCUUUCUUGCUAUGGUUAAAAAUCAAUUUCACACCACUGUACAAAUUCUUUAAAGUGACAAUGGCACUGAAUAUGUUAAUAAUGCUUUCUCUGAUCUUUGCAGUCAACUAGGCAUCCACCAACGUUUCACAUGUCCCCACACUCCCCAACAAAAUGGCCUAGCUGAACAUAAACACAGACACAUUGCCACCAUGAUCUGUCCCCGGUCAUUUAUUCAACCAUCUUGACCUUUUGCUUGAUCAUUUUCCACAAGCAACCGUCCACGUACCCCAAUAAUUUAAAAGGGCUGAUGAUCUUUAAUUUGGUGAAAGCUUCUAUCUACCUACCGUGCUAUAUAUGAGCUAUGCAAUCGUGACCGUGUUACAUGACGUCCCAAUGUCGUAGGGAUAAAAAAAUAAUAGUCAUGGUUUUCUUAUUAAUGUCAAUACAUUCAUAGCAAAGAGCUUGUAGCUCUAGUGGUUAAGAGCAAUUACCCAUGCACUUGAGAUAUUUUGUGUUUAAAUCCCCUCUUCCCCAAUAUUUCUUGUAUAAAAAUAAAAAUAACAAUAAUAAUGACAUUAAUGUUGUAUUCUAUAAAGUGUUGGACAUGUUUUAUACCCCUUUCUUGCAAAUUACAGUUUGCCACGUGUACAAAAAUAAUAGAUAAGUGUUGGACAUCAAGAGCACUUACAUAUAGGUUUAAUAGGUAAGUUUUGAAUAUUUCUGUAUUUAGCUUUAAAUAUUGAAAAUCAACCUAUUAGCAUAUUAAAGAUUUGUCCAUAUUCGACGUACAUUCUCUUAUUUUUCUCUCAUUGAAGUAAAUACAAAACUAAGCACAUAGUGGGAAAGUGCGUCACGAUUAGGGGUGGGUUUAGUCUAGGUUGGUUCAUUUUUGGGCUCAAUUUGAACACCGAACUGUAAGCUUCGGUUUGGCUAUUUUGGAAACCGAAACCAAACCAUAAUUGAUGAAAACCGACCACUUCGAUUACCUUCUGGUCUUCCAACCAGAAGAAAACUCAAAACUUUAACCAUACCAAGUGCAACAGAAUUACACCAGGCUGGAUUCAAGUUUAUGAUGGUUAAAGAUAAAAACUUAUUUGACAUACAAUUUGAGAAUGGAAUCCUCAAAAUUCCACACCUGCGAAUACGGGGUUUAACAGAAAUUUUCUUCCGCAAUCUUAUUGCCUAUGAGCAGUGUGAGCUUCAUGAUCAUUACAUCAACGACUAUGUCUUCAUCAUGGACCGCCUGGUCGACAGUGCCAGGGAUGUGGAAUUGCUUGUGAAGAGUGGAAUUCUUGAAUCUAUGCUACCGGACAGCGAGGCAGCAGGGGAAUUUAUUAAUUCUCUUGACUUGGGGCCUAUUUUAGGCAAGCUUGAAACAAGACUAUUUCAGUUCACCAUGGGCUGGCCUGUCUAUUAUUGUAGCCGCUAUACUAGUUGUGCUCACAUUUAUUCAAACAGUGUGCUCCGUAAUGGCGCUGUAGGUUCUUCAUUUCCUCAAUUUCAUGUUUAGUGGUUGCAGAUUUGUUGCUCAUGUACGUGUUUAUCUAAAGUUAAAUAAGAGUGAUUGACUGGAUUGACUGUUAGUCUGUUAGUUUGUUUUUCUGGGGUUUUUCCCCCCUGUUCGUCAAAAAAAAAAAUAAAAGAGUGAUGGCUUGUGCCUAUGAAAAUUACUUAGGAGUAUGCUCCACAGAGCCAAAAUAAAUAAACUAGGGAAGUGGAGGUUCUUCUGUUUGUAUAUAAAUGAGCAAUUCAAACUCUCAGUGCCAAGGGAGUUACCCUUGAUACAUUUGUUAAAAAUUAUAUAUUUGGUCUUACAUCAAACAAAUAAUUUGAAGGGCUUUUUUGACAACUGCUGACAGCGUUUGGCAGAAAAGUUUAGAAGCGCUUCUACGCUUCUAGAUCAUAAAAGUGCUUUACCAAAAAGCACUUAGAUUUCUUAUGAAAAUUUCAACAUUUUUAUAAUAAAAGCGCUUGCUAGAAGCACUUAUAAGCAGAAGUGCUUCAUAGAGAAGCAGUCCCAAACGAGCUUGAUUUUCAAAUGUGCUGCUUAAGAAGAAAUUUAAUACGUUUUGAAAACAAAAAAAAAUACGAAAUUUAAUACGUUUGUUUUACAAAUUGUAUUAAUUGUUAUCAAUAAUACUUGUGCACACCCACAACAUACUUCUUUCUUUCUUUAUUUUCCUUCAGUACAGUUCUGCCUUUCUUUAAUUAUUUUUAACGAAUGCAAAGAGUUUGUCACAAAAUCAAGGAUUGAAAAAAAAAGAGAGUAAAUUAUGUGCUAGAGAAACUUUCCUGCAGAAAUUGAAGAACAACUCUAGUUUCUCUCUUUCGCCUUGUACUCCCGCACUGAGGUUAGUAUUGUUAUAAUGUGCAGAUUAUACGGUCACUCUUGUAUAAUGGCGAGAAGGCUCUAAUUAUAUUUUUGAACCUCUUUGACAGGACCCGCCCCGAAUUUCCCGAAACCCAAGACGAAUUCUGUGGAAAUUCCCUACAUCACCCCGAUGUUGGGCCCACUUCUAAAACUAUAUCAUUUUUCCUAAAAAGGAAUAAGGGCACGAGACUUUCUACCGAAAUUUCGGCAGAGUCUCUCCUGUAAAUUGAACAUUUCCCAAAAUUUCAACCUGCAUAAAACACAUUUUAUAUUACCCAACUGGCAGCAUGCACAAAAUAAUAACAUGCAAUUCACAUAAACGGCCUCUGGCCCUCCGGUAAUUCAGAGCAAUGCAAACUAGCAACUCUAAACCUAAUAAAACAACAUAAGUAACAUUUAGCCAGCGGCUGCACCCAGGCACUACCCUAGGCUACCUACGUACCCUUACUAAGGGAUCAAGCCACACGUAGUUCUUUCAUACAAAAUUUCCAAAUCCAUCAACAUGCAAUCAAUUACAGAAUCCCAAACAAAAUCUUUCUCAAACAUCAUUAGUUCCCAACUCAGUAUAAUAAUCCUUAAUUCAUCUCUGUAAUAAUCACAAUAUCUCCCCAUACGCCGGAACUACCAACACCACGUAUGGAGCCUGCCUGUACGCCAGAUAACCAACGACACGUGGGACCUCAUCAUCAUAUCACAUAAUCUCCCCAUACGCCGAAACUACCAACACCACGUAUGGGGUCUGUCAACACGCCGGAUAACCUACGACGUGUGACCUCAACAUCAAAUCACAAUAUCUCCCCAUACACCGGAACUACCUACGCCACGUAUGGGGUCUGUCCACAUGCCGGAUAACCUACGACACGUGGGACCUCAUCAUCAUAUCACAUAAUAUAUUAACGAUCAAGAAAUAUCACUACGGUCAUUUAAUCCUCCUGGGAAGGUAAAACUAUCUCAGGAGACUCACGGUCAACCAAGGGUCAAACUACCUCAUACUUGGACAAACGAGCCCACGGAGCCCACAACCUCCGUUUUACUAUCCAAGAGUUCCUAUAGGUUCUACAAGGUUUAGGAUACACGGCUUGCAAGUUUGGUCAAGAUCAGACGGUCGGAUCGCUCACGAUAGGACGGUUACUGCAAACCUAGCCCUAGGGUUGGCAUUUUCGGAGUAUCCGAAACUCCGUUUUACGAUCUGUCGAAUCAUAGACGAUCCUAAGGAUUUGCAGACUAACUAUAAUAAAUUCAAGACCAUCCAACGGUCUAAACCUAUCGAACCCGGAUAACGCGCAAUAGGCAAUAUCCAAAUUGAAAUCCGAGCACACCUACGCACUCGUGAGGACUAGGAGAUUACAUCGGGACAUAGUGCCCUUUUUCUACAGUGCCCAUGAGCCGCCGCACGCACCAGCAACGCGUGGGUGCCCAAAGCGAUUAUGCAUCGCCAAAAAAUCUCAAAACCACGGCUCAAGACUCCUACCCUAGGUAUAACACCCUAUUUGGAACCACUUUUGUUCUUGGACCUACCCCAAAAACUGAUCAGAAGUGGCCGGAAUGGCUGAAAUGUAAUUCAAAAAUCAAGCUACCAACGCUCAAAAUCGAUGCAAUCCUACCCAACCAUCAACUAGAUUAUGAAGAAUGGAUAAAUUUCCAUACCUUGAUCGCCAACAAUGGCGGCCGGAGGAGAGAGAUCUGAUCCGGCGAAGUUCGAGUGAAAACGGCCAAAAAUCAUCUUUUUCAGGCGGCUGGAGGGCGACCGAUGUCAGGGAAGGGCAGGGUCGUGACGCUAAGGCUGAGCCUGUCCUUUUGGCACCGGUCCCUUCCGCAGCCGUGUCCGGUGGCUGGAGUUUCGAAGAGAGAGAGAGAGAGAGAGAGAGAGAGAGAGAGAGAAAUCUGAUUUUUAUCAAACCUUUUUGCCAAAAUUACGGUUAUGCCACUGAGGGUAUUUUGAUAGUAUCUCUCUCGUUACAACUUCGAUUCGAGCCCACCACGUGUGUACGGACUCAUCUAACUGUGUUGUACGCAACGGUAUAGUCGAAAUUCCCAAAUUAUUUCCUUGUCAAAAAGUCAACUUUAAACAUUAUAAAAUAUUUUAGGGAAAAAAUGGUAUUUUCUCUCAAUAAAUUAGUAACUAAUUUAUUUAGGACUGGGUCAUUAUACUCUUUUUCGCUUCAAUGGAUGGGAAAAAAUUUUAUGUAAUAUCCCACAUCGACCAACGAAGAGGGGGCGAUGUGUCUUAUAUGUACAUGCCCGCCUCCAUCUAGCAUAAGGCCUUUUGGAAGCUCACUGGCUUCAGAGUCAUGGGAACUCCGAAGUUAAGCGAGUUGGGGGCUAGAGCAAUCCCAGGAUGAGUAACCCACUGGGAAGUUGCUCGUGAGCUUCGAGAAACAAAACCGUGAGGGCAGAGAGAGGGGCCCAAAGCGGACAAUAAGGCCUCGUGCUAGAUGGAGGCGGGCAUGUACAUAUAAGGCACAUCACUCUCUCUCCGUUGGUCGAUGUGGAAUGUUAGAAUGGAAUUGUUACCUUUGGUGUGGAGGUGUUCUAUCAUUUGAGCAAGAAAUUCCCACAUAUUCUUCAACUAUUUUUCAAGCAUGCAUAUUCCUCCCUAUCAAUCUUUGGUUUCUUCCUUUACUGUGCAUAGUAAGGAUCCAGUCAGGGACGGACCGUCGCUAUGACUAUCCUGGGCUAUAGCCCAGGCAAAUUAUUUUUUUUUCUAGUCUAAAAUAGCAAUCCCACCGCUUGCUGUAGUACUUGUUCAGUUCGUCACAAACAUGAGCAUAAUAGAAGUUAUCAACAUCUAUAUAGGAACCCCAAUGAAAAGGCUGUUAACUAAUAAUGAAGUUAACCCGUCAAUUUUUCCGCAUAUCAGAUAUCUCUCAGAAUAUGCGAUUCCAUAUUCAAUAAGCCACUCCACAUGCCCUGAGGUUUUCAUCAAACCACCCAUUAAGGAAACAUACUGACUCAUGUAAUUAUCAUUACUCAUCGGGUAAUGCAAUUGUUCAAAGGCAAGGACAUUUCUCAUUAUUUAUGUAGCGAACCCCAAUGGAAAUGGUGGGAUCUUCAGAACCCCAUCGGUGCUACUGAAUUGUAUGUCAAAUAUGUUUUCACCUUGUCACGCCUCAAACUUGACUCCAGCGUGCUGUAAUUCUGUCAAGCUGGGUAUGGAUGAUGGGAGUUUGAUGCAGGAGCAUAGGGGUGGAUCAAGAUAGAUAUUUACUAUUUAAUUAGUUAUUUCAUGAUAUAUUGUUAUUUUCUUAUUUAGGUAGUUUUAUGAUAUCUUUUAUUAUUUAUGUGUGAUUUUAUAAUUAAUUAGUAUACUUUUGGACCAAGUAGCCUUGGUGCUCAAGUCUUGUAAAGCCUAUAAAUAAGGCUAAUGUAAUAGUUGUAGAAUAGAUGUCGAUGAUUAAUAAAAUCGUUUAUUUGUGGCAUGGAUUUGCUACGAUAUAUGUGAGUUUGCACUAGCCCUAGAUUUCAGUGCUCGUGUAUGUGGUUGGUGACCUGUGUCCGGAUCCCGAUCCCCAUCAAUUGGUAUCAGAGCUAUGGCUCAAGAUCUGCUAUAUCGGGGAGGUUUUUGGAUGGAGGGUCGUUUUAACAACUACAACGACAUGGAGGAAAUUAGGAGGAUGCUACGGCAACUUAUGGAACACAUUGCUCGCAUUGAAGCUCGAACCCAGAUAGGUAAGAGUUCUGACGGGGAGGGAUGUGUGAACCCUUAUCUGAACCGAGUAGCUCGCAUCGACACUCUAAGCCGUGAGAGUCUCGACGGGGAGUACGAGGGAGAUAGCCCUUUUCAUUAUUGUGCUCCGCUGUGUGAGUCAAGUGAAGAGGGGCACGGUUAUUCUCAUUGUGUCUUUGAAGGUAUAAAUGAAUUUAGUAAUUUUGGUGCAUCUUGUUAUUCAUCAAAGUUAUUAAAUUUGGAUUUACCUCCAUUAUUUGAUCCUUGCAAUUGUGAAAAUUGCAAUAAAAAUUGUUUGGGUGUUCAAAGCAAUUUUGAUAAGCAAUUUAUUGACCAGAACAGUGAAGAGAUGAGAAUUGAGAAAACUUUCGAAGAUAUUAUUGAUUUUAUGGGCAUUAAUAUUUUCACUUGGAAGGUUGCCAAAAAUCUGGUUGAUUUUGUCAAUCGGUUGAAGAUUCUAGAGAGAAACAUUUGCAUUGCUAGAGGGAGUAAGAAGUCAAGAAUAACGAAAUAUUCCAAAUAUCUUUUUAUUUGGAAAGGAAGGUUUCAAUUGGAUGCUAAAAGAUCCAAAAUUAAUAUGCAGCAAUUGAAGAUUCUACUCGGAUUUUCCUUAAUCAAAGGCUUGAAUUCGAGGACGAAUUCUUUCCAACUAUGGGAGUCUGAUGCAGGAGCAUAGGGGUGGAUCAAGAUAGAUAUUUACUAUUUAAUUUGUUAUUUCAUGAUAUAUUGUUAUUUUCUUAUUUAGGUAGUUUUAUGAUAUCUUUUAUUAUUUAUGUGUGAUUUUAUAAUUAAUUAGUUUACUUUUGGACCAAGUAGCCUUGGUGCUCAAGUCUUGUAAAGCCUAUAAAUAAGGCUAAUGUAAUAGUUGUAGAAUAGAUGUCGAUGAUUAAUAAAAUCGUUUAUUUGUGGCAUGGAUUUGCUACAAUAUAUGUGAGUUUGCACUAACCCUUGAUUUCGGUGCUCGUGUAUGUGGUUGGUGACCUGUGUCCGGAUCCCGAUCCCCAUCAGAGUUCCCCUCCAGCUUUUGAUUCCAACGGUUGAUAGAGUUUAAAUAUUUUCCUGAAAAGAUCAAUAAUAUGUGCCACUGAUCUAAAAGUCUCCAAAUUGUCUUCCAAUUUGUCAACAGGCAAUAGAUGUUCGAAGAAACUGAAAGAAAUACAAAUUAUUGAAAGCCCCUCAGUAAUGCUGUUAUUGUCAGCAUUAGCAGGGAGUGUAAUUUUCUGUGGGUCGAAAAGAUCCUCGAGAAUGAAGAAUGGCAACUGAUUUUCAAGCAACCACGUAUCUGUCCAUGCAUCUUGCAACAUACCUGGUUUGUCAAAUAUGCGGUCAUUUUCGUCCCAAAAUUUGAAGUAGUCCUUCAAUAAGGGCUCAAUAACGAAGGCGGCGCCCACUAGAAUGAUUGUUACAAAUUCAUCACUGCUAAACUUGAUGGGUUCUCCAUAACAACGUCUCAAUCUUGCUUCGUGGUCCUUUAUUUUCUUAAUAUAAUCCUCCAAACUCACAUUGGUCCGACCUAUAAAAUCUUGCAGGUAUCUCUGUUUGUUCUCUUCCAAUACGACAUUCAAGCCUUCCUUUCCAUGGUGAAGUGGACCUAUAGAGACCGACUGCCUGAGGUGUGCAGAGCUUUUCAUUCACACAUACGUAGAUAAAAUGUCUGGGGGCUCAGAGAGUGAUGAAUGUGCAACAGCUAAUGGGAGGGUUUAUAUUCCUGAAGUAAGAAAUGAGGAAACACCAGCAGUUGGGAUGAAGUUUGACUCGCUUGACCUCGUUUACAAUUUCUAUAAUAGAUAUGCAUUCUUGGCUGGCUUUGGUAUUCGACUUCAUUCUAGCUUUUGGGGGAAAAAUAAGAAAGAGAUUUUGAGGAAAGAAUUUGUAUGUUGCAAACAAGGUGCAUACAAGAAGGAUGAAACUCGGGAGAGAAAAAGACAACGGGGAAUAAGUAGAUGCAAUUGCAAAGCAAAGAUUGUGGUUGUGAAGACAAAUGGGAGCAAGAAGUAUACCAUUUCUCUUUUUGCAGAGGGACACAAUCAUAAGAUGACACCCUCAGAAAGAAUGCAUUUAUUGAGAUCACACCGUCAUAUUUCAGAUUCUACAAAAGUACUCACAAAACAGUUGGGUUCAGUUAAUAUUCCCAUUCAUCAGAAGGUAAGUAUAUUCGAGGUGCAAUCCGGAGGAAUGGAUAAAAUCGGUUUUAUCAAAAAAGAUAUCUACAAUCUUGAAUGUAGUGUGAAUGGGAAGCUGAGGAACCACGAUGUUGAACUAGUGACCGAGUAUUUUAUGGCUGAACAGAAAAAAAAUGAGGCUUUUUAUUUCAAGAUUGAGGGAGAUGGGCAUGACAGGUUUAGUCGAUGUUUUUGGGCAGAUGCAACUUCUAGACGGGCGUAUGGGUUUUAUGGAGAUGUUGUUGUAUUCGAUACCACAUUCAACACGAAUCGAUACGACUUGACAUUUGCACCAAUGUUGGGAGUUAAUAACCAUGGUCAGACAAUUGUCUUAGCAUGCGCAUUUUUGAGCAAGGAAACGACUGAGUCGUUUGUUUGGAUGUUUGAGGAGUUUAAGAAAGCCAUGCCAGGUGGGGAACCUAAAACGAUCAUUACAGAUCAAGAUGCGGCAAUGGCCAUAGCGAUUUCAAUAGCCUUCCCGAGUACAUUUCAUCGACUUUGCAUAUGGCACAUCACAUCAAAGUUCUCUGUUAAGUUACCACGUGACGCUUAUAAGGAGUAUUGGCCUGAAUUUCAGAAAGCCAUAUGGGAUACUGACAAUAAGGAUGAGUUUGAUGCAAAAUGGAAUAUUGUGGUUAUAAAGGCUGGUUUGACUGACCAUCCAUGGCUAAGUUCAAUGUUUGAUUUAAGGGAAUCUUGGGUUCCAGCCUACGCACGACAAUUUUUUGCCGCUGGAAUGUCAAGCAGCCAAAGAGCGGAAGGUUCUCAUGGUUUUUUCAAGCAAUACAUAUCAAGGAGAAAUUCGUUGAUGGAUUUCAUAAUACGAUUUGAGAGGGCAUUUUCUCAUCAACGUGAAAAAGAGUUAGUUGCUGAUCACGUAGAUGCAUUUGAAGUGGCUCAAUGUCUUCUACCGAUGCCAAUGAACAAACAAAUGGCUACCUUGUACACAAGGACAAUGUUUCAAAAGUUUGAGCAAGAACUAAUACAAAGUACAGCAUGUUUCCUAGAGCUCAAAACAGAGGAUGCAUGUAAAGUUGUGUUCAACGUGAGCGAAAGGAAAAAUUGGGAAACAAGAGUGGCAGAAGUCGUAUAUGUCAAAGAUUCUGACCACGCAUCGUGUAGCUGCAAAAGAUUUGAAUUUGUUGGAAUUAUUUGCAAGCACAUCCUAGCAUUGUUCAGAAGGGACCAGAUUGAAUAUAUGCCCGAUAAAUAUAUUUUGAAGAGGUGGAAGAAAACUGCGAAAUGUGGAUUGGUGUCAGAUGCAAAUGGCAACGAAAUUAAAGACUGUGCAGAUCCUGGCCUUCUAAUAAAGCGGAGUACAAUGUCUCGACUUGCUUCAAAUGUGGUUGAGGAUGCAUUAAUGAGUGAAGAAGGAUGUGAGCUACUGUCAGAGACUCUAAAAAGUUUGCAGGUGAAGUUGAAGUUGCUGAAGGAUGGACCAAGUAAUAACGAAGUUGGAGGGUCCAGCUCUCAAACACAAUAUAUGAAAGACCCUAAGAGAGUGAGGUGCAAAGGAAGGUCGAAAGGAAUAACGGGAGCAAAGGAAAAGGCAAUGAAGCGAGGGAUUAGACACUGUCGGGAGUGUGGACACAUUGGUCAUGAUAGAAGACAAUGCCCAGCCUUGAACACACCGUAAGAUGCUACCACUAUUUGUAAUAAUAUCUAAAAUAUGAAAAGGUAAAAUUUUUAUGUGCUUGUGUUUGAUGUUUAUGCAGGACAUCACCGUCGAACAAUGACAAAUCAACUCCAAUACAUCGUAGUGACCCAUUAUUCGACGAUUUUGACAAGAUGCACAGACCAACUGAAUGAUUGAUAUUUGUAUUAGACGAAAUGUGGUUGUUAUGAAGAUUAAUGAUCAAGUGAAGUUUUAUAGAUUCAGUUUUUGAAUGUUAUUGUGUUUUUGUUCAUGUCCACCGAUGAGCUCUUACUAUGUCCACUGGUAAUUGAAAUGAAAAUUUUCUUGGUUUCAUUCUUCCAAGACAUUUGGAGACAUGUUAAUUUUACGUCUUCUCCCUAUUUAUAAAUUUUCAUAGACAUUUGAUCAAGUUUGAAAUUUGUAGUUAUGUGAAGAAGCAAUGACUCUUACCAUGUAAAAUGGGCAGUUUAGGGUGAAAUUUGUUUUAACAGAGAUUCAUUUUUCAAUUCCUCAGGGUAAUGCAGCAAUUACAGCAGCCAGCUGUUGUUUCCAUUACCAGUAAUCAUUUCCAGCAGCAGCCACUUUUUCCGACUGGUUAUUAGGGGCACGAUUUUGUACACUUUUGUAAGUGAAGGAUACUCGAAGCACUUUGUUGGAACAGAGCAAAUAGAAACCAGCGGGUAAAAAAAAAACAUAACAUUGCAGCUAAUUACAUUUCGAUACAUAGGUGAAAAAUAUUAAAGGGUACACUAACUUACAUAAAUACUCAUAAUUCCACACACAAAAGAACAUUUGAUUGCAAAACAUAUUAUGUGCUUCCUCAUAGCAAUACCACGAUCUCCCCAACCAACUGAACAACGGUAGCCACAAUCACUGGGUCGUACUCGUCAGCUUCUUCUUAGCAGGUCUCACAUGCUUAUGGCCACUCAUAUCCCUAGUGAUAUACACGAAAUAAAUCUUCAGCAAUAUUUGGAAUUUUAUUAUAUAUAAAUAAACCAUAAACCAUUCAGUAAACAAUGUAUAGCACAUGUUAUGUAACUUAUGACUCACGUGUCAGUUUUUUUUUUAACACAUUAGUACUCCAGCUCUUUAAUGUAAAUGGACAUGAUAAGGAGCAUUUACUGAUUCCCGGCUUUCUAUGAUAUUGACUGCUUCUUGAAUAAUAUUUCCAUAUUUGCAAAAUAUAAUGUUAGACAUUAUAACACAUGAUGACUUGCAAUACAUAGUCCCAAUAAUUAUAUAUCAAGCAAAUGAAACUGAUAUUUGUGUUAUUUUAAGUUAGAUAAUGACAUUAAGGGAGUAUAUGUGCAAUACCACGGUCACCCUCAACCAACUGAACAGCGGUAGCCGCAAUCACUUAGUCGUAUCGGUCGGCUUCUUCCGAGCAGCUUUGACGUGCUUAUGCUCAUUCAUGUCACCCCCAUCGUCUAGUAUCUCUCUCACAGCAUCAGGGGACACAUAGUUCCAAUCAUAACUUGUAUGAGUAGUUGCCGCAAAUGCUCGGAAUUUGUCGAAUCCUUCGUUGAAUGCCAACUCCAGUUCAGUAUGGUGCUCUUCGCAUCGCAUAUGGUUCAUCAAACAACCUUUGAUUUCAUCAUUCAUUACUGUAUCCAACUCCUCAGCUUUCAGCUUCCUGCUAUGACUCAGCUUCAAGUACUUGUUCUUUUGGGAUAACGCUUUGUUCACCCUAAUGUUAAGAUCAGCCAAAAUUGCCUCGUCUUCAACACAUUUCUCGUGCCAUGAAUUGAUCAGUCUGGAAUUAUAAUCCAGCUUGCCACUGACUGCAUGUAUUGCCUGUAAUGGAUCAUCGGAGUCCCCCUCACUCCCAAAUGAUGUUGAAAAAGGAAGGGGUCGGCGAGUACAAUGUGGAAAUAGAACCUGCCACUCCAAUUUGUCAUCUUCGAUUGUGUUGUUGGCGCCUGAAGAGGUUGACAUGCUUGAAUAAUCCUCUUUGUUUUGGGAGGAUGAGGAUUGCAUAUGCAAUUUCGUUUGAGAAAGGGAACAUAGGUUUAUAGACCAACAUACCAAAGCUUGUGUGUAGUCAACAUAUGUACUUUUUGGCGGGAAUUUUUUAAAAAUAGGUGUUAGGUUUUGCUUUUCAAGCAUGUCAACCUCACACUCUCCUGACACCACUGCUAGUGGUUGAAACAAAGUCAAUGGAAGUGACAUCUACUUAGUUAACUCAACCAAACUAGUUAGGAUUAAACUUAGAUUGUAUCAGACCAAAAAAUAAUUUCUACUUUGUCAACCAAAUAUUUUUUGGCGGGAACCCUUUUCUUGGUAUUACUAUCACCCCUUUCAUAUAAAAUCUCCUUCCACACAAAACUCACUCCUCCACCGAAUCUGUCUCCAUCUACCGAUACUCUCUCAAGCAAACAAACUCAUUCCCCCCAAAGAAUGAGCAUAAGCACAACCAAGUUUGAUGUGAGCAUAAUAAACACCCCUCCAAACAAAGACCGGCUUCGACACGCAAGUGAGUCACCGGACAAGCAAUGUCACAUUGCUAGACAGAAUGACCAUUUUGUUGGAAGUUUUGAGUCUGAAAGAGUUGUUGCUUUUUGGAAGGAGAGGCAUCUUCAACUUGGUGAUGAAAUCCAAAGGGCAAGGGCACGUUUGGAAUUUGUGGAAGGCCAAAUUGAAGAUGACAAAAGGCAGGCCAAUCUGGAUAGGGCGAAGUUGUAGCGCAUGAAGCGUAGACACAAACGACUUCGGAGUGUAGCUGUUCAAAAAUACAAGAACUCAUCUAAUGUAGUGGAGUCAAAGAAGCGUGUGAUGCAAGCUGGAUUCGACUACUUCCGAUCCUAUGCAAAACUCGUCGUACCCGGGUUUGAUUGGUCAUCUAUUACCGUUUCCGACGUCACCAAAUAUACUCAGCAAGGGAAGUAACCAUUUUGGUUCUCGUGUUUUAGCAGAGGCAAAUAAGUGGAAUUGGAAUUUUGGUUACACUCUGCUUCAAAGCUAUUUUGAUGCUAACUACUAUGGAAGAUUUAAACCUUAAUAUUUUGAUGUCUUUAAUUACGAAAACAGAAGAUGCAAAGAGCUCAUCUACUUCAGCCAUAUGUUGCUGCCAUGUCCAUUUGUUUUUGAUCACUUAUCAGAUUUGGACAUGGUUGCAUCAUAUGCAAUGUUGCCUUUAUUUAUUAUAUGUUAGGACAAGGUUUAUGGAAAAGCUUUUGUGAGUGCGUUUGUGACAAGGUUAUGGAAUUAUUAUGUACACUUUAUAUAUUGUUUUUUGUACUGGUUCAUUUCCUACUAUUUCUUGCUUUCUUUAUAUUUUAUGUUUGUGGAAUCCCUCUCAAAGUUAACAUAUACUGUGAAAAAAAUAUUAUGCAACUGAUUAUAUAAUCACUCAUAUAGACUAGGACAAAUAUUCACUAAGGGUUUUAAACUUGCUUCACUUGUGUGAUGUUAUUGACAAAAAGUAUGGCAUUAUUUAUGUGAUUUGACAUGAUUGAAAAUAUAUUACUGAUUCCCAAUGCGGCGUCAUAUGGACAACGUAUUGAAUACCUGUGACGUGUUAAUAACUCAAGGUGCAGUUGCAUGUGGACAACUUCUUGAAUACCUCUGACGUGUUGAAAACUCUAGGUGCAGUUGCAUGUGGACAACUUAUUGAAUACGAACUGACGUCUUCAAAGCUCUAGGCGUAGUUGCAAUGAUGGCUUCAAAGCAUGUGCAAUUAUUUUUUAUGUACAUUAUUAUAACAAAACAUAUUAUUGUAUAUAGUGAAACUAAAUAUUGUAUUAUUAGAAAUUAUAUUUCGAAUAUUAUCCGAAAUAUACGUGUUAACGUGAAUUUGGGUUAAGAGGAAAGUGAGUUAUGUACAAAUAAUUUUCAUUUUCUCAUUUUCCGGGCAUUUUUUGGAUUUUCGUAGAAUUUAUUACCUAUGUCCACAGAUUGUUGCACUAAAAAAGCCAAAAUAAUAGCAAGAGGACACCUGGAGCGAUCUCAGCCCGUCACUGAUGACUACUUGCACAAGUGUACGUCAGUCAACAUGGCCACACCCUCCCAUUUUACCCUAAAUUAUUAUUUUAUUACUUUUCCUUACAAAAAUCAGAACUAAUUACACACAAAAUAAAAAAAUUAUCCGAAAAUUGCUACGAACUCAUUGACACUCCAUCUCCGUUGCUGAAUUCUCCGAUUCAUUGUUACGUAUUUGUAAAAUUAAUUCCCAACAUUAACGGGAGAUGCUUGUUGAAGUAGGUUAUUCAAGUUGAAGUUAACAAACAUCAAUACUUAGGGUUAAGAGGAAAGUGAGUUAUGUAACACAAUUUGGAUUAUUUCAUUGCGAGACGAAUGAUUUAUAGGUUCUCCUAGUUUUAUGACGUCACAAGUAGGCCGGAGUAAUUUUUGGGGCAUUUUUACGAUUUUCCUACUAUUUUUUACCUAGUUUCAAAGAUUUUUGAACAAAAGAAUCCAAAAUGUAAAAGAAGAUGACACCUGGCGCGAUCUCAGCCCGUCACUUUUCACUACUUGCACAAGUGUACGUCAGUCAACAUGGCCACAUCCUCUCAUUUUACCCUAAAUUAUUAUUUUAUUACGUUUUGUCUUGGAAAAUUCAUAACUAAAUACACAAAAAUUCAAAAUUAUUUCUGAAAAUUGCUACGAACUCAUUGACACUCCAUCUCCGUUGCUGAAUUCUCCGAUUCAUUGUUACGCAUUUUUAAAAUUAAUUCCCAACAUUAACGGGAGAUGCUUGUUGAAGUAGGUUAUUCAAGUUGAAGUUAACAAACAUCAAUACUUAGGGUUAAGAGGAAAGUGAGUUAUGUAACACAAUUUGGAUUAUUUCAUUGUGAGACGAAUGAUUUAUAGGUUCUCCUAGUUUUAUGACGUCACAAGUAGGCCGGAGUAAUUUUUGGGCCAUUUUUACGAUUUUCCUACUAUUUAUUACCUAGUUUCAAAGAUUUUUGAACAAAAGAAUCCAAAAUUAACAAGAAUAUGACACCUGGCGCGAUCUCAGCCAGUCACUUUUGACUACUUGCACAAGUGUACGUUACCGAACAUGGCCACAUCCUCCCAUUUUACCCUAAAUUAUUAUUUUAUUACCUUUUUUCUUGGAAAAUUCAUAACUAAAUACACAAAAAUUAGAAAAACGAUCCGAAAAUUUCUACGAACUUAUUGCGAUUUCAUCUUCCUACUGCAUUCCCUGUUUAAUGGUUAUGCUACAUUAGUAUUUUAUUAUUAUUUAUCCACAAUUAUUAUAAUUAUUAUGAUAUUACUUUUUAGGCUGUCCAUUUGUUAAUUAUACCACAUCCAACUUGUUGAAAACAAUUUUAUUUUCCGUGCGAAUAGGCCAUUUGUAGUGCUUAUCGGUUUCUCUGUUCUUCAAUUUGUUAAUUUUUUUAUUUUUUAGGUUGAAGGGAUGUUUUGAAACAUAAUAUGGAAAUAUACAAGUCAUCCAUUGUACUCCUUCCACACAAAAAAAUAGUCUACGUCAUUCACUGUUCAACACCCUAGGUUAAGACACGUGUAACCAAAUCCGUUCGGAUAUGCUAAGUGGGAAAAUGUCAUUCCCAAGCACUGGUGAAAAGACACUUAUUUACUCCAUGCAUGACUUUUGGUUUACCAAAUAUGAAGAUUGGGGUCGGUGAGCAAAAUAUCUGUGUCAGUAAAAUGUCAUUCCUAGCCAUCUAUGAUGUAAGUAAUAAUUCCGCUAUAUAAUAAAUAUUAUACAUUUAUAUAUAAAACGGUUUAUGACAAAAUACCAACAUUUGAACAACAUUUAAACUGAGAUAGGUAUAACGUAGCCAGCCAACCUAGAAGUGAAGAGAAGCAAGUCCACAAUGCAUCAAAACUGUAAAUUCGUACUAAAACUAAUGCAAAAAUACGUGAUUCCCUCGCACAACUUACUCACGCAGGAUUUUGCACCAAAAAAUACUCUCACGGUGCCAUUUGCAUCGGUUGCAGCAAGUCCAAAACGCAGGAUUUAUCUUGUCUUCACUAGGCCACCCUGGAAUAACAAAAUACCAUUCAUUGUUGUUACAAGCGCUGCACCGAUUGAACUUAAUCUUCCCAUAGUCAAACAUAUCUACGAUAUGUCUUGCAACAAAUGCUCCGCGACAUCUUCCUGUUAAAGCAUCCCUGGUUCCUUUCAUAUCAAUGUUGUUACGUUGAUUCAAAGAACACAAGAAUUGUAAUGCAUCCUCUUUUGACUGACCAAUUCCGGACAUACCAAGUAGUCCAACUACAUAUGCCGCUUCCAUAUGGCCUGCCGUGGCUGCAAUGCGCAUCCCAUACAACGCUUCCACCUUACCGUCUGUGAAAAAACCUUCGAAUGCUUCUCUAAAUAUGGACUCAGGGUUAUCGCAAGCCCUGCAUUGUUGCAAGAAAUGCUGGACUGCAGGUUUGGCACGGUAGCAGAUAGGAUGGUGUGGGUACUUUGCCAUUGAAAUGGUGUUCCACACUUGUGGACUGUUUGCCAAAAUGUUGAACAAUCGGCACACACAUGCCAUACGGAAGAGAUCUUCCGAUGAUUCGGUUGCCACGUAUAACAUCACUUGAAACCAAGCGGACUCCGGGAUAAAGGCUUCGGGCAUAUCGAAAUGGAGAUGCUUCCUUCUCUUUCCUCCGACUGUAGUGAAGUGUUUCGAAUUCAUUGAAAAGUUUUUGGAAUGGAACGAUUUGAGGAGUGGCAGAGGGGAUAAAUGAUAAUAUUUGGGGUACACGUUCUACUUCCGAGCCUCUGUUUAUAGUGUUUUGAAAAGGUGUUUCCAGUUGGGGUUUUUCCAAGUUGACCCUUUUGAAAGAAACUGAAUCCAAGUGAAUUAAAACUUAAGACAAAAGAAGGGAAAACGUCAUAACGGUGCAUACAGAGUCAGACAGUUAAAAAGUUAAUUAAAUGGCUAUUUGCAUAGCCAUUUUUGGGUUUAUCCCACUAUCAAAUUCAUUGAUACAAAUGUGAUGGAUUACUGACUAGUGACAGAAGGUCCCAUCAUAUACUUUUUCAUUUUCGCACACCCAACUAUCCCUAGUAAUGUUAUUAAAAUGGAACCAAUAAUGACGGAUUCUUAUCCAACUAGUUGCCUUAAUGAAAUAUAAAUAAAUUAAUAAAAUUGAAGCAGUGUCCCGUCAUUAGUCAGAAAAUAUAUUUGGUAGUGAAGUAGUUUCUAUUGCUUUUCGGGCUAAAAGAUGUCACAAUGCUGACGGUACAGGUGUCGACAUCGUGACCAACCCACCAAAUGAUCCCAAAAAAAAGUAAUAUAACUCGAUUUGGGCAGAGAUGAGAGAGAGCUGAGUGACAAGUUUAGGGUUAUGAGUGAAGGGGUAUGAAUGACAACUAUGAGUGAGAAGGUAUGAGUCCGAAGAGGUUUCAGUGAGAAGAUUUGAGUGAGAAGAGGUACAACUGAGAAGAUUCAACAUGUCUUCGUCUUCAUCUCCUGCUCAAACAAAGAGGUGUCAGUAUUGUGGAGCUACAAUGGUGCUUCGGGUUUCAAAAUCUGAAAAAAAAUCGAGGGAAGCCAUUCUGGAAGUGUCUAACCUCCUAUGUAAGUUUUAAUUUAAAGAAUAUGUAUGUGGGUGAAAAAAAACCUAUGUCUAACUCUGACAGAAUUAUAUUCCAUAUAUGAUGCCUGCAAUUAGGGAGCCACCAGUUGCAAUGGAUUCGAAUGGGUUGAUGUAACCUCCGCUGAAGCAGAACAUCAAGAUGACACGUAUGAUGUUAGAGUGCUGAACAUGCUGAAGUCCAUUAAGGACUUGGUAUUAGUUUUAUUAGUUGUAUUAAUUGUCAUUUUAUUUGUUCUUUUAAUGAUCAUUUAACUGCACGGUUUAAAAGAUUGUGAAAGUUCUCUCGCACAAGACAUAUUGCACGCACCACCAAUGAGACCCUAAACCCAUUUUGUAAUAUUUGGUAACUGCAUGUAUUUCGCAUGUUAUUGAAUGUUUAUUGAAGGUUUAUUGAUAGUUUGCUGCAUGUAUAUGGAAUAUCAUUGCCCCAAAAUUGGAUGUUUAUUGGGGCCACAAGUAUCACUCAAGUAAGAAUGAAGGGGAGAAACGGACCUUAUUCUUUCUUAUAGUAGGAAGAACAACUGUUAAGUUUAAUAUCCUAUUCAAUACGACUUCCCUAUGGUUGGUGUACUUGGGGACUGAAGUAUAUUGCAUCAUUAUUGUGGGCAAGGGCAUGUCUAUUGUGUGUGUUAAGGGAGUAUUGUGUGGGCAAGGGCAUGUCUACUGUGUGUAUAUUGCAUGUCUACUGUGUGUAUAUUGCAUAUCUAUUCUCUGUAUAUGGCAGGCCAAGUUUGUGUAUAUUGUUUGUCUGUUGUGUGUGUAUUGCUUGUCGGUGCGUUUGUGAAUUGUGGUUCAUUUUGUGUAUAUUGUCUUUGUUUCUACUUUUAUGCUACUGAGCUGCGGAAAACCUCGCAUGUUUAGACACCUAUUAUGAUGCAACACAUUGCGAUUAAUGGUGGCUUGCAUCAACAAUGACAUAUCACUUUGCAAUGAUGUAAUACACUUAAAAAGCCGUCUUCAAAUCCCAAUUCACAUAUGCAGUCUUAAAAUUCUAAUUCAAUGCAGUUUGGUUAACAAACAUGUAAAUGUCAUGAAGGAGUUAGCGGUAGAAUUCGAUAAGGACCCGUACGUCUCUAUUGUGUAUUUACAUUAGUUUGAGAAUGGACAUUCCCAAAACCUUCUCAUGUACCAUUUGUCAUCUUCAACCAAUAUCAUGGGAAGUAAGCAUCUCCCCUUGUUAUCUCCGCAGCCAAUUUCAACCGAAAAAAAGGCAUGUUGUGCGAGGUGCAAGUAGCUAACGGAAGCUUAGCGCUGAAAAGCUCAAUGUACUUUAACACAAACAUGCCACAAUCGCCUCUGAAGCAAAACAAGAACUCGAUCAAUUCAACUAAUGACAUUCUAAUGUAAUUGACAAUUGAAAGUAAUAAAAUUAAAUUGCAAGUUGUGCUUACUCAUUAGACUGUUGUGGAACAUCCACACGCUCUAUUGGCCACGGACACCACCAAUCUCGGCUGCAAUUGUUUGCAUAAACACCUUCUUCAUAAAAGUCGAUGGUGUUGAGAAGAUUUGGAAGCGUAAUUGAUAGCGGGCCGAGUUCUUCCUUUACGAUGUCAUCUGGAAUUAGUGAAACCUUUGAAUCGUACACUUUGAUUCACACAAUACCAGAUCAAACANNNNNNNNNNNNNNNNNNNNNNNNNNNNNNNNNNNNNNNNNNNNNNNNNNNNNNNNNNNNNNNNNNNNNNNNNNNNNNNNNNNNNNNNNNNNNNNNNNNNNNNNNNNNNNNNNNNNNNNNNNNNNNNNNNNNNNNNNNNNNNNNNNNNNNNNNNNNNNNNNNNNNNNNNNNNNNNNNNNNNNNNNNNNNNNNNNNNNNNNNNNNNNNNNNNNNNNNNNNNNNNNNNNNNNNNNNNNNNNNNNNNNNNNNNNNNNNNNNNNNNNNNNNNNNNNNNNNNNNNNNNNNNNNNNNNNNNNNNNNNNNNNNNNNNNNNNNNNNNNNNNNNNNNNNNNNNNNNNNNNNNNNNNNNNNNNNNNNNNNNNNNNNNNNNNNNNNNNNNNNNNNNNNNNNNNNNNNNNNNNNNNNNNNNNNNNNNNNNNNNNNNNNNNNNNNNNNNNNNNNNNNNNNNNNNNNNNNNNNNNNNNNNNNNNNNNNNNNNNNNNNNNNNNNNNNNNNNNNNNNNNNNNNNNNNNNNNNNNNNNNNNNNNNNNNNNNNNNNNNNNNNNNNNNNNNNNNNNNNNNNNNNNNNNNNNNNNNNNNNNNNNNNNNNNNNNNNNNNNNNNNNNNNNNNNNNNNNNNNNNNNNNNNNNNNNNNNNNNNNNNNNNNNNNNNNNNNNNNNNNNNNNNNNNNNNNNNNNNNNNNNNNNNNNNNNNNNNNNNNNNNNNNNNNNNNNNNNNNNNNNNNNNNNNNNNNNNNNNNNNNNNNNNNNNNNNNNNNNNNNNNNNNNNNNNNNNNNNNNNNNNNNNNNNNNNNNNNNNNNNNNNNNNNNNNNNNNNNNNNNNNNNNNNNNNNNNNNNNNNNNNNNNNNNNNNNNNNNNNNNNNNNNNNNNNNNNNNNNNNNNNNNNNNNNNNNNNNNNNNNNNNNNNNNNNNNNNNNNNNNNNNNNNNNNNNNNNNNNNNNNNNNNNNNNNNNNNNNNNNNNNNNNNNNNNNNNNNNNNNNNNNNNNNNNNNNNNNNNNNNNNNNNNNNNNNNNNNNNNNNNNNNNNNNNNNNNNNNNNNNNNNNNNNNNNNNNNNNNNNNNNNNNNNNNNNNNNNNNNNNNNNNNNNNNNNNNNNNNNNNNNNNNNNNNNNNNNNNNNNNNNNNNNNNNNNNNNNNNNNNNNNNNNNNNNNNNNNNNNNNNNNNNNNNNNNNNNNNNNNNNNNNNNNNNNNNNNNNUUUUCCUCUCCCUCAUCUCUAUUAUUUGGCCCUUCACCCCCUUCAAUCCCUUCAUCUUCUUUUUCCUCUCCCUCAUUUCUGUUACUUGGCCCUUCAUCCCAUUGAAUGUCAUCCAUUUCCCCAUAUCCCUUAAAUAGAUGUGAGACGACACAACGAUUCGUCCUCUGUUUCAGUAAAGCUAGGUCCCUCCUUACUUCCUGCUCAAACUGAGGACCUAAACAUUGGUCCAAUAGUUUUUCCAUCCGUAUGACCUUUAAGUGAAGGACGUCUUUUUCCCGCUUUUCUUGAAACAACUCGGACCUCAACAAGCUUACCACCUUGUUCAACUCAUCAAGAUCACCACAUGAAGAAGGAAUUGACUCUGCCGAGACAACAGCAGGGCGAUCCUGUGGCCAACUCCAAUAUGGCUGUCUCAUUUCCUCUUCACUUAGACAUAGCGCCCGCAACUGAACUGACUGUUUCAGAAUACAGACAAGAGUCAUAUUAAAUCAUUCUACUUCAUAAUUUCAUUCAAUCUUAUCAAUAGUUCUAAGGGCUGCAAACCAAACCUCUUUGCUCUGGAAAAAAUAAUUGUUCAACUUUCUCAUCUCUGGAACAGACGUAGUAGUUCUCCAUCGCAAAAUACGCGGGACAGCGGUCGGAUCAACAACCUUGCAGUAAUUCAGGUCCGCCAUUCUAGGAAUUAAUUCAUAUACCCAAAUCUACACAAUUCACAGGACAAAAGUCAUUAUUUAUGUUUUAAAGAAAAACAAAACAUAACUGACAUGAACAUUAUUACCAUGUACCUGGAAAGCAUACGUGAAACCUUUAAAACUCCAGCCACUCCUUUGCGCUUCACUAUGCUUAUCCUUCUUGCCCUUCUCAUUUCUCCGGCUUGUUCCCGUUACCUUACUUUUCCCCUUCCCUCUUCCCUCUUCAUUUUCCAAGCUUUUCACAUACUUUGUUGGUGCAGAAAAUAGACUGUCUUGGGUUUUGUCAAAGGACACCGAACCCCACGGAUACCUGUUGAACGCAUCCAAGUCCUCUACAAGGGUCAGGUAAUUUAGAUUGAUGUUCAAAUGUUUGUCCCUUCCCAAAACCACUAACUCAGCAAAGUAAACAAGAGGUAGCUUGAAGAUGUCAUCUUCCUCUGUGCACCUCACAAAUGCUUCUUCUAAAGCAUUGCAUGUAAUUCCUUCGUCUAUAAAAUAUCUUUUCUGAAGUCUGAUUUCAUUACUCUCUCCACUGGAAACUUCAGGCACUUCCCCAAAACGAAGCCCUGUGAUCAAACAGAAAUCCUGACGAGUGAACUGAGCAACGUCACACCCUAAUAAGAAACUCAGUCCAUCCAAGUCUUUCACACCCUGCCCCGCUACUCUACGCAACACAACCCCAUGCACAAUCUGUCCGCUAAACUGAAUCUUAUCUAUAUUCAGAAGAUGGCCAAAGCAUGAUGUCUUGAAUUGUUCUAAUUGUUCCGCACUCAACUUCGCUCGAAUUGCAGCUAGAGAUGAAUUUGCAUGUGAGCAGUUGUUCACCCGUGAUGAAUAUACCUCUGCCUCUGGCCAUACCAGCUCCACGUUGGAUCCCAUUUCCUCAAAUACAAUGUGAAAUAACGUGAACAUAUAUACUACCACGUAUUUGCACAAUCACAACUAGUCAACCAGGCACAUUACAACUUUUACAAAGUACAUGAGCAUAUGGAUUACUCAUCACAGGCUUUAACAUCAUCAAAGCAAUAUGACAAUUUUUGUGCAAAUACCUGUUAAUGCAAUGAUUAUGUGAAUUACAAACAAUUUCACGUGUUUUAUUUAUGGAUCCAUACUCGUGUGAGUGCAAUGUAGGCAAGUUCUGCACUUCACACACAUGACAAUUAUUGUCAUCUCAUACACAACCCAAAAUAAAUAAAUAAGAAAUAUAGUGGAAGGAAGCAAAGCAAAGCAUGUACUCUGCUAUCUGCUUGCUAAGCAAUUGCCACAUCCUUCUUUCUUUCUACCUUUUUCUUCAGUCACCCACAAUCGUCAUAGAUCAACCUUCAUUUCAAAUGCUUUGCACUUUUAUUCAUGAGUUUAUUAUUAUCUGUUCUCAUUUCUCAUAGGCAAAUUUAGUAACAAAUGAAAUAAUAUUUAUUUCACAAAAUAUAUAAAUUCUAGUGCCAGAGAGGUACUCUUCACUCUGCACUGCUUCAAAUGUGGAAGGUUUUGAGAUGUUAUUGACAUGUGAUUGACUUUAUUUUCAUUCGUUUUUUAACAUAUACCCAAGCAAAAAUUAACAUGCAAUUGAAGCACAAAUAAGAGAUGCCAAAUCCAACAACAUUGAUGGUACAAAUUGGGGAAAACCAUUACUCUAACCCUAAACUCAAAUUCCUUACAUUACUCAUCAAAUGCUUUGCAGUUCUAUUCAUGAGUUUAUUAUUAUCUGUUCAAAUGUUUCUCAGGCAAAUUUAGUAACAAAGGAAAUCAUAUUUACUUCAUAAAAUAUAUAUAUAUAUAUAUAUAUUCUAGCGCCUCUUCUUAAUCUGCACUAUGCACUGCUUCAAAUGUGGAAGGUUUUGAGGGCCUCCUCCAAUUCAACACCAUUAUCUUAUUCAUAUCAUUAUUGACAUGUUAUUCACUUGUUAUUGACUUCAUUUUCAUUCUUUUUUUAACAUAUACCUAAGCAAAAAUUAACAUGCAACUGAAGCACAACGAAGAGAUGCCAAAUCCAACAAAAUUUAUGGUACAAAUUGGGGAAAACCAUUACUCUAACCCUAAACUCAAAUUCCAUAAAUUACUCACCAAAUGCUGGUUAUUGCAAGGUGUCUGUGUGGGGUCUUUCUGUUUCUUUGCUCCACAAAUGGAACCUACCACUUCCAACGAAUACAGCUUUUCCCCUUCCCCUUCCACUGCUUCGCCUCUUCACUGAUUUGGAAUCCACACCUUUGCCCCUUCUACUCCAAAUAAAUACUUUCUCGGGGUCUGGAGAACGGAGUGGCGAAUCGUUGCCUUCAACUGUCGUUAGCCGUUGCCUUCAUUGGGUAUCUCAGACCUCUGUGUUUUAGAGAGAUGAGUUCUUUCUGUUCAAACUUCGAACUUGCCUCUUCUUCUUCUUUUUCGGACGUGUUUCCCUCUUCUUCUUCUUUUUGGACGUGCUGGAUAUUCAAUUCGGGUUUGGGUUCCUUACCUACCCAAUUGUGAAACUUUAACUCAAUUCUCCCCAGCCCUUGGAUUAAUCUGAUGGCUAUAAAGUGAACCCCUUAUAACUUACCCCUUAUAACUUUCCACUCAUUAUAGUCUUGGCCAGGUAUGGCGGCCAUGCUAGUAAGUGUUGGGUCUUUGACCCAACUUAAGCUAAAUGGGUCAUAAGAUGACCGAUCAUCUUAUCUCAUAAGGAUAUAUAAGUCAUGUUAUGAUUUAGGAUUUUAUAGGGUUUCCUUUGUAAGAGGUAAGAGAGAAACAAGCUCUCUCUCUCUCUACACAAGGAGGUCAGCCAUAGCAAGGGAAAGGCUCCUAGCACUCUCCUCUCUCUUAUUAUAUCAUCCUUCCAAGGACAGCUUUGGUAUGGUAAAGUUGGAGGUUGCACACUUUGUGCACUUUGGUAAGAACUCAUCCAAGGGAGCCAAGAUUAAAUUGGUUAGCUGUUGGAUUAAAUUGGUUAGCACGAUUCAACGGUUAAUAGAUAAAACUUCACAUAAAAGUCAUAUAUAAGGCCCUCACUAUAGAAUGACUCGUUAGUUUAGUCUCUUGUUACAUAUCAAAUGUUAGAGAUAUUUUUUAAUAAGGAUCUGCCAUACCACAUAGUUGGAUAAGACAUUAUACACGGCUUUUGUAAGAGCAUCUCCAGCGCUCCAAACUAGCCCAAGCAGCAGGGGGGCCUAAGUCUAGGAAGCAGCUCCAGCUCGCAAGAUUCAACCCAGGCAAGGUGUGGAACCCACGAGGAGAUCUAGCCCGUCACCUUGCCUUUGGGUUUCAGUCAAGCUGAUGUCAACGAAAGAAUUUCAAAUUUUUUUUACCGUUACAAUGUACGCGCCAACGAUAAAUUUUCUUUGGAUUUCUUGCAUUGAUCCACAGCUACCAAAAACCAACAGCUACAAGCCACGUGGCUUCUCCAGGAGCCUCCGAUCCAAAAAUCAUGUCAAAUCUAACGGCAGUCCAUUUUUUGGCUAAAAAUAUCAAAAAAUUAUGGAAACAUGUUCUAUAAAUUCCUACAAAUAUUAUUCACUUCCCACACCAAAUCUUCAUACAAAUUCAUAUCCUUUCAAUAUUUUUCACUUUCCAUACAAGAUUUUCUACUACUAAGUUUCGUUUGUGUAAAAAUACAAAUGACCUCUUCUAUCGAAGCCGGAGGCGCGUGUACAACCGUGGAAGAUAUUUUGUUGCGUGAGUGUUGGGUCAAAGUUGGUCAUUCCCUGAUCACGGGCAAUGAGAUGAAGUCCUCUCGUAGGAGUUUCUGACAUCGCAACGAAAGUAAGAUGUGAUAUGAAAAUGUAAGGAAUUUGAUGAGAGGAAUGGGAUUUGAGGAGUUUGAUGUAGGAAUUGAUGUAGGAAUUGAAUUUGGGAGGUAUGUAUAUAAGAUUUGAGGGUAUGUGUUUAGGGAUUUUGAUAAGAGGAUUUGAGGAAUUUAGAUUUGAAGGAUUUGGAUUUGGGGAAUUUAAAUAUGAGGAAUUUGAUUAGGGUUUGGGUUUGAAUAUGUGAAAUUUGAUAUGAGAGUUUAGAGACAACAGAUGAUCGAUUGCUCUGAUACCAUGCUAAAAUAUGAUAUGGUUUGAAUACUUUAGGUUGAGUUUUAUUCUUUUCCAUAAAAAGGUAUAUAUAGGAGUUUACAUGAGUGCUUUACAAAGAAAUAGAUACAAUAAUCAAUUAGGAUAAUAUCUCCUAAUUAUACAAUAAUUUGUCAACUAUAUAGAAUAGGAAAGUAAAUUCCUUAAUUAAUCAAGAAAAUAAAUCUCAUUGAUUAAUUAGGAGACUAACGUCAACAUUUAUAAGCCAUAAAAGAGCAGAAAAAGAGGUACUUAGGAGAUUUUAUACGUCGGACUAAGGUAAGCUUAAAGGACUAUAUCAAAAAAAUAAGGGACCAAGAAGCAAGACAGAGAAGUUGUUAUGCAAACCCAUUAAGUUUAGCAGUGAUGAAUUUGUAAAAAUCAUUCUAGUGGAUUCUGCCUUCACUAUUGAGUUCUUAUUGAGGUUCUAUCUGAAAGGAUCUGGACAUGAAGGAGACCGCUUAUUAAACAAACCGUGGAUGUUUACAGCCUGACAUGUGGUUGCUUGAAAAUCAGCUCCCAUUCUUUAUUCUUGAGGAUCUUUAUCACACAUACAUAAUAACCGACUCUUUUAGGAAUUAUUACAGUACUCAUGAUCAUGAGAGGCUUUCAAUAAUUAAUAUUUCUAAGAAUUUCUUCACAGCCGGAAUAUUGAAUUUGGAGGGGAAGGGAGACAAAUGGAACAGAAUAUCAUCUUCUUCUAGUGUUGGAAAUUUUAUAUUAUUUAAUAAUAUUUAAUUUCUAUUGUGAAUGAAAAAUAAGUUUCUUUAAGAAACGUGUGUCUUAGGCCAGUUUUUCUAACUGGUCGGCUUCCUUAGAUUUGUGCCUAUUGCUUUUCAAAGUAUAAUGAUGCAAUGGUUGUAUCUCGUUCAGGCAAAUGGAAGGUAUAUAGCAAUUUAUAGAACAAUACAGUAAUCCAGAAGAAAUAUUAUGAAAUGAAAAGAAUAAAAAGUAAAAAAAGAGAAAGAAAGGAAUUCCCACCUGCAAUGUAUAUGUAUGAAAGGAAGGACCAAGUUUGUUUUAAAAUGGUAAGAACAAGUUGAUUUUAAAUUGGGUUCAGAUCAACUCAUAGAUUUCUUGCCUUUUCUGUUCUCCUUCCUUGGACAUGAACUGUUUAAUCUUGGACUCUUCCCCAUCAUGUUGGGCCUGUCUUCUUCUUGAGGAUUGUAUAGGCCUAGGAAAUGCUUCGGGGUAGUUUUUGUGUUUUGGGCAUUGGGACCCAACUUCACAAAAAGAAAACAAAUUUGACCAAAACACAAAUUUGAAGGACAUUGAAAUUGUACCCGUAGGAUAGAUUAAAACACUAUAAGGGAGGUAAAUAGUACGUUUACAGAGUUUAAGUGUAAUAAAGGAAUAAAAACAUGCCCAGAGAAUUGAUAAGUGAUAUCAAUUCUUGAAUAUACGUGAAAAUUAUUUUAUGUGGUUAAACCCCACCUCUGGGGAAAAUCCACGGAACUUCUUAGUCCAACUUCUAUCACUUAUCCUAGACACAUUCUAGAUAAUGUUUGCCAACCUCUUCGUAACUCAACUUCUGUCACGAGAUGAUCUUUCAACACUUUAUGUCGAACGCAAUACUGGUCACGAUUUCUUCAAGCUCGCCGGAGUUCUUCCAAUUCUCCUUAUAUUGAAUCUGAUACUAGUCACGAUCGAUUCAAGCUCAUCGGAGAAAAAUCGCCACAACAAUCUUGGUGCCCUCAACCGUAUGAGUCACUGAACAUGCAAAUGAAUACAAUAUGAAUGAUAAAAGUGUUUGAUAAAUCACCAAGUUAUGGAACACUUGAUGAUUUAUCUCAAAUAAAAAUUCAGCUUUCCAAAGUUUAUGAAUUGAAAAUAUGACCGUUAAAGCUCUCUAAACAAAGAAGACGAAGGUCUUAUUUUAUAGACUUUUACUUUACAAGAAAGAAAACACGUUGAAAACCAAAUCUCCAAUUUCCAAGGCUUGACAGAAAAUCACAAAAUUAUCUUUCCUAUUCUAGAGAUUGGUCACAUGAAGUCCAACCAAUAGGAAAUGAGAUAUUUAAGAAAGGAAGAUUUUGAUCAAUAUCAAUAUCAAAUGAAUUCUUAUACGCCUAGUCAAUUGUUAUGGGUAUCUUGACUCCUUGAUAUUGUGAUAUGAUUGAAACAUGAUUUCCACGUUAGAAAAUUAAGGGGAUGUUAAAACAUGAAGGUAAUAGGAGAAUCAAAUUGAUUUGGGCCAAAAUUGCCUAAAAAGAAAACACUCCUUAAUAAACUUCAAUUUACUUUUAAAAAUAGUAAAACGUGAUUGAAUCGUUCUUUAAAACAAUUCCCUAAUAUACAUGCAUGAUAGUGAUAUCACUUACCUUUGAAUCAGAUGGCUUUCACGGGUCAAGCCACAAGUUUUUGUCUUGGGGAUUGCUGAGCUUCAUCAAUCCUGCCAAUGUCAAUUUUGCCCCUAAGCUCUCUCAAAGCACGUUUACAACCUAUGCUAACAUAUAUUAGAGUUUAUGUUAGUAUCAAGAAAAUGCCAACACUAAUUUCGUAACACGUAGAAAUUGUUAGAGAUUGAAGUUUUUAUCAUUUUUUCUUCCAGACUCUCCACCACUCACUAAUAUAGUUUACUCAUGUGAUGAGUUUACAAAACCUAUUUCUCUACUCUCACAAAGACUAUACUUAGGGGGGUGUAUUCAAUUAGGAUUCUAAAGCGUUUAAAAAGAUUUUGUUUAAGUGCCAGCUUUCAUAGAACUUGAUGGAACUUUAUAAUUCGUAUAGAACUUGAUAGACUUUCAGAAGACUUCUGUAUAAUUUUUUAAUAAAACUUUCUUAAGCUUUCAUAGAACUUGAUAGGCUUUCAUUCCAAACUUAUGUAGAUGGUAUAUUUCAUUUUAUCCCCAUCCUUGACAUUUAAAGAAAGAAACUUGAAUUUUUUCAAUCAAAUUUGUUUUUGUUACCAAAGCAGCAAAAACAAAAAGUACUUGUUUGCGAUGGAAGAACAUAUGCACAGUUCAAAAUGAAAAGAAUAAGAAGCAAAGUACCUAUUUGACCAAUGAAUGCUGUGUCAACUAGAGAAGCAAUUGGAUCGGCUGUCAAAGCCAAUGCUGCAGGCAAUGCAUCGAUGGUCCAAAUUGCAAUAAAAAAAUAUUUUGAAUAAUGGCUCUUGCAGACAAAGACCACAUAAAUUCUGAACUGGUCUAGCUUGAAUAAUAAGGUUAGAUUAGCCAAUUGAUGAGAUUAAAAGCAAAGCAAGUUGAUGAAUUUAUCAUCAACUAUUUAAUAACCACAGUCCUGAUCUCUUGGACCCCUGUAGUCCAAGAGAUUUAUGGUCACCCACCGUUGGAUGUAAAUUCAACGGUUGACUUGAAUCGGGUAAUAAUCAUUUAUGUCAUAUUGCAUUUAUAUAUAUCAUUUUGAACCAUUGGAUUAAUAUCCAACGGUGGGUGACCACAAUCUCUUGGACUCCUGUGGUCCAAGAGAUCGGGACUGUUAAUAACCAAUAGAGUAUUUAAACAUAAACAACAAUGUUUGAUCAACAAAACAAAUAGUCCAAAUAUCAUCCAAAAAACAAUAACAAAAAAUCAAUCAUUCCAAACAAACUAGUCAUUCUCAAAAACUCUCAAAAAACCCACUCAUUCCAAAUUGUAGGAUAUCCAAUUUGAGCACUCCUCAGGAGACAUUUUCAAAAAUGCAUCCUUUUUUGUGUUACUAUGCAACAAAGAGAGUGCUUUAUAACGAGCAUGUUCAUCCAAAUUUGGGGUCUCCUUAAUGGCAUCCCAUAUAUAACUCCGCUGCUCUCUCUCUUUUUCCCUUUUUGCCAAUAGGUUAUGGACCUCCCGGAAGUCGAUGACAAUUGAAUCAAUGCUAAGGCUAAUUCUUCCCAUAGCUUGCUGGGUGGUCACAUUUGAGAUAGCAUUCCCUUCCAAAUAUGUUCUAGUUCGUUUCCUCUAGUAACAAGCAUAAAUCCUAGUAACAAGCAUAAACCCUAACCCCAACCUAUAACCUAAUAACAAGAAGAAAACCCAACGAGGUAUUGAUCAAAGAAAAAUUAGGGAGCAUACCUUCACAGAUGGAGGAAGGAAGCUGUUCGUCUUCGCAGAGAGAAAAUCUAGGGAAAGAGAAAAACGUCUUAUGAAAUACUUGGGGGGGAGGUUGGAUUUAUUUUGGUCUUUUUUAUUUAUAACUCUCCCCUUAAAACCUACGUAAAUUUAUCACUUAAUGAAAUCCUUCCAAAUAUAUGACCUUUCGAAUACACCUAGAUUUGAUUCAACUUUUUUAUAAUCAUAAUUGAAUACACCCAUAUUUGAAUGGACUUUUUAAAAGUUCAUAUAGGUCCGAAAUGAAUAUACUCAAACUUGUAAAACCUCUUUUAAAGUUUGUAUAAAUCCAAAUUGAAUACACCUGGAUUUUUAAAAUCUUUUUAAACACUUUAUAAUCCUAAUUGAAUACACCCCCCUUAUUCUCAAAAGACUAUAUUACUUUACCUCUAUCUCUGUGAAAUGUAAAAAGUUGAAACUUUAAUGUCAAACCUCAACAAAAGAUGAACUUUCAUCAGUUACGUUGAAUUUGGAUUUGUUGAACUUAAGUGGUUUUAUUUUCUUUGUCAGUGUUUGAUGACUUAAUUUGGUAUUUAUUUCUUCUUUUUUUUCCUUGGAAAUGUGUUCCACCAACGUGAGGAAGAAAAAUAUGCACAAAUUAAUAUAUUUAAUAGAAGCCCAAGAUUUCGGAUGCAUAUAAUUUCUACAAAAAUCUACAAAGUUUUUUACUUUACAAACUUCUUAUGUCUACCAAUUUCUACUAAAAUUAAUUUCUCUGUGGUGCUCAAAUUCAUCAUAUGUGUGUCGUUAAUUUUAUUGAAAAUUGGAAGUUCCCAUCAUUUUUGUUUUUUGGGAAUUUUCUGAACCAAGGAAAAUCAAGUAAAAUUAAUAAAGCCUAAAUUGGAAAGGGAAAAUAUCUAGAGGAUGCAUUGUAGGAUUGCUCAUGCCAAUAAUUGUACCCUCUAAAUAUAUAGAGACAUAUUUUUUUUGUUUUCAUGACAUGUGGUCCUAAAAUUAUUGUGUAAAUCUUCAAUCCUGAACGAUGCACCUAAAACUCAUCCACCCAUUCUCAGGCCAAUUAUUGCACCUAGUGGGCUCUCGACCCCCUCUCAAAUUUAACCACAUAUUUUAUGGACCAUCCAGCUGUGAGGUACAUUCCCCCCACAUGCCACAAUUGUAUAUUCACAAUUACGUCUGAUACAUCACAUCAUGCCACUUGCCUCAAAUGAAUUUAAGUGAGUGAGGCAGUUGGAAGUAAUUAAGCUCUAUAUUGGUGGGUGGAGUGUUACUUCUCGGUUCCCCUCAUCAUUCGUCUAUAAAAUGGUGAAGGCAGUUGCUAUUGUUACCAUAAGAGCCAGCUCCGACUUCCUUUAAUUUCUUGCUUCAUAUCCACUAGCUACAUCUGUUACCAAGUUAAUUUCAGUUCUAAUGGGGUUUCAUCUCCCACUCAUCUUUGCUCUUCUCAGUGUAAGCUCUGCAAUUUGAUUAACUUUUCCAUUCUCUCUCAUUGUACUCUAUAUAAACGAAAGUUUUGUGUUCCUAUUGUUCUCUCCGAUUUUAUUUAGUACGUACUUAAGUGUCGUCCACUAAUUAAUUAUACUUUGUGAUUUGAUUUUAAUUUGAGUUUGAAUUAAUGUUGCAGCUAGCAGCAGUGGCACUGGCAAACCAUGCUGCUCAACCAGCACCUCAACUUUACUGGAGCUCCGUCCUGCCAAACACACAGAUGCCAAGAUCUAUCAGUGAACUUCUGCAUCCUGGUUUGUGUUGAGCUCUUUAGAAUCUUAGAUAUCUCUUCUACCUGCCAUUUUACUAAAAUAUGUUCCACCACAUAUUUAUCAGUUAACCAUUGUCAUUACAUGAGUGACACAUAUUCACAAAUCGGCUGAUCACUUAUUUUCCAUUAUGACUUGAUAUAUAAUUUGCAGACUCCACAAAUGAAGAAAAGAGCACAAAUGACGUUGGCAAACCUGAAACUUUCCCAUUGGGCAAUCAACAUUACUCCAGUCAAAAACAUUAUGGAGGCAUACCUGAAACUUCCCCAUUGGGCAAUAAACAUUACUCCAGUCAAAAACAUUAUGGAAGAGGCAAACCUGAAACUUUCCCAUUGGGCAAUCAGCAUUACUCCAGUCAAAGACAUUAUGGAAGAGGCAAACCUGAAACUUUCCCAUUGGGCAAUAAACAUUACUCCAGUCAAAAACAUUAUGGAAGAGGCAAACCUGAAACUUUCCCAUUGGGCAAUCAGCAUUACUCCAGUCAAAAAAAGUAUGGAAGAGGUGCUUCUCCAUCCGACAAUCAACAACUCCAUUAUAAAGACUUAGCUAUUUUCUUCUUGGAGAAGGACAUGCGCCCUGGCACAACAAUGAAGUUCCAAUUCCCUAUAAAUUCAAACACGGCUACUUUCUUGCCACGAGAAAGCGCUCAAUCGAUCCCCUUCUCCUCUAACAAACUGCCAGAAAUUUUCAACCAUUUUUCAGUGAAGCCAACAUCUGAGGAAGCCAAAACAAUUAAGCAAACAAUCGAAGAGUGUGAAGCUCCAGACCUUAAGGGAGAGGAAAUAUAUUGCGCCACAUCUUUAGAAUCAAUGGUUGAUUUUAGCACUUCGAAGCUUGGAACAAGAAACGUUGAAGCAAUCUCGACGGAGGUAUUGGAAAAAGGAGCCACCAUGUCCAUCCAAAACUAUACAACAAUGCCGGGACUGAAGAAGUUGGCAGGUGACAAAGUCGUUGUGUGUCAUAAGCAGAACUAUCCCUAUGCUGUGUUUUUCUGCCAUGCAAUAAAACAUACAGCAGCUUAUGCUCUCUCCCUGAAAGGCGAUGAUGGGGAGAAGGUUAAAGCAGUAACCAUCUGCCAUCUAGACACAUCAGAAUGGGACCCAGAGCAUAUGUCCUUCCAAAUCGUCAACGUUAAGCCCGGAACCAUUCCCAUCUGCCAUUUCAUUUCCACUGAUGCUAUUGCCUGGGUUCCGAACCACAAAUCUGCAUGAUCAUCACUUAGCACUAGUACUGUGCGUAUAAUAUGCCUGUAUAAUUAUCUCCCUACUUAUUUCUGCCUCUUCAUCAUGUGGUGUAAGAUAUAUGUUGAGAUGAAGUUUUUGGGAUUUGUGGUCGAAAUUAACCCGAUCAUGUUUUCUCUUGCAACCAUAUAGACUUCAACUUGUACUCAUAAUAAAGCAUGCUAUAUUUAUGAAGAGAUAUUAAUCUUCAGGCAAAUAGAUAUUAUGAAAACAUAUAUAGCAAUUUAUCCAGAAGAAACAUUAUGAAAUGAAAAGAAUAAAAAGUAGAAAAACAGAAGGAAAGGAAUUCGCACGUGCUAUGCUAUGUAUGAAAGGACCAAGAUUGUUUUCCCUUUGGUUAAUGACUAGAAAAGCUCACUUGCAGAGUGCUUUCUCCGACCAUAGAUGGAAGAGAAAUUUUCUCUUAAUAAUAGCACAAUGAUCGGGUAAUUGUAAGAACAAGUUGAUUUAAAAUUCCUUGACCCAAAAAAAAAAAAAAAGUUCUUUUCAAAUUCAGGUCAACCCAUAGAUUUCUUGCCUUCGUCUUCUUCAUCACGUUGGGCUUGUCUUCUUUUUGCGUUUUGGGCCUUGGAAGUUGGGACCCAACCCAACUUCACAAAAAGAAAACAGAUUUGCCAAAAAUCAAAUUUCAAGUCUCUCCUCCGAUCACUAAUACAGAUCAAAUUUUGGAUUUGAUGAACUAAAGUGGUUUUACUUUCUCUGUCAGUGUUUGAUGACUUAAUUUGUUAUUUACUUUUUUUUUUUUACUUGAUCUUUGUAGGGGCUUUUUUUUUUCCGGCAGCUUAAACGGGCUGGGCUGCCGUAAAGGGUAGAUUGAUGAAAUUGUCCCCUUUGUCUGAAUUCGAAAAUCAAGCCCCAAAAGCGCUUCGAAAGGGCAGUAGAGCCUUAGGAAGCGUUCUGGUUACCUUCACUAAUUAAAACAACAGCAACUUACAGAUGAUUUCUUGAGGCUUACAGAUAAAUUUUCUAGCUUGGCAUGACAUGGAAGCAAAAUCAGCAUGAGUUUAGCACCAAAGAGGAAAAUAUGGCUUCCUAGGGAGAAAUGAGAGUGUUUAAGGUGAGGAAGAAGAGGUUUGCAGGCUGAUUUGGCUGAGAAAAGAGAAAGAAAGAACAAUGUUCUUCCGGCAGCUUGACAAAGCUUCUGACAGAUGUGAAAGUCGUCCGCCAGAAGAGGAAAAUGGAGAAGAAGGAUGAAUAGUGCACGAAAUUGGUGGGUUCUUGCAGGUAAGAGAGAAAGCUUGCUCUCUGAAUCUGAGUUGGUUUUGGUUGGGUAGAAGAAGCCCCCUUUUAUAGCUGCGGGAAACCAUCUUUUUCCAAGAAACCCUAAUGGUUUCUAUCCUUUUUGGCCAAGCUUUUCCCUUCCUUUCUCUUCUCCUCCCUUGACUUUUCCUAUCUUGGUGAAAUUUCCUCUGCCUAUUUGCACAAAAUUAGAGAUUUUGAGGAGCUCAAGGCCCCUUUCCCGCAGCUGCCUUAGUGGAGAAUCCCCAUUUUCAGUCAUCUUUCUUCCUUCUUUUCUCCCAUCUUCCAAGGCUAGGUUUGAUGAGAGAAAGAAAUGGAUAUGCACACUGGUUUGAAGGGUGUUUUUCCUUGAAACUUGUUCUCUCCCAUGUGCUGGAGCUUCCCAGCAGCUUACACACAUAGAUAUUUUGGCUUUCAUCGUGGCUUUUGUUUUCAGCUAGGUGCUGGAGAUUUUGCAUAUAUUUUCUUGAGUUGCUUGGGCCUUCUAGGACAAUACGUUGGUUUAUCAAGUGAAUGGGCUAACUUCAUCAAUUGUUGGGCAAUUUUGGUUGAGUUAAUGGACUAUUUUGGUUCAAGUAAUGGACUAUUUUGGUUGAAAUAAUAGGCUAUUUUUCUCUCUUUGUGCUCACCCACAUAUUUGGGCCUAAAAAAUGGGCUUGAGUUUCGGGGCUCCCAAGCAACCCCGGGACUUCCAUUUCUCGGCCCAUCAAUGAGCCUCAUGUCAACUUAUUACCAUCCAUACCACAACCCACUCAAGCAAGCCUCAGGCAUCUUGCGUGGCUUGGGCCCACGUAAGCUCGUAGUGGCAAUGUUGCUUAUUUGCUUGACGUGGCAUGUGUGCAAGUGCAUAUGACGAACUUUCGCGUGCCCAAAUUGAGUUUCUUCUCGGUAGGGUAUCGCAUUGGGCCGAGAAUUUAAUUGGGUAGAACCGUGGAUUUUUUGGGCCUCAACAAUCUUAUAUAUAUUAGUUUUCUUUUUUUCCUUAAUAUUCACCACCUUUCUGUUGCAUAAGUAUUCCAGUCUUAGCGGGUUUCCAUCUACCACUCAUCUUUGCUCUUUUAAGUGCAAGCUUUUUUAUUUUUAUUUUUUUAUGCACAAGAUUAGAGGGGAGGGAGAUUUCUCAAUGUAAGCUUUGCAGUUUCAUAAUUAAUAUUUCCAAUAUCUCACUGUUAGUAAAAUAUGGAACGGGAAAAGUACGAAUAAAAUACACACAUGUUUUAUUUAGCAAAAUUUUGACAAGAUACAACUGAAAAGUUUGGCCACUAUAUAAUAUUUUGAUUUAAUUUUUUUUAUUUUUUUAAUAUAUAUUAUUUUUAUUCAAUAAUAUGUGAAAAAUAGGUGUACAAUAUAUGAAAUUUGUAUGUAUUAUUGAAAAAUUCGUAAAAAAAAAACAUGUUAUUAAAUGUGAAAAAUAUGUACGUAUAUGUAUAAAACAUGUAUUGUACAUUACUUUUUAACAAACUUGUAUUUUACCUAGUCUUUAAACCGUAUAUGGAAAACGGAAGUAUUAUUGAAAAAUACAUAUGUACGUAUAUGUAUAAAACAUGUAUUGUACAUUACUUUUUAACAAACUUGUAUUUUACCUAGUCUUUAAACCGUAUAUGGAAAACGGAAGUAUUAUUAAAAAAUACAUAUGUACGUGUAUAAUAUGAGUAUUAAACAAAAAAAUGUGCUAAGUACUUAUCUUUUAAUUUAAUAAUUCAUUUCAUUUUGUGAUCUCAUACGUAGUAAUGAGAGUUCAAAUUAAUGUUGCAGCUGACAAUGGUGGCUCUGGCAAGCCAUGCUUGAUGCAGGAGUAUAGGGGUGGAUCAAGAUAGAUAUUUACCAUGUAAUUAGUUAUUUCAUGAUAUAUUGUUAUUUUCUUAUUUAGGUAGUUUUAUGAUAUCUUUUAUUAUUUAUGUGGGAUUUUAUAAUUAAUUAGUUUACUUUUGGACCAAGUAGCCUUGGUGCUCAAGUCUUGUAAAGCUUAUAAAUAAGGCUAAUGUAAUAGUUGUAGGAAAAGAGAUGUCGAUGAUUAAUAAAAUCGUUUAUUUGUGGCAUGGAUUUGCUACGAUAUAUGUGAGUUUGCACUAGCCCUAGAUUUCGGUGCUCGUGUAUGUGGUUGGUGACCUGUGUCCGGAUCCCGAUCCCCAUCAAUGCUGUUCUCCCAGUACCUCAACUUUACUGGAACUCUUUCCUGCCAAACACAAAUGCCAAGAGCUAUCAGUCAACUUCUGCAUCCUGGUUUCUAUUAAGGGACUUUUCGUGAGCUUAUCAUCUACCCAAAUUUUACUCAUCCGACGUAAUUUUAAAAGUGAUUUGAUCCUUUGGCAAAGUAAUCUUGAACUACAAAAAAGGAGGGCACUCGAAUAGGCAUGCCAUUUGGUAUUACCCACCUCUAAUUUCUUUUAAAAUUUUAGUAAUUGAUUUUUAAGAUUAGAAAAUGGGAAAGUUCAAAACCGAAAAAGUUGUUUCAGUUUUGGCAAGUAUCGGAAAAGACUAAAAUUUUCCGACUUUAUUAUUACUAGAAACAAAGUCGAAGUAUUCACCAAUCAUGUGGCCUUCCAAGUGCUCAAGGUUAAGCCAGGAACCGUUCCUAUCAGCCAUUUCCUUCCCAAGUAUGAUCAUGUUGUCUGGGUUCCAACCCACAAAUCUACAUCAGUACCUGAACUAAUCAGUUCUACAUGAAUAUUCAUUCAUGGCAACCUUGGGCUAAGUAUUUGAAUUUAUGCUCAUAAAGCUUUAAUGCUUUUGAGGGCCAAUCGUUGUCUACAUAUGGUAUUGUAGCAUCUUUAGAUGGAAGAGGUCAGGGGUUCAAUUCUUGUUUUCCACUUCUUUAUUUGUUGGUUUAUCGAGUGUAGAGUGGAGUUGCACCUAUAUGUUCGUCUCUCACCCCAUCAUUUACCAUUGAUAUAUAUUUAAUAGAAGCCUAAGAUUUCGGAAGCACAUAAUUUCUACUUUACAAACUUCCUGUGUCUACCAAUUUCUACUAAAAUUAAUUUAUCUGCGGUGCUGAGAUUCAUCAUAAUUUUAAUAGAAAUUGGAAGUUUUCAUCAUUUUUGCUUUAAGUCUCUACUCCACUCACUAAUAAAGAUUACUCAUGUGAGUUUACAAAACAUUUUUUUUUUCUACUCUCUCCUGAAGACUACACUUCUUCUCAAAAAAUUAGAUCACUUCACAUCUUGUGUAUGUGAAAACUAAUGUAAAAAGUUGAAACUUUAUCGUAAAACCUCGACAAAAAUGAGCUCUACUACAAAAUGUUAAAUUUGGAUUCGUUGAUUUAAAUGGCAAUUUGACACUUGAUAGAAAUUUUUACAUACAUGUGUUAGUGUUUGAUCACUUCACAUGUCACUUACUAUAUUUAUUCCACUCAAGUUAGGUAAAUAUUAUUAUCAAACAUUUCAAUUAAUUUGUGAUUUUUUUAUUAUUUAAUCAAUUAUGAAUUAAUGGAUUCUUCUUGUUGUUUUGAAGACCAACAAAAAAAAAAAAAAGGGUAGUGAUGGCUUAUAAUUCUGGUAAAACAACAGUGACGUGGACAACAGAUGUUACGCUGUACUAAAGAUUUUUGAAGAUUCUUUAUUUGAGUUUCUUUCAAGAUAAAAACCAUAUUAUCCACAACCACAAGCACAUCCGGCAGACAAUCUUUGGCUAUUCAUCACAAUUGGGAGACAAUGAAGAAGACAGAAAAUGGAGUAAUUCAGAUGUUACCAGCCAUCCACGACAAACUGAAGUCUGCAAAGCAUUCGUAAUCUAAAAAGGAUGGGGAGGCUGCGCAAUACUUAGCCACGUGUAGGCCAGGAGGCUUUCCAAUUUUAAUAUAUAUAUAGAUUGAAAAAAUAAAAUAAAAAUCAAUCUAUUAUCAUAUAUAUUAUAAAAUAAAGAUUAUUGCUCCCAUGGGCGGUGCUAUGCACAGGACAGUGCCUGCCUAGUCCAAAUUUUUUUUAAAUAAAAAUAAAAAUCUACAUAUGUUAUAAGCUCAUCCAAAAAAAAAAAAAAAAAUAAAAGUGUUGUAAAUUAUAAGGUGGAGCCCACAUGUUGGAAGGCUUUGCCUACAAAAGGGUUCACACCCUCCCUUUGUAAUUAGACAUUGAGAAUACUAAGGAAGACAGAAAUGAAUAGAGAGAAAACAUUCCCUUCUCUCCAUCUCAAUUCCCUCUCCAAUUCCUCUAGAUUUAUAACACGUUAUCAGCAGCACGAAUCGCUUUCAAACAAUACCAGCUGAAUUUUAUGAUGAAACCCAGAUCUCUCAUCCAUCUCUGCUGCUCCACUACUUCAAAAUAAAUCCCACAGAAAAAGAAAAAGCCUCAAUGCUCUCUCUCUCUCUCUGUCUCGCUUGGGAGACUUGGACAAUUCCUCAUCCCCGUUACUGACAAUUUCAACAGCUUCAGGGGAAGCUAGUUUAUCUUCCUCUGCUCACGAAACCAUGACUCUUUCAGAGCCAAACAACAACACAAUAGACAACGCAUGGAGACCAGACUGGAGCUCGUCGGCUAAGGCACCGACGAUCCGACCCUACCCGUAUGGACCUUCCGGAUGUGGUUCCUGGGUCUUGUCUCAUGUGCCCUCCUCUCAUUUCUCAACCAAUUCUACAAGCAGCAGAGCUUCAAAUCAAACAGAUCAUGGCAUCGCUUUCACACCUCCCCAUCUUCCUCUUCCUCCUGUUCACCGCUUUCUAUUCUACAGCUUCGCAGUCCUUCAUCGGCGCAUCCAAAGGCGACAUACCGGCGCUCGCCUCAGAUCCGAACGCGGCGGCUCAGUGGGUGAACUCGAAUGUCCUCGCCUUCUACUCGGCCAGCAACAUCGACCUCAUCAACGUCGGCAACGAGGUCCUUUUUCUCCAACGACCAGGGCCUCAUCUCGCAGCUCCUCCCCGCCAUGCGAAAUGUCCAAUCUGCCCUCUCCGCCGCGUCCCUCGGCGGCAAGGUCCGUGUCUCCACGGUCCACUGCCUCGCCGGAUCGGGAUCCUUCCUUCAAGUGUUUCUCUGUCUUCGACUUGAAAAAGAAGGUCAUGGCAGGCCUAUGUAAAAAUUGCGAAAAGGAAGGCAAUCUUCAACCUUUUCUCCUGUCUCUCUCUUGAUCAAUUCAUGGAAGGCACAUUUGGGUCUUCCGGGGGCUCAUCAAAUGAGUCAGCAAUGUCAAAGGUGGAGGUGGUGGAGCAAGACUACGUGGGGAUGUCAUAUGAGGCAACCUCAUACCCAGCUGAGGCAGAGCUUGUGCUGGGCCUGGGCCUUGGCCUGAGCCUUCGUGGUGGUGGUGCAGGGAAGCAGCCAAAGCCAUGUGCAUGGGGUGAGCGUGGUAGAAUCUUGACUGCUAAAGUUAGGUGCUGAGUUACACUGUGUUCUCUGCUACUGACCCUAAGAGGAGUGCUAGAAACUUCCAUGUUCCGCCAUCAUUUCGCUUUCACUGUUACAAGGCACUGGAGUAUGUUUAAUUGAAAAGUGAGAUACACAGCAAGUUGAUCAGCCUAGUGGAAAGCAAAGGAUUAUUGCCAGGGAUAUGAACACCCACCGAAAUAAAGGGAUAAGUACUCUUUUUCCCUUCGACCAGUUUUUUUUUGUCCCACUGGGUUUUUACUGGCAAGGUUUUUCACGAAACAUAUUCCGUAUCAUUUGUGGUCUCUAAGAGGGAGUGUUGUAAAUUAUAAGGUGGAGCCCACAUGUUGGAAGGCUUUGCCUACAAAAGGGUUCACACCCUCCCUUUGUAAUUAGACAUUGAGAAUACUAAGGAAGACAGAAAUGAAUAGAGAGAAAACAUUCCCUUCUCUCCAUCUCAAUUCCCUCUCCAAUUCCUCUAGAUUUAUAACAAAAAGUAAAUUCUACACAUAUGUUGCCCAUCCAGGUGGUCCCAUAUCUUCUCUUUCCUUUUCUUUUGGCUAUUAGACUUCUUGUUUCUCUCUCUCUCUUUGCUACCCCACAUCAGCAAGUUUCUCCCUCUCUUUUUUUGGGAUCAAAUUCUUCUUCUAUUGACAAAAUCUUCUAUUAUAUUGGGUGGGCAACUUGGCAACAACAUCUUCUCCUCUCCUUUUGUCAACAGCAAGUAUUAUUCUCAUUCUCUCAUUUGCUAUAUAUCUUUAAUUAUAGUUUUAAUUUAAAAUUGAGUAUUCUAGGGUUUAAUUAGGGAUGAAUUAUAAUUUUGGGAUUUUGUUGAAAUUAAUUAGGGCUUCGAUUAGGGGUGAAUUAUUCUACUGCUUUGAUUUGGAAUUUUGUUAAAAUUGAGUAUUAUAGGUUUAAUUAUGGAUGAAUUACAAUUUUUGGUUUUGGUAUUGUUGAGAUGUUAUUAUGAGAAUUUGUUUGAUUUUUUGUUGGUAUAUUUGAUUAAAAUUCUUUCUACAUAUUAUUCAUAGGCUAUCUUUUAUUAUGUCGGAUCACAAUCGGAAUCCCAAGAAAACAAAAAAUUUGAAUAGUGUUGUUUUGUAUUGCAUUGCAUUUACUUUUGGUUUUAGUUUUGCUUUUAGUGUAAAUUACUCAAAUGGUCCUCAAAUUUGUACCCAAUUUACAUUUUGGUCCAUAAACUAAAUUAUUCAUUCAAAUGGUCCACCAACUCUUUAUUAAUCGGUGCUUUGGUCCUAUCGUUAUGUUUUCUAUUAAAUUUAGUCAUGUGAGCAGCACAUGCUACAUUUGUAUGGGUAAAUAAGACUUUUGACCAGUGGCGGAUCCACGUUGGGACAAGAGGGGUCGGACGACCCCUUGGAAGGCUGGAAAUUUGGCAAGGGAGUCCAUGAAAGCCCCCUUGGACAGCUGCUGGAAGCCCCCUUGUAUGCACACAAUGUGCUCGACGAAAUGCCCCAACGAAAUGUCCUGCGCAGCUGUGCUGCGCCUUGCGCGUAAUUUUUUUUUAAAACCAGCCUUGCCAAACGACGUCGUUUGGUCAAGGCUCAGUCAAAUUUUUUUUUAAUUAACCUGGCCUCAAAACGACGUCGUUUUGGGCCAGGUUUAAAAAAAAAAAAACAGAACAGUACACACGCACAGCAGCUCUGCACAGAUUCAUUUUCUCCAAACCUUUCAUUCCCAAUUCCACAGCCCCUCUUCCCAUCCUCUCAAACCCUAACCUCCCAACCUCCCAACCUUGGACAACCUCCAUCAACUCUUCACCGGUGGCCCAAUGCCGAUCACCACCACCUUCUACCGCCGUCCGCCGCCCAUUUUUUAAACUACAAGUAAGUAAGCAUGGAAAAUCUGAUAUUAAUAAUUAUAGUGAUAAUAUAUAUUGUUGAUAUUGAUAUUUUUUUUUUAUGUAAUGAAAUUUAUGGAUAUGAAUCAUAUUGAUUGAUUGAGUUUAUGCUUGAAAUUUAUGGAUAUGAAUCAUAUUGAUAUUUUUUUUUAUGUAAUUAAAUUUAUGGAUAUGAAUCAUAGUGAUAAUCAUAUUAAUGUAGAUUGAUUGAGUUUAUGCUUGAUUGAUAAUAUGAAUUGAUUGGGUAUAUUAAAUAUUGAUUGCUAUUUGAUAUGAUAAUUUGGUAUAUUGAAUAUUGAUUGAUAUGGGUUUAGGGAGUAUAUUGAAUAUUGAGAGUGGGUUAUUGAAAUUUUCAUAUUCAUAUGAUAAUUAGGAUAAAAAUUAAUGAUUGAUUGAAUUAAUUGAUUUGUAGAUUUAUGGAACGAUUCUUUAAAAGAAAAUUAUCUACGGAUAGUUCUUCUCUGUCUAAUCCGGGUAGUUCAAAUGCAAGACCAAUUGAAGUAGAUGAGAUCUUAGCUAAUCUUCAAGCAGACCCUGGACUAAGAACUCGAAUGGCGGAUUAUAGUCCUAAUAUUAGGGAUGAGAUCCGAAGAGCAUAUCUACAAAAGGGACCUUGUCAACCUAGAAGUUAUAAAUUCCCACAAACUAAUCAAUCAGGAAUUAAUAGACGCUUCAUUGCUCAUUGGUUUGAUGAUCAUGAUUGGUUGGAAUAUAGUAUUGCUAAAGAUGCUACGUUUUGUCUUCAUUGUUAUCUCUUCAAAUCUAAUUUUGAUCAAGUGGGUGGUGAUGCAUUCACUGGGGUAGGCUUCAAUAAUUGGAAGAAGGCGAAAGAAAGAUUUAACCUUCAUAUUGGACCGGUUGGUAGUGUUCACAACCAAGCUAGAGAAGUUGCUUACAAUUUGAUGCAUCAAACUACACACAUUGAAACAAUUGUGCUCAAGCAAACAAGCCAAGCUCGCACGGCUUAUCGCACUUGCUUGAAUGCAUCACUUAAGUGCACUAGGUAUUUGUUGCGGCAAGGGCUUUCUUUUCGUGGUCAUGAUGAAAGUGCACAAUCAAGUAAUAAAGGGAAUUAUUUAGAGCUCUUGCAAUUUCUUGCGGAUCAUGAUGAAAAAGUUAAGGCCGUUGUAUUGGAAAAUGCUCCGGGAAAUUUAAAGUUAAUAGCUCCUUCAAUUCAAAAAGAUCUUGUCAAUUCUUGUGCCAAAGAAACCAUUGAUCUUAUCUUGAGUGAUGUAAAAGAUAGAUAUUUUUCAAUAAUGGUGGAUGAAGCACGUGAUGUUUCAAUAAAGGAGCAAAUGGCAAUGGUGUUGCGUUAUGUGAAUGACAAAGGACAAAUAAUUGAAAGGUUUGUGGGGGUUCAACAUGUAACCGACACUACUUCAAGUGCACUAAAGGAAACAAUUGAUGAAUUCUUUUCUUCCGCGAAUUUGAGCUUUUCCAAGCUACGAGGACAAGGUUAUGAUGGAGCUAGCAAUAUGAGAGGUGAGUUCAAUGGCCUUAAGAGAAAGAUUUUGAGAGAACAACCUUGUGCAUUUUAUGUUCAUUGCUUUGCUCAUCAACUUCAACUAGCUCUUGUUGCGGUAGCAAAGAAAAACAUUGAUGUCAACUCUUUUUUCACAACGGCUAAUAGUUUGGUUAAUGUGGUUGGAGCAUCUUGUAAGCGUCGCGAUGCACUUAGAGCACAAUACCAAGAAGAGCUUGUGAGAGCUUUUGAAGAUGAUUGUCUUAUAACGGGGCGGGGCUUAAAUCAAGAAAGGACUCUCAAACGUGCCGGCAAUACACGAUGGAACUCACAUUAUGGUACGUUGAUUAGUAUCAUUUCUAUGUUCCCAUCUGUGGUGAAUGUGCUUCAAAUGAUUGUUGAUGAUAAUCUUAAUGAUAGUUCGGGUGAAGCCUAUAAGUUAAGGAGAGAAAUACAAUCUUUUGAGUUUGUGUUUCACUUAUUUGUAAUGAAAGCUAUAUUGGGAAUAACAAACACUUUGUCUCUAGCAUUGCAAAAGAAAGAUCAAGACAUUGUGAGUACAAUGAAUUUAGUGAAAACAUGCAAGGAAAACCUGCAGUUGAUGAGGGAUAAUGAGUUUGAAGAAUUGGUUGGGCAAGCAUCCUCGUUUUGUUACAAAUAUGAUAUUAUAGUUCCUACCAUGGAUGAGGAAUAUGUAAUUCCAGGGAGAUCAUGGCGUAAUGCUCCAAUGAAGACAAAUUAUCAUCGUUAUCGUGUGGAGAUCUUUAUUCAUGUAAUUGAUGGGCAACUUGCGGAAUUAAAUGAUCGCUUCAACGAGGUAAGUACUGAGUUACUUACUUGUUUGGCAUGCUUGAGUCCAAAAAAUAACUUUGUGACUUUUGACAAACGAAAGCUAGUUCGUCUUGCUCAAUUUUAUCCUUAUGAUUUUUCGGAUAGAGACUUAUUGAUGCUUGAAGAUCAACUUGGUGUUUAUGUUCAUCAUAUGCGUUCGAGUAGUGAUUUUUCUCAAUUGGAAGGGAUUAGUAGUCUUGCGGAAAAAAUGGUGGAGAAAGGAAUGCAUGAAAUAUUUCCUUUUGUAUUUGCUUCUUACAUUGGCUUUGGUUUUACCGGUUGCAACUGCAUCAGUGGAGAGGGCAUUUUCCGCUAUGAAUAUUAUUAAAAAUCCACUUCGCAACAGAAUGGGAGAUCAAUGGUUGAAUGAUAGCUUGCUUGUUUACAUUGAGAGAGAUGUUUUUGCUUGUAUUGAUAACGAAAUUAUAAUGCAAUGUUUUCAGAAUAUGAAAACUCGUCGUGGACAAUUGUAACUUGUAUUAUUGGUUUUGUUAUGAAUUAUGAAUGAAAGUACUAUCUUUCUAUCUUUUUAGCAUUAUUUUCUUUGUAGAAAAAUUUCAGAACUUUUACACUAAGCCCCCUUGGCUACAUAAUCCUGGAUCCGCCACUGCUUUUGACCACUUUAUCACCUAUGUAUCACCACUUUAUAACCUAUUUGGGGAACAUAGGUCAGUUAUGGACGGUUUUACCCUUACAUUUGACGGCAACAUUAACAUAAUGUAACAGUGGGAUCAAUGGAGUGAUUAAUAUAAAGUUGAUGGACCAUUUGAAUGAAUAAUUUAAUUGAGAGACCAAAAUGUAAAUCAAGUAUAAGUUUGAGGACCAUUUGAGUAAUUUACCCUUCGCUUUUAUAUUUGUUGAACUUUUAUUUAUGAUAGAUAUGCAUUUAAGGGUAAGACCCAUUAUGUUCCCCUGGCUAGGUGUAUCUUUUUAUGUUUAUUAAUGAAAUUCACUCGAACUGUUGAGUUUAGUAUGUAAGUUUUGCCUAACUGGCUUUUGAAUCCUAGAACCGCCACUGUUGCUCCAUCCUCCAUGCACUUGCAUGUGCUCUUACAAAGUGUGAAGUAGAUUUUGUGUGCUCCAAGUCAUUGACUAGAGCUGAAACAUGGUUAGCUAGAUUUAUAAGGACCCAUCUCUUUAUUUCCUAGACAUAUACCCAUCUCUCUAUAAAUCUAUAUGUAAAACCUAAUUUCAAACUUAAAUGACCAGUAGGAUAUAAAAGGUCAUAGUAUUCCUAUGUUUUUAUAUCGUUGCCACCAGACUUCUUAUUUUAUUUAUAAUUUAUUUCAAGCAUUUCAUUAACUGCCAUAAUUGUAAUUAAUACUCCAUAUUAAUAGCAUAUCAAUCACCCCAUUUCUUUUGGUUGCCAUUCCCUCUAACAUAUCGCCCCUUAAAUUUGAAAACCAAAAAAAAAAAAUGUAAAUUACAUAUCCAAUAAUGUACCUAUGAAAAAUAUAAAUAUAAAUAUAUACAUAUAAAAAUAUAGGUAUAUUAUUUACCAAAUAGAAAAUAUAAAAACCUAGGUCAGUUGCUUUGUAAUUGAAAUUUCUGUACAUUUUCCACAAAUUAAAAAUAGGUACAUAAUAAUUUAUAGAAAAUAUAUGUACAUUAUUUAUCCAUAGGUAAAAAUACCGAUAAAUGCACAUAGGUGAAUUAUUUACCAAUAUAUUAUUUUUUUGCUAAGGAUUUACCUUAGUUUUUAGUAGAUUAAUUUACCUACCUAGAGGCAUAGGUAGCUUAAAAAAAAUGUACCACCUUAGUUGGUUGCAUACUAAUUUACCUACCUAGAGGCAUAGGUUGCUAAGAAAAAAUGUAGGUAAAUUCAUGUACCUAAACACAUAGGGGUCAAAUAGAGAAUAACAUGUUAUUUCCCUUUGAACAAAUUAAUUUCAAACCAUAACAAUUAUUGAAUUUGGAAAUUGGUAUAAAUAAAAGGAAAUAAAUAAACUAUCAAUUUGAAAAUUAAAAUAAGAAAUGAUCAAGUAGUCAUAUUUGAAAAAAAAGGAAAGAAUAUAUUCUUGGUUUUUAUAGGAACAACGAGUAUAUUCAAACCAAACGGCGAUAACUACACCAAGCUUUAAUUACUUUUUUUUAAGGCCAAAAGUCACUUUUGGUCCCUGUAGUUCGGCAUUUCUACCACUUUUGAUGUUGUAGUUUCAAUUCCGUCAAUUUUGCCAUUGUAGUUUCGUAUUUGUAGCAAUUCAAGGACCUGUUAAUAUUAAUGUCAAUUUGUUUAAUGAUGCAAGAGGUAAUUUCGUCAUCCCAAAAUCCUUGAGCAUAAAAGAUUGUCUGAAAUUCUCCCCAUUUCAUAUUAGGGCUCGAAAUUCAACCACUAAUCCUAAUUUUUGAAGAACCCUAGACCCAAAUGACCAAUUUCAAGCCCUAAUAUGAAAUUACGGAAGUUUUAGAUGAGCUUUUAUGCUCAAGGAUUUUGAGUUGAAGAAACUGCCCCUUGCACUGUCAAAUAAAUUGACAGGAAUACUGACUUGUCCUUGAAUUGCUACAAAUACAAAACUACAGUGUCAAAAUUAACAGAAUUUAAACUAUAGGGUCAAAAGUAGUUGAAGUGUCAAACUAUAAGGACCAAAAGUGACUUUUAGCCUUUUUGUUUCAAUAAGGAAAAAACUGACCUAUUAAAUCCUUGGAAUCUAUACAAAAUUGAAACACAAUUAAUCAACAUUGAAUUGCAGCUAAUUUCUUAAACAAGGGUAUUAUAGGAAUUUAAAAAGUAUAACAUUUAAUCCAUUGAAUUUGAUUAGGAAACUUGAUGAAUUGAAUCCUAGUUAUAUAGUUUUUCUUAUAAAAAUCAGGUUUUAUUUAUAGACAAAUAAAACAAUGGGUUGUAGGUAAGAAAAUAUUAAUUUGAAGGGAAAGAGUCAAAUUUACUAAAUUAAUAAAGCAUAAAUUGGAAAGGGAAAAGAUCUAGAGGAUGCAUUGUAGGAUUGCUCAUGCCAAUAAUUGCACCCUCUCGAUAUUGAAAAACCUAUUGUUUAUUAUUAUCUUCAAUCCUGAAUGAUGCACCUAAAACCCAAGUGUCUCAGGCCAACCAUUGCGCUCAUACCACUUGUUGCAGUACACAUUCACCUGUUUUUAAAGAAAGAAAUUCUACCAAUCGAUAUUUUCUCAAAUUUAAUCACAUAGAUCUAUUAUGGUUAACCAUAUGUACUUUUAUCUGCCAUCCAGAGGUACCUUUUUCCAACGUGCAACAAUUGUAUUUGAUUCACAAUUAUGUCUGAUAUACAUCACAUCAUGCCACUUGCCUCAAAUGAAUUUAAUUGAGUGAGGCAAUGGGAAGUAAUUAAGCUCUAUAUUGGUGGGUGGAGUGUUACUUCUGGAACCCUCAUCAUUCGUCCAUACAGGGGAACAAUUCCCUUCCUUCUAUAAAAUGGGAGCAAUUCUCUCACUGUACUCUAUAUAAAGGAAUAAGUGUCGUCCACUAAUUAAUUACACUUUGUGAGAUUUGAUUUUAAUUAGAGUUCGAAUUAAUGUUGCAGCUAGCAGCGGUGGCACUGGCAAACCAUGCUGCUCAACCAGCACCUCCACUUUACUGGAAUUCCAUCCUGCCAAACACACAAAUGCCAAGAGCUAUCAGUGAACUUCUGCAUCCUGAUUUGUGUUGAAUAGAUAUAGUAUGUUACUGGAGUACGUAUGGCAACAUAUUCACAAAUGUGUCACGUAUUUUCCAUUAUGACGUUGAUAUAUAAUUGCAGACUCCACAAACGAAGAAAAGAGCACAAAUGUCAUGAAUGCUGUUGGGAAUGGAAAGCCAAUUGACCACAAGGGCAAACCUGAAAAUACUGUACUACCACAGCUUGCACGACGCCCAUUUUCUUACAAGAGUGAUGAUCGUCCCACUGACAAUCAACUCCAUUAUAAAAACGUAGCUAUUUUCUUCUUGGAGAAGGACAUGCGCCCUGGCACAACAAUGAGCUUCCAAUUCCCUAGAAAUUCAAACACGGCUACUUUCCUGCCACGAGAAAGAGCUCAAUCGAUCCCCUUCUCCUCUAACAAACUACCAGAAAUUUUCAACCAUUUUUCAGUGAAGCCAACAUCUGUGGAAGCCAAAACAAUUAAGCAAACAAUCGAAGAGUGUGAGGCUCCAGGCAUUAAGGGAGAGGAAAUAUAUUGCGCCACAUCUUUAGAAUCAAUGGUUGAUUUUAGCACUUCGAAGCUUCGAACAAGAAACGUUCAAGCAAUCUCGACGGAGGUAUUGGAAAAAGGUGCCACCAUGUCCAUGCACAAGCACACAACAAUGCCGGGACUGAAGAAGUUGGCAGGUGUCAAAGUCGUUUUGUGUCAUAAGCAGAACUAUCCCUAUGCUGUGUUUUACUGCCAUGUAAUAAAACCAACAGCAGCUUAUGUUCUCUCCCUGAAAGGCGAUGAUGGGGUGAAAGUUAAAGCAGUAGCCAUCUGCCAUCUAGACACAUCAGAAUGGAACCCAAAGCAUUUGGCCUUCCAAAUCCUCAAAGUUAAGCCCGGAACAAUUCCCAUCUGCCAUUUCCUUCCCACUGAUCAUAUUGUCUGGGUUCCGAACCACAAAUCUGCAUGAUCAUCACUUAGCACUGUACGUAUAAUAACCUUUACCCCUGUAUAAUUAUCUCCCUACUCUACUUAUUUCUGCCUCUUCAUGUGGUGUAAGAUAUAUGAUGAGAUGAAGUUUUUGGGAUUAGUGGUCGGGUUGCCUUAAAAACACAGAUUACAGAAACUGCUUGAACUUAACCCGAUCAUGUUUUCUCUUGUACUCGUAAAGCAUGCUGUUGUGGUUCUACUUAAUUUCGUCCUCCCCAAUGUUUGAGUGUUUAAUUGUUACGUUGGAAUAGGCUGCUAAUGCAUGUAGUUAGAGAAGCUUUCAUUUAUAUCAAAGUCCUCAAACUAUCAAGAAUUAAUGCAUCCAGAAACAUAUAUACCAAGACGCAAAACAACAUAUUUUCCAUGCUGUGUCGGUAACACCAAAGCAAACUUCCUUUAUCACAAAAGGACCAAAUUCCAAUACUAAUCUAAUCCAUCAUGUAAAGCAUACAAUCUACAACUGCCUCCCUAAAUUUGUCCAUUGGAUAUAUAUGUCACUUUUUGGUAAUUUGGUAUAGCAGCACCACGUAGUAUGCAUUUAACAGAAAAGUAAACAAAAUUGACAGUAGAACUAUUUGUCCUAACGAAACUGAAGUUGAAAGACCAUGAGAACGAUUUUGAAAAUUAAGGGACUCAAAUGAAAAUUGGGUCUAAGUUCAGGGACCAAUAAAACGAUUAACCCAUAGAUUUUGGAUCCAGUACCACAUCCCAAAGAGAAAACCACAAGUUUGCAAGCAAGUUUGUCCAUACUAACACUACGUACAGUAUGGGCAAUGUGCUAGACUCAUCUCACUUUCUCAACCUAUCCUAUACUUGUCUAAAAGAGUUUCUAAUUUAAUGUACUGAGAUUUACGAAAGAAAUAUCAGAGAAACAAUUUUCAGGCAAUAAAAAAAUGUCUUGGCAAGAAAAUGCACAAUUUGUUACAUAACUUAUUAAAUAUGAACAGUUGAAAGAAAAAAGAAUUUGGAUGAGGGAUUUGCAAAUUCCUAUGGCCCAAUUACCUUUUUUUCUUUGUUUUUUUUUGGUUCUUUUGAUCCAGUAGCAUAUUCCAAAGAAUGAAAACCACAGGCAUGCAAUGCAAGCUCUUUUCCCAUGUUUUCCUCUGUUUUUCUCCUAUCAUGGAAGUGAUUAAAACACACCUCUAAGCUUGUUUUGCGUUUGGUAGCCGAGUGUAAAAGCUCAAUGCAAGAUAGUUUGAGGUAGAAUUUUCUCCUGUUUUAUUAGGACAAUGAUGAGCUAUAUGUGACAACAAAUUGCUUUAAUAAUGAAAAUUAAAAAAGUGUGAUUCAUUGAAUAUUUGCGGGGUUUUGUUCAGAGCUGACAAAGUUCUAAGUCAACACAUCAAAUUCCUUUUUCCAACAAUCGUAUUUGAUUCACAAUUUUGUCUGAUAUACAUCACAUCAUGACACUUGCAUCAAAUGAAUUUAAUUGAGUGAGGCAAUGGGAAGUAAUUAAGCUCUAUAUUGGUGGGUGGAGUGUUACUUCUGGAAUCCUAAUCAUUCGUCCCUACAGGACUCUAGAACUCUCACACUUCUUACAAGGACUACUUAACUCUAUAGCUUAUUGCAUAUAGCAUAUAUAUGCAAACCCAAUUAGAAAUUCUACAACAGAAGCAAGAUCAAUCUCACUAUGCCUUCUAAACAAACAAACAAAUAAAACAAGCAUAUUAAUUGCUUUAAUCACUCUACUAACAUCAACACAGCACACUUAGUUUACUAACAGAUGAUAUAGAAAGGAAAAAAAAGGACCAAUAGGGAGAAAAUGGUGAACUAAGGAGAGACUAAUACUUCUGGUCCUUAGAAGGCAUAACAGAAAUAAUAGAGCACACUGCUUGAAUGCAAGUCAGUAUUAGGAGCAAAACAGCUGCAAUGAAAGAAAUAGUUGCCCAAGGUGUAUUGAAAUAAUGUUGCCUCAAAUUUGCCUUCCAUUUGUUCCAAGGCUUUCUGCAGUAGCUAUUAAGGCGCUCAGAAAGAGUAGCAAAGUAGAAGCUUUCACGAUACACUGCAAUUCCUUUUCCGAGGUUGUUAAUCAGAGUGCACACCUCAUUGUAGUCACCAAGCAUAUUUUUGACAAUCCCAUACUUCAGAAGGAACUCCACAUCCUUUUCGGUGUUCACAAACUCAUCCAUGAGUGAAACAUAAUCACUUAUGUAAUUCUUACGGCAAUGGCACUAUUCAAAGGCAAUGAGGUUAUGGAGUGUGAGCUCUGUGUAAUCGUUUAUUUUUAGUUUUGGAAUUUCUAGAAUCCCAUCGUUGAAUCGUGUUAACGCAGCUUUCCUUUCCUAGCCUACGCGGAAGUCAACUUCACAAUCUCCUCCUAGCAAUUAGCCUUUCCUACUGUAAAUCGGAUUGUAUUCAUGUCUAUAUUAUUUCCUACCUUAAAUAGAUAUCCUGUACUAGUAUACAUAGGGACUUUGUGUAAUCUGUUAAAUACAAGGAAAUAUAUACUCUACAUGGUAUCAACCUAACCUAGGGUUCUCUCUCUCCCCCUUAUUCGAUCCUCUUCUCCUUUAGGUCCACCUCAUGGCUUCGUUUGAAUCCACCAUCUCCCUCCCAAGCCCUAACUCUUCUCAUUUUAUCAAGCUUACUAACUCCAACUAUCUUCUUUGGCUCCGCCAACUCAAACCCUUUUAGUUGGCCAUGACCUCUGGAAAUUUAUCGAUGGCAUUCAUAAACAACCUUCUGCCCACACCUCCACCUCUACCACCACAACACCCACAACCACCACCACUCUUACCGAAAUCAAUCCUACCUAUGCUCAGUGGUACCAACAAGACCAACUCAUUGUUAGCUACAUCACCAGUACACUCUCUGAGUCCAUUUUCUCUCUCACUGUCGGUUGCAUCUCUGCCCGGGAUCUCUGGGAGUGUCUCCAAUGCCACUUCUCUUAAUCCAAUAUGGCCAGUGAAUCUGCUCUUCGUUUUCAACUCAUGGAUUUGCAAAAAGGCUCUCAACCCAUUGAUGCUUACCUUCGUCAUGCUAAGUCUCUUGCCGAUUCACUAGCUGCCAUCAAUUAACCUGUCUCCCCAAAAGAACUUGUCACUGCUGUGCUUCGGGGUUUAGGACCCGAUCACAAAAUGCUCAUCACAGCAAUUCUCAAUUUCUCUCCGCUUCCAGACUUUGCUGAUCUUCGUGCUCGUUUGUUAGCUUUUGAUGCACAGACUCCUCGAAUCUUUCCUGAUCAAAACACAACGCUAAUGGCCACCCAAUCUUCUCCUUACACCACCGGUCAUACUUCCUUCCCUUCUCACCGUGGUUGUGGCUCUUCCAGCAAUAGGCGCGGUGGCUGGUGCAGUAUUGGCCGUGGUGGCUGGCACAACUUCUCAUCUUCCUAGAGCAACCCGUGGAAUGGCUUCCAGCAGCCCUAAUGACCUAAUCAACUGUGGCCUCCUUUUGCUCUAAGUUUUGGAUCUCAAAGCAACUGGCCUUCCUUUCAACCUCUUUGGGCCCAAUCUGCCGCUUCUAGCAAACACUCUGCCCGACCCAACUCAGCUCCUGGUGUCUUGGGACCCGCUUGGUGCACCACAUGCAAUACCAAUCGACAUACUACUACAACAUGUCCUUAUUGCUACAAUGGCCCAGAAUUCUUCCUUUGCUGGGGCUCAAUUCAUGCAGCCACCUAACUCUACAUGGUACCCUGACACAAGUGCCACUCAUCAUAUGACUGGUAGUUCUUCUAAUCUCCAAAGGAAAUUAAAUGAAGGAGUCCUACGAAGGCUCAAGGCUCGAAAGCACACGAUCCGGCUCUGCUGCGGAGCUCACUCAACUACUGGCUGAGGGGGCGCAAAACAGAAAAUUGUGAGUGGACAAAAAUAAAAAUUCAGUUCAGUGUAAACCAACGUAAUAUAACCCCACCGUUUAGAAAACCAUGCAAGAAAUCCAAAUGCAUCUCAAAACCAUCAUAAUCAUCAAAUCAAAAUCAAAUACUGGAUGCCAAGUCCGAAAUCCAUAAAGAAAGCUUUACAAACCCACCAUCCAAAUCUUACAAUCCCACAACUAAACUCUCGAAAGCGUACCCAUUGGCAGUACCAGCAAGGAAGUAUCCUCACCGAGAAACAAGAACAAAAGAAUAGCUAUAUAUAUAAUUAUAUAAUAUAACCACACCUAGUUGUACCGGGAAAACAAUCCAACCGGGGGAUUGUUUGACUAGUCACCAUGGCAGAGUCAAAGUAAACAAAUUCCUCAAUUCACCAUGUGACUAGGGAACGAGCUGUCCAACUGGGGGACCAACUCUCAGCCAGCAUGUACCGUCGAUAGCCUCAAAACCCGUACGUCUGUGACCAGUCCUACGCGUGCAGACUACCCAAUCAAGGGUUUACAGCAACAUCCCAUCAAGGAUGCCCUAGGUUCCCACAAUUCCAAGUAUCUCAAGUUUGCGUAUCCAAGUUCCAAAUCCGGGGAGGUACAUAGGGUAGUGCUUAUAGCACUCCAAAUUGACAUUCUAUACUCAUCACUUUCCACAAUCUCAUCUCAACAACCUAAGUACCCCACACAUAGCCAAACAUAUAUAGAAAUUCUCAAAAUCCAUAUAUACAUACUCAAGAUACUCAAAUAUGUCAAAAUCCAAAAUAUAUUUCCAAUGCAUCAUAAAAAUAUCACUUUUAACAAUUGAAUAAAUAAUAUAUAUCCAAUAUACCAAUUAAAACAUCAUGCAUAAUAUUUCCCAUCAUAAAAUCAUGCAUAAGAUUUGAAAACAAAGUCCACUCACAAGUAGUCCCACACUGCUUGACCUUGAGAGGGUCCCGCCUACUGCGUAUGCGUGGUUGGAGUACCUAUUUCAGAAUACGUAUACGAGAUUAAUAAGAAGCGUUUCGAACGAGAACUUUGAAUUAAAUAUCCUAAUUUCCCAGGUUUCUAGUAAGUGUACUAGGAACGAGACGUUCUAAGGUUCCACUACCCAAUUCGAACCAUGGAAGAGCUUCGGGAGACACUCGGUCAACCGGCGGUCAAAUUCCCAAAUCGGGUCAACUGGCCCACGGGACCCACGACCUCCGUUUUUAAAAUCCGUAAGUUCCUAAAGGUUUCACAAUGUCUAAGAUACUACUAUCACAAGUUUGGUCCGAAACGGACUGUUAGAUCGCUUACGAUCGCACGAUCAGACGGUUAUUGUAAAACGUAAACUUUAAGUUAUUGAAUCAGAACAUCCGGGGCUCCGAUUCACGAUCCGCGAAUUCCUACACGAUCCUAGGAAGGUCUAGAGUAACAUAUAUUGGAAUGGAGUCGAUCCAAAGGUCCGAACAUAUCGAACCUAGACCGGAUAACUCCUAAUAUGUGAGAUUCGUUCGGGGUUCGAACAUCAACCAAAUUGGAAUCCUAAGGUACCUACGUGCUCGUGACAUUAAGGGGAUCAAUUGGGACAAAAAUGCCCCUCUGCUACAGUGCCCACGUGCCACCACACGCGGCGGUAGAGAGUGGGUGUCCAAAGCGAUUUCUCUUCGCCGGAAAAUCUCCAAAUUACAAGCCACUCUCCUGGCUACAGGUUCUACUCAACGAGUGGAACACUUUAUUCAACUACAGCCAAGUCCAAUUCGGACGGCAAGUGGCCGGAAACUCACGGUUUAACCCGGAACUUCAUGGCUUGGAUUGGGCGACCAUCGUCACCAUUGUCGUGGCACAACCUAGGAAAUAGCUAAAAGGAGAGGAGGGCUACCUAUUCCAAGCGAUGGCGCAGCUCGCGGUAGCCGAAAAUGUAGCCGAUGACGUUGGCAGUUUUGGCCGGUUUUUCACGUCGUUGCCAUCGCCGUUUGUCGAGUUUUCGAUUGGAGAAAAGGGGUGGGGUGAGUAGAGGAGGAAGAGAGGAAGCUUUUGCAAGAAAUGACACUUGUCAGGGAGGGGGGGGUUGGGGGAAGAGAGAGAGAGAGAGAGAGAGAGAGAGAGAAAAAAAAAAAAUUUCAGAUUUUCAUCCAAACCCUUUUCGAAAUAUUUACAAGUUUGCCACUAAACUACUUUUGGUUGCCAAAUCUUCGUUAUAACUCCGAUUCAAGCCUACCACGUGUCUACGGAUUCGUCUCAAUACAACCUACCCAAAAAUACCAGUCACUGCCCCAAACUCUUUUUGGGUAAGAAAAUGACCAAAAUACCCCUACCCCAAGGGUAAAUUCAUAAUUUCACUUCAAUAAUUUAAUAAAGAAUUAAAUUUGGAGUCGGGGUGUUACAUUAACUACCUGUUUAGUAGGUGUGGGGUUUUAUACAAAAAGCAUCGAUGUUAUUGGGAGUGGAACCACUUAUUAUAAGUUGUGAUUUAUUUAGUCAAGUUUCCUAUGUGGGAUUUUCUAUUCUUCAACAAGCCCCCUCAUGUGGGACCACCACAUAGUGGGCCACAUGUAAAGCUAAGUCCACAUCGGAGUCAAUCAUUCAAGCCCAAUACCUAAACACCACGUAUUGUGUGAGGGGUAGGGGUAAACAUUCAAGCCCAACAUGUGAACCACCAAAUAUUAAGUAAGGGUAAAGGCUCAAUUCAGGCCCAAUCAAUGAACCCAUUAUGAUAUCAUGUUAAAUUUCAGAUAGACGGGACUGUGGCCCACCACUAGCAACAUUGAUAUUGUCCCCAACUUAACUACAUGUUUAGUAGGUGUGGAGUUCUAUACAUAAGGUCUCGAUGUUUUUAGGAGUGGAACCACUUAUUAUAAGUUAUAAUUUAUUUAGUCAAGUUUCCAGUCAACCUGACUUUGAUACCAUGUUAAGAUUUUAAAGGGACGAACUCUUGGCACUAUUAGUAACAUCGACAUUGUCCCCAACUUAACCACCUGUUUAGCAAGUGUGGGGUUUUAUCCUAAAGGCCUCGAUCUUAUUAAGAGUUGAGUCAUUUAUUAUAUGGAACUUUCUAUUUUGUUAACUCUGUGUAUUCUUCAUCAAUGUGAACACCCCUAAACCAAUCAUACCUGAUACGAAUUGAAACACAAGUUUGUUUUUUGCCUUUGGUAGAUGAGUAGCUAGAAAAGCUCAAUGCACUUGCUCUUCUGCUACAUUUCAAUAUAAGAACAAGGUUUGGAAGUCAGGUCAACUCCUCAUAGCUUCCUUGCCUUUGCUUUGACAUGUCUAUGCACUUCUUGGGGAAGUUUGAAUAAUCCAUUGCAGGCCCCAUGACAACUAAGGAACCAACAUUUUGUAGAAGGUUUUGUCUAUACCUUUUGACUAUAAGUAAAAUCUUUUGUAUCUGCUCUUAUGUUUCGGUGAAGUUUCUAUGUGUCCUUUGUGCCGAGUUUCUAUGCGUCCUUUGUUGAACCAAAAAAUGAGGUUGUUUCUUACUAGAUUCAAAUACUUAAAAGAAAAAAAGAAAUUGUUGUUUCUUAAUGGAUUUUAUGAUGAACAAUAUCAAACUCUCCUCUUAUACGUCUGUUGGUAAAUUUUAACAACAAUAUUAAAACCUUGCAAGUGCACAAAUCAAAUGAUAGUAUAGUAAGCAAGCAAGGGUCGAUCCCACGGAGAUUGUGAUCUAAAGAGAUGUUUAUCAAUGUCACGCAAUGAAAAUCAAAACAAAGGACUUCCAAACACACGCCAACACCAAGGGGGGUUUUGAUUUGUUUUUGUGAAUCAAACAAAAUAAGGAAAAGGAAACAAAAGAGAAUUUAAAUUAGAGUUUAAGAGAAAUUGGUUUAAAAUCAAUCAAGAUCAAUAGCUAGGACUUACUAUCCACCUCCAAACAAUCAAUCAAUCCAUAAACAACAAUAGAUAAUCAAUUUCUAGUAAGCACACUACUACAAAAAAGCAAAAAGACGACGGUAAAUCACCGUCGUGUAUUCGGUUUUUCAAUGGUCGUGGAAUCCACCGUCAUCUUUUCCCUCAUAAACCACGACGCUAAAUCACCGUCGUUGUUACAAUAUACAACGUCAUCAACAAAUACAAAACGACGUCUUUGUACUGCAAAAAGAUCUAAAAAAGCAAUCGAUGAUGAGAAAAGACGACCAACUCUCUAAACAAACCGUCGUUAAAAAGAAAAAAUAUGACACAUAUUAACAGAACAUGGCCGCAAGAUAGACAUACAACGACGAAAAUUAAAAUAAGACGCCGUUAAAUAUCAUUUUCACGACAAUAAAAAAUAUGUCGUCUUUAAAUACAUUAGAAGACGACGUUAUUGAUACCUACUACGUCGCCUAUAUAAAAAUAACCGUCGUAAAAUAAAUUUUCCACUUCGAUUUUUCUAUAAAAGAUGACGUGGAAAUAGUUGUCAGUGUCAUUAUUUACGACGUAUGUAUUUAUAGAGUAGACGUUGAACAACGAAACAACGUCGGUUACAAAUAUAUGAGAGUCGUAUUACAAAAUUUAUACGUCCUAUUUUCAGAAACAAACAACGACGAUAAAUAUUAGACGUUGUUAAAUAAAACAACGUCGAAAACAAAUAAAAACAGACGUGUUUAGUCUGCUAAAGUUCUAAAAAAUAGUCGAGGAUGAGAAUAGACGACCAACUCAAACAAAUCACCGUCGUUAAAAAGGAAAAAUAUGACACAUAUUAAAAGAACAAGGCCGCAAGAUAGACAUACAACGACGACAACUAAAACACUACGCCGUCAAAUAUAAUUUUCACGACAAGAAAAAAUAUGACGUCUUUAAAUACAUGAGAAGACGACGUUAUUGAAAUAUACUACGUUUCUUAUUUACAAACAACCGUCGUGAAAUAAAUUUUCCACUUCGAUUUUUCUAAAAAAGAUGAUGUGGAAAUAGUUGUCAGUGUCAUUAUUUACGACGUAUGUAUUUAUAUAGUUGACGUUGAAAUGCGAAACAACGUCGGUGGCAUUUAUAUAGUCGACGUUGUAUUUAUAUGUAUUCAUUACUCACGACGCACUUAUUAAUAUAGACGACGUUGAACUUCUAAACAACGUCGGUUCCAAAUAAAUGAGAGCCGUAUUACAGAAAAUAUAGAUGGCGUUGAUUAUGAUGAGAGCCGUAUUACAAAUAACGUCGUUUAAUUGAUAUUAGACGGCGGUUAUAAUGAAUUACCGUCGGAAUUCAUUUCGUUCCUCUUCGUUUAUAAAAGAACUUGCGACGUGGAAAAUGUAUGAUGACGUCGUAUUUUUUAACGUUCAGAUUAUAUAUCUCGUUUUUUAGACGUCGGUAUUAUGGGAUUGGAGUCGUGUUAUUUUGAAUUACAUGGCGGUUCUUAAUCCUUCCCCGACGUGAUAUCCUGAAUAAUUGCUUCAUAAUAGCGUCGUGGUUCUUCAUUGUUACGUUGCUUUAAGACGUCGGUAAAUAUGCUGAAUAACUGGUUCACAAUAACGUCGUGUUUUAUUUGAACGUAGAAAGUGAAGAAAUCACAUUACAAUAUAUUACAAAAUUAAUGUCAUACACUGCCAAUUACAUAAGCAUCAUUCAAUCCAUAUAUCUUCACACCCAUCUCGAAUAUUUUGACCGCCUAACUCACCCACCAGUUCAUCAAAUGUGUCAACAUUUGGCAUCCCUCUAGUAAAUGGCUCACACUCAAUUAUCACAUCACCUAAGACUUCAUCACCAAUAACAUUAUUAUAUUCUCUAUUAGGCAUUGAUAACACUACCGACCAACCACGAUGCAUCGGGUCGUCAACAAAAAAUAUUUGUUUGACUUGAGAAGCCAAAACAAAUUGGUCAUUCCUAUGUCCAAUUUUACUCAAAUCUACAAGGGUAAAUCCAAGUUCGUCGACUACAAGACCAGAACUAUCUAUCCAAUCACACCUAAAGACUGGGAUUGUAAACUUUUGGUAGUCAAGGUCCCAAAUUUCUUGAAUGACACCAUAGAAACCCAUAUUUGAGAGAAUUGAGUUUUUAUCCUUGGCACUAGCAACUUGCAUGGUAUGUGCAAGUAAAUAAACUCCACUAUUUUGAGUUGUCCGCACAUCAUCUUGUGCCUUGAUAUUGAAUUUAAUACCUUUAAUAAGAUAGCUCCUAUAUAAUGGCACAGCCAUGUUUGGACCAGCUGCUAGCCACCUUAAAUUUUCUGAUACGCCAUGAUUGUCUUCCUCAAGUUCACUUUGAACCUGCAAAUUAAUCAUAUAUCUUAAUGCAAUCUAACAUAGAAAUAAGAAGAAAAUUAAAAGAGAAAUAUGUUAUUCAACAACAUAUACCUUGAAGCGUAGCCAUUGAAUGAAAGUGUUAUUGUGCUUAUCCUGCAGCCACUUUGUGAUUUAAGGUAUGACAAUCAUGUGAUUUAAGGCCAAGAAGUCUUGAAUCUUGUAAAGAUACAAGAUUUUUAAUAUUUGAAGAAUAACCUUCAGGGACCUUCAUACCAUAGAAAGAAUUGCAAACCUCUCUCUUCUCUGCUCUUGACAAAUUCCAAGGCCCAGGAGGCAAACGAGUACGUCUUUCUCCAUACUCGGGUUGCAAAUCAGUUUUGACCCCCAUGUUCAAUAAAUCUAAUCGAGCAGCAAUCCCAUCUUUAUUUUUUCCAGGGAUCUCCAGCAAUGUACCAAUGAUACUAUCGCAAACAUUCUUCUCAAUGUGCAUAACAUCUAGGGCAUGCCUCACAGGAAGGUAUUUCCAAUACUCGAGAUCAAAGAAUAUUGAUUUCUUCUUCCAACAAACUCUGUCACCAUUUUCAACCAUGUGCAGCACUUCUUCUCCGGUUAAUGGCUCGGGAGGUAUGCCAUAUUCAGGUUUCCCAUUAAAAGCUGCACGUUGCCUCCUAUAUGGAUGAUUGAUUGGUAACCAUUUUCUAUGCCCAAUGUAACAAAUUUUGUGGCCAUUUUCAACCUGUGACUAGGUGUAUCAUCGCCGCAUAUUGGACAAGCUUUAUAUCCUUUAACAACACAACCAGAUAAGUUUCCAUAGGCGGGGAAAUCAUUAAUUGUCCACAUUAAUGCAGCUCUGAGUGUAAAGUAUUCUCCAUUAUGUGCAUCAUACACUCCUCUAAUCCCAUCCCACAAAGAUUUUAAAUCAUCAAUCAAAGGCUCCAAGUAGACGUCUAUAUCAUUUUCGGGUUGUUUAGGACCGGAAAUCAAUAAGGUUAACAUCAUGAACUUUCGUUUCAUGCACAGCCAUGGAGGGAGAUUAUAUGUAACUAAGAUAACCGGCCAACAACUAUAUCUGCUACUUAGAGAACUGUGGGGAUUGAAUCCAUCAGAUGAAAGAGCCAAUCUCAAGUUUCUCGGCUCAUUACCAAACUCAGGCCAUUUAUCAUCAAGAAGUUUCCAAGACGGGGAAUCCGCCGGAUGAGACAUCUGACCGUCAAUUGAUUUUCUAGCAGCAUGCCAAGUCAAACUCUUAGCUGUCUCAUGUGAUUGAAACAUCCUUUUAAACCUUGGAAUUGGAGGAAAAUACCACACCACCUUCGCUGGCACAUCCUCUUUCAAGAUUGAAUCUUUGCCUUCCUUCCACCUUGAGAUACCACAAGUAGGACAAUUAGUUGAAUCCUCAUACUCCUUCCUAUACAAGAUGCAAUCAUUGGGGCAUGCGUGCAUUUUCUCAUAACUCAGCCCCAAUGCACACAAAGUCUUUUUUGCCUCAUACAUAGAGGUUGGUAUUGUAUUUCCUUCUGGAAGCAAAUCGCCUUGAAGUAUCAAUAAUUCUGUAAAACAGACAUCACUCAUCCCAUGUUUUGCCUUCAAAUUAUACAACUUCACUAAUGCCGAUAACUUCGUGUACUUUCUACAACCAGGGUACACUGGUUGAUCUCCAUCCCCAAUCACAUUGGCAAACUCAUACGGAUCGGAACCAAAAUCACCAAAAUCAUUAUCAUCCAUAUCAAUUUCUUCAGACACAAAACUGUACCUACUAUGGCCAUCAUCUUCUUCAACAUUUCUACUAGCAUUAGUAGUUGCUUCCCAAGGUUCUCCGUGAAAUGUCCAAUUCUUAUAGCUUUGGUCAAUUCCAUUAAAGUAUAAGUGAUCCCUUAUAAUUCCAACCCCAAACAACUUCAAAUUAACACAUUUAACACAUGGACAACGGAUAUGUGUUGUAGUUAGAAGAUUUUCUACAGCAAAGUUCAAAAAUGCUUCCACCCCAAACUCAUAUGCCUUCGAUCUUCUAUCCGAGUGCAUCCAUGACUUAUUCAUCUCCGACACUAUAACCUAUUAUCUAUAAUAAAGUGAAAAUACAGGCAAUGACCAUCACUAUAGCAGAUUAUACAAAGAUCUAAUAGCAAGUAAUACAUAACAGAGACGACGGGUUUUAAACAAAAACAGACGUAUUUGGCAUAUAUAGACGACGGAUUUUCAACAGACGUCGUCUAAUAUAAGUAAUACAAACGACGGUUUAUGAAAAAACCGUCGUGUAUAAGUAAUACAACGACGGUUUUUUCAUAAACCGUCGUGUAAUCGUCGUCGUAUGCCUAAAAAGGCGUCGUGUCUCAGUUUAUUUUCAAGAACCCAAAACCCAUUAAGAACACAACAUAUAUAUGAAACCAAGCAAGAAACCAACAUAUACAUGAAGCCAAGCAUGAAAACAAUAAAUCCAUUCCCAAUUCAACAUAACAUAGGGUGAUUAAAAGAUCCGACAAAAUUAAAACCAUUCCCAAUUCAACAUAACAGAUAAUGUAAUCCAUGAACCCAUUAAACAGAAAAUCCAUGAACCUAUACCUAUAAGCACAUUAUUAACAGAUCGCAAAGCAUAUACCUAAAACCCUUUAACAAAACAACCUAAUAUCAUUCAAUGAAUUUACAAAGGGAAGAUAGGGUUUGUACUUACAGGUUGGACGAGCUCACAGAUUCGACGAAGCCUGGAGAGUGCAACUUUUAAUUAGAGCAGAAGUGAGAGAGCGAAUGUUAUGUUGCGCGAAAUCUGAAAAUUUUAGGGUUCAGGGUUAGAAGUAUAAGAAUAAGAGCCAAAUAUAAAAAAAUUUAGGGCGCGCGAAAAUUUUUAGAGCGCGCGCUCUUUAAAACGUCGAAAGAAAAACCAUGGCGAAAGUUCUACAAGAACCGACGUAAAUGUAAUAUUCCACGACGAAAACACUUAACGUAACGCCGUUUAUUUUGACGUUCAUUUUUCGGAUUAAUUUUAAAUUUAUUUUGAAUAUUUUGAUAUAAAGACGACUGAAAAACCACGUCGAAGUUAAGAAAUUGAAAACGUUGUAAAUUAUAAUAGACGACUUACAUAUUAAAAUGACGUCGUUUAAAGUGGAAACCAUGUCGGAUAUUUUACUGCACGACGUAACAUAUGUAUUCCACGACUCAACCACCGUCGUUAACAAUUAAUACCCUAAACCCUUAAAACUAAAUUAUAUAAUUUUAAAAAUUAAGUUUAUAAAAGGGUUUAUGGUUUUACAGCCUAAUAUAUACCCUAUACUACCCAAAAAUUAUACUUUAAAAAUAAACCCCAAUAAAUAACAACCCUAAUCUCUAAACCCUAGACUCUAAACCCUAAACCAUAAAACUAGAAGUGAUUUUAUGACUCAUCAAAACAAUUUUGUUUUGGAUGGUCAUUUUAAAUUUUUUUUAUUCAAAAUGAAUUUUUUCAAGGUUUAGGGGGAAGAAAAUAUAUCAAUGACUUCAUAGGAGUUGACUUUUCAUUUUUCUGAUUUAUUUUAAAUUUAUUUUGAAUAUUUUGAUAUAAAAAUAAUAAAAUAUUCUUAUCACAAUAACAAACCACGUCGGUGUUAAUAAAUUUUAGACGUUGUAAAUUGUAAUAGACGACUAAGUUGUUAAAAUGACGUCGUUUAAAUGAGAAACCAUGGCGGAUAUUUAACUAUCCGACAUAAAAUAUAUAUUCCACGACUUAACCGCUGUCGUUACAAAGUACUACCCUGAACCCUUAAGAAAUUGAAGACGUUGUAAACCAUAAACGACUCAAUUGUUCAAAGAACGUCGUCUAAAUAUCCUUUUACGUCGGAUUUGGUUAAAACGAAACAACAAAAAACGACGGCUUUUGACUUUAUUACGUCGUUGGAAAAGUAUUACACGUCGGUUACGCAAUUUGUAUGUUUGUUUUUUUUUUUAAUUUAAGAAAACCUCAACAAAUUUUUACAUUAUAUAUUAUAGACAAAAUUUGUACAUUAUACAUAAAUAUCAAGUGUUCAAUAAUUCCCCUAUUCCAGGUGAAGGCAAACAAACUCUGACCAUUCAUUCCGGACUUCAUCAAUUGCUUCUUGGGGGUAUGGCGCUUCCUGUUUUCCCUUGGCAUACUGCAUAAACAAUGACUAUUAGGGUUUAUAAAUAAAAAGAAAUUCAAUCACAGACGACGAUAUUUUUCAUAACCGACGUACUAUAUCUAUUCAACGACGGUAAUUUUACAUGACCGUCGUUGAUAAUACAAAAAACGACGUAAAAUGUAUGAAGGUAAUUUCUUCUUACCUUCUUCUCAAACCCCAAGGAAGGAUCCAUGAUGAUGUCCCUCAUGAAGCGCAUCACAUAAUACCCGCAUUCGACAUUGCUGGGUUGCUUUGGUGUCCCUGACAGAGUUUUCCAAAUGGCUGCCUUACGGCCUGGUCUGGCUAUGUGAGAAUUAUAAAUUUUUAUAGCACUGUUCACAAUGUUUUUGGCCUCUUCAUCGACCACACGAUUUCCUGGCAGAGGAUCCAGAAAAUAGACGGUUUCUCUCUUUGCUCUUACAAUCAGCAAGAUCCAAUGACGGCUGCACAAAAUUAAUAUAAAAACGACGGUUAUUUACAAUAACGACGUAUUAUAAUGUUUCACACGACGAAAUAAAGUAGCAAUCGACGACAUUUUACAUUUAUCACGACGAUAAAUAACUACCGACGUGGUUAGUAGUUUCAAACGACUCAAUAAAAUAAAACACCGACGUGGUUAGUUUAUACGCUGUAAUUUAUUGAAAAUCAUAAAAACAAAAUCCUGUUAAGGAGACUAACCCUGGAUUGUAAGGCAUCAGGAAAAUCUGUUCACCGUCAGUCUUUUGAAGUCGAGCUGCUAGUAAGCGUGAUCUGUCAGCUAUUGUGCCAGAGUUGGCACUAACUGUAGCAAGGUCGAUAAAGCCAACCAUAUUGCACAUAUUUGCUCGUUUCAAAACAUCGUGCAAGUGCCUAAAUAUAUAAAAUAAUAUAAACAAGUCAGCACAAAAAAACACACGACGGUUAUGUAUAACAAAACGACGUAUUAUAAAAUUUCACACGACGUACUGAAAUAGACAACGACGUUAUAAUAUAUUUAUCACGACGGUAAAUACUAACGACGUGGUUAGUUAGUUAAGACGACGUAAUAAAUAAACCAACGACGUAUUAUUUUAGAAUGACAAACCUCAUAUAUACAAAAAAACACGACGGUUAUGUAUAACAAAACGACGUAUUAUAAAAUUUCACACGACAUACUGAAAUAGACAACGACGUUAUGAUAUACUAACGACGUGGUUAGUUGGUUAAGACGACGCAAUAAAUACACCAACGACGUAUUAUUUUAGAAUGACAAACCUCAUAUAUACAGCAAUGACAGUGGCUCCUAUUUCUUCCAUGCCUGCAAAUUGUGUAAUAUCUUCAGGCAGGAGGAAGGUAUCGCGCUCUAGACCAAACACCUCCUUAUCAAUUGUAAAGUGCAGGGUCUUAUCCUGAGGCACGAGUGUCGUUUCCACAUAACGACAAAGGGAGUUUAAAGAAGAUGGCGCCUCCAUAUUUGAAUAAUCAACAACUUUAAUAACCUGUUUAAAGAAAUAUAAAAAAUGACGUGGUAAUUCAAUAAAAACGACGGUUUAAGGAAUAAAACGUCGUCUGAAAAGAAUUUAAACGUCGUCUGAAGAAACCGUCGUGGUGAAUAAUUUAUUACGUCUUAAAAAAAAUUCCGCCGUCUAAGUUGUAAACAAACGACGGUUUAAAGAAAAAUAUCGACGUCUGGAAUUUUGAAAAACAAAUAAAAAAGGCAAAGUUAUGUGAACAUACCUGGUCGUCAUCUUCUUUCUCCUUUUCAUCAUGUUUUUCUUCUGUCUUCCCUUCAUCUAUUACGUCGAGAAUGACUAACUCCGUCGUCUAAAAACCACAAAGUUUUAAAAUAACGACGUUUAAUGGCGUGUAAAACAAGUAAACUAAAUACGACGUGGUAUUGAAAUACAAACGACGGUUUAUGUUUAAAAUCGUGGUGGUAUGUAUUUCAAACGACGGUUUUAUUAAUAAUAACGACAUCUAAUGGUUUUUAAAAAAACAGAGAAUUCAAAGUUCAGAUAUGUUACCUUUUCUUCCUGAUGUUUCCCAUUUUUGGCAGUAUCAUCCUCAAAAUGCUGGGAUCUCACAUCACCUCCAGAGCAGCUUGCUUUGUCAGACAUUGGAUUUUUGGGACUUUGGCUAAUUCUGGGUUUAAGCAUGCUUGGAUCAAAAUUGGGAAUUAAUUGGGAAAGCUGACUCAGGAAAUGCUCCCUCUCAGCCUCUACCAAUUGUUUCGUUCUAGCCUCCAUCCUUAAAGCCUCUUCCCUUGCCUUAGCUUCCAUCUUUUUAGUCUCUUCUUGAAGGAGAACUCUUAAACUGUCCUUCAAACGGUCGUCAAAGCUCACUCUCUGUGGUUUGGGUAAAUUGAAAUAUUGCCUUGGUGAGAUCCCAGCACCUACUCCUCUCACUCUGCCUGGAUGCUCGGGGCCCAAAGCCAUGGUCAGCACAUCAUUGCUGCCAGAAACAGUGACUUUGCCUUCCGAGACUUGUUUUUGCAAUUCAUCCUAAAACAAAGAUAUAUAAAAAAGUAAGAACAAAAACACACGACGGUUAUUUAUAUACAAACGACGUAUUAUAUAAUUUCACACGACGCAAUAACAUAUAAAUCGACGUUAUUAUAAUUUAUCACGACGGUAGUUUUUAAACCGACGUGGUUAGUUUUUAAAACGACGAAAUGAAUAAACCACCGACGUCUUAUGCUUUAUUUACAGAUAACAGAGGGAUGAUUCAAUAUUCACACCUUUAACGACCUUGUUUAAAAUAUUUCGACGUAGUAAUUCAAUACAAACGACGCGAAAAUGAACCACCGACAUCUUAUGCUAUAAUUACAGAAAACAGAGUAGUGAUUCCUGAUUUAGACCUUUAACGAUGUGGUAAUAUCAUUCACACGACGCAAAAUAUAACAUAAGACGUAAUAAGAAUUAUUCACAGUUUAAUAAAAAUUUAAAACAGAGUGAGUAGGCUUACAAUUAAUUUUGCUUUCUCUGCCACCUUUGGAUCCGGGAUGUUACCAUGUUUGUCCUGUCUAGCUCUCUUCCAUAAGGUAGAUCGAUCAAUUUCUACCCCAGGCAUGGUUUCCUCCAAUUGAUCCUCCAAACCAGCAUAUCCUUUUCGAGACAAUCGAUGAUUGUACUCAAGUUUCUCCCUAAUCUGUGCAUGUUGAGAAUGCACAGACUCAAAAUCUUUGGAUAACCUUGAAGCUACAAAGGCAUCCCAUUGUGCUUUCUCUAUGAAUUUAUAUAUUUCAGGGGGUUGGCUUAAUCUCUCCCUGUCAUUAGUGUAUGGAAGGAUAUAUUGCCUCGUUAGUGUAGACUUGAAAUCCUUCCAUUUCUUGGCAGCAGAAGCUAACACAGAGCUCUUGCCCCCUUGACCUACCACAAAAGCAAUGUCAACUGCUUCCCAAAUCUGCUCCUUUAUAUCCUUGGAGAUUUGAGCCUAUUUCAUGUCCACAAGUGGAACUCUGGAGCGUGCCAACACACCAAUGUAGGACUGCAUCUCACUAUGUGCUUGGCCAAUUCCUUUCCCCCUUUUAUUGUACUCAACAAUUGGCCUCAGUUUCUGAAGUUUUCUCUUCACAACAUGAGGCAUUGUGCUCAUACCUCGACCAGACUUUGAAUCAUCAGAGAUUGUUGUCGUGCUGGUUCGUUCUGUCUCAGCAGAUGAUGAAGCAAACUUCAUCUUCUUCGAAGGCUUCACUUGAGGAGGUACCAUUCCAAGGUCCUUACCUCCAUUUUUCUUGGAGCCAGAAUCCUUACUUUGGUCUUAGUGAGAAACCAUUUUUACAGACAAAACUGCAAGUGAAAAUAUUUCAGGAAAAGAUUAAGAACACAAACGACAGUUAUUAAUAAAAUACGACGUAUGAUAUGAUUUUAAACGACGCAAUGAAAUAAUCUCAGACGUAAUAAAUGUUUAAAACCAAGGUAAUUAAACAACGACGAAAUAAUUAACUAUAAACGACGUGAUAAUUAACUAUAAACGACGAAAUAUUUAUAUAACGUCGUGGUAUUGAUGUUCACACGACGUCAGUCGUAAUAUACCGUCGUCUAUAUAAGGAUCCAAAACCCUUCUUUCUUUCUCUGUGAAUGUUUGAUUGCAGAUUUGAUUUUUCUGAACCAUGGUUUUUGUUUUCUAAUUUGAUAAAAUACAAGGCCAAGAAAGAAAGUUUUGGAAUCUUAUAUAGACGACGGUAUUUUAAUAUGACGUCGUGGUAUUAACAUUCACACGACGUAAAACAAUAAGAUACUGUCGUCUAUAUUAGAUACCAACCCUACUUUCUUUUUCUUUAUAUUUUAUCAAAUUAGGGAAAAACAAAAACCAUUGUUCAGAGAAAUCAAACCUGCAAUUAAACAAGCAAAUAAAAAAAAGACUAUAAUUUUAAAAACAACUUUGUCAAUUUUCAGACGACGCUAGAACGACUGACGAACCGUCGUGGUCUACAUAUUUAACCACGUACAUAAGAAGCUACCGUCGUCUUAUUUAGUUGAGGUAGUUGUCUUCAAAGUUGGAAACUUUCCCUCUUUGUCUGUAUAUUUUAUUGAACUUGGAAAGAAGUAAAAUGAUUUUGGCCAGAAAAAAGGUAAAAAGAUUUUUCAAACAAAAAACGUAUGAGCAUGCAAAACAACAACCAAAAUAGUGAAAAUGAAAGCUUACCUUUUGCGUGCAAUGAAAGCAAGAGGAAGAUUAUGUUUAAGUUCAGAGACGACGAAGAAGAAGAGAGGAAGACGAUGAGAUACUCUGACAGUGCUCUGACAAGGAAAAAAGUCUAAAAGUUUUCUCUGGGAGAUUGAACUUUUUAAUCGGGUUUGAAAACGGCGCAUGUGUAUGUCAGGUAGACGAAAAGUUGCUUACAUAUAAAACCAUUUCAAAAAAAUAAUACGGCGGUUACAUAUAACUACGACGUAUAAAUUACAAAAUACGACGGUACAUUUAACUUCGGACGUGGUAAAUAAAUACGACAGUAGUGUUGUAGGUACCGUCGUAGUAAACUCAAAAAUUAAAGUACAUAAGUAAUAACUCGCGUCAUGGUAGAUUAUUUAACACGUCGUUUUUAUUAAUUUACCGACGUGGAUUUCUGUAAUAUACGUCGAUAAUACCGACGUUGAUUUUACAAUUUAAACGGCGGUUUUUUUGUAAGGACCGCCGUUGGUUUUAAAAAUUUAUUCUAUAAAUUUGUCGCUUUCAUUCAUUUUCGGUUUACAUUUAAGGUUCCAAGUUCUUCCUCUCUCAGUCUCUCACGUCUCAAAGACAAUAAUUUGGAUGUCUUUCUCAAAGAGAAAUUGAGCUUACUCGCAUCAAAUAUAUGUCCACAAGAAGAAGCUUGUCAACUAGCCUUCUCACUUCCUUGAUCAAGCCUGAUAGGACACUUAGUGCUUCUGAAUACUCCUUGCUUUCCAUCAAAAGAGAUGCAAGCCUGGCCUCCACUCGCUGUCGAAGGAAAGUUCGCUUCUCAGGGAAAUCUUCUUGAUUUUCUUGGCUAAGAAGAUCCGUCAGAUUUGUGAUAGCCUCUUCCUUUAUCCGUAGAGCUUCAGAAGAAGAAGAUGGGUUUCAAGAAUGCGAUAAAGAAUAGAAAUGGCUUCAGAUGGCCUCUAAAGCAUGAGCAAUCGAAUCAGUAGUUGUUGGGAGAUAUGAUGAAGACAUUGUCAAUGCUUUGAACUAUACAAGUCCUGCAGAAAGAUAAAGGACCAAACUGUUAAAGAAACUGAAACAAUGGCGGUUUUCUGUUCUACCGUCGUCUUUUCUCGUCGUCUAUAUUAAGGUAAGAUGGCGGUAGAUUUAUAAUUACCGACGUAGAUUAUUUUGUUAAACGUCGUUAAGUGUACUACAACCGACGUGGAUUUUAUUUUUAAAUUAUAAAUAGAGUUUUUUUUCCCCUAUUCUUUCAGUUUUAGUUUUCAAUUACAAAGCGUGAUAAAUAGAUUUUUCUUUCCCGAGGAAAUUUAAAAUGAGGGAAAUUAAUGUUCUAGAAUUUGUAAACUAACACGACGCAAUAUUUGCAAAUCUGUGUCAUCUGUUAAGAUUAUGAUGUGGAACAGAGUUCCAUCUGGUAAGAUUUCGUAACCCUUGGGAUCUCAGACAAAUCUGAUUAUGUCGGCGGUUUUCUAUAUAAAUCGUCGUGGUUAUUUCAAUUCUUGUCAUUAAGUAGAUCUACCGACGUAGGAUAAGAAAAUCAAAGAAAAAAAUUGUUAACAAAAAUUCUUAUUAAGACGACGGUUAAAAUUAAAGGUACGACGUAUAAAAUGAAUAAAUACGACGUUAAAUUUUAUUGUACGAUUUAAAGAUAACGUCGUAGAACUAUAAGAGAAUGACGUCGAUAUAUUUAUAUUUUCCGUCGUUGUACAUUAAUUUAAUACGGCGAUAUUUUGUAUUUUAAAGCCGUGGAUUUGUUUGUAAUUAUACGGCGUCUUAUACGAAAACCUCGUCGUGUUAUUUUAUGAGUAAAAACGGCAGUUUUUAUUGAAAUCGUCGUCUUUACUUUCUACGUCGGUCGAUUCAUAACUUCUGCCGUUCUUUGUUGGCAUUGAUUUUACACUGCGAAAAUCUGUUUCAAAUAGACGUCGGUUGUUUAAUUAUGUACGUUGUUGUUUUUGAACAGCCAUUUGAAUCUCCAUUUUUUAGUUGUCUAAGGUUGUAUUACACGACGGUGUUUUUAGAACCGUCGUCUUUUUAAAAACCACGACGGUUUUCACUUAGACCGUCGUUGUUUUCUGGUCGUCUUUUUCACUUUUUGUAGUAGUGGCAUAUGAUGACGACACUCACAACAAGAUCAUGGCAUUUGACUCGAGUUGUAUGAUUCUCUCUUAAGUGUAUGUAAAGUGUAUGACAUUUACAUCAAUACGUGUAUUCUUAAUUGAAAUCUACUAUGGCAUUUACUCAAAUUAACAAUCAAGAAUCCAUUAAGAUCAAAGAGAAUAUGAGUGUCACAAAAACCCUAAAACAUGGCAUUUGUUAUUAGGAAUUCAAGAAUCGAUUUCUCAUAACUAGUUCUUAACCCAAUUAUUCGUUGCAAAUAAGAACACAUUCAAUAUGGCAAUUGACCUAUGUUCUACAACAAUUUAAUUCCAAUACAUGCUUCUAAGUUAGCUACUCAAAGAAACAAAAUAUCAGAAUUCACAUAACAUAUAGAAACCGAAAACAUCACGCUUGUAGAAACUAAAAAUCCAUUAACCUUGUUUAUAAAAUUGAAAUCAUGUUUAGGGCUUCAAGAUUAAGCCCUAACUAACAAGAAAUUAGUUACUCAUGGUCUUGGAUGAACUCAAAAAUAAAUACAUAAGAACUGAAAAUUAAAGAAGGAAGGAAAAGAAAGAACUCGUUCGCAGCUUUCUCCUCUUGCGCUGUUGAUCUCUUUAGGACGUGAAUCCUUUUUAUCAGCCUUGCCUCGUCUUUUAUAUCACUUAUAUCAGAGUUCUAAACCCUAAAAUUGACUGAAAAGUCGUCCAAGAAGUCUUGGUAAACAAGGAAUCCAAAUAGGAAAGUAAAAAUCACAAUUCCUAACUCCACUGGGAAAUACAGCUCAGCCCAAUGUUCACACGAUUUUGGGAUCUUCGACCUUGUAGAAAAAUCAUUAAAAAUAUAUUUUAGAAAGAUAAAUGUCUUAUCUUUCCAACCAUAUAUAGCACGUAACUUGAAAAAUUCGGAAAGGCUUCCGUUUCUUCACAUUCACGUAGCAUGUACGAAACUGUCCUGUCUGCACGUGGGCUAACUUUACUUGUAAUACUGUACCAAUUGGCUCGGUAGAAAAUUCUAGAAAAAUCAUAGAUUGAACUUCAAGAUGUUAGCUUUCAUCUCCAAUCAGGGGCGGCCUUGGGGAGGUGCAAGUGGCGCCACCGCACAGGGCCCCCGAAAAAAAAAAUAUUUAUAUUAUAUAUAUAUAUUAAUAUUAUAUGAAUCGUAUAUAUAAUAUAGCGUCUGGAUAUUUGCACAACAGCGUGUUCAGGGGAGUUGGAUGGAGCACAUCUCUCUUUGGCAAAAGGGCCCGAGUUCGAUGCUCCUUGAUGUCGUUCUACUGGCUAGCCUUUUGUGAUAUUAUUUUUGCAUUCAAACUUUACAUAAUUAUUGAACCAUUGGAUUAAUAUGCAACGAUGGGUGACCACAAUCUCUUGGACUCCUGUGGUCCAUGAGAUCGGGACUGAUAUUACAUGACUUAUUUUAUUAAAUUAUUAUCAUGUUGAUGAUUGGUUGUAUGAGAAUAUAGUUUGUAGAAAUAUUUAUCUAUUUCUUGUUGGGGUUUUCUUCCAGGUUAUAGGGUUUUGGAAUUUUUCUUUGUAAUCUAAACAUGCCACCUACUAGAAAAUACGUUUAUGGAUAUACAAAACGGCUUAGAAAAAGAAAAUUCGAGGAAUUGACUCAAUCUCAAAGAGGAGCUCUUGAUAGAUUCAUUGUUAGAGAAUCACAUGCUACAAUUGAUGAAAAUAUUUAAAUUUUUAUGAAUUUAAUUUCUGAUUUUCAUUGCAUAUUUAUUGAUGGUGAAUUUUAGUUAUAAAAAAAAAUUGUUUAUGACAUUAAGUUAUGGCAAAUUUUUAUAGUAUUUUCGUAUUAGAUUAUGCAAGGCCCCAAUUUAAGUUUCGCACAGGGCCCUCAAAAUCUCAGGGACGGCCCUGUCUCCAAUUGGUCUUGUGCUAAAAUUCCUCCGAAAAGUUGAUUUUCCCUUAAAAACCUUCUAAGAGUGCAGAAAAGCUGAAAAUCAGAAAAAUAAAGUAAUAAGCCAUUUUUAAAUCUAAUUCUCUUACAAAACCAAAGUAAAAAGAGUACAUAAAUGAGUAUAUUUAUGGACUUAUCAACGUCUUCUUCGUUGGACUUGGGGUUGUUUUCCUUAUAUGUCCCCUAUAUAUAUAUAUGGCCUUUAGUUGAGCCCACAAAUACCUUCAGUUAGUUUUUGGGUUUAGGGGCCUACAGAACCUGCACUAAACAAUAAAAGAAAAUACCUAAUUAGUUUAGUACGAAUUUAUAAUGAAGGCUUUAUUAGGUGAAGUUUUAUUUCUUAAUCGUUAGAUCAAAUUGGUUAGCAUCUGAAGUCGCCCAAAGAUUUGAGAGGGAUUCCACAAACAUAUAAUAUAAAGAAAGAAAGCAAUAGUAGGAGAUGAACCAGUACAAAAAACAAUAUAUAAAUAGUACAUAAUAAUUCCAUAACCUUGUCACAAACGCACUCACAAAUGCUUUCCAUAAACCUUGCCCUAACAUAUAACAAAUAAAGGCAACAUUGCAUAUGAUGCAACCAUGUCCAAAUCUGAUACGUGAUAAAAAAAAAAGGACAUGGCAGCAACAUAUGACUGAAGUAGAUGGGCUCUUUGCAUCUCGUGUUAUCGUAAUUAAAGACAUCAAAAUAUUAAGGUUGAAAUCUUCUAUAGUAGCAAGCAUUAAAAUAGGUUUGAAGCAGAGUUUAAAGAAAAUUCCAAUUCCACUGAUUUGCCUCUGCUCAAAGACGAGAACCAAAAUGGUUACUUCCCUUGCUGAGUAUAUUUGUUAACGUCGGAAACGGUAAUAGAUGACCAAUCAAACCCAAGUACGACGAGUUUUGCAUAGGAUCAGAAGUAGUUGAAUCCAGCUUGCAUCACACGCUUCUUUGACUCCAUUGCAUUAGAUGAGUUUUUGUAUUUUUGAACAGCUACACUCCGAAGUCGUUUGUGUCUACGCUUCAUGCGCUGCAACUUCGCCCUAUCCAGAUUGGCCUGCCUUUUGUCAUCUUCAAUUUGGCCUUCAACAAAUUCCAAACGUGCCCUUGCCCUUUGGAUUUCAUCACCAAGUUGAAGAUGCCUCUCCUUCCAAAAAGCAAGAACUCUUUCAGACUCAAAACUUCCAACAAAAUGGUCAUUCUAUCUAGGAAUGUGACAUUGCUUGUCUGGUGACUCACCUGCGUUUCAAAGGCGGUCUUUGUUUGGAGGGGUGUUUAUUAUGCUCACAUCAAACUUGGUUAGUAAAUCCAUUCUAUGGGGGGAGUGAGUUUCUGUGGAGGAGAGAGUUUCAGUAGAUGGAGACAGAUUCGGUGGAGGAGUGAGAUUUUUGUGGAGGGAGAAUUUCUAUGAAAUGGGUGAUAGUAAUACCAAUAAAAGGGUUCCCGCCAAAAAGUAUUUGGUUGACAAUGUAUAAAUUAAUUUUUGGUCUGAUACAAUCUAAGUUUAAUCCUAACUAGUUUGGUUAGUUUGGUUGAAUUCACUAACUAGAUGUCACUUCCAUUGAGUUUCUUUCAACCACUAUCAGUGGUGUAAGGAGAGUGUGAGGUUGACAUGCUUGAAAAGCAAAACCUAACACCUCUUUUUUUUAAAAUUGAAAGAAAGUACAUAUGUUGACUACACACAAGCUUUGGUAUGUUGGUCUAUAAAGCUAUGUUCCCUUUCUCAAACGAAAUUGCAUAUGCAAUCCUCGUCCUCCCAAAACAAAUAGAAUUAUUCAAGCAUGUCAACCUCUUCAGGCGCCAACAACACAAUCAAAGAUGACAAAUUGGAGUCGCAGGUUCUAUUUCCACAUUGUACUCGCCGACCCCUUCCAUUUUCAACAUCAUUUGGGAGUGAGGGGGACUCCGAUGAUCCAUUAGAGCUAAUACAUGCAGUCAAUAGCAAGCUGGAUUAUAAUUCCAGACUGAUCAAUUCAUGGCGCGAGAAAUAUGUUGAAGACGAAGCCAUUUUGGCUGAUCUUAACAUUAGAGUGAACAAAGCGUUCUCCCAAAAGAACAAGUACUUGAAGCUGAGUCAUAAAAGGAAGCUGAAAGCUGAGGAGUUAGAUACAGUAAUGAAUGAUGAAAUUAAAGGUUGUUUGAUGAAUCAUAUGCGAUGCGAAGAGCACCACAGUGAACUGGAGUUGGCAUUCAACGAAGGAUUCGAAAAAUUACGAGCAUUUGCAGCAACUACUCAUACAAGUUAUAAUUGGGACUAUGUGUCCCCUGAUGUUGUGAGAGAGAUACUAGACGAUGGUGGUGACAUGAAUGAGCAUAAGCACGUCAAAGCUGCUUGGAAGAAGCCGACCGAUACGACUAAGUGAUUGCGGCUACAGUUGUUCAGUUGGUUGAGAGUGAUCGUGGUAUUGCACAAAUUAGAAGUAUAUUCCCAUAAUGUCAUUAUCUAAUUUAAAAUAACACAAAUAUCAGUUUCAUUUGCUUCAUAUUGUAACACCCCGACCCCAAAUUUCCCCAAAAUUUACCCUCAUUUAAUUAAUUAAUUAUUUAAGGGUAUUUUAGUCAUAUUUUUAACCGGAGAGAGUUUGGGACCAUGACUUGUAUUUUUGGAUAGGUCGUACUGAGACGAGUUCAUAGACACGUAGUGGGCUCGAAUCAGAGUUGUAACGAGAGAGAUAUGGUCAAAAGAAACCCAGUGGCACAAUCGUAAAUAUUUCAAAAUGGGAUUUUUAUAAAAAUCUGGUUUUUCUCUCUCUCUCUCUCUCUCUCUCUCUCUCUCCCGCGACUUCUCUCUCUCUCCCGUCGGCUCUCUCUCUUUCUCUCCUUGUAUCUCCGGCCACCGACCACGGCUGUGGGCGGGGCCGGUACCAAACUGACCGGGACGACGUCCCCUUCCUUCCCCGACCAUUCCCCGCCGGCAACGCGGCCGUUGCUGGCCGGAAAAUGCAGAAAACCGCCGGGAGGUCGUCGAAACUUCAACGCCGUCGAUCUCCCUCCUCCGGCCACCAUUUUCGUCGACCCAGGUAUGGAUCUUGAACCUCUCGAGCUGUUCUAGCUGUUUGUUGGUUGGGUUUUGAUCGAUUCGAUCUCUAGAUCACUCGAUUUUCGAAUUGAAAAUUGGCCGAAACUUCGGCCGCCGUGAUCGGCCAUUUUCGGCCACUUUUUGUGGUAGGUCCAAGAACAAAAGUGGCUCCAAAUAGGGUGUUAUACCUAGGGUAGAAGUUUGGAGCCGAGAUGUUGAGAUUUUCCGGCGAAGCGUUAUCGCUUUGGGCACCCACGCGUGCGGCGGCGCGUGGGCACUGUAGAAAAAGUAGAUGUGUUCCGAUGAGAUCCUUAGGUUGUCACGAGUGCGUAGGAUUUGGCGGAUCUCAAUUCGGACGUCGUUUGACUAUCGAACGGAUAAUCGCAUAUUAUGCGUUAUCCGGGUUCGAUAGGUUGAGACCGUCGGAUGGUCCCAAAUUUAAUAUAUGUUGAUCUAGGUAUUUCUAGGAUCGUGUAGGAUUUCACGGAUCGUGAAUCGGAGCCCCGGAUGUUCCGAAUAAUAAUUUAAAGUUUAUAUUUUAUAUUAACCAUCAGAUUAUGCGAUCGUGAGAAAUCCGACCGUCUGAUCUGAACCAAACUGGCAGGAAAAGUGUCCUGUACCUGGUAGAACCCAUAGGGACCUUCGGAUCGGAAAUUGGAGGUCGUGGGUUCCGCAAGUCUGUUUGACCAGGGUUAGAGUAGUUUGACCCUUGGUUGACCGUGAGUCUCCCGGAGUAAUCUCACCCUUCCAGGGGGAAUUAUCGGGAGCUAGACUAUUGUGGAGGGUUACACAAUAUUAGAAUUAUUUAUAUAAUUAUAUAUGGUUGUACAAGGGUACAACAAAGUCUAGAAUGUCAGUUUGGAGUGCUAUACGCACUACUUUAGGUACCUCCUCGGAUUUUGGAUUCGCUACAAGCACCACCAAGUGAAAGUUAGGUCCCGCGUGGCGUAGGUUAUCCGGCGUUGGGACAGACCCCAUACGUGGCGUUGGUUGUACCGGCGUAUGGGGAGAUUUGCAAUAUGAUGUUCAGGUCUCACGUGGCGUAGGUUAUCCGGCGUUGAGACAGGCCCCGUACGUGGCGUUGGUUGUACCAGCGUACGGGGAGAUUAUGUGAUAUGAUGUUGAGGUCCCGCGUGGCGUAGGUUAUCCGGCGUUGGGACAGGCCCCAUACGUGGCGUUGGUUGUACCGGCGUAUGGGGAGUUAUAUGAUAUGAUAGUAUGGCAUGGUCGCACAUGGCGUAGGUUAUCCGGCGUGUUGACAGGCCCCAUACGUGGCGUUGGUUGUAUCGGCGUAUGGGGAGAAUAUGUGAAAUGCAGAGAAAGGAAAUAAGGUAUCACCGAUGUGUGGAAUUGGGUUUUAGGGAAGAACUACGUGUGGCUUGAUCCCUCAAGGAGGGUACGUAGGCAGCCUAAGGUUAUUGGGUGCAGCCGCAGACUAAAUAUUAGUCAUAUUUGGUAUUUGAAUUGUAUGGUAGUUGUUUGAGAAUUAUUGGAAGGCCAAAGGCCAUUUAUGAGAAUUUGCAUGAAAUUAUAUUGUGCAUGCUGCUAGUUGUGGAUAUUAAAUGUGUUUUUAUGCAGGUUGAAAUUUUGGGAAAUGUCCAAUUUAUAGGGGAGACUCUGCUGAAAUUUCGGCAGGAAGUCUCGGUUUUUAGUAAGUGGGCCUGGCAUCGGGGUGAUGUCAGGAAUUCCAAAGGGUUCGUCUCGGGUUUUGAGAAAAUUCGGGGCGGGUCCUUAAACAUAUAUAAUUAUUGGGACUAUGUAUUGCAAGUCAUCAUGUGUUCCUUCUGUCUAACAUUAUAUUUUGCAAAUAUCAAAAUAUUAUUCAAUAAGCAGUCAAUAUCACAGCAAGUUGGGAAUUAGUAAAGCCCCAUUAUCAUGUCCGUUCACAUUAAAGAGCUGGCGUACUUUUUCUCAAAAAACUGACACGUGAGUCAUAAGUAACAUAACAUGUGCUAUACAUUGUUUAGUGAAUGGUUUAUGGUUUAUUUAUAUAUAAUAAAAUUCCAAAUAUUGCUGAAUAUUUGUUUUUUCUAUAUCCCUGGGAACAUGAGUGACCAUAAGCAUGUAAGACCUGUUAAGAAGAAGCUGACUAAUACGACCGAGUGAUUGUGGCUACCGUUGUUUAGUUGGUUGGGGAGAUCGUGGUAUUGCUAAGAGGGAGCACAUAAUGUGCUUUGCAAUCAAAUUUUCUUUUGUGUGUGGAAUUAUGAGUAGUUCAAAUGUUAGUGUACCCUUUAAUAUUCUUCAACCGUUUGAAAUGUGAUUAGCUGCAAUGUACUUUUUUACACGCUGCUUUCUAAUCACUCUGUUCCAACAAAGUGCUUUAAGUAUCCUUCAGUUACAAAUGUUUACAAAAUCGUGCAUCUAAUAACCAGUCGAGCUCAGAUCUUAAUAACAAGUAAAACACUAGAACAUAACAUUCGGAAAAAGUGGGUGCUGCUGGAAAUCAUUACUGGUAAUGGAAGCAAGAGCUGGCUGCUGGAAAUGCUGCAUUAGCCUGUGAUAUAAUCAAUGAAUCUCUGUUAAAACAUAAUUCACCAUAAACUACCCAUUUUACAUGGUAAAAGUCAUUGCUUCUUCACAUAACUCAAAAUUUGAUACUUUAUCAAAUGUCUAUGAAAAUUUCUAAAUAGGGGAAAGACGUAAAAUUAACAUGUGUCCAAAUUUCAUGCAAGAAUGAAACCAAGCAAAUUUUUAUUUCAAUUAUCAGUGGACAUAGUAAGAACUCAUCGGUGGACAUGAACAAAAAAAUAAUAAUAUUAAAAACUGAAUCUAGAAAACUUCACCUGAUCAUUAGUCUUCAUAACAACCGAAUUUCGUCUAAUAGAAACAUAAAUCAUUCAGUUGGUCCGUGCAUCGUGUCAAAUUCAUAGAAUAAUGGGUCACUACGAUCUAUUGGAGUUGAUUCGUCAUUGUUCGACGGUGAUGUCCUGCAUAGACAUCAAACACAAGCACAGAAAAAAUUUACCUAUUCAAAUUUUAGGUGUUAUUAUAAAUAGUGUUAGCAUCUUACGGUGUGUUCAAAUUUCUUGCGCAUUGUCUUCUAUCAUGACCAAUGUGUCCACACUCCAGACAGUGUCUAAUCCCUCGCUUCAUUGCCUUUUCUUUUGCUCCCGUUACUCGUUUCGACCUUCUUUUGCACCUCACUCUCUUAGGGUCUUUCAUAUAUUGUGUUUGAGAGCUGGACCCUCCAACUUCGUUAUUACUUGGUCCAUCCUUCAACAACUUCAACUUCACCUGCAAACUUUUUAGAGUCUCUGACAGUAGCUCACAUCCUUCUUCACUCAUUAAUGCACCCUCAACCACAUCUUAAGCAAGUCGAGACAUUGUACUCCGCCUUAUUAAAAGACCAGGAUCUGCAGAGUCUUUAAUUUCGUUGCCAUUUGCAUCUGACACCAAUUCAGAUUUUGCAGUUUUCUUCCACCUCUUUAAAAUAUAUUUAUCGGGCAUAUAUUCAAUCUGGUCCCUUCUGAACAAUGCUAGGAUGUGCUUGCAAAUAAUUCCAACAAAUUCAAAUCUUUUGCACCCACACGAUGCGUGGUCAGAAUCUUUAACAUAUACGACGUCUGCCACUCUUGUUUCCCAAUUUUUCCUUUUGCUCACGCGAAAGACAACUUUAGAAGCACCCUCUGUUUUGAGCUCUAGGAAACAUGUUGUACUUUGUAUUAGUUCUUGGUCAAACUUUUGAAACAUUGUCCUUGUGUACAAGGUAGCCAUUUGUUUGUUCAUUGGCAUCGGUAGAAUACAUUGAGCCACUUCAAAUGCAUCUACGUGAUCAGCAACUAACUCUUUUUGACGUUGAUGAGAAAGUGCCCUCUCAAAUCGUAUUAUGAAAUCCAUCAACGAAUUUCUCCUUGAUAUGUAUUGCUUGAAAAAACCAUGAGAACCUUCCACUCUUUGGCUGCUUGACAUUCCAGCGGCAAAAAAUUGUUGUGCGUAGGCUGGAACCCAAGAUUCUCUUAAAUCAAACAUUGAACUUAGCCAUGGAUGGUCAGUCAAACCAGCCUUUGUAACCACAAUAUUCCAUUUUGUAACAAACUUAUCCUUAUUGUCAGUAUCCCAUACGGCUUUCUGAAAUUCACGCCAAUACUCCUUAUAAGCAGAAUGUGGUAACUUAACAGAGAACUUUGAUGUGAUGUGCAAUAUGCAAAGUCGAUGAAAUGUAGUCGGGAAGGGUAUUGAAAUCGCUCUGGUCAUUGCCGCAUCUUGAUCUGUAAUGAUCGUUUUAGGUCCGCCACUUGGCAUGGCUUUCUUAAACUCCUCAAACAUCCAAAUAAACGACUCAGUCGUUUCCUUGCUCAAAAAUGCGCAUGCUUAGACAAUUGUCUGACCAUGGUUAUUAACUCCCAACAUUGGUGCAAAUGUCAAGUCGUAUCGAUUCGUGUUGAAUGUGGUAUCGAAUACAACAACAUCUCCAUAAAACCCGUACGCCCAUCUAGAAGUUGCAUCUGCCCAAAAACAUUGACUAAACCUGUCAUGGCCAUCUCUCUCAAUCUUGAAAUAAAAAGCCUCAUUUUUUUUUUCUGUUCAGCCAUAAAAUACUCGGUCACUAGUUCAACAUCGUGGUUCCUCAACUUCCCAUUCACACUACAUUCAAAAUUGUAGAUAUCUUUUUUGAUAAAACCGAUUUUAUCCAUUCCUCCGGAUUGCACCUCGAAAAUACUUACCUUCUGAUGAAUGAGAAUAUUAACCGAACCCAACUGUUUUGUGAGUACUUUUGUAGAAUCUGAACUAUGACGGUGUGAUCUCAAUAAAUGCAUUCUUUCUGAGGGUGUCAUCUUAUGAUUGUGUCCCUCUGCAAAAAGAGAGAUGGUAUACUUCUUGCUCCCAUUUGUCUUCACAACCACAAUCUUAGCUUUGCAAUUGCAUCUACUUAUUCCCCGCUGUCUUUUUCUCUCCCGAGUUUCAUCUCUCCUGUAUUCACCUUGUUUGCAACAUACAAAUUCUUUCCUCAAAAUCUCUUUCUUAUUUCCCCCCCAAAAGCUGGAAUGAAGUCGAAUACCAAAGCCAGCCAAGAAUGCAUAUCUAUUAUAGAAAUUGUAAACGAGGUCAAGCAAGUCGAACUUCAUCCCAACUGCUGGUGUUUCCUCAUUUCUUACUUCAAGAAUGUAAACCCUCCCAUUAGCUGUUACACAGUCAUCACUCUCUGAGCCCCCAGACAUUUUAUCCACGUAUAUUAUUGAUCCACUUCUAUAUUAUUGCAUAGCAAAUAUUAAUUCAUUAAUAAAUCAUUACUGCAUCACAACAUAUCAAUGCAUUCCACUUACACAAAACAUUGCCCAAAUUGACACAAAACACGCAUAGCCUAACUUGUUGGAUUCCGAUUACACAAAACGCAAGCAAAAUUUAAUAAUAGUUACGUCAUCUCUUGUGAAAUAAUCUAGAAAAAAUAACAUUAGAACCAACAUGUUCAACUAAGAACACAAAUGCAAUUCAAACCAGCAAUCACAUAACUUCACCCAAUAUCCUCUCCAAAUGCUUACUCCUAAUGUCAUUAAGCCUAAGUUUAGGAUCUUUUACCUACAUUUCAUAAUUUUUCACCCCCACCAAAAAUAAUCAACUAAGUAUACUGAAUAUUCAUAAGGAAAUGACGCAUUAUUGAUGCCACAAAUGACGAAUUUCCUACCCUCACAAAAAACAAAUCAAACCCAAUUAAAUCAAUCCAGCAAGAGUGAACUUACCUCUCAAAAUCAAUCGGGAGCUCCGAAGUCAGUAAGCUUGAGAGAAUGUGGUGGACAUUAGAGAAGACUCUUUGGUAUUGGAGACUCCAUCUCUACCAAAAUCGAGGAACGAACUGCUGCUACGGCGUCUAGCUACAGAAAAAGAUAUGCUACUUUACUUUCAUCUGGAAUCUUGUUUGCUGAACGAAAAAGAGAAAGGGUUUUCACUUGAGCCAUAGAAUCAAAACAAGGCAACAUCUAGGUAAGAGCCAUUAAUCGUCAUAUCGAGGAUACCAUAGAUCGCAGGCCUCCCAAGGAGCUGAUGACAAUGGAGCGACUAUAGGGUUUGGGAGCUUUGGAUCCUUCUAAUUGUGGGUUUGCGUUACAUUCAAAAAAAGAGGAGUGUGUUGUUGAGUUUUUCACAUAGAGGGAAAGAGGGAAAGAUCUUCAACUGAAGUUGGGUUUCCAACGGGUCAAAUUUCAACCCGGUUCUACAUGCACCCUCUUUUAAAAACUCACCGUUGGAUUUCAUCCAACGGCUCGUACAUACCCCUCAAAAACACCCCUUAUAACUUUCCACUCACUAUAGAAGCUCUCCCCAGGAAAUGCUUCGAGGUAGAUUUUAUGUUUUGGGCCUUGGGACCCAACUUCACAAAAAGAAAACAAAUUUGACCAAAAAACAAAGUUGAAGGACAUUGAUAUUGUACCUGUAGGAUAGGUUAAAACACUAAAAGGAAGGUAAAUAGUACGUUUACAGAGUUUAAGUGUAAUAAAGGAAUAAAAACAUGCCCAGAGAAUUGAUAAGUGAUAUCAAUUCUUGAAUAUAUAGAACGUAAAAUAAAGGAAUACGUAGAAAAUUAUUUUAUGUGGUAAAACUCAAUCUAUGGGGCCACGGGACUUCUUAGUCCAAAAAAAAUCCAUUGAACGAUGAUUACAAGAAGUACUCACACACUUAUCCUAGACACAUUCUAGAUAAUUUUUACUAACAUCUUUGUAACUCAACUUCUGUCAUAGGAUGAUUUUUUGACACUCCUUAUGUUGAACGCAAUACUGGUCACGAUUUCUUCAAGCUCGCAGGAACUCUCCUUAUAUUGAAUAUGAUACUAGUCACGAUAGAUUCAAGCUCAUCGGAGAAAAACAGCCACAACGGUCUUGGUGCCCUCAAUGGUAUGAGUCACUGAACAUGCAAAUAAAUACAAUAUGAAUGAUAAAAGUGUUUGAUAAAUCACCAAGUUAUGGAACACUUGAUGAUUUAUCUCAAAUAAAAACUCAGCUUUCCAAAGUUUAUGAAUUGAAAAUAUGAUCGUUAAAGCUCUCUAAACAAAGAAGACGAAGAUCUUAUUUUAUAGAAUUUUUCUUUAUAAGAAAGAAAACACAUUGAAAACCAAAUCUCCAAGGCUUGACAGAAAAUCACAAAAGUAUCUUUCCUAUUCUAGAGAUUGGUCACAUGUAGUCCAACCAAUAGGACAUGAGAUAUUUAAGAAAUGAAGAUUUUGAUCAAUAUCAAUAUCAAAUGAAUUCUUAUACGCCUAGUCAACUAUUAAGGGUAUCUUGACUCCUUGAUAUUGUGAUAUGAUUGAAACAUGAUUUCCACGUUAGAAAAUUAAGGGGAUGUUAAAACAUGAAAGUAAUAGGAGAAUCAAAUUGAUUUCGGCCAAAAUUGCCUAAAAAGAAAACACUCCUAAAUAAACUCAAUUCACUUUUAAAAACAGUAAAACGUGAUUGAAUUGUUCUUUAAAACAAUUCCCUAAUAUACAUGCAUGAUAAUGACAUCACUUACCUCUGAAUCAAAUGCCUUUCAUAGGUCAAGCCACAAGUCUGUGUUUUGGGGAUUGCUGAGCUGCAUCAAUCCUGCCAAUGUCAAUGCUGCCCCUAUGCUCUCUCAAAGCACGUUUACAACCUAUGCUAACAUAUACCCUAAACCCUAGUAUCAAGAAAAUGCCAACACUAAUUUCGUAACACGUAGAAAUUGUUAGAGAUUGGAAGUUUUUUUUCUUCAAGUCUCUCCACCACUCACUAAUACAGAUUGCUCAUGUGAUGAGUUUACAAAACCUAUUUCUCUACUCUCACAAAGACUAUACUUCUUCUCAAAAGACUAUAUCACUUUACCUCUAUCUCUGUGAAAUGUAAAAAGUUGAAACUUUAAUGUCAAACCUCGACAAAAGAUGAACUUCCAUAAGUUACGUUGAAUUUGGAUUUGUUGAACUUAAGUGGUUUUACUUUUCUGUCAGUGUUUGAUGACUUAAUUUGGUAUUUACUUCUUCUUUUUUUCCUUGGAAAUGUGUUCCACCAACGUGAGGAAGAAAAAUAUGCACAAAUUAAUAUAUUUAAUAGAAGCCCAAGAUUUCGGAAGCACAUAAUUUCUACAAAAUUCUACAAAGUGUUCUACUUUACAAACUUCAUAUGUCUACCAAUUUUUACUAAAAUUAAUUUAUCUGCAGUGCUCAAAUUCAUCAUAUGUGUGUCCUUAAUUUUAGUGAAAAUUGGAAGUUUCCAUUAUUUUUGUUUUACGGGAAUUUUUUGAACCAAGGAAAAUCAAGUAAAAUUAAUAAAGCAUAAAUUGGAAAGGGAAAAUAUCUAGAGGAUGCAUUGUAGGAUUGCUCAUGCCAAUAAUUGUACCCUCUAAAUAUAUAGGGACAUAUUUUUUUUGCUCAUACCACUUGUUGCAGUACACAUUCACCCGUUUUCAAAGAAAGAAAUUCUACCAAUCGAUAAUGUCUCAAAUUUAAUCACAUAUUUUAUGGACCAUCCAGCUAUGAGGUUUUAUCUCAAAAACCUUCGGUACAUUUCUCCCACAUGCCACAAUUGUAUAUUCACAAUUACGUCUGAUACAUCACAUCAUGCCACUUGCCUCAAAUGAAUUUAAGUGAGUGAGGCAGUUGGAAGUAAUUAAGCUCUAUAUUGGUGGGUGGAGUGUUAGUUCUGGGUACCCCUCAUCAUUCGUCUAUAAAAUGGUGAAGCCAGUUGCUACUGUUACCAUAAGAGCCAGCUCCGACUUUCUUUAAUUUCUUGCUUCAUAUCCACUAGCUACAUCUGUUGCUCUUCUCAGUGUAAGCUCUGCAAUUUGAUUAACUUUCCCAUUAUCUCUCACUGUACUCUAUAUAAAGGAAUAAGUGUCGUCCAUUAAUUCUCUCCGAAAGUGUCGUCCUGAUUUUAAUUAGAGUUCGAAUUAAUGUUGCAGCUAGCAGCGGUUGCACUGGCAAACCAUGCUGCUCAACCGGUACCUCAACUUUACUGGAACUCCGUCCUGCCAAACACACAGAUGCCAAGAUCUAUCAGUGAACUUCUGCAUCCUGGUUUGUGUUUGAGCACUUUAGAAUCUUAGAUAUCUCUUCUACCUGCCAUUUUACUAAAAUAUGUUCAACCACAUAUUUAUCAGUUAACUACUGUCAUUACAUGAGUGACACAUAUUCACAAAUCGGCUGAUCACUUAUUUUCCAUUAUGACGUUGAUAUAUAAUGUUGGGAAUGGAAAGCCAAUUGACCACAAGGGAAAACCUGAAAAUACUGUACUACCACAGCUAGCACGAAGCCCAUUUUCUUACAAGAGUGAUGUGGGGACCAAAUCUCAUGUAUCAUAGCUUAACCCAUAUGCCACAACUAAAAGACGUGGGAUGAUCGAACAGCAUACCCACAUGGUCAUGGAUCUCUUCAGAUAAUCAAUAUUAAACAACCCAUAAACUUCUCCCUUUGAAGAACAAAUUAAAACCAAUUUCUAGAGGAAGGUUACAAAACAUUUUAGCCCGUGAAGAACAAAUCAAGACAAUAUAACCCAUUUGAUAACAAAAUCAAAAUGAGAUUUACCAAUACUAGAUGACCACGGCGCCAGUAUAAUGGUACGACGGCGGCGUUAUUGUAACGGUGGAGAAGUGGAUGGUAUGACGACGGUGUUAGUGUGACGGUGGAGGAAACGAUAUUAUGAAGGAGGCGUUGCUAUGUUCGGUGGAGGAGUCGUGUGUUUCACAGUUCAAUAUAUCCUUUUUAGUCAUUUUAUAUUAGGGUAAAUCAGUAAUUCAAUAAAUAAUUUGAUAGUAUGGUGUACUCAGUUAAUAUUAGGGUUCAUUUAACAGCACUCAAAUUAACUAGUGUAGAGUCUAUCUAUAUUAUUAAUACUAAAAAUAAAUAUAUGACUAAAUAACUCAAAAAAAAAAUAAAUCUACAAUCUUUUUUUUAAAAAAUUUUUUUUAUAGAAUUUUAUUAGAUUAAUAGGCACUACUAAAAAAUCUCCUUAUAAACUACAAAUACACGCAUAACUUAUACUAAUGUGAGCUACUGACACCACCUGCCACAUGACAGUUGUCCAAGCAUAGUGUUGUCAUUCAUUAUUCCCCACAGCAACUAACAUCCAAUAAAGGGUUGGGGCCCACCCAUACUCCACCUCUCUGUAUGUAGCUCUUUGAGAAUACAGAAGAAAUAUUUUUUAGGGAAAUAGCUUAAAAUGAUACCCAUUUCAUAAUUUUAAUUAAAAAUACCACCCCUUUCCAAUUUUUGUACAACUAUCACCUAUAAAUAUAAAAUUAUUGUCCACUUAUUGCUGAUUUUUCACAAGUUCAGAAAUUUUGGAAAGAAGAAGCUCACACAGCUCUCUCUCUCUCUCUCUCUCUCUCUCUCUCUCUCUAGCACAACUCUCUUUCUUUGGUAUCUGUCUAUCACAGCUCUCUGUGUCUCUCUUGGCUCUCUCUAUCUUGGCUCUCUCUCUCUCUAGCACAACUCUCUGUCUCUCUCUUUGCUCUCUUUCUCAUAGCGCAGCUGUUUCUCUCUCUAGCUUCGUUAUGUCUCUUUCUCCCCUAUUCGAUCUCUUGCUUUCUGUUUGGAAUCGCGAACCCCUCCCUUUAGCUAUGUCUUCUGAAUAGCUGCUUGCAACCUUGAAGCUCUAGUGGAUUGCCGACCUCGAAAAGGUAGUGUUGAUGGUUAUUUUCUUAAUAUCAGUGGGAUUAUGUGAAAUGGGUUAUAGUUUGAUUGUUUGGGUUUGUGUUAAAUUCGUUUUGGCUUUAAUUUCUUUGGGUUAGGUUUUGUUGAAUAUUCAUACUCAUUCAUCUGGGUUUGUACCAAUUGCAUUUAGAUUGGUCUGGAUAUGUGAAUCUUGAAACUUGGGAUUUUCUAUUUGAUGUAGUAGAUCUGUAUAGUGUGAUUCUGUUGUGUUCCUCUUAUUUUACAGUCGUAUUGCUGUUAUAUUGUCAUUAUAUUGCUUAUAUAUUGCUGUUAUAUUGUGGUUAUAUUGCUAUUGUAUUGUUUGGUUAUUGUGGUUAUAUUGUGUUAAUGAAAUGUUGUUUUGUCAUGGUCAGAAAUGGAGACAAUUGUUAUUCUCGUGUGCUACAAUGGAAAAUGGGUCACCUCGAAGAAGAUGUGCAAAUACGAAGGGGGUGACUCAAAAGGCUUAAUAGUUCCACGGACCAUCAAAUUUGUUGAACUGUUGGACCGUGUGCAUUAGAUUGGUAAUACAAACAGCAGGGAAGACAAGGUUUGCUUAAAAUUCUCAGUUUUGGUGGCCUCGAAUGAGUGGAAGCACAUAAAUAUUGAGGACGAUGAUGAUAUCAAUUUUUUUAUGAAGUACAAUUCCGAGGUAACACCUUCAAAACUAGCUCCCUUACUCGUGAGUAUAGAAGAUAAAGGAUUGACAAAUGAUGUAGUUCAUAGUAUGCAUAUCACGACAGAUAGUAGUCGGAUGGGUCAUUCUUCAGUUGCCAUUGUUGAAAGCAAUGAAGUAACUUGGAAUAAUACGAAUGUCACUGAUGUGGGAGGUGAAGUAGGGACAGAUUUUGUGGAUAUGAUUGAUUUUAGCGAGGUGUAGGAGAUGCAUGGUGGUGAUAAUAGUACUGAAAGAAAUGAAGUGUCAGUGUACUCUGCCCCUCCUAAUUUGGGCUGCUUCAACAUAGCUGCCCAGUUGCCAAUAAUGCGUUUAGGAGGAGAAUCUGAACCCACUCGUCAACAUUAUUGGAGUCAAAUAGGUGAACAAAAUCGGUACAAUGCAGCCGGUGUAAAUGAUGAAGAAGCAUAUUUGGACAGCGGGUUUUCACGAAGUGAUUGGAAUCCGAAAAUUACAGUUGGGCAAAUUUUCUCUAGUAAGAAAGCAUUGUUGACGGAGUUACGGUUGACGGCAUUAAGAGGCCACUUUGAAUUUAAGGUGCAAUUCUCUUGCACUAAAAGGUUGCUUGUGGUUUGUUGUCAACGUCCAUGCCCAUGGCGGGUCCGAGCAUCGAGAAUUGGAGAAUACAGCUUCAUGAUUGUGAGGUGUACAACUGUCCAUGAAUGUGAUUUGAGGUUCGUAAGUGACAAGCAUCGUCAAGCAACCGCAGCACUUGUAGCCACUUCACUUAAAAGGAAGUGACAUUAUGAGAGAUGUGAAACACAACUUUGGUUGCACCAUCCAUUAUUCGAAAGCUUGGAAAGCAAAGGAGUUAGCUCUAUUGUCCAUUAGAGGAUCAGCGGAGGAGGCAUAUUAUAUCCUUCCAGCUUAUUGCUAUGAAUUGGAGCGUAUGAAUCCCGGCACAAAAACACACAUCCAAACUGAUGAGAACAAUCACUUUGUGUAUUUAUUUAUGGCGGUUGGCGCAUGUAUUAGAGGGUUCCGUUCUUCCAUGCGCCCAGUGAUAGCCGUGGAUGCCACUCAUUUAAAAUCCAAGUACAAGGGUGUUAUGUUUGUAGCAAAUGCAUUCGAUGGUAAUUGAAAUAUAUAUCCUCUUGCUUUUGGGAUCGGGGAUUUGGAGACGGAUGCAUCAUGGCAUUGGUUUUUCACUAAACUUCAUGAAGCCAUUGGUGAGUGUCCCAAUCUUGUUAUUAUUUCUGAUCGCAAUGUUAGCAUAGAGAAUGUGUGGAACAAAAUUUUUCCAACUGCACAACGUGGCAUAUGCUUUUAUCAUAUGAAGGGGAACAUGAAACGCACUUGCUAGUUGAAAAAGCGUGAUCACAUACUUAUGCACUUUGAGCAGGCUGCGAAAUCUUAUUCCAUUGCUGAAUUUGAUUGUCAUUUUUGCAAGAUCAAGCGAAAGGAACAUGUUGCUCAAUAUCUUGAAGAGACAGGGUUACAUAAGUGGUCUAGAGCUCACAUGGAUGGACGCCGCUACAAUGUAAUGACAACAAAUAUUGCAGAGUCAAUCAACUCAGUCCUUAGGUUUGCAAGGAUGCUGCCAGUGGUUCAUUUGAUAGGGGAAAUUGUUAAUCUCCUUGUGAAAUGGUUCACCGAACGUUGUGAGUUGGUUUUGAAUUGCACAACAACAUUGUGCCCCAAUUUUGGAGAGAAGAAGUUGAGGAACAGGUUGGAGGAUGCUGCAAGGAUGAAUGUGGUUAAAGUAAAUAAUGCACAGUUUAAUGUUUUGGACGGUGAUAUGGACGGCCUCGUAGAUUUGGCGAACAGCAGUUGUAGUUGUAGAAAGUUUCAGCUUGAGCAGCUACCUUGCAAGCAUGUAGUUGCAGUUUGCCGCUUCUUGAAAGUAAAUGUAUACGCAAAGGCUUCUCGGUAUUACACUCAGAAAACCUGGAUGAUGCUUAUUCGGAUAGCAUCUACCCGGCACAACCUCACGGAAUGUGGGAUAUUCCUGAAGAUGUUCGAAGUCGAGUUGUGCUGCCUCCCAUGGCAAGGGUCAUGCCAGGCAGACGAAAGAAGAUCAGAAUUCCCUCGCAAGGAGAGGGCACCAUUAGAAGAAAGUGCUCAAGGUGCGGUUCCGCAGGCCACAAUAAAAGCACAUGUAAAAACAAUAUUCCAUUGCGCAAUGUAUCUUAGACAAUAUGAUUUGUGUUGCUUUGGUAGGUCAUGUAAACUCUACUUUUAUUUGUGGUGGGUUUCGUGUUAUGUUGAAUGGGAAUUCUUUUAAAUUUGCAUAAUUUGGGUUGCAUUGCUACAGCAUGCUGUAUUGCUGACAGAUUGCUAUUAUAUUGGACUUUUAUUGUACUGGUAUUGCUUCCAGAUUGCUAUUAUAAUUUGAGUGCGAAAUUAAAGGGACUGGAAUGUAAUUCCAAAUGGAUCCAAAUCAUUAAAGUUCUUAGAAUUCCUAUAUUACACAGUUACUGUGAUACUCCGACUAUACCUUCUUUUAUGAUUACAAAUUCGGCCAAUGCAUAGGCCAGAUGUGGGGCAAAUACAAGGUGAAAUGUCCUAUGUGUUUGACUACAUAUACUUGUUGAAGGAGCAUUACGAAUGCUAACCUCAAUAGAUUGCUCAUGUCUUGCCAAGAACACUCUUGAAUUUAUGCAAUGUGCCCAAGCCAGUCCCAAAGCUGGACUCACCCGUCUGCCUGAUGUGUCCAGGGACUCCAAGUUUCCCAACCUCACCUCAUUCACUUUAUCAUGUGGCCCAAUAAAAUCCACCACUUGGUUGGUGACAACCACCGCCAACCCAAACUUAUUUGCUAAACCCUUCAAUGUCCCAGAUAUGUUGAAAAAUAUUUCAAACCGCCAUUUCAAAUCUGCUGGUGUUGUCUGAUACUGUGAUCGGAACAAUGCAGCAAUGGAAUCAAUGACAAUGAGUUUCACAGGUAGGUGGGUGUGAUCAAUGGCAAUAAAUGCUUCUAUGUCUCCAAGGACAUGGAUGAGUUGUUGAGCAUCAUGAACACCAUGAACAUAUAUGUCUUCCAAUGGCUCCAACCUUAUUAAGUUGGGGUAUGAUGCAUGAUAAAGGUUGCCUAGUUGUUGCAAUCGACGAAAUGGGAAGCUGAAUUCUGUGAAUAUGUAGACGGUGGAGCCCUCUAGUCCGCCAUGUGAGGGUGGGAGCUGAGCUGGUACCGUAAGUUGGAGACAAAGUUGCGUCUUCCCAGAACCACUCUCCCCUACCAAUUCUGUUAUAGAGUUGCAGGGUAUCCCACCCCCCAAGCAGUCAUCUAGUAUUGGGCAUCCAAUGGAUAAUUGAGGGGUUGAAAGAGGAAGGAGCAUGAGGUUUUAGGGUGUCAUAUUUGUGUAAUUUAGGGGGGGAUGUGAUGGUGCUACAAGGCAUGCAUUAUAUAUAUAUAUAUAUGUAGAGUUCAUUUUGAAGGUCUGUAUUGUAGGCCAUAUGUCUUUUAAGGGAUGUAUAAUCCAUCCUUUUUUCAGGUUGUAAUUAAUUUUUUGUUUAUUUAUUAGUAUUUUUUUGGACCAAAUAAUUUAAAAAACAUUAUGAUGCAGUACGUACUGUAAUAGGAUCAUAUUGUAACUCUAUCAUCACUCUAUUGUACUCUUAUUGACAUAAUAUUGCCGUUAUAUGCAUGUUUAUUAUAUAGUUAUUACUGCUAUAUCGCCACUGAACUGGACACCGAUAAACUGUAUACGCACAAAUACAAAAAGAGGCUUCAUCAUUCCAUAAAAUCCUAUUUCCAAACUUACAUAAUACAACAACAGGCCACCCCAUCGUUACAUAAUACAAAAAUACGCCACCUCAUAGUUCCAUUUCCCUACUGUUGACAAAUUCGAAGUUGCAUACUCUUCAAGUGCGGUGACCGCGACGCAUGAAAUUCAUGACCCCGGCCACAGUGAUGUUGGCCUAGUUUCCUGCCGGAUCCACUAUUUUUGCAAACUUACGAAAUAGUUCGAAUCCGCUUUCCACUUCUUCUUGCUUCAACUUGGCCGUUGCUUCUGAUUCCUUGAAUACCAUAAUUGCAGUGGUAGGGGCAAUUUCAAUUUUUGCUUUCAUUGUCUUUAUAUGUAGGAGAUGCAUGCGCGCAUGAUAACGAGAGCGAAUUGUGCGGUUUUUUAUGACACCCCAUCUAGUUUGGCCCUCCACAAUUUUGAAACUAUGUCUGCAUGAAGAUUUUUCCAAAACAUGGUAUUGCCUCGACAUUGCUGCAUGCCAUGGACCAAGUCUGCAGGGAGUGAAUUGGGUGACUUGGCUUGUGUUUCAGUCUUCUCUCCUUCAGUAAUUGAAAGUGUUGGGUGUGGUGUGAGGUUAUGGUCCAUGGUCUUCGAUAUUUAUUGUAGCCUAGUGUACAACUUAAUUGGAAAAAAAGGGGACUAAAUGCGAUGGGAGUGAAAUCAGUGGGGAAGGUAGUGGCUGUAAGCAGGAGUUAAUGUGAUGGAAGUUUUCAUUUCAAACAACUGGGUUGAUUAAUAUAGGCAAGUUUUAAUGACCUGGAGUAACUCAGAGAGUUAUUGGUGGGAGGGAUUAGAGGGAGUAAUUGGCGGGAGGGAUUGGCGGGAGUCUUAGGCGGGAUAGUAUUGGGCGGGAGUUAUUACCCAGUUGACUGUAUGCCUUUUUGUAAUAUAUUUGUAUGUUGGACGUUCCAAACUUGGUAAUUUUCCCAUUAUGUAAUUCAAAUAAGGGAUUUGCCUAUUUGCCUAAUUGACCAACUCAUUCAAAUUGACCAAUAUGGUUAUUGUCUUAUUUCUCAUUUCAGCAAUCUCAAUUCGUUUCCAUUUUUCCAUUCUUCAUAUUUUCCUAUUUUCCAUGUGUCAUCCAAUUUUCCAAUUUUCCAAUUUUUCAUUAUUUUUGCCUAUUUUUUCCUAUUCCCUAUUUUCCUAUUGUGCAAUUUCCCAAGUUUCCUUUUGUUGUAUUUCUAGUUUUCCAAUUUUUCAAUGUUCCCAUUUUCCCAUUAUGUAAUUUAAAAAAAGUUGCCUGCUUUGCCUAAUUCAGAAAGUAAUUAAAAUGGUCCAAUAUGGUAAUUGUCUUAUUUUCCAUUUCCACAAUUUCAAUUCGUUUCCAAUUUUCUUAUUUUCCAUGUGUCCCUAUUUCCUAUUUCCAUUUUUCAAAUUUUAAGUUUUUGUCCAAUUAUCCAAUUAUCUUUUUUCCAAUUGGACUAUUUUCUAAGUUUCCUUUUUUUCCUAUUUCCAAUUUUCCAAUUUUUCAAUUUGCUAACUUUCCUUUUGUUCUAUUUCCAAUUUUGCUAUUUUCCAAGUUGCCUUAUUUCCUAUUUUUCAAUUAUCCAGUUAUCCAAUAUUCCAAUUUUCCAAUUAUCCAAUUUUCAAUUUUCCAAUUUGCGAAUUUGCCUAUUUUCCAAGUGUCCUUUUUUCCUAUUUCCUAUUUCAAAUUUUCCAAUUUUCAUGUUUUCAGAGUUUCCUUUUUUUUUCCUAUUUUCCAAGUUUCCUUUUGUCCAAUUUCAAAUUUUCCAAUUUUCCAAGUUGCUUUAUUUUCCAAUUACCCAAAUUUCCUAUUUUCCAAGUGUCCUUUUUUCCUUUUUCCAAUUUUCCAAUUUUCCAAGUGUCAUGUAAUCCUAUUGCCUAGUUUCCUCUUUCCAAUUUUUCCUUUUUUCCUAUUUCCAAUUUUCAAUUUUCCAAAUUUCCCAAAUUUCCAACUUUCCAUUUUUUCGUAUUUCCGAUUUGCCAAUUUUCCUUUUGUUCUAUUUCCAAUUUUCCAAGUUUCCUUAUUUCCCAUUCUCCAAGUUUUCACUUUUCCUAUUUUUCAAUUUCGCUAUUUUCCAAUUUUCUGUUCUGAAAUUCGCAAUAAAUGCUUAGUUACACAGUCCUAUUUUGGGUUGAAAUCCACAAUUUUCAAUUUCCCAUUAAGGUUUGCUUUUUUGUCGUUUGGAAGCCAAUUUUAUUGUUGUUAAUGUAAUGUUGUACUGUUGUAAAUUACAGCCAAUGAGUUAAUGAUGUAGUUUGCAAUCCCAUCAAUUGAAUGCACCAACUAAAUACCCAAUAUACUUCAUAUAAGUUCGUACAUAUAACUCAACCUUCCUAUACAGAACUGCAACAGAGGCACCUUCUUAACGGGAAAGGUAAUUAGUCUUACUAAAACGCAAAUAUUCUCCACUACAGCUAACCAAUUGUCGUUUACAACUGGAGACUGAAUCUACCUUUAUUUGUUUUGUUGCAGGCAACAGCUGUGAAUUGUCCCCGGCAAUACUUAAAGAUGUCGGAUGUACGCCCUCCAAAUGAGCAUGUCACAGUUACCCGGGGGACCAGCCGUGGCAUGUGCCAUUCCCAUCUCCACCUCGGACUCCCAAUCAUGAUCCCACUUCAUCUGGAAGUGAGGCUGAGAGCAAUGAUCCGCUUGACAAAAUCUCUGCCGUCAAGCACCACCUCCAAUAUAUGUCAAAGGCAACGGAUUGGUGGGAGAGUAAGUGCGAUAUUCAUGGCCAAGUUAUGGGAAACUUGGCCAACAAGUUGAACAAAGCAUACGCUGGAGAGGUGAAGCAAACUCUAAAAGCAAAAAGUCGGAGCAAAGAGUUAGAGUCCUUGAAGUUGAAAUUGGAAGAGAGAAAGAAAAAUGCUGUCGAAAAAUUCACACAAUCUGAAGAAUAUAACCAUGAAAUGGUUGAAUGUUUCAACAACGGCUUUGAAAUGUUCCGAGAUUAUGCUUCGGUCAUCUCACCAGACUACAAUUGGAGUGAAAUUGAUGUAGCUGGUGUUUGGCAGGUGCUGAAUAUGGGUGCUGAGGGAAUGGCUCAUCAUAGCCUCGUGCAUGCAGCAAGGAGAAAGGACAAAGACUUGGAUCUUUUGAUGGACCUGUAGUAACAGUGAGUGCUGCUUCAGUUCAACUCACCUGAGUACAUGGAUCUUUUGUUGCCUUCAUUUUCCCUUCGCAGGCUAGUAUUGUUAAGGUUCGGUGGCGAUUUCUUUUGCAUGUGUAAAAUGUUGUCUGUAAUGUGUAUGUAUUGUAUGUAGAUUGACUUAAUAUUGUAGUUCUAUUGUAUGUAUAUUGCCUUAAUAUUGCCUUUGUAUAGCAUAGAUAGUGUAUGCAUAUUGCCACCGUAUUGGAUGUAUAUUGUAAAACUAUUGGUAUCGUAUUGCCCUUAUAUUGCUCUAAUAUUGCCUCUAUAGUGCACCUAUAUUGACCUAAUAUUGCUCUUAUAUCGUAUGUCAAUGGCAUGUGCUCUAAUAAGUCUCCAGUUCGUUGAAAGUAAUCCUGAAUUCAAAUAUGAUGGACAAGACAAUUGUUAUCCAUCCUUAUAUUACCAUGAAUUGAUUUGGACCUUUCAAAUGAUAGUUGGAGUUGCACAUGGAUUCAUAUUCAAAAGGAAAGUAAUUCUCUCCCUCAAUGAAUUGUCGUUCAAAAGAAGGCAGCUAUCAAAUUUUGGGUACAAAAAGGCAACAUCCACGGUAAAUUAAUUGGGCACAAACCACAUAUUACAAAACCAGGAUGAUUUUUGGCAUGCUUCAAAAGAGAAGGGCCAAAUACAACAGAAAAGAAAAUCCAUUCAAGCUUGUACAAUAGAAUGCACAAUAACCCUUUUACAUGUCCUUCCAACACCAGUGUUUUGCCUACUUUAGAGUCGCAGGAGGAGAGCUUAUUGCCAUUGUGCAAUUCGAGGGGGCAGUCAAUUUGGAAUGGUGGCAUAAACAUGUUUACUCCACGGAUCACCUAUAUGGGACAGAGCUUCCUUCUUCCCUUGUCGUCUGUAGGUUUCAACUUCACACUUUUUAUAUACAUGUAUGAGAACUUGUGGCUAUUUAUUUAUGGCCUUCUAACACUUGUUCUGCCAUUCCAAAGUGGGUUGGAGACUUUUUGAGUUGAAUGACUGGAAAGACUUCAGAUGACAGAAACUAGAGAGUUUGAAGAAAAAGGGUUACCAAGAACAGCAGUCAUGCCCACGACAUAAACUAAACAUGCUAUAAGCUCCACAGUAAUAUUUACUUCAUCUCCAUAAUCAGAAUAUUGGGAAAAAAAUACCACGGAGAAAUACGUGAAAUGAAAAACAACUCGGCAGUUACUGUGAGAUUGUGUACAUAAAACUUGGAACAACCAAACCAAUUAAAGCUAAGCCAUCUCAUACGUAUACCUACAUCAAAUAACAGUGUAUGGUCAUCUUGUUUAGAAUAUUGCAAUCAACACUUGGUUGAGACCGACCUGCAAAAACAACUGGGUUAAGUACAGAUGAAGCCAUUUAUGAAGGGCAGUUCCAGAAUUAAGACCUACGUUAAUUUGUAACUGCCACCGAAUCAGUUCAUAGUGCCAAAUGCAUCUACCAAGCACACAGAUAUGACCAGCCAAAAGAAAAAAAAGCAAAGUAAAAAAGAUAAAAGAGGCAUGCCAUAAAUGGGAACCUCAGCAGAAAUCAUCAGAUAUGCAUACAAGCAGAUUGAGUAACAUCUCACUAAGUAGAGGUCAUGUUGGUAAUCGCAUGUUGUGUUUGCACACAGACAUUUGGUUUUUGCAAACACAACAUGCAAUUGCAUUCCAUGAUGUGUGUGUUGUGUUUGCACACAGACAUUUGGUUUUUGCAAACACAACAUGCAAUUGCAUGAUGUGUGUGUUGUGUUUGCACACAGACAUAUGGUUUUUGCAAACACAACAUGCAAUUGCAUAUUGUGUGUGUUGUGUUUGCACACAGACAUAUGGUUUUUGCAAACACAACAUGCAAUUGCAUAUUGUGUGUGUUGUGUUUGCACACAGACAUUUGGUUUUUACACACACGAUAUGUAACAUUUAGUUUUACCCUUUUAUUCUUAUUUUCUUCGUUCAAACAUGGUGGUGAGAAAAGCACCAAACCAUCCCAUCAUAUAAAGCAAAACUCAUACAAUAUUUUAGAUGCAAAAGUUAUAUAUUUUAUAUAAAUGCAUCAUCCGCAUGGCUUGAAAUUACAAAUUCACGUUCACAUAUUACUUUUCACAAGCGCACAGACUAACAAUAAUAAUAAUCAACCAAGUAGUUGCGACAUUCAUCCUAUUACGUCCAUAUUGAUAAUGUCAGAAGUUUCAUCGAUAAGCCUCAUCAAACUACAAGUUUUUUAAUUUGAAUUAUGAAUUCAGAACUAAAAGCUCAUGAUAUGCAGAAAAUGACAUACAUUGUCCACAAUCGACUUUUCGAUAUAUUUCUGCUCUAGCAAUUUAUCGUCCAAAUUCUGGACUCUCUGUGUCAGGUGCUUCUUUGUGUUCUAUCCAGCAUAAGAAUAUUUAAUAGUGUGAUUUCAAUUGUUUAUACAAAUUCUAUAAGUAAUAUUGAUGAGUGCUGUAAAUCUAUUUGAUAUUGGGAACAAACAUGGUCCCACUAACAGAAACUCAAACAAAACAGGAAUUUUUUUUUAUUUUUUUUGGCAUAGACAGCCGAAAAGAAACUUACAGCAAUAGCCUCUGUCACGCUCUCCAGACGUUUAUGCAAUUUUGAAACAGCAGCAUUCAUACUACGCUUUGUCACAUACAGAAGAUCUGAGAAUUUUAGACCCUAACCAUUUGUGAAGAGCAAAUAUUAGAUUUGCUUAAAGAAGACAACAACUCACAGAACCAAUGGAUGAAAUAAUAUGAACAUAAAUAUAUCAUUUGGAUACCUUCCACCACAUGUAACCAUAACCCAAUGCCCCCAAGGUAGCUGUUGGCAUUAUUAGUGAUGUCAAACCUAUUAAAAAAAUCAAAAAAAAAAAUAUAACCAAGUAUAAAAUGUUUCUAUUGCAUUAUGAAAUACAUACGUGUAAGGAAUUAAUCGUUUUACAACUUAACCAAAAAGUCAAGGCAGGAGCAUGCAUUCAUUGAGUGGUUAUAAGCAAGAGGAAAAAGCACAAAGCAUGCUAAGAAUUCAUUUGAACACAGAAGAGAAAGUAAGCUACCUUGGAAUUUGGCUGUCAUUCCCCUUCAGGACGGCUCUCUGUAGUGACGAGUCUAGUUGUCGGACCUCAGCUGCCAGUCGGCGCACCUAAAACAAAGUAACACAGGAAAAUUGAUAUCCAUUACAAAAAACAAAAAUUGAACACGAGAAAGCAUCCUUCGACACUAAAUUUAUAGCAGUUUUUCCAAUACCUGUGAUGCGAUCGCAUAAAAGUCACCUUCUGAUUGUUCUCCGGUUCCAUUGAACAAAGGCUGCAAACAAAACAGAAAUAGACACAAAUCCAUCAAUUUUUUGAGCAACAAGACACAAGCUCCGAAAUAAAUAAACUAUCUAACUGAUCAAAACCCUAGUUUACCAAAUGCAUUACAAAAUUAAAAACUCAUACAAAAAUAACACCAAAUACAAAUGUUCUGCGAGUUCCACUAGCAAAGCAGAGUACAAAUCAUGAAAAUGGUACCUGAAGUUCACCGAUCAAUUCAGAUAAUUGACCAUUCUUACGCAGGAUGGUGCUCGUAUACCCUGUAGAAAGAGAACAAUCACUCAGAUCAAAUGUAGCUAAAUACACAAGGAAACUAAUCCAGUAUGCAAGAUGAAAGAGGAGUGAUUGGUACCUACUCCAGCGAAGAUCAGCAAACACAGUAUGAGGUUCCAAAUUCAAAUAACAACAUAAUGCUAAGCAGAGAAGUAGAAUUGCUGCCGAAAUUAUUUAAAACGAACUAAGUCAAAACUAAAUGGAGAAAUGUUAACAAAGUUGUAUGCUUCAGUAAGUCCAGUAACAGAUUCCCAAAACCACAGAGACAAAAUGUGAACAAUGGCUACAAAAGCAUCCAUAAAGAGCAACUAUGUUUAUAUAUGGAGGUGUACAAAAUAGUUAACCUUCAAAAUCGAAACAGUGUGUGUGCCAUGUAAGGCAAUUAGCCACUGCUUCUAGACUAUACAAUAUUACACCUCACAAUAAUAACUAAACCAACUAGCUCUAGCAAAAAGGCAGGAUGACCAUAUAAAGUACCCCCAGCAAAGCAUCUACGUCUGCAUCUUCAUAUCAAGGAGUUCCUGACAUAAGUAAUGAGCAAAGUGAAUUCCCAAGUCAUAAGUCCAGAAUGAGGUGAAUUCACGGACAUUAAAACAUUUACCUCAUAAAUAUGCCUCCCCCCUUAAACCCUCAAUUGCAAGCCUCAGCCGGUAAUAUUUGAUCUUCAAAGGGUCAACUUUAUCUACCGAAAUCCCAGCACUGAGAUGCUCGAUGAAUUUGACGGUCAUGAUUCCGCAAGACGUACUGUGAGACCAAUAAGUUGGGAAAUUAGAACUGCAGUUAUGUAAGAUUUGGAUAAACUGCACUAAAUUCACAAAGCUUACCCAUCUCGUUGUUGUGGCACAUCUGCAAUGCUGCAAACUGAGAAUGGCGUAAACGUCAACAUCUUCAGCCCCUUUUGCUUAACCUUUUCAACCUCAGAAUCUUCAUAAAAGUGCAUAUCGUACAGCACUCGUGCCAGCGUAUCGCUAAUAGGGUGCAGAAGUGUAACCAGCUUCGAACAUUUGGUAAAAGCAACAUAUGAGUCAUACACAGUUGCAGUAUGUCAGACGAAAUCAAUUUCGAUUGCAACCCAGUAAGACCCUUUAAGAUUAUAUGGAAUAUAGACCUUCCGGACUUUUGUCCAAGCUUGGCCAUACCCGUGUUGCCACGUACCGCGUACAAAGUAAUGUAUAUUCUGCAGCUUGCUGGGUGGAAGGUCAACGGUGUUUGAAGCAACUGCCUUCUUCGAUCCACGUUUCUUGGCAGUCGGUUUGAACGGAUCUAGAAAUUGCUGCAUAAAUUGAAAUGAAGGCAUAUUAGAAAAUCACAACCGAAAGCAAAUGAAGCAGCGAAUGUAACAUGGUAACAUGUUUACCUGCAAGCAACAAUCUGCUGUUGUCCAGUCAGUUCCAAAUACCAACGGAUGAGAGAGUUGCCUUUUCCAGAUAAGAAAGGUUGCCAUGUCCAGGUGCUGAAAGUUGACACACAUAAUAUCAGCACAAUUUCAUACAACUGUACACUUAAAAAAGGUGAGAAAACAAUUUAAUUAUCGCAAUAAAGUAGAGCUUUGUGUAUUCUUACCCUUGAGCUAAUCCAUUCCGUUUCAUCGAUAAGUCUGUAGAAAAAAUCAGCGCCCACUGAAAAUAAUUCCAGCUGCACCUCCGCACUACAAAAGGCAAACUUGCAAUGGUUACUUUUAUAGUCAUCUCAUAAUUCUGACUUUGUUGAUGACAAAAAUACACAUGUAUAUUAAAGCAAACUCUACGUUUUCUCAUUAGUCUAUGACUACAUACUAGAAUAGGAUGAAGAUUGGAAUUCAAAGGUAAAGAAUCCUAACCUGAUAUCGUUUUUCCAGGCAGUACAAAACUCUAUUACUGCCUUCACAUCUUCAAUGGGCACGGAUUUUGAUGGAUCAAAACAUGGCGGGGUUGCAGUCGCAGCCAACACACUCAUCGUCCUCUUCUUCCUCAAAGGAUCAGUAAAUGGGCUCAACAAUGUCUGCGCCGGGCGCUUCUGUCUGCACCCUUUACCUUCCACUUCUUUUUUUUCCACACUCGAACUACCUUCUUCAUCACCAGCCAUACUAACUGUGGGUAGACUUGGAGGAUUCAUCGGACCUCCCGAUGGCAUACUCUUAGUCACUUUCCAAUCUUCUAACAGAGACAACACUUUUUGGCAGAUUUCGUCACACCCGGCCACAUCUUCCGGGGUAGGCAGCUUCUCGGAUUGUGCCUGCUCAGCUGCUUCAUGCACUUGUAAGUGAGGAACUGAAGCGGCCAUUUCUGCCUCUUCGACUACCAUGGCUGCGGAAGGUUCGGCUCCAUCACCGGGAACUUGUGUUUCCAUUACCGCCGGUUCUGUAGGCGGACUAACAUGGUCAUGUAAUGGCGACAAGUGAUUGUCGCCUCCUUCAUUCAUAUGAGGACUACUGAGGUCCUCAUGUCCUUUCCCACCUUCAUUCACCCCACCAUUUCGUUUUUUCAGCUGCUCUAUCUCCACAUUAAAAUAAUGCUCCAUUAAAGCCAGGGUGUUGCGGAAAUCCUCCACACACUUUUUAUUUUUUUCGAACUCUCUUUCAACUUUCAAUGACUCCUUCCGUACCAUGUCUUCCAACUGAUGCACUCUGUUGCGAAGCGCUCGAUUUGAUAUGGCAACUUUGGCCAAUUCAUCCUUUGUCCUUUGAAAGUCACGCUUCAAAGUGCGUAACUCUCUGGACGCGACUGUACCCUGCAUUCAGUUAUAAUGCAAGUGUUACAAUAUUUUCAAAAUAUAUUGCAACAAUACAGCAGUUAUUUUCCUAUUGUAUUAUGACGUAUAUCUUGGAAAAAAAUGUAAUGCUUGCCUUAGAAGACGACGGAAGGCUAGCAGUUUCGUCAAUGUCCUUAUCUUUUUCUUCUACAGAGGCAGAAGUGCUGGUUUUUUGUUCAGCGUCAUCGCCAAACAACUGAACAAGUUCUUCAGUGUCGUCAACACUGUCACCCCAAGUCCAAUACGGCUGCUGCUUGUCGAUUACAGAUGGCCGGAGAAGUUGCACAUCAACCUGCAAUUUACACAUACAAUAUACAUAUCAGUAAACUUAUUAUAUUAUAUUUUCAUAUGCCUAACAUUAUCAUUAAAAACUUAACUAACCUCACGGUUCUCGAAUACUUGGCUCAUUAGCUCAUAAAAACACGGCGAACUAUUGCUCCUCCAAUGUAGUAAACGAGGGAUGUAGGCAUUAUCUUCGUGCACCACCAAAUGUAGUGCAGCCAACGCUGGAAAAACCUCAUAAGCCCAAAUCUGGUUUGAGGAAUAAAACGUGAGUCACUGUAAACAAAUGAAAUUUAACUUCAACAUGAAUGGAAAUUUGCUCACCUGAAGUGCAUAGGCAAAACCUUUGAGGUGGUACUCUCUUGGUCUACCAGUUGCCGUUGUUUUUGCUUUCUUUUCAGAUUUUUUUGUUUUUGCAGCUUUUUUGGGCACUUUCACUCGCUGGUAAUCUGUACAAAGUGCCCUCAGAAGUGACACAAUUGUCUUGGCAUAACACACAGCACCCCAUGGAUACUUCCCAAACUCUUCAAGGUCUUCCACCAACUUCAAAUAUCGCAUGUCAAUCUGGACAUGUUUUUCACUGCCCAACAGCACAAACACAGCAAAGUAUACAAAUCUGAGCUUCAAUACAUCGUCCGCAUCAACGCAUUUGAGGAAGGCCUUUUCUAAUUCCAAAACAUUGACAGUUUUAUAGUUGCCAAAGUACUUCCUUUUCAAUGAGCAGUUCUCAUUAGUGGGAAUCGGAAUAAAGGGAAGGUUUCCAAACCUUAGCCCUGUCACGAUGCAAAAUUGCUGCGCCGUGAAUUGGAUCACCUUAUUGCCAACGAUGAAUUUGAUCCCGUUGAGUUGGGAAACUGUCUUUGGAUCAGCUUUCCUCAGCAGCAAGCCGUGGACAAUUGGCGAAGUCCACUUGAGGUCCUCAAUCAGUAGGAGAUGCCCAAAACAACUCUCUUCAAACCUUUGUAGCUGUUGUUCACUGAAUUUCUCCUUUAUCGUGCUGAUUGCAGUCUUCGUAUGGGAUAGGGACAAUGCUUUUCCUUGGAACUUUUCUUCCUCUGCAAUCAUCAACUUCAUUUGAGCAACCAUCUUUCCCUGCAUGCCAAUAUUAUAAAAAAAAAUUCAGUCCGUUGCAAUCUAGACAAUAACAAGCAAUAAACAAUCAGCACUUAUCUACAGCCUAUUAUAGGAUAUUAAGUGAAAACAAAAAAACAAAAAAUACAGGGCAUAAACAAAACCCCAGCUAUUUACAACUGACCUACUAAUUCAAUAGCUCAAAGCCACAUCCCAAGACACCCAGUACUCUACCACUCUUGCAUAAUAUAAUAUCUAAAGACACAUCUCAACACACCAGAUAAUCAUGACACAGCUUCAGCUAGAAUGGGAAUGUGCGGUAGCACAAGCCUAAUUGAGAACAAUUCAAGACUAACGAUAGAAAUCUAUCUGACUAGAAAGAGUUUUAAAAAAACAAGAAGACAUCGGGAAAGAAUUGAUUGACUUCAAGGUAUAAUGUAAUGGAACAUCCUAUGAAUUAGUGGCAACCAUAAUAAUGACUCCACUAUGGCCCUCCUUUCAAAUGUAAGAAAAUGAAUGAAAUUGGCACCAUCCCUUCAGUUUUUUCUUAACAAAAUAAGAGAUUUGUAUGUAUUCUCUGCUUUAUCGAUAUCAAAGAUAAAUUAAUAAAUAAACCAUCAAAACUGUAUAAAAUGUUUGUUAGACAUGUACAAUUACAAAAUUAUAAGUUCUCCUCAGAAACAAAGUUCUCUAAGUACGCAAACAAGAAAAGCAAAAGCUUAAAGAGUUAGCUUAUAGCAAAAUCAAUGUCCCCAUUUCUCUAAACCACACCUGCUGGUGGUAGGUUCCCAUCUUCACUCAUUUCCCGCUUUCUUUUAAACAGACAAUGAUCAAGCACAAAAGAGCAAACUUUUAAAUAACUCAUAUUACACCACAAAUAGUUCUAAAGAAAACUUAUUCAUAUCCAAUAUGCAACCCCUAAAGUUAGUAAACAGAGUUAUAAAAAAAUAUGUCAAAUUAACAAGCAUUAUUCUCAAACAAAAAGUAUGAUAUGGUUGGGAGUUUACAAGUUCAAAAUGAUAUACACAGGUUAAUUGUCUUAGACUUUAGAUAUCAUCUUCAACAAAGAAAAUAGAUACCGAUUAGACUUGUAAGAAGGUUAAAUGCAAUGGUCAUAAAGACCCAUAGUAAGCCACCAAAUACCAAUCAAUAACUGCUAUAAAAACCAUAAUAAAACCAUAAUAAACUAAAAAUACAACAGCACUAAAAUGCCAACACAACAUCACUACAUUAGCAAUAUAGUAGCAACAAAACCACAAUACGACAUCAAUAGCAACAGCAAAACAACAGCAGUGCAAGCAUCAGUCCACAAAGAACAAACCCAUUCACUGUUUCAAACAAGGAAUCAUCAUACUAAGAUCAUUUCAGAGAAACCCCAAAACCAAUUUCAGUGAAACCCCUAAACCAAUUUCAGAGAAACCCCUAAACCAAUUUCAGAGAAACCCCUAAACCUUCAACCAAUUUCGAACAAAUCCCUGAACCAAUUUCAUAGAAAUGCAUAAACCCUAAACCAACUUCAAAGAAACCCUAAACUGUAAGAAAAUGACGAUGAACAGUACCUGUUCAAGGUGAACGAUGGAGUUGAGCUUCGAUGAACAAAUUUCGCUCGGAGAGGAAGAGAGAAGAGAGAGUCAGAGCUGAGCGACGAGAGAUUAAGGGCUGAGCGACGAGAGAGUGAGAGCUGAUCGACGAGAGAUGAGAGAGUGAGAGCAAAGUGACGACAGAGUGAAGAGAAAUUGAGAGAAGGAGCCAAGAGAGAGAGCUGAGAGAGAACUUCAGCAAAACUGAUAGAGAACUUCAGCAAAAGUGAUAUGUGUACAAUAAGGGGACAAUAAAUAUAUAUUUAUAGGUUAUAGUUCCAAAUUUUUUUAAAAAGAGUGGUAUUUUCAGUUACAAUUAUAAAAAUGGUGGCAUUUUGAGCUAUUUCCUUAUUUUUUAUUCAACAUGGACGCAGAAACUGUUGCUAAACUGCAAACUUCUUAAAAUAUUUGUCUCACUUUCUCAACCCUAUAUUUGUCUAACUUUCUAGAUCCAUGUACUGAGAUUUAUUAGGGAAAUAUUGUAGAAACUGAUUAUUUUGAAAUAUUAAAUGUGAAAAACUGAACAAAAAUUUGAUGGGUUACAUAUUUCAACUCAUUUCAGCAGCUUAGAUUUUGAAGACCUCGGAAGAGGCCAUGCAGUGAGCCUAGCUAGUGCACUGUUGAUCACUUCAGUGUCUACCGAUCUGUAAUUUUUCCAGAUUGGUUAUAUUUUCCUUUACAUAUUCUUAUAUUAUUCCCAGCUGUAAGUGUUUUACACACUUGUCUAUUAGAAAAGGGGAGACUUAUAAAUAAAUCCAAAAUGGGUACAGUAUUUAUAAAGAAUGACAAAAUUAAAGUGUUUGGGCAAUAAUGCCCUUAUUCAUUUUGAGAUUGCCUAAGGAAUAUUUUUUCUGAUUUUCAGAAGAUGCCAAAGGACCGUUGUUUGAUGAUUGCCGUAAGGAGCUAAGAAAACUUGCUUUGAUAGUUUUGGACAGAUGCAUGCUACUGUUGCUGGGAUGAUCUCUUCACGUGAAAUGAGGAUGAUGAUGCUUCUACACUACACAAUCCAACGAAUUCACAUGUCUAUUUCAGAUACAAGUAUAAACUAACAAGGCUUUAAAAUAUGGGCUGAUGCACUGUUGUUGAUGUUGCUGACACUGUUACUGUGUUGUUGAUACUGUCACUGCGUUGCUGUUGGAAAAAGCACAAGGACUUCACAUGUUGCUUUCGUCUUUUGUGGAGGAGAGAGACCUAGGACUUGCAUGUCUUAGAUAUUUAAGAUAAGGGGCUUUCGUUCCAUUUUGAAAAUACUUUGGGUGUUUUUGAAAGGUGAUUGUUUCUUUUGGGUUUCUCACUAAAUUUCGCUUUAGAAGGGAAAAUAAUAAUAAUAAUGUCAAACAAAGUAGGGUAAAUAUUCAGAUAUGCUCAUAUUAUUAUUCUUCUCCAAUAUUGAGGUAUUUAUACAAGUACAAAGAUGUGUUAACCCUAAAUAAAAUAGGAAAUAUAUCUAAAUUAUAAUAGGCAGUAAAUCUCUAUUACAAUAGGACUAAAUAAUAAUUGGUAAGUAACCAAAAUUCUAAUGAAAUAAGGAAUCAAAAUCCUAACUAAGUAAGGACUCGCCAACACUCCCCCUCAAGUUAGGGCAAACAUAUUUCGCAUGCCUAACUUGACAAGCGAGUCAUAGAACACCAUACUUGAGAAGCACCAAUUGUAGAGAAGGUCUUUUCGUCAACCACGAGUGAAACAAGUGACAAACUAAAGCAAAGUUCGCAGCGGAAACACAAGAGCGAAUCCUAAAAAAUAGGGCACAUAGCAGAACACAAAAAUCCUGGAGCACGACAGUAGAUAAGGCAGAACACAGAAACCCUGUUAGCACGGCAAUAGGUAAGGCAGAAAAAGUCAAGAGCAAAGGCAAGGUCAACAGGCGUGACCACAACGAAAACACACCAGCAAAGACAUGAGCAACAAUAUUAGCACCAUAAUAGACAUGAGCAACAAUACUGGUACCAACAACAGCAAUACAAGGCACUGGCACCAGCAAGAGCAACAAGGCAUGGACAUAACAUGCAUAAUCAAUAGUAAUCAACAUUGUCCCCAACAAGAGUCAUAAUAGGCAUGAGCAAUAACAUUGUCCCCACUAAGAGACUUAACAGGUAUGAGUAACAGUACUGGCACCAGCAAAGGGCAUAGUAGUCAGCAGCAAUAACAAUGACAAAUACUUCUAUUAUUGCAGAGACAACUUCUCUUCACUCCCCAUCUCCCCUUGAAGAGAAGGGGUCAUCGGAACCAUAAGAAAAGUGGCACUUAAGAAACAGAAGUUGACUGACGCUCAAAUGUAGAAGAAUCAGCCAUGGCAAAUAGGUAGCUGAAUUGCAGCGGAAUAGAUGAGCAGCGGUGUCACUCCCCCUCAUAUCUGAUAAUGUAUGAGAGUCGAGAUUUGGAGAAAGCAAUAUCGAAAAAUAAAGUUGCAGAACCCAAAUAAAGUUGCAUCUAUCUCCCCAUCAAAUCCGACACUGGUAAAGGGUCGAGAUUUGAAAGAGGAGAAAUUGAAAUAAUAGUAAAGAGACUCAAACAUGCAGUCUCAUGGCAGAAACAAAUGCAAGAGGGGAAGAUGGUAGCAUACGGUUGUCCCAUGAAGAAAAAACUUCAGAAAAGGAGAAUAGUAAGGGAGGAAACCUAGCAAAUCAUGAACAGAGACAAAGACAAAGAUGCUCAAACUGAGAAGCGGAAAGGCAACUCAAGAGAGCAACCGAAGAAGACAGAGGCCCGCAGAACAGUCAAAGUUAAGGCUCGGCGAGUGGUGACGAUGCUCGCGGAGGAAAGCAACGGCUCGGUGAGCGGUGAUGAGGCUCACGGAGUAAAGAGACUUGUUAUGAAGUUUCAAAGAUAGAGAAGCUGAGACAUCAAGAAAGACCAUCUGGCAUACAAAGAUGAAAAAUAAAAAUUUUGGAACAGUAGCAAAGAAGCAUGUGAAGGCUGGUGCGGUGAAAACACAUAUGAAAGGAUGAACAAAAGAAGAUGACUAUACAAGAUGAAGACCCAUGAUGGGUUAGGAAUGAGGAGUGCCAACGACUCUCAAUUUGGCAGAGGUUAUCGCAGGUUAGGAACCUGGCUCUGAUACCAUGUCAAACAAAGUAGGGUAAAUAUUCAGUUAUGCUCAGAUAUGCUCAUAUUAUUAUUUUUCUCCAAUAUGGAGAUAAUUAUACAAGUACAAAGAUGUGUUAACCCUAAAUAAAAUAGAAAAUAUAUCUAAAUUACAAUUGGAAGUAAAUCUAUAUUACAAUAGGACUAAAUAAUAAUUGGUAAGUAACUAAAAUUCUAAUGAAAUAAGGAACCAAAAUCCUAACUAAGUUAGGACUCGCCAACAAAUAAUAGUACAACUCUUAUUAGCAACAGGUUACAAACUUCUUCUACAACACACCAACAUGAAUCUAGCCCUGAUCCACUCUUUUACAUACUUGAAAACAAAACAAAACACGAAAAACAAAAAACAAGAAACAAGAUAGGGAGAAAAUGGCUACGGAGAGACUUCCUGCUAAUCAGGGGCGGCCCUGGGGUGGUGCAAGUGGCGUCACCGCACAGGGCCCCCGAUUCUUAAGGGCCCCCAAAAAAUAAUUCUUUAUAUUAUAUAUAUAUAUAUUAAUAUUAUAUGAAUCGUAUAUAAAGUAUAGCGUCUGGAUGAUAAAGAGACUCAUUAUCAUUAUCUUAGUCAUAAGAUUCAAAAUGAAUUGAUACUUUUGUUAGCUUCUGAGCUCAAAAGUGCAAUCAUUAAAAAGAUUGAAGAAGCUAAAUAUUUUUCUGUGAUUCUUGAUUGUACUCCAGAUGCUAGAAACCAAGAACAAAUGAGUUUGAUAGUAAGAUGUGUGGAUGUCUCUACUAAUUCAAUAAAGGUUGAAGAAUUCUUUUUGGAAUUUUUGAUUGUGAAUGAUACAACAGGACAAGGACUUUUUGAAGAGUUGCAAACGGUGUUGCAAAAACUUAAGCUUGAUAUUGAUAAUGUGAGAGGACAAGGCUAUGACAAUGGAUCAAAUAUGAGUGGGAAAUAUCAAGGUGUCCAAAGAAAAUUUUUGGAUGUAAAUCCUAGAGCAUUGUACACACCUUGUGGUUGUCAUAGUCUUAAUUUAACACUUUGCGAUAUUGCAAACUCUUGUGGAAAAGCAAAAGAUUUUUUUGGAAUCAUACAACGUAUUUAUACAUUGUUUGCUAAUUCUACAAAGCGGUGGAAGAUAUUGAAAGAUAAUGUUAAACACUUAACUCUGAAAUCAUUGUCAGUUACACGUUGGGAAAGUCGUAUUGAAAGUGUGAGAGCAAUAAGAUUCCAAGCUGCAGAUUUAAGAGAAGCUUUACUUCAGUUAGCAGAAAGUGACGGUGACUCCAAAAUAACAAGUGAAGCUAAUUCUUUGGCAACAUAUGAACUUGGAAAUUUUGAGUUCUUAUUGGGCAUGGUUAUUUGGUAUGAUAUAUUAGGUGGUGUCAAUGUAGUGAGCAAAAACUUACAAUCUGAAGACAUGCUUAUUGAUGUUGCUAUUGAUAAAGUGAAAGGGUUGAUUACUUUUUUUUUGAAAAGUAUAGAGAAAAUGGGUUUACAGAAGCUAUGUGUACUGCUAAAAAAAUUGCUACUGACAUGGGAAUUGACCCGGUGUUUCCUGAGAAGCGAAAAAUUCGUAGAAAAAAACAUUUUGAUGAGAAUACUUGUGAGCUAUCCCAAUCAGUUCCUGAAUCAACUGAAGAAAAGUUUAGAAUUGAUUAUUUCUUGUAUUUAGUGGACCAAGCUAUUGGUUCUUUACGAAGAAGGUUUCGACAAUAUCAAGAGUAUGAGAAUUUUUGGGUUUUUGUUUACUUCAGAGAAGUUAAAUUCAUUGGAUGAUUGCGAUUUGAAGAAUAGUUGCAGUCAUCUGGAAAGCAUUUUGAAAAAUGACAAGUUUUCUGAUGUCGAUGGGGAGGAUUUAUUUGUUGAGUUGAAAGUUUUACAAGAGCUUUUACCAAAAGUAAAUACCACAGCUACUGCAAUAUUAAAUUUCUUGAAAAGAUUAAAUUGUUUUCCAAAUGCAUUCAUUGCAUAUAGAAUCCUAUUGACUAUUCCUGUUACUGUUGCAUCUGCGGAAAGAAGUUUUUCAAAAUUAAAAUUGUUAAAAUCAUACUUGAGAUCAACUAUGUCGCAAGAAAGAUUAAAUGGACUAGCUUUGAUUUCAAUUGAAAGUGAACUUCUUGAAAAACUUGAUUAUGAACAUUUGAUUGAUGAUUUCUCUUCUAAAAAUUCAAGAAGAUCAAUUUUCAGACAUUAGUAUUGUACUAGCUGUGUUUUUUUUUUUCUUCUAGGGUAAAAGCUCUCAUAAUAAUUUUAAUUCUUCAAAUAAGACAGCAAAUACAAUGUGAUGAAUUUUGGAUAAUCAGGUAUGUUUUUGUUGUUGCUUUUGUGUUUAAUGCAAUAUAAUCUAAUUUUUUUAAUGACAUUUGUGUGCAACUACUCUUUGAUUUGUGAUUGCCAAUUUUUUUUUCUUUCUAUUAAACACAGAUUGCUUAUUGGAGGCAGCAAGAGACCUUAUAGGGGCACAAGGAGCUUAUUUUUGUACAAAACAUUUAACUUUAUCAAAUGGAAACAUUUAAAUUUUUAUGAAUUUGAUUUCUGAUUGUCAUUGCAUAUUUAUUGAUGGUGAAUUUUAGUUAUAAAAAAAAAAUUGUUUAUGACAUUAAGUUAUGGCAAAUUUUUAUAGUAUUUUCGUAUUAGAUUAUGCGAGGUCCCAAUUUAAGUUUCGCACAGGGCCCUCAAAAUCUCAGGAACGGCCCUGCUGCUAAUACUUGAUCAAUAACAGAGAUAAUAGAGCACACUGUUUGUAUGACAAUGAGUAUCAGAAGAAUAAUAGCUGCAAAGAGAGAAAUAGCUGCCCAAGGUGUGUUGAAAUACUUUUGUCUCAAAUUUGCCUUCCGUCUGUUCGUGGUCUUCUUGCAGUACUCGUUUAGUUUGCCAGCAAGAUCACCAAAAUAGUAGUUUCCGUGGUUCGGAGCAACUUUACUGCAAAGCUUGUUAAUCAUAAUGGAAACCUUAUUGUUGUCACCUAGCGUGUUUACAACAAUUCCAUUGUCAACAAGCAACUCUACAUCCUUUGGGGUGUUUACAAAUUUAUCCAGGAUGAAAACAUAAUCGCUUAUGUAUUUAUCCACGCAAUGGCCUUGUUCAAAGGCAAUGAGAUUUCUAUGUGUAAGCUGUGUAAUCAUGUAUUUCAAUUUUUGGAAUUUCCAAGGUGUUUUUCUUGAACUGUAUAUCGAAUAAGUUCUUGCUUGAUCCCACGUUAAACUUAACUCCGGCCUGGUGUAGUUUUGUCAUGCUGGGUGUACUUUGGAGCCCUCCAUUUUUUUUUCUUUUGGCAGAUGUAAAGUUCUAAUAAAAUCAACAAAAUGUAAAGGUUUUUUAGGAUCAGGAGGCAUAAAAGACUUACGGAAGGCUGGUGAGUUCUCCAAGUUUUCUAAACGCAGUGCCUGUUGGAAGAACUUGUAAGAGAGUUCAAUUAUUGAAGGCUCCCCAGUCUGAGCACCUGUGAGAUUGUAAAGAUCCUCGAGAAUGAAAAAUGGCAGCUGAUUUACGAGCAUAAGCAUGUCAGGCAAUAUAUUUUGUAGCACCCAUGGUUUUUUAAAUAUCCAAGCAUCAUCAUCCUGCAAUUUUUCUUCCUGAAAUUUUUCUUCGGAUUUAUUCCUCAACAAUAGCUCAAUGACAAAGGCGGCAUCAACUAGAAUGAUAUUCACAAAAGUAGCAAUGUUAAACUUCUUAGGGCUAGUUUGGCGGCGUUGUGCUUUUAAAAAAAUAUGCUUCUGCUGUGCUGUGAAAAUAAUUAGCUGUGAAAAAAAGCUACUAGGCGUUUGGUAAACUGUUUUUGAAAAACUGCUGUGAGUAGUCAAAGUGUUUGGUAAAUUUUUAUCAGAAGUACUUUUAGUGUGUAUAAUGACCAAAAAGGACAUGAUGAUGAAAUUGUUUGUUAUUUUCUUCAUUCUUUUUCUACUUUAAAAAAAAAAAAAACCCAAUUUCACUACAUAAAUUUUUAUUCUUUUUUAAUUCACACCUUUUUAUCAAAAAAUUUAAUCUACAAUUAACAUACAUAUUUUACCAUAAAUUAUAAAUUACUAUUAUAACAAAAGUAAUUCUAAAUAUUGUUAUAUUAAUAUGGGCUUCGGACAUGACAAAAAUACAAAAAUUGUUCAAUUUUAAAAUGCCCCAAUAGAUCACUACAAUAUAAAAGAAGCUAAUUAGAUGCAUUCAUUAAACUUGUAGCGAUGCUAUUUCUUAAUGCAUUCAUUAGCUUCUUUUUUUGGUUUCCAAUGGUUCUCUAACAAUUUUAACUAAAAAAACAACCAUAAUGCUUUGUGAACAAUAAAUUCAAGUCCAAAUCUGCUAUUGCCCACACCAUACAUAUAUACAUAAUUGUUCCUUUCAUAAAACUUGAAGAUUCAAUAGUAAUUACACAGUUUACCAAUCUUGAUUCCAACUAUAUCCAUAAAAUUAAACUAUAAUUAGAAAUAGAGGAGCUACAUGUGAUUACUCAUAAAUGCUUCCCACUCUCAUCAUCAUCAUCAUCAUCAUCUUCCUCCUCUGUACUUUGCCUUUCACAAAUGGACAAGACCAGAUGGUAACGUACACGACAUGGUCCACAUAUAGAUAAAUUUUGGGUUCACUGGAGAACAUAAAAGAGUUUUUACACGAAUACAAAGUUAGUUAAGUAGUGAAUAAAGUAAAACUAUUCUGUACAAUUCUAGCUGAUGCAGUCCAAAAAGAAUAUAUGUCUAAUAACUUAAAUAACAAUAAAGAGAAACAAAAGCCUCAUGAAAAAUGCUAGAGUAAAAGUUACAUAACUGAAUCGAUGGACAGAGAACUCCACAGGCAGAGAAACAGCAACAAAAAUUGUCAAAACAGUAGCAAGACCAUGUUGGAGUCAAGGCCAAAGAUCAUAUUUCCUGUGUAUCUUCUUCCAUUCUGAAUUAUUCUCGUAUUCAAAUACUGUAACUCUAUUUCAAGUGCACCCCAAAAUACUUAUCUAAGGCCAGUACAUAGGACUUCAUAAAGGGUGCGAUAAAAAAUAUUGCCCCUUAAUUGAUAAACAGAACCAAGAUCCCAACAGCACACCAAAACUAUACCAACCACACCUACAUAAUAUGGACAGAAAAUCCUGUUGUUCCGAUCUCUAACCACACCAAUGACAUUCAUUAGGAAAAUACAAAAGAUGGGUACCCUGCAUUUCUAACAUUUAAGAUAAAAUUCACUGCCAGCUAAUCACAAAUUUGAAAAGAUGGCAAGAAAAUUGGCUAAGCUUUAACAAAAACCAGAGCAGUCCUUGCAUAGACCUGACUUUUUGCUCCAAGCUUUAGCAGAUCACUUACUGGUAGAGAGCAGAGAACAUGUAUGUGAAUAUCUGAAGUUGGAAGGGUAAGCCAUCACAAACACCAAGAGAUCUGAUUCUCAUCUCUUGUUACAACAACAAAUCACAAACACCAAUACAUCUGAUUCAGAAUCUCAUAAACAAUGGAGGAACAAACACAUAUUCACACACAUAUAAAUCCCUAAACAGAAAAAAUAAAAAAUAAAAAAAAAACCAUGAAAGUCAUAGGAGAAUCAAAUUGAUUUGGGCCAAAAUUGCCUAAAAAGAAAACACUCCUAAAUAAACUUCAAUUCACUUUUAAAAACAGUAAAACAUGAUUGAAUCAUUCUUUAAAACAAUUCCCUAAUAUACAUGCAUGAUAAUGACAUCAUUUACCCCUGAAUCAAAUGCCUUUCACUGGUCAAGCCACAAGUCUGUGUUUUGGGAAUUGCUGAGCUGCAUCAAUCCUGCCAAUGUAAAUUCUGCCCCUAGGCUCUCUCAAAGUGCGUUUACAACCUAUGCUAACAUAUACUAGAGUUUGUUUUAGUAUCUAGAAAAUGCCAACACUAAUUUCGUAACACGUAGAAAUUGUUACAUAUUGGAAGUUUUUAUCAUUUUUUCUUCCAGUCUCUCCACCACUCACUAAUACAGAUUACUCAUGUGAUGAGUUUACAAAACAUAUUUCUCUACUCCCACAAAGACCAUACUUUUUCUCAAAAGACUAUAUCACUUUAUCUCUAUCUUUGUGAAAUGUAAAAAGUUGAAACUUUAAUGUCAAACCUCGACAAAAGAUGAACAUCCAUCAUCAAUUACAUUGAAUUUGAAUUUGUUGAACUUAAGUAGUUUUACUUCUCUGUCAGCGUUUGAUGACUUGAUUUGUUAUUUACUUCUUCUUUUUUCCUUGGAAAUGUGUUCCAUCAACGUGAGGAAGAAAAAUAUGCACAAAUUAAUAUAUUUAAUAGAAGCAAAAAUUAAUAUUUACAAAAAUAUGCACAAAUCAAGUAAAAUUAAUAAAGCAUAAAUUGGAAAGGGAAAAUAUGUAGAGGAUGCAUUGUAGGAUUGCUCAUGCCAAUAAUUGUACCCUCUAAAUAUAUAGGGACAUAUUUUUUUUUGUUUUCAUGACAUGUGGUCCUAAAAUUAUUGUUCUUAGCGGGCUCUCCACCCCUCUCGACUGAAAACCUAUUGUGUAAAUCUUCAAUCCUGAAUGAUGCACCUAAAACUCAUGUUGCAAUACACAUCCACCCAUUCUCAGGCCAAUUAUUACUCCUAGUGGGCUCUCCACCCCCUCUCAAAUUUAAGUGGUCCAUUAUUAUUAACCGUAUAUUUUAUGGACCAGCCAGCUGUGAGGUUUUAUCUCAAAAACCUUUCUCCCACAUGCCACAAUUUAUGUCUGAUACAUCACAUCAUGCCAGUUGUCUCAAAUGAAUUUAAGUGAGUGAGGCAGUGUUACUUCUGGGUACCCCUCAUUAUUCGUCUAUAAAUUGGUGAAGCCAGUUGCUACUGUUACCAUAAGAGCCAGCUCCGACUUUCAAAAUAAAAAUUCCAACAACGGUCUUAGUGCCUUCAAUUGUAUGAGUCAUUGAACAUGCAAAUGAAUAAAAUAUGAAUGAUAAAAGUGUUUGAUAAAUCACCAAGUUAUAGAACACUUGAUGAUUUAUCUCAAAUAAAAAUUCAGCUUUCUAAAGUUUGUGAAUUGAAAAUAUAAUCGUUAAAGCUCUCUAAACAAAGAAGACGAAAGUCUUAUUUUAUAGAAUUUUUCUUUACAAGAAAGAAAACAUGUUGAAAACCAAAUCUCCAAUUUCCAAGGCUUGACAGAAAAUCAAAAAAAUAUCUUUCCUAUUCUAGAGAUUGGUCACAUGUAGUUCAACCAAUAGGAAAUGAGAUAUUUAAGAAAGCAAGAUUUUGAUCAAUACCAAUAUCAAAUGAAUUCUUAUACGCCUAGUCAACUAUUAAGGGUAUCUUGACUCCUUGAUAUUGUGAUAUGAUUGAAACAUGAUUUCCAUGUUAGAAAAUUAAGGGGAUGUUAAAACAUGAAAGUAAUAGGAGAAUCAAAUUGAUUUGGACUAAAAUUGCCUAAAAAGAAAACACUCUUAAAUAAACUUCAAUUCACUUUUAAAAACAGUAAAACAUGAUUGAAUCAUUUUUUAAAACAAUUCCCUAAUAUACAUGCAUGAUAAUGACAUCACUUACCCCUAAAUCAAAUUGUCACGCCCCGGACCUGGGGGUCAGUGGAAACCCCACGUUCGGUGCGUGAGAAAAUAAAAAGUAAAAUAAAAUAAAAAGAAUGCCGAAACAAGGGUUUAAAAUAAACUUCUCUUAUAAAAAUAACUCCAAAAUCUUACAACUUUACAAGAAAUAAAUAAAGCCCUAUCAUUCUUAUCUAAUUCAGCCUCAACUGGUUUAGUCCUUGUCUUGCCCACUAAUUCAUCUAAAAAAUGAAGAGUGUUGCUAAACGAACCCUAAAAUUAAUUGAGUACACCCUACUACCAAACGAUUUAUUGAAUUUGUCACAUCUCGGGAUCAACUCCGCCGUAGCACGAUAUUGUUCGCUUUGGGCCCUCCCUCUCUGGCUCGCAUGGUUUUGUUUCUGGGAACUCACGAGUAACUUCCCAGUGGGUCACCAAUCCUGGGAUUGCUCUAGCCCACAACUCGCUUAACUUCGGAGUUCCUACGACUCCGAAGCCUGUGAGCUCCCAAAAGGUCUCGUGCUAGAUGGAUGCGGGUGUGCACAUAUAAGGCACAUCACCCCCUCUCCGUUGGUUGAUGUGGGAUCUUAUAGAAUUACUAAUUUAUCCUAAUAUAAAAUGACCAAAGAAGAUAAAAUAAUAUUGGUAUCUAUUGCUUUGAAUCCAUGCCUUCAAACAAAUUGACUUAAUUUUUAACAAACAACACGGAGUCCAGGAGAAGUGUAUUGAUCCAAGUUGAUUUUUGUAUGCGUAAAACUUAAACAAUCAAUAACACAAAGCAGUUCAUGCUGAAAUAUUGGAAACCCACACCCAAAGAGUUCUCCGCUGCGAGGUUGAAGGCAGGAGAGAUGGGUGACAGAUUUUACUUCCACUGCGAAGUUGGAGGCUAGGAGAGUCUGUGACUGCCAUGGUUGAGGGAGAAGAUGCGUUCAAAAUGCCUAUUGAUAUUUUACAUUAUUGGCUUUUUUCAAAAGUGAAAGUUUUUUUAUGGGUAAAACCUAAAUUUACUUUUUCUAUACAAGUUAACAGUGUUUGUGUAUUGUGAAAAGGUGGAGAGACGUGUCAAAAUUUUAGACAAAGGACAGGAGGAGAUAGGGAAUUUGGGGACAGCAGAUCUCAACUCCCUUGAGACCCUAUUCUCUACGCCACCCCUCCCCCUCAACAACCCUAGUCACCAUUUCUCCUUCAACUCCAACGGCAACUCAUUAAAACCCAAUUCUCAAAUGCAACAAUCUAAUCCCAAUCCCAAUUCAGAUGUUUCUAAAAAACCCAUUGUCGUGGUGGAGAACUGCAAUUCCAGGUGGUGGUGGUGGUACCACAUGGGAGAGAGAAAAAAGAAGAAGAAGAAGCAGGAGAGAGAGAGUUUUUUAUUUUAUUAUUAUUUUACUGUAAUUUUUUAAUUUAAAUAAUUAAAAAAAUUAAAAGUUAAAGAGGAUGUACCAUGGGUAUUUUUGGUAGUUAAAUAAGGUGUACUUAGGGUCAGUUUGGCAUUGCUGUGCUGUGAAAAUAAUAGCUGUCAGAUUUGCUGUGAGAGAAAUCAGCUGUGAGAGAAAUCAGUUUGGCGUUUGAUAAAAUUUUUGUUAAAAGUGUGUUGAUAUUGAUUUUAUGCUUAAUCCGAAAAUGAUUGCUGCAUAAUCAUUAAACCCAGCGCCUCUUCGAAACUGAUUCCUAUAUAAUCAGAAAAUGAAAGCACCUCAUUAGCUGCUUUCCUUUAUAGCUUUCUCUCACAGCAAUUUUUAACAAUAAGUGAUUUUCUCACAGUUUACCAAACGGGUUGGGCUUCUCAAAAUUUUUUAAAAAUCACUUAUUACCCCAAAUAAGCAAUACCAAACGGGCACUUAGUUAAUUUUACAUUUUAAUUUAAACAUUAGGGUGUACUCAGUUAAUUUUAGGGUUCGUUCAGCAGCACUCAAAAUUAAACAAGGUGAGGGAUGAGCAAGUAGGGACAUGAGACAUUGCCACAGUAGAUUGAUAUAACUAAAUAUUAUUAUAAACAUAGAAAUAUAUAAGUAUUAUUAUAAUAGGAUUCAUAAUAAUUAAUAUAAAAGUAUAACAACAAUAUUUACAUUUAUGUACCAAGAUAAUUACACAUAUAAAUAUAACCAAUAUAUAUUUUUAUAUAUUUUAAAAUAUAAGUCUUUACGUAAAUGCCUUUCACGGGUCAAGCCACAAGUCUGUGUUUUGGGGAUUGCUGAGCUGCAUCAAUCCUGCCAAUGUCAAUUCUGCCCCUGAGCUCUCUCAAAGCACGUUUAAAACCUAUGCUAACAUAUACUAGAGUUUAUGCUGUAUCUAGAAAAUGCCAACACUAAUUUCGUAACACGUAGAAAUUGUUAGAGAUUGGAAGUUUUUAUCAUUUUUUCUUCCAGUCUCUCCACUACUUAUUAAUACAGAUUACUCAUGUGAUGAGUUUACAAAACCUAUUUCUCUACUCUCGCAAAGACUAAACUUCUUCUCAAAAGACUAGAUCACUUUACCUCUAUCUCUGUGAAAUGUAAAAAGUUGAAACUUUAAUGUCAAACCUCGACAAAGUGUUCUACUUUACAAACUUCUUGUGUCUACCAAUUUGUACUAAAAUUAAUUUCUCUACAGUGCUCAGAUUCAUCAUAUGUGUGUCCUUAAUUUUAGUGGAAAUUGGAAGUUUCCAUAAUUUUUGCUUUAAGUCACUCUUCUGAAGGAAGUUGAGGUUCCACUUCAUAAUCCAAAAUGUCAGGUUGACUUAUGGCAAACAAUGUAAAUAUGUAGGAGUACUAUGACCUUUUAUAGCAUUUUUAGUUUGAAUUUGGGUUUUAUACAUAGAUUUCAAAAUUAAUAGGUUGAUGCCUAGGAAAUAGAAAUUGUAAGGGCCUAUAUUAGAGUAGCCCUCUUAAAAAUAAUAUUAAUUAAUGAAUAUUUGUUCUUCUUGUUGUUUUGAAGUAGUGGUGGGAGGCAGACCAACAAAAAAAAAAUAUAGUGAAGGCUUAUAAGAGCAUUUACAAUCAUGCUCCCUAUUUUUUAGUUAAAAUUUAGCUAAAAAUAGAAAAAAAGUUAUUAUAGGAGCUCUUUAUAAAGCUCCUUUAUAAAAUUUGAACUCCAAUCAUACUCCCUAGUUUAGGGAGUCAAAAAUACUAUAGUUAUUUUUUAAUUCAAUUUGAUUUUGGUUAAUCUCUAUAAAUAUGAAAAAAUAGUUAGCAUUAAUUAAAAGUUUAAACUAUGCAUAAAACAAAGAAACAUUAAAUUAUAGGGAGCCACUAUGAGUCAUUACUCUCUCCUCAGAUUUAGGAGCUCCUAAAGGUCUCCCUAUUUUAUGAGGUGGAUAAGGAGCAUGGUUGGAGUUGUAUUUCUUCAAUUUCCUCCCUAAAAUUUGUCUAAGGAUGUGGUUUAGGGAGCCCAUUGUGAAUGCUCUAACUCUGGUAAAACACGAGUGACAUGGACAACAUAUGUUACGUCGUACUGAAGAUUUUUGGGUUUCUUUAAUUGGUUAAGUAGCAUCCACACAGCUUCCUAAAUCAUCUCCUUAGACAAAUUUUAGGGAGGAAUUGGAAAAGUACAACUCCAACUAUGCUCCCUAUCCACCAACUAAAAUAGGGAGACUUCUAGGAGCUCCUAAAUCUGAUGAGAGAGAAAGGACUCUUAAUGACUCCCUAUAAUUUAAUGUUGCUUUAUAUUAUUUUGUAUACAGACGGGUCAAUUAUAUUAAAUUAAAAAAUAAUUAAAGUAUUUAUGACUCUCUAAACUAGUGAGCAUAAUUGUAGAUCAUCUUAUAUACCUUAAUUUGAAGAUUCUUUAUUUGGGUUUCUUUCAAGACUUAUCACCUUAGCCACGCCACCUACACGUCUGCAAGCUUUCCUAACAAGGAAGGGGAGGCUGCGCAAUACUUAUCACCUUAGCCACACUACACCAAAUUGACGUCUGCAAGCUUUCGUAAUCUAACAAGGAAGGGGAGGCUGCGCAAUACUUAUCACCUUAGCCACACCAACACCACAAGACCAAUAUGUGUAGUCCAGGAGGCUUUCCCAUUUUAAUAUAUAUUAUCAAAUAAAAUAAAAAUCAAUCUAUUAUCAUAUAUAUUAUAAAAUAAAGAUUAUUGCUCCAUCCUCCAUGCACUUGCAUGCCUCUUACAAAGUGUGAAGUAGAUUUUGUGUGCUCCAAGUCAUUGACGAGAGCUGUAACAUGGUUAGCUGGAUUUAUAAGAUCUUUUCUUUUCUGGGAAUUUUCUGAAUCAAGAAAAAUUAAGUAAAAUUAAUAAAGCAUAAAUUAGAAAGGAAAAAUAUCUAGAGGAUGCAUUGUAGGAUUGCACAUGCCAAUAAUUGUAUCCUCUAAAUAUAUAGGGACAUAUUUUUUUGUUUUCAUGACAUGUGGCCCUAAAAUUAUUGUUCCUAGCGGGCUCUCCACCCCCUCUCGAUUGAAAACUAAUUGUGUAAAUCUUCAAUCUUGAAUGAUGCACCUAAAACUCAAGUGUCCCAGGCCAAUUAUUGCUCUCAUACCACUUGUUGUAAUAAACAUCCAUCCAUUCUAAAGGAAAGAUAACCAUCGAUAUUAUCUCAAAUUUAACCACUUAAGUUCAUUAUGAUUAACUAUGUAUCUUAUGGACCAAUCCAAUCAUGAGGUUUUAUACCCAAUUAGAUCGACUAAUACAAAGUUCACACGUGGAUUGAAAAGCGCUAUCAGUAGGGGAGUGUUCGGCACCCUUUACUGCCGAACGCAACACAAGACCCCUUGCAUGCCUUCACUAAGUUGAGCCUAUCUAUUUUUUAGCAUUAACAAUAUAUAUAGAUUGAAAAAAUAAAAUAAAAAUCAAUCUAUUAUCAUAUAAAAUAAAUAUUAUUGCUCCAUCCUCCAUACACUUGCAUGCCCUCUUACAAAGUGUGAAGUAGAUUUUUUGUGCUCCAACUCAUUGACUAGGGCUGAAACAUGGUUAGUUGGAUUUAUAAGAUCUUUUCUUUUCUGGGAAUUUUCUGAAGCACGGAAAAUCAAAUAAAAUUAAUAAAGCAGAAACUGUACCCUUUAAUUAUAUAUGGACGUAUGUUUUUUUGUUUUCAAGUCUUAGAUGACAUGGGGACCUAAAAUUAUUGCUCCUAGUGGACUCUCGACCCCUCUCAAAUUUAAGUGGUCCAUUAUUAUUAACCACAUAUUUUAUGGACCAUGCAGCUGUGAGGUUUUAUCUCAAAAACCUUCGGUACAUUUCUCCCACAUGCCACAAUUGUAUAUUCACAAUUACGGCUGUUACGUCACAUCAUGCCACUUGCCUCACAUGCAACAAGUCUGUGUUUUGGGGAUUGCCGAGCUGCAUCAAUUCUGCCAAUGUCAAUUCUGCCCCUGGACUCUCUCAAAGCACAUUUAAAACCUAUGCGAACAUAUAUUAGAGUUUAUGAUGUAUGUAUCUAGAAAAUGCCAACACUAAUUUCGUAACAUGUAAAAAUUAUUAGAGAUUGGAAGUUUUUAUCAUUUUUUCUUCCAGUCUCUCCACCACUUAUUAAUACAGAUUACUCAUGUGAUGAGUUUACAAAACCUAUUUCUCUACUCUCGCAAAGACUAAACUUCUUCUCAAAAGACUAGAUCACUUUACCUCUAUCUCUGUGAAAUGUAAAAAGUUGAAACUUUAAUGUCAAACCUCGACAAAGUGUUCUACUUUACAAACUUCUUGUGUCUACCAAUUUGUACUAAAAUUAAUUUAUCUACGGUGCUCAGCUUCAUCGUAUGUGUGUCCUUAAUUUUAGUGGAAAUUGGAAGUUUCCAUAAUUUUUGCUUUAAGUCACUCUUCUGAAGGAAGUUGAGGUUCCACUCCAUAAUCCCAAAUGUCAGGUUGACUUAUGGCAAACAAUGUAAAUAUGUAGGAGUACUAUGACCUUUUAUAGCAUUUUUAGUUUGAAUUUGGGUUUUAUACAUAGAUUUCAAAAUUAAUAGGUUGAUGCCUAGGAAAUAGAAAUUGUAAGGGCCUAUAUUAGAGUAGCCCUCUUAAAAAUAAUAUUAAUUAAUGAAUAUUUGUUCUUCUUGUUGUUUUGAAGUAGUGGUGGGAGGCAGACCAACAAAAAAAAUAUAGUGAAGGCUUAUAAGAGCAUUUACAAUCAUGCUCCCUAUUUUUUAGUUAAAAUUUAGCUAAAAAUAGAAAAAAGUUAUUAUAGGAGCUCUUUAUAAAAUUUGAAUUCCAAUCGUACUCCCUAAUUUAGGGAGUCAUAAAUAUUAUAGUUAUUUUUUAAUUCAAUUUGAUUUUGGUUAAUCUCUAUAAAUAAAUAAAAAUAUGAAAAAAUAGUUAGCAUUAAUUAAAAGUUUAAACUAUGCAUAAAACAAAGAAACAUUAAAUUAUAGGGAGCCACUAUGCCAAUAAUUGUAUCCUCUAAAUAUAUAGGGACAUAUUUUUUUUGUUUUCAUGACAUGUGGCCCUAAAAUUAUUGUUCCUAGCGGGCUCUCCAACCCCUCUCGAUUGAAAACCAAUUGUGUAAAUCUUCAAUCUUGAAUGAUGCACCUAAAACUCAAGUGUCCCAGGCCAAUUAUUGCUCUCAUACCACGUGUUGUAAUAAACAUCCAUCCAUUCUAAAGGAAAGAUAACCAUCGAUAUUAUCUCAAAUUUAACCACUUAAGUUCAUUAUGAUUAACUAUGUAUCUUAUGAACCAAUCCAAUCGUGAGGUUUUAUACCCAAUUAGAUCGACCAAUACAAAGUUCACACGUGGAUUGAAAAGCACUAUCAAUAGGGGAGUGUUCGGCACCCUUUACUGCCGAGCGCAACACAAGAUCCCUUGCAUGCCCUCACUAAGUUGAGCCCAACUAUUUUUUAGCAUUAACAAUAUAUAUAGAUUGAAAAAAUAAAAUAAAAAUCAAUCUAUUAUCAUAUAUUUUAUAAAAUACAUAUUAUUGCUCCAUCCUCCAUACACUUGCAUGCCCUCUUACAAAGUGUGAAGUAGAUUUUUUGUGCUCCAACUCAUUGACUAGGGCUGAAACAUGGUUAGUUAGAUUUAUAAGAUCUUUUGUUUUUUGGGAAUUUUCUGAAGCAAGGAAAAUCAAAUAAAAUUAAUAAAGCAGAAACUGUACCCUUUAAUUAUAUAUGGACAUAUGUUUUUUUGUUUUUUUGCUCUCGACCCCUCUCAAAUUUAAGUGGUCCAUUAUUGUUAACCACAUAUUUUAUGGACCAUCCAGCUUCGGUACAUUUCAAAAAGCUUCGGUACAUUUCUCCCACAUGACACAAUUGUAUAUUCACAAUUACUUCUGGGUACCCCUCAUCAGUCGUCUAUAAAAUGGUGAAGCCAGUUGCUACUGUUACCAUAAGAGCCAGCUCCGACUUUCUUUAAUUUCUUGCUACAUCUGUUGCUAAGUUAAUUUCAGUCCUAAUGGGGUUUCAUCUCCCACUCAUCUUUGCUAUUCUCAGUGUAAGCUCUGCAAUUUGAUUAACUUUUCCAUUCUCUCUCAUUGUACUCUAUAUAUAUAAAUGAAAGUUUUGUGUUCCUAUAAUUCUCUCCGAUUUUAUUUAGUACGUACUUAAGUGUCGUCCACUAAUUAAUUACACUUUGUGAGAUUUGAUUUUAAUUAGAGUUCGAAUUAAUGUUGCAGCUAGCAGCGGUUGCACUGGCAAACAAUGCUGCUCAACCAGCACCUCAACUUUACUGGAACUCCGUCCUGCCAAACACACAGAUGCCAAGAUCUAUCAGUGAACUUCUGCAUCCUGGUUUGUGUUCAGCUCUUUAUAAUCUUAGAUAUCUCUUCUACCUGCCAUUUUACUAAAAUAUGUUCGACCACAUAUUUAUCAGCUAACUACUGUGAUUACAAGAAUGACACUUAUUUUCCAAUAUAAUUUGCAGACUCCACAAAUGAAGAAAAGAGCAAACCUGAAAUUUUCCCAUUGCAGGGCAAUAGAGUUUACACUCAAAGCCAUUAUAAAAAACGUCCUCCUCCUCCAUCUGACGAGGGCAAACCUGAAACUUUCCCAUUGGGCAAUAGCCAUUACACUCAAACCCGUUAUAAAAAACGUCCUCCUCCUCCAUCUGACGAGGGCAAACCUGAAAAUUUCCCAUUGGGCAAUAGCCAUUACACUCAAACCCGUUAUAAAAAACGUCCUCCUCCUCCAUCCGACGAGGGCAAACCUGAAAAUUUCCCAUUGGCCAAUAGCUUUUACACUCAAACCCGUUAUAAAAAACGUCCUCCUCCUCCAUCUGACGAGGGCAAACCUGAAAAUUUCCCAUUGGCCAAUAGCUUUUACACUCAAAGCCAUUAUAAAAAACGUCCUCCUCCUCCAUCUGACGAGGGCAAACCUGAAAAUUUCCCAUUGGCACGUUCUCCUCCAUCUGACAGUCAACUAAAGCAUUACAAAGACUUAGCUAUUUUCUUCUUCGAGAAGGACAUGCGCCCGGGCACAACUAUGAAGUUCCAAUUCCCUAGAAAUUCAAACACGGCUACUUUCCUGCCACGCGAAAGUGCUCAAUCGAUCCCCUUCUCCUCUAAGAAACUACCAGAAAUUUUCAACCAUUUUUCAGUGAAGCCAACAUCUGAGGAAGCCAAAACAAUUAAGCAAACAAUCGAAGAGUGUGAAGCUCCAGGCCUUAAGGGAGAGGAAAAAUAUUGCGCCACAUCUUUAGAAUCAAUGGUUGAUUUUAGCACUUCGAAGCUUGGAACAAGAAACGUUGAAGCAAUCUCAACGGAGGUAUUGGAAGAAGGAGCCACCAAGUACAUGCACAACUAUACAACAAUGCCGGGACUGAAGAAGUUGGAAGGUGACAAAGUCGUUGUGUGUCAUAAGGAGAACUAUCCCUAUGCUGUGUUUCUCUGCCAUGCAAUAAAACAAACAGAAGCUUAUGUUCUCUCCCUGAAAGCCGAUGAUGGGAUGAAGGUGAAAGCAGUAACCAUCUGCCAUCUAGACACAUCAGAAUGGGACCCAGAGCAUUUGUCCUUCCAAAUCCUCAACGUUAAGCCCGGAACCACUCCCAUCUGCCAUUUCCUUACCACUGAUGCUAUUGCCUGGGUUCCAAAACACAAAUCUGCAUGAUCAUCACUUAGCACUGUACGUGUAAUAAGCUUGGUCGGGUUGCACCCUAGGCCUGCAUAAUUAUCUCCCUACUUAUUUCUGCCUCUUCAUCAUGCGGUGUAAGAUAUAUGAUGAGAUGAAGUUUUCUCUUGUAACUAUGUAGACUACUUCAACUUGUACUCAUAAUAAAGCACGCUGUUGGGGGGUUCUACUUAAUUUCGUUCUCUCCAAUGUUUGAGUGUUGAAUUGUUACGUUGGAAUAGGCUGCUAAUGCAUGUAGUUAGAGAAGCCUUCAUUUAUAUCAAAGUCCUCAAACUAUCAAGAAUUAAUGUAUCCAGAAACAUAUACCAAGACGCAAAACAACAUAUUUUCCAUUCUCUGUCUGUAACACCAAAGCAAACUUCCUUUAUCACAUCAUUUAAAGGAUCAAAUUCCAGUACUAAUCUAAUCCAUCAUGUAAAGCAUACAAGUGCCUACCUAAAUUUGUCCAUUGGAUAUAUAUGUCACUUUUUAUUUUUUGAUAGAGAUAUAAAUGUUGAAAAAAUUAGAGUACACAACUCUUAUAGACACUACUACGAUUUACUAUUUGCGCGACGGAAGUUUGCGCGACGAACAUUGUUUCGUCGCGCAAAAAGCACUAUUGCGACGAAAAAAAAAUACCGUAGCGCAAACAACAUAACACAAGCGCGACAAACAGUUUCGUCGCGCAAACAAUCUAUGCGCGACCAAUAUUAAUUUCGUCGCGCAAAGGUAGGGGAAAAAAACCCGGUUUUUUUUUUUUGGCGCCAUAAUCUUGCGCGACAACAACAAUCGUCGCGCAUGACAAUAUUGCGCGACAAUUCAAAGAAUUCGUCAGGUAAAGAUGGACAGAAAAUUGUCUCAUUUUUUUGGCGGUAAAAAACUUUGCGCGACGAAAUUUUUCGUCUCAAAAGACAACUUAGCGCGACGGAAAUAUGUACCGUCGCGUAAAAAAACGAGGGAUACUUAUUUUUGGCGCCAAAAUGCAGGGUGGAUAAAAAAAAUUUUGCGCGACGGAAUUACCUUCGUCGCGUAAAGUGUAAUGCCGGUGCUUUCUUGCGCGACGAAAUAAAUAAUUUGCGCGACGUAAUUUAAACCUUGCGCGACGAAAAGUAUUAUUUGCGCGACGAAAUUUUGUGCGACGAAUAAUAUGUUUCGUCGCACAAAAAAGCAGAUGUCGACAGGUAAUUGCGCGACGGAAAUGUUGUUUUGUGCGAUGGAAAAGUGGGUUUUCGCGACGGCAUUUUGCGCGACGGAUAUUGGUGUUCGUCGCGCAAAGUCCUUCUUCUUCAUAUUAGUAUCUGCCAUUGCAGAGGCAGAAUGCAGAAAUUGCAUUCUGCCUCUCUCUCACUCUCCCUGCCGCUGCUCUGCUGUGAAUUCAAUACGUUCAUUGGGUAUGUAUUUUUUGUCGUUAGUUUAAAUGUAUUAAUGUAAAUUCGUAGUAACGCUAUUAAUUUUGUUAUCGUUAGGGAUAUUUGUGAUUAGUGAUUGGUGGAGAACGAUUGAGAAGGUAUGUUAUUGUAAAAGUUUGUUUGUUAUGUUUGUAAUUUUUUUGUGAAGUUAUAUGUAUAUAAUGUUGUGAAAUUGUGCGUGACAUAGCACAAUGUGUUGUGAUGUACGAAGUUAAUUGAAAUUAACUUCGUACUUUUAUUUUUAUGUUUAGUAACACGUAGUUUCCCGUUCGAGAUUAGUUGGAUUUCGUGCAUGGAUGAGUAAUGCAUGACUGCGGUCCAAUUAAUUCUUGAAUUGUCCCAUUAUUUGGACAGUUUGGUAAUGCAUAGUGUUGUCACAUAAUCUUCGGCUACAGGAUUAGGUUUCGAUUGUGGAGAUUUCGGUGUCAUCUCGGUACGUUCUUCGAGUGGUACGUAGGUAUUUAUACCUAUGCCCACUUCAAGAACUGUGUCGAGAUGCUGCCGAAAUUAAUCCACGUCGAAAUCUAAUCUCAUGUAGCCGUAGGUUACGUGACAGGACUAUGCAUUCCCGAAUGGGAUAGGGCCCUUACCGGAGGCAUAAGGUGACAUUAUAACUUCGUAUGAAGUUGUUGUGAUUGUUGUGUCGUGAUUGUGGUUUCAUGAAUUAUGAGCAGAAGGUGGAUACAUAACCCGAAUAGAUGCGCAGACGAAUACUUGGAUGGAAUCGAGGAUUUUAUUGAGUUUGCACAUAGACACAACCCGGGUGCAAGUAGAAUCCGUUGUCCUUGUAGGAGGUGUAACAACACGUUGUGGGAGACAAUUGAAAAUGUUGGAUUUCAUUUAGUAAGGAAUGGAAUGAUUGAAACAUAUAGCAUUUGGAACCUUCACGGCGAACAUGUAGGCCAUGCUUCGUCUUCAAAUGCCCCAAGAGUGGACAAUGUUGAACCUAUUGUGGAUCCUAAUGAUCAAGUCAUGGGUAUUAUACAGGAUGCUUUUCCAUUCGCAUCGACCAACAUCAAUCAGGAAGGGGAAGAUAACGUGCCUACACCAAUAGACAGUGCGGAGUUUGAACAGUAUGAAAAACUGUUAAAAAAUGCCAACCAAGAGUUAUACCCGGGGUACGAGAGCUUUUCCGUUCUCACUUCUAUUGUGGAGCUAAUGCACGGAAAAAUAAAGUAUCGUAUGUCGAACUUGUGUUUCGAUUACUUUUUGGGGGUUUUCAAGAGAAUGCUUCCGACGGAUAAUUAUUUGCCGAAAGACCAGAAACAUGCACAGAAGGUGUUGCAUGGUCUUGGAUUGGGUUAUGAAAAAAUCCACGCUUGCAAAAACAAUUGCAUGUUAUUCUACAAAGAGCAUGAAACGUUGGAUACAUGCCCUAUAUGCAAUGAGUCGAGGUUCAAAAUGACAUCCCAGAAUAGAACGACUAAGAUACCACAAAAAGUCAUGCGUUAUCUGCCCCUUAAACCUGGGUUGCAGCGAUUGUAUAUGUCGACGCAUACUGCCACAGACAUGAGAUGGCAUAAGGAAAAACGGGUAGACGAUGAUGUGAUGCGGCAUCCUGCAGAUGGGGAGGCAUGGAAAGAGUUCGAUCGAACGUUCCCCGAGUUUGCUGCUGAUCCCCGAAAUGUAAGAUUGGGACUUGCCACUGACGGAUUCAAUCCGUAUGGGGUUCUAAACCAACACCACAGCACUUGGCCGAUUUUCGCAUUCCCAUAUAAUUUGCCGCCUUGGAAAUGCAUGAAAAAAGAAUACAUGAUGAUGACUGUUUUGAUAACUGAGGAUCCUGGCAGGUCAAUUGAUGUGUACUUAAGGCCUCUGGUUGAUGAGCUGAAAGAUUUAUGGACAAACGGUGUUCGCACGUACGAUAAAUCAACUGGGAGGAUGUUCACUUUGCGAGCAGCAAUUAUGUGGACUGUGAAUGAUUUUCCAGCAUAUGCAAUGGUUUCUGGGUGGAGCACAAAAGGUUAUAUGGCAUGUCAUGUAUGCAAGGAAGAUGUAACUUCUGGUUGGCACGCGGGAAAAGUUUGUUACCUUGGUCAUCGGAGAUGGUUGCCAUGGGACCACGAGUGGCGAGAAAAAGAUAAAGAGUUCAACGGGAACACAGAGCGUCGCCUCAGACCUGGAGAAUGGUCCGGUGAUGAGAUCUUGGAACAGCUGAACCGUUUGGAUUUUGGUCCGUUCGGAAAAACAAUUAGUCGGACCAGACCUUCUACACAUUUGAACUGGACGCACAAGCCUAUGUUUUUUGAGCUCCCAUAUUGGUCGAAACUGAAAUUGAGGCACAAUCUAGAUGUGAUGCAUGUUGAGAAAAAUGUAUUCGACACAUUGGUGGGCACGAUUCUAGAUAUCGAGGGGAAGACGAAGGACACGAUCAAAGCUCGUCUUGAUUUGGAAAGAAUGGGCAUACGAAGGGGUUUAUGGAUGAAUAGGGACAGUGAUAAAGCUAGAAGGGAUCUUGCAUUCUUUUCUAUGAAACCGAAUGACAAAAAGGAGUUUCUAAAGUUUGUAUCGUCUGUCAAAUUUCCCGAUGGGUAUGCUUCUAAUAUCGCACGUUGCGUGAAUGUCGAUGGGGGUAAAUUUACUGGACUUAAGAGCCAUGACUGCCAUGUUCCUGUGGGUAUUCGACACCUACUGCCGGAAGAUGUGGUGAAGCCAAUCAUGUUGUUAUCCAGAUUUUUUUCCCAACUGACGGCAAAAACAUUGCGAAGGACAGACAUGUUUCAGUUGCGCCAUGACAUUGUCCAAGUCCUAUGCAAGUUUGAGAUGAUAUUUCCUCCGGCUUUCUUUACAAGUAUGAUGCACGUAAUGGUUCACUUGCCAGAAGAGGCAUUGCUUGCUGGUCCUGUCAACUAUCGCUGGAUGUAUCCAAUAGAAAGGUAUAUAAUCUUUAUCAUUUGUGUAUGCAUCAUUAUCGACACUUUGCUAAUUUGUAUCAUAUCGUUUUAUUUUGGCAGGCUUCUCGGAGAGCUGAAAAAAAGUGUACGCAACAGGGCAAAGCCCGAAGGAUUAAUUAUAGAGGCUUGGGUUCAAUAUGAGUCGCUUACUUUCUGUGGAAUGUAUUUAAAAGAUGUGGAGACGGUUUUCAAUCGUCCUCAACGCAAUAAUGACGGAGGUAUGAGAAAUGAAAAACUUUUUGUUUUUGCCCAAAGCGCAUGACCAUUUGGAGAUCCUGGACGAGGAGAGUCGUUUUCUAGAAAUGACAUGGAGGUAGCGCAUUGGUUCGUACUGAACAAUUGUGAUGAGAUAAUGGCCUACUUAGAUGAGCAUGAACAGAUGAUGAAGCGAGAACAUCCAUCACAUUUGGUUGCCCGGAAACAUCGUGAAUUAUUUCCACAAUGGUUUUUGGAUUCUGUAAGUUAUAACUGUUUUGUAAUUGACAAAUAUAAAUUGUAGUAUUUAAUUUUGUCAGACUAACAUGUAAAUGAUUUUGUAUACUAUUAGGUGAAUAAAUUGAAAUCAUCGAAUUCCCCCACUUACAGUGAUGAGUUAUAUAACUUGGCGUUCGGCCCAAUUCGUGCUGAGUUGUUCUCGGGUUGUAAUGUUAACGGCGUCAAAUUUUUGGGGGCCGCACGAGAUGACAAGUUGUGUAUGCAAAACAGCGGUGUCCAUGUCCCAGGUGGAGGCGAAAGUACGGACAUUGAUUUCUAUGGCAAACUGACAACUGUCGUGCAAUUGCUUUAGAAAGAUCGAUACCAAGUCAUCAUGUUUAAGUGUCGAUGGUUCGAUACCAACCCAAAUAGGGCGGGAAGUGUUAAAAUCGACCAUGGAGUACUGUUUGUGAACAUGGCGUCCCAAAUUGUGUAUCUAGAUGACCCUAAAGCCGGGAGCGGGUGAAAAGUUGUGCAGAAGAUGGAUCAUAGGAACGUGUAUGAUAUACCAGAACUAGACCCAAGUGACAACGACGUCGACAAUGUGGCUGACCAACGUUUAGAAUCUUCAAUGGAAAAUGAUGCGGAAACACUUCGAGAUACAAAUGUUAUACAAGAACCGUUUCAAAUAGAAGGAGUGUCUUCAGUAGAAAUACCGAUUCAGUCAAUUACAAUUGACCUCGGUGAUCUUCCCCGAUACGAUGUUGCAGUGGGUCCUAGCAACGCCGAUGAUGCAGUUAUAGAGGAGGAGGAGGAAGAAGAUUGGGAGACCGAGAGUGAUGAUAGCGAUGAUAACGAAAGUUAUUAUAGUUCAGAUGAUGAAUAAUGAAUUUAUUUGUAAAGUUAUUAUGUUAGUGUAUUCAUUUUGUGUAAUACAAAUCUUUGAAUAUAUGUAGUUGUCCAUAUGUAGUUGUGUAUUCAUUCUCCAUAUUUCAUCACAAACUUCAUUGGAAUGUCAAUACUUUAGUCAAUACUUAUUACGACCCCAUGCUUGUCGAUUGGUUUUUAUUUAUUUAUUUAUUAAUGUCUUUAACUCUUCAAUUAUUAUUUUUUUCUUUUGAGAUAUAGUUAUUUCUUCAUGUUUAAACAAAAAAUAUAAGUUAUUUCUCCAAUAUUAUCUGUGUGCCACUUAUUUUUCUUCACUUUGGUUCAUGAUUAGUGGCAUCAAUCUAGUCAAACCGAUAAAAUCGGUCGAUUCAAAUCUUAAUUAUCAAUUUAGUUUGGUUUUGAUGAAGAAAUACAAAGCCUUUCCAAAAAAUACAGAGCAUAAAAAAUGAUGAAUACAAAACCUUUCCAAAAAAUACAAAGCAUACACAAUUUGAAUUAAAUGAGGAUUUAUGGCGCCAAAUCCUUGCGCAACGAUAAGGAGCCCUUCGUCGCGCAAAUAUAUAUUAGGUAACGUUAUAGUAUAAUAUAUACCCACAUAUAUAUUUAAAAUUGGCGAUCGAAGUAGUUCAUUGUAUUCAUAUGAAGUGUAGGACUGUAGCUGCAAAAAAUCAUCAACAUCGGAGUUAAAAUAACCGUUCAAUCAUCACUUUUUAUUUAGAACCGUCGAAAAGUUUUACCCCGUUACUUAAUCUCUGAAUGUUUUUUUUGUCUGAUUUUUGCUGUCUAUGAUCUCGAAGUAUAACAAAACAAGUUUGACGGCUGGAUGACUGAAGCUAGUUUCGUAGACUGCGUGUGCUAUCAAAAUCAUAUAUUCACCAAAAACUCAAAAAUUUGUUCAUACAUUUGUGAAAAUGUAACUUAAUGUUUAUGUGGUAUCCCCUAGUGUAAAAAUAUGAAAUUGAAGAUCAAAUUCAGUCAUUGUAUUCAUAUAGGGUCAACAAAUGUUGCUGUAAAAAAUGAUCAAAAUCGGAGUUAAAAUAACCGUUAAAUCAUGACUUUUCAUUUAUAACCGUCAAAAUAUUUUGUCCUGUUCCCUGAUAUCUGAAUGUUUGGUCGUUUUGAUUUUUGGCGUAUACGAUCUCCAAGUAUAAACAAAUAAGUUUGCCGGUUGGAUCAUUGAAACUAUUUUAGGGUUUAGGGUUUAGGGCUUAGGGCUUAGGGUUUAGGGUUUACAUUUUAGGGUUUAGGUUUUGCGCGACGAAUAAACAUUCCUUUCGUCGCACAAAGUGAAAGUGACAAAGAUUGCGCGACGGAUAAGUCUUCCAUUCGUCGCGUAAUCUGGGACACACAUUUCACCCCUCCAUACCCUUUGAACACUUAGUGAAAAUUUCAACCGAAUGAAAUUCUUGAACCCGCGCGACGAACAAAGCAAAUACGUCGCGUAAAGUGGACGUGAACAAGAUUGCGCGACGGAUAAAUCUGGUAUUCGUCGCGCAAUCUGGGCCACACUUUCACCCUUCCAUCCCCUUUGAACACUUAGUGAAAAUUUCAACCGAAUGAAAUUUUUGAACUCGCGCGACGAACAAAACAAAUACGUUGCGCAAAGUGGACGUGAACAAGAUUGUGCGACGGAUAAAUCUAAUUUUCGUCGCGCAAUCUGGGCCACGCUUUCACCCUUCCAUCCCCUUUGAACACUUAGUGAAAAUUUCAAGCGAAGCAAAAUCUUCAACUCGCGCGACGAAUAAAAGUAUUCGUCGCGCAAAAGGCACAGGCCUCUGAUUUUUGUUAGCAAACAUUGCGCGACGUUUACUGUCUUCGUCGCGCAAAAGGCACAGACCCUUCAGUUUCAGCCUCCCGCUAAACCCAAAAUUUUCCCAAAAUUUUGGCGGAACGACAGCGUUUUGCGCGACGAACAUAUGACUUUCCGUCGCACAAGGUUAACCUUGCUCGACGUUUACUAUCUUCGUCGCGCAAAAGCACAAACCCUUCAGUUUCAGCCUCCCGCUAAACCCUAAGUCCCAAAAUUUGGGCGGAACGACAUCGUUUUGCGCGACGAAUAUAUGAUUUUCCGUCGCGCAAGGAGAACCUUGCGCAACGUUUACUAUCUUCGUCGCGCAAAAUCACAGUUUCAGCCUCCCGCUAAACCCUAAAUCCCAAAAUUUUGGUGGAACAACAGCGUUUUGCGCGACGAACCAUGUAUUUUUCGUCGCGCAAAAGGCACAGACCCUAAUCCCCAUUCAAAAUUUGGCGUUCUGGGAGACCUUGCGCGACGGAUAUUUCAUCGCGCAAGAUUCAUUAAUACCAUUUUGCACGACGCAUUCUGUUCUUCGUCGCGCAAAGUCGAAUAAAUUUGCAGAAACGGCCCGAUGCCUCCUUCUUCCCCAUUUUCUGGUUUCUCUCCGUUUCUUCCUCUCUCUCCGCCGUCACCUUAGCCCUCUCUCUCUGCCAUCACCUCAGCCACCUCCGCUCGUUCCGUAGCCUCCCUGCCGUCACCGUCGAGCCUGCCGUCGCAAUUUCGUCAGUUUUUCCCGAUUCUUCGCCGGCCGAUUUCUCUCUCCUCCGGCCACCAUUUUCGACGCCUAAGGUAUGAUUUCUCGACUAUUUUUUGUGCUCUAGCUGAUGGUUGGUUAGGAUUUCUUGAAUUUUCGCUAUAGGAAAUAGGAAUUAAAACCCUAGGUUUUGGCCGCUUUGGGAAUUUCAAAUCCGGCCACUUCCGGCCAUUUUUCGGGGUAGGUCCGAGAACAAAAGUGGCUCCAAUUAAUGUUUUCAACCUAGGGUAGGAACCUUGGCCCUUAGUUUUUAGAAUUUUCCGACGAAUGUUAUCGCUUUGGACACCCACGCGCUGCCGGCGCGUGUGGUGGCGCGUGGGAUGUUGUGGCAGUGGGGCAUUGGGUCCCAGAGCAAUCCCCUGUUUGUCACGAGCGCGUAGGUUUGCUCGGAUUUGAAUUUGGUUAUCGUUUGAGUCUUGAUCGGAUUUCGGCUAUUGUGCGAUUUCCAGGUUUGAUAUGUUCGGACCGUUGGAUCGAACUCAAACUCACGUAGUUGUACCUUUGUGUUUCUACGAUCGUUUAGGAUUCGACCGAUCGUUGAUCGGUGUCCCGGAUACUUCGAAAUUCCAAACCCUAGGUGAAGCUAUGCUUUUAAUUAAUUAGUUUAAAUUCUUAAUGAAAUUAUAUGUGCAGAUGUCAGAUUUGAUUAGACGUGGUAGGUCGAUGAUGACUGCACCGAGUUCGGAUCCCCCUGCUCAGUCGGCAUAUGCUGCCACUGCUCCAGCUUUGAUGGAGCACGUGCUGGUUGGUCCCGGGGCGUCCCAGGCGCCUGCGUCAUCUGCGUCAUCCGUCGCGCAGCCAGCUAGUGCUAGGCGGCGGCACCGGCCCGCCGACACGACAUCGACCGACGGUACUGGUGCCUCGGGAUCACAGCCAGAUAUAACUACCAUUUUGUAUUGUUAAUUUUAUAUUGAAAUUUGACAAUGUUGUUUAUUUAACAUUAAUAUCUUUUUUCUUUGCAGCGAAGAAGAACACCUGAGGGCCGUGUCGUCAGCUGAAGACGGCGAAGGUCACCCGGGUGACCAACAGUCGUAUCAGCAUCGGAUACGACGAGCGCCAUCGGGCUGCACCGACGGCGGAGUUGCAUAGCUCCUUGGCCCACGACAUUGGCCACGUCGUGCGGACCCAUUGCCUGAUGCAAUGGAAGUCUUGGAGGGUCAUGCCUGACGAGAUCAAGGUGGAGGUUCGCGGCCAGUUGUCGGUAUGUACCUUACAUUUUCAUUAAUUUUCUUUAAAAUUGUGUAUAUUUCUAUUACUUAACGUAUCUAAUUAAUUGAUUGCAGACGAACUAUAACUUGGAGGAUCUCGACGAAGAGUCGUUGGCGUACGUCAACAGACUCUUCGCUGAGAGGUACAAGCAGUGGAAGAGCGACUUGCACCAUCAUUUUCAGGCCUUUGAUGAUCCGCAAGUCGCUCUUCAGGAGGGUUGCCCGAAGGAGCUUGAGGGGCGGGAGGAUAGUUGGGAGUGGCUCUGCGCUCAUUUUCAAGCGUCCGAAUAUGUGGUAUUUUUUUAAUAAUAUUUGUUUAAUUAUUACUUAUUUCUUAUUAAUGUUUAUUUCAUUUUUUUUAUUUCAUUAUUAUUUAAUUUGUUAUGUUUUAACUAAUACGUUUCAUUUUUUGUAUAACAGAAUAAGGCCCAAGUGAAUAAGGGUAAUAGGAAGAAGAAGACCCUUCUCCACCAUUCCGGCUCCAGGCCCUUUUCGUAUAGGAUGGAUGCCCGGCGACGGGUAAUAAUCACAUAAUUUAUAUUUCAUUUUUAAUGUCAUUUUUAUUAAUUUAUUUUUUUCAUACUAAUAUUUUUCUUCUCUUGUUCAAUUUAGGAGGGGUCCAAGUUCCCAGAGAUCGACGUCUUUGGUGACGUUUAUGUUCGACCCGGGAAUGAGUUGGCCGAGUCCCUUCAUGUAAGUAUUAUUUAAUUUUAAUUCUUAUGUUACGCAUUCAAUUUAUAUGCAUGUUUAAAUUUAUAUUUUAUGUUAUGUUCAACAGACGACGAUGGUGGAGAGGAGCCAGUUGGUUCUUCAGGAGUCCGCCUCCCAGCUUCCUCCCGAGACUCCGAUCGAGUCUGUGGCUCCUCCACAGGAUGCUGGAUUUCAGAUCUUGACGGAGACGUUGGAUCAGACUCUCGGGAGGAGGCCGGGGACAUAUUGUCGAGGGAUGGGGAAUGCCCGGCGGAGGGAACCUAGACCUCGUUCAUCGGCCCAGUCAAACAGUCAGGUGACUGCUUUGACAGCACAGGUGGCCGAGCUUCAGGGUCAGAUGUCGGUGAUUCUACAGUCCCUCGCACAGAGCGGCUUUCCAAUCCCGCAGUUUCGUGCGUCAACCUCCCAGCCCGUCCACCCCGAGUAUGCCCACCAGACCACUGCCCCGGUGGACGCCCAGACCUCCGAGCCGCAUACUGGCGACGACCCGAUUGAUUUUGCUUCAUUAUUUGAUUAGUGUAUUUAUUUUCAUCAUAAACAUUUAUUUUAUUUGUAAUACAUUUAUUUUAUUUUAUAACAAAAUUUUGUUCUAAUUUAUUUUUAUUGCAAUUUCAUUGUUUAAUCAAUAAAAAAACCAAUUUUAUUUAAAAAAAAUAAAAAUAAAUAAAAAACAAAAACAAAAAAAACAAAAAAAAAUUGUAAUAUUAUUUUUGCGCGACGGAAGACAUUUCGUCGCGCAAAACCACAUGUAACAAAAAAAAUUAAAAAAAUCAAUUUUUUAUUACUUUAAUUCUUGCGCGACGAAUACAUACGUCUCGCAAACAUUUUUUGCGCGACGAAAUGUUUCGUCGCGCAACAGCUUUUGCGCGACGACUGAAAUUUUCGUCGCCAAAUAGAUGAGCGACGAAAACUUUCUCAUCGCGCGAAUAGUUCUGCGACGAAUAUAUACGUCUCCCGGACUAGUUUUGCGCGACGAAUUAUUUUCGUCGCGCUAUUCGUUUCGUCGCGCAAAUAUACGUGCGCCGAAUACUUUAUCGUCGCGCAAAUAUUUAUGCGACGAACAGUUGUUUCGUCUCCACACCGUUGGUGCAACGAUGGUUUACCCGUCGCACAAUUAUGCGCGACGAAGUGUUGUACCUCGUCGCGCAAAGGCUUUCUUCACGAUCUUCGCGCGACGGAAGGUGCGCGACGAAUUUUUUGUCGCGCUGAAAUUAGGGCGACUAAAUAAGACUUUGCGCGACGUUUUGUUAUUCGUCGCGCAAAGAGUAAAAUGUAGUAGUGAGACUUGUUGGAGACAAAACAGGUAAACAAAUUACUUGUAUUAGACUCACAAAAUAUUACAACAAGACAACUCUCAAAGAAAAGACAAACUCUCACACUUCUCACAAGGACUACUUAACUUUAUAGCUUAUUGCAUAUAGCAUAUGCAAACACAAUUAGAACAUACCUACGUACACUAUGGGAACACUCGUGUAUAUUUCAACACAAGAAAACAUGUGCACCGUGCACGGUUCACAUGAAGUAAGAAAUGAAGAGGAAAUAAAGAAGAAGAAUACAAAAGAAAAUGGAGAUGAGAAAAAAAAAAAAACCGAAUAAUGAAAAAUGAAUUGACAAUUAUAUAUGGUUGACAUUAGAUCUAAUAUUAUAUGUAACAACUAUUGAUCUAAAAUAAACAUUAAAUCAAACAAUAAUUAAAAGAUUUGACAAUAUAAAAAUUUAUUGAGGACAAAAAAAGGCAAAAACUUAUGAAAAAUGGAAACAAUAAAUAUGAACUGAGUCAUCAACUCACCAUGGUAAGUUUGCUGACGUAUAAAAAUAGUCAAUGGACAUCGAAAAGUAAUUGGCUUACAUCAAAAAUUAAAAUCACGUGGGUUAUUCCUAAGAAACCUUAAUAUUUGCCUUCCAUUUGUUCCAGCAAAAUAAAAGUCAUUGCUACUUAUUGUAACCCCUUUUCCAAGCUUAUUAAUCAAAGUAGACACCUCACUGCUGUCACCUAGCCAAUUUUCAACAAUGUCAUACUUAACAAGCAACUCCACAUCCUUUGAGGUGUUCACAAAACGAUCCAUGAGACUAACAUAAUCACUUAUGUACGUCUCCUCGUAGUGGCAUUGUUCAAAUGCGAUGAGAUUUCUAAUUAAUACCUCUGUAUGAUCGCUUAUUUUCAAUCUUGGAAUUUCAAGAGUCCGGCCAGCAAAUCUAAUAAGGUAUUCAUUGAUCCCUCAUUCAACUUGAACCCUGCCCUGUGUAGCUCUGUGAUGCUGGGUGUGUUUAUAGUUAUGAGUUUCCCGUCAUUAGUUUUUAGGGUUAUUCGUUAUAUGAGUCCCUGAACUUAGACCCGAUUUGCAUUUUAGUCCCUCAAUUUCCAAAAUCGUUCCAGUGGUCCUUCAACUUUAGUUUCGUUAGGACAAAUGGUCCUGCCGUCAAAUGAUUAUAAAGUGGAAAAAACAAGAACAAAAAAGGAAGUGAGUUAAAUUUGCACCUGCUAUGUUCAAACGACAAAGUUCGUUUCCGUUUGGUCGAUUACAAGAGAAGCUCAAUGCAGCUUACUUGGUUCCUCUUGGUAGAUGGAAAUAUAAUUUUUCUCCUAAUAACAAAGGUUUAGUGCAAUCAAUGAUGGGCUGUAUAGAACAACUUUUUUGUUUUAUAUGUUUAUGUGAGACAAGUUUUGCCAGAUUGAAUUAAUGUCUUCUAGCUAUGUACCUUAUCUUUUUGCCGGGCCAUGAGUUGAAUGUAGAGGCAGAGCAUGGCCUUGGGUUUGUAAAAGACAAAAGACUGAACCAGACGUAAUUAUUUAGAUUUUGGAUCCAGUUCCACAUCCCAAAGAGAAAACCACAAGUUUGCAAGCAAGUUUGUCCAUAUUAACACUACGUAGAGUAUAGGCAGUGUGCUACUCAUCUCACUUUCUCAACCUACCCUAUAUUUGUCUAAAAGAGUUUCUAAUUUCGUGUACUGAUUCACUACUACAUUUUACACUUUGUGCGACGAAGAGAAUUUCGUCACGCAAAAUACAUUGGUCGCGCAAAGUUUAAAAAAAAUUUUAAAAAAAUAAAAAAUUCCCGCGUCCAAUUUUUGGUACUUGUCCAAAUUUUUUGAGUUUUGCGCGACGAAUACUAACAUCGCGCAAAUAUUUGCGCGACGAAAUAUUUUUUGUUUUAAAUUUUUUUAAUUUAAAAUAAACUAAUUUAAUAGUUUGCGCUACGAAAUAUUUUGUCGCGCAAGGUUUUUGACUUUUUGUUUUAUUAUUUCUUUAAUAUGAAUUUAUUUAUAUGAAUUUUUUGAAAUUUUUACUUUUUAAAUUUAAUUUAAUUGUAUGAUUUCUUUUUAAAAUUACUUUAAUUUAAAUUGAUAUUAAUUUUUACUUUUUAAAUUUAAUUUAAUUGUAUGAUUUUUUUUAAUUACUUUAAUUUAAAUUGACAUAUUCAAAAUAAAAUUACAUAUGAAAAAUAGUGAUUAAAUUAUCCAAUAAAUAUAUAUAUAUAUAUAAUAUUCAAAAUGUACACAUAAAUUAACAAAGCACAAUAAUAAAAUCCUAAUACAAGCGUAUUGUGGUGGUAGUGUCGGAGGAUAUGUUUUGAUAGCUUCCUAAUCCUCAACUUUAGCCGUCAAAGUCUCGAUGAUUCCCUACAAAAAAAAUAAAUAUGGUCAAAUAACCACAAACAAAAAAAAAAAAAAAAAAAAAGGCAUAAUCUCCCCUAAAAUUGUUAUACCACAAAUCCAACCCAAACUCCAAUCCCUCCCCUUUACUCAACCCCAAAACCCACACAAACUCAAAAUUAACUCCAAAAACACAUAUUAAUGAAAAAAAUUUAAAAUUUGGAGAGAAUAUACCUUUUGGCAAGAUUGAGAGUGAAUGAGAGGGAGAAGUGAGUGUGAGAGAAUUAGAGAAGAUAGUGAUAGAGAGAUGAGAGAGAUGAGAGAGUGAGUGAGAGAGAGUGAGAGAUAGUGAAGAGAGAGAUGAGAGAUUAAGUGAGAGGAGUGAGUGAGAGAAAUGGUGGGAUUUGGGGAGAGGGAAAGAGAAAGGAGAGGUAAGAGUAGAGAAAGGCAUUGAGAAAAUGGUGGAUGAGUUAUUUCGGUUUUAAAAACCGUAUCACUUUGCGUGACGAAAAAUAUUGUUGGUCGCGCAAAGGUUUGCGCGACGAAAAAUAUUGGAAUAUUGAUCGCGCAAACUUUUGAGCGACGAAACAUAUUGGUCGCGCAAAGUCUAAAAAAAUUAUUUAAAAAAAAUAAAAAUCCCCGCGUCCCAUUUUUGGUACCCGCCAAAAUUUUUAAAUUUUUGCGCGACGAAUAUAGGAAUAUUGAUCGCGCAAAGUCUAAAAAAAUUAUUUAAAAAAAUAAAAAUCCCCGCGUCCCAUUUUUGGUACCCGCCAAAAUUUUUAAAUUUUUGCGCGACGAAUAUAGGAAUAUUGGUCGCGCAAAGUCUAAAAAAAUUAUUUAAAAAAAUAAAAAUCCCCGCGUCCCAUUUUUGGUACCCGCCAAAAUUUUUCAAUUUUUGCGCGACGAAAAAUACAUAUUGGUCGCGCAAAGUCUAAAAAAAUUAUUUAAAAAAAUAAAAAUCCCCGCGUCCCAUUUUUGGUACCCGCCAAAAUUUUUAAAUUUUUGCGCGACGAAAAAUACAUACUGGUCGCGCAAAGUCUAAAAAAAUUCCCGCGUCCGAUUUUUGGUACCCGCCCAAAUUUUUGCGAGACGAAAAAUAUAUAUUGGUCGCGCAAAGUUUUGAGCGACAAAAAAUAUUGGUCGCGCAAAGUCUAAAAUUUUUUUAUUUUUUUUUUAAAAUCCAGCGUCCCAUUUUUGGUACCCGUCCAAAUUUUUAGAGUUUUGCGCGACAAACUGUUGGUUGCGCAAACUUUUGAGAGACGAAAAAUUGGUUCGUAACACAAUAUUUAUAAAAAUAAUUGUUAUGAAUAAUAAAAAUAAAAUUAUUUUAUUUUACAAUUUAAAAUAUAAAUAAGGUUAAAGCUGCUUAAGAAAUAUAUAUACUAUUCAAUUUCUUAAGUGUUAUACGUACAAAAUAAAUAAAUUUAAAGGUACUUAAUAAAUAAAUAUAUAUACACACACCAUUCAACGAUCCAACCGUCAGACUUAUUUGUAUAUACUUCAAGAUCGUAUACCCCAAAAAUCACAAAAAACAAACAUUUAGAGAUCUAGUAACGAGACAAAACUUUUCGAUGGUUAUAAAUGAAAAAUUACGAUUUAACGGUUAUUUUAACUCCGAUUUUGAUGAUUUUUUUUUACAGCUACACUCCUUGACCAUAUAUGAAUACAAUGACUGAAUUUGAUCUUCAAUUUAAAAUAUUUACACUAGUGGAUACCACAAAAUCUUAUGUUAUAUCUAACGAACGUAUAAAUAACCUCUUAAUUGUUAGUGAAUAUAUUGUUUUGAUGGCAUAUGCAUUCACCAAAACUAGUUUCAACGAUCCAACCAUCAAACUUGUUUGUUUAUACUUCGAGAUCAUAUACGCCAAAAAUCAGAAAAAAUAAACAUUCAGAGAUCAAGUAAUGGGACAAAAAUUUUCGACGGUUAUAAUGAAAAAUCACGAUUUAACGGUUAUUUUAACUCCGAUUUUGAUGAUUUUUUACAGCUACACUCCUUGACCCUAUAUGAAUACAAUGACUGAAUUUGAUCUUCAAUUUAAAAUAUUUACACUAGUGUAUACCACAAAAUCUUAUGUUAUAUUUAACGAACGUAUAAAUAAACUCUUAAUUGUUAGUGAAUAUAUUGUUUUGAUGGCAUAUGCAUUCACCAAAACUAGUUUCAACGAUCCAACCGUCAAACUUGUUUGUUUAUACUUCGAGAUCAUAUACGCCAAAAAUCGGAAAAAAUAAACAUUCAGAGAUCAAGUAAUGGGACAAAACUUUUCGACGGUUAUAAUGAAAAAUCACGAUUUAACGGUUAUUUUAACUCCGAUUUUGAUGAUUUUUUACAGCUACACUCCUUGAACCUAUAUGAAUACAAUGACUGAAUUUGAUCUUCAAUUUAAAAUAUUUACACUAGUGGAUACCACAAAAUCUUAUGUUAUAUUUAACGAACGUAUAAAUAAACUCUUAAUUGUUAGUGAAUAUAUUGUUUUGAUGGCAUAUGCAUUUACCAAAACUAGUUUCAACGAUCCAACCGUCAACCUUGUUUGUUUAUACUUCGAGAUCAUAUACGCCAAAAAUCGGAAAAAAUAAACAUUCAGAGAUCAAGUAAUGAGACAAAACUUUUCGACGGUUAUAAUGAAAAAUCACGAUUUAACGGUUAUUUUAACUCCGAUUUUGAUGAUUUUUUACAGCUACACUCCUUGACCCUAUAUGAAUACAAUGAACUAAUUCGAUCGUCAAUUUAAAAUAUAUAUUUUCUAACAAAAACCCAAUCUGAACAACAAUAAUAUAUUUUUCUAACAAAAAUCCGAUCCGAUCUAAAAUAAUAAAUUUAAAGCUACUUAAUAAAUAUAUAUACUGUUUAAUUUCUUAAGUGUUAUGCAUACAAAAUAAAAAACAAAAAUAAAUUAGUAUAGGCGACAAAAUGUUUGGAUUACGUCAUGCAAAGAUUUUAAAAUAUAUAUAUAUAUUAUUUUUAUAAGGACUUUGCGCGACGAAGUUCAUUGUUUCGUCGCGCAAAGUCACUUUGAGCGACGAUGUAUUGUUGUCGCGCAAAAGUUUGUCGCGCAAAGUUACUUUGCGCGACGAAUUUUUUUUCAUCGCUCAAAAUUUGGUCGCGCAAGACUUUGAGUGACGAUGUAUUGUCGUCGCGCAAAAGUUUGUCGCGCGAAGUGACUUUGCGCUACGAAUUGUUUUUCGUCACGCAAAAUUUGGUCGCGCAAGACUUUGAGCGACGAAGUUUUGAGUUUCGUCGCGCAAAGUGACUUUGAGCGACGAAUAGUUUUUCGUCGCGCAAAAUUUGGUCGCGCAAGGGGUUUUUUUUUACUAGUAUGAGUUUUAUAUACAAUUUAUAACAAUAUUUUCAGGCAAAAAAAUGUCUUGGCAAGAAAAUGUACAAUUUGUUACGUACUUAACUGGAACGAUUACCUUCAAAUUCCUAUGGCCAAUUACCUUCUUUUUUCUUCCUUUUUUUUUUUUUUUUUUUUUUGGUUGUUGUUGUUCUUUUGAUCAAGUUGCAUAUUCCAAAGAACGAAAACCAGUACAGGCUCUUUUCCAAUGCAAGCUCUUUUCCCAUGUUUCCCUCUGUUUUUCUCCUAUUUUUCUUAUAUGGAAGUGAUUAAAAUACACCUCUAAGCUUGUUUUGCGUUUGGUAACCGACUGUAAAAGCUCAAUGCAGAUAGUUUGAGGUAGAAUUUUCUCCAAUUUUACUAGCACAGUGAUAAGCUAUACUAUAUGUAACAACAAAUUGCUUUAAUAAUGAUAAUGAAAAAAGUGUGAUCCAUCGAAUAUUUGCGGGGUUUUGUUCCAAGUCAACACAUCAAAUUCUUUUACACCAUGAAAUUAAAAAAAAUUUAUUCAACCAUCUCGACCUUAUGCUCGAUCAUUUUGCACAAGCAACCGUCCACGUACCCCAAUAAUUUAAAAGGGCUGAUGAUCUUUAAUUUGGCGAAAGCUUCUAUCUACUUCUACCGCGCUAUAUAUGAGCUAUGCAAUUGUGACGGUGUUACAUGACGUCACAAUGUCGUAGGGAUAAAAAAAUAAUAGUCAUGGUUUCUUAUUAAUGUUAAUACAGGCAUAGCAAAAAGCUUGUAUUUCUAGUGGUUAAGAACAAUUACCCAUGCACUUGAGAUAUUAUGUGCUUAAAUCCCCUCUUCCCCAAUAUUUCUUGUAUAAAAAUAAAAAUAAAAAUAAAAAUAAUAAAGAUAUUGAUAUUGUAUUCUAUAAAGUGUUGGACAUGUUUUAUACCCCUUUACUGCAAAUUACAGUUUGACACAUGUACAAAAAUAAUAGGUAAGUGUUGGACAUCAAGAGUACUUACAUAUAGGUUUAAUAGGUAAGUUUUGAAUAUUUCUGUCUUUAGCUUUAAUUAUUGAAAAUCAACCUAUUAUCAUAUUAAAGACUUAUCCAUGUUCAACGUACAUUCUCUUAUUUUUCUCUCAUUGAAGUAAAUACAAAACUAAGCACAUAGUGGAAAAGUAGGUCACGAUUAGGGGUGGGUUUGGUCUGGGUUGGUUCAGUUUUGGGCUCAACCCGAACACCGAACCGUAGACCUCGAUUUGGCUAUUUUGGAAACCAAAACUAAACCAUAAUUAAUGAAAACCGACCACUUCAAUUACCUUCUGGUCUUCCAACCAGAAGAAAACUCAAAACUUUAACCAUACCAAGUGCAACAGAAUUACACCAGGCUGGAGUCAAGUUUAUGAUGGUUAAAGAUAAAAACUUAUUUGACAUACAAUUUGAGAAUGGAAUCCUCAAAAUUCCACACCUGCGAAUACAGGGUUAAACAGAAAUUUUCUUCCGCAAUUUUAUUGCCUAUGAGCAGUGUGAGCUCCAUGAUCAUUACAUCAACAACUAUGUCUUCGUCAUGGACCGCCUGGUCGACAGUGCCAGGGAUGUGGAAUUGCUUGUGAAGAGUGGAAUUCUUGAAUCCAUGCUACCGGACAGCGAGGCAGCAGGGGAAUUUAUUAAUUCUCUUGACUUGGGGCCUAUUUUAGGCAAGCUUGAAACAAGACUAUUUCAGUUCACCAUGGGCUGGCCUGUCUAUUAUUGUAGCCGCUAUACUAGUUGUGCUCACAUUUAUUCAAACAGUGUGCUCCGUAAUGGCGCUGUAGGUUCUUCAUUUCCUCAAUUUCAUGUUUAGUGGUUGCAGAUUUGUUGCUCAUGUACGUGUUUAUCUAAAGUUAAAUAAGAGUGAUUGACUGAUAGUCUGUUAGUUUGUUUUUCUGGGGUUUUUCCCCUGUUCGUCAAAAAAGAAAAAGAGAAAGAGUGAUUGCUUGUGCCUGUUUGGGCCUAAUUUGACACACCCAAUCCAAAAUCAAAAAGUCCAUGUCAAUUUUGGACAGCCACCAGCAUUCCCUUUGUAAUUAGGCCAAAAACUGCACACCCAACCUAGCACUGGAGCCUAGAACAAACAAGGUAAACUCAGGACCCAAGCAGUUUGAUUUUUUCAUUUAAAUUGGAAUCAAGGGCCCCAAGUCAAAAAAGCCCAAGCCCAAGGCAGAUUUUUUACCAAAAAGACCCAAGGAAGCCCAGUGCAUGCGAAUUGCUUAGCCCACAAUCCCAAAACUCAAAACUAAGUUUGGCAUGAUUAAAUAAAGAUAGAGAGAAGCCCAAAAUUGAAGAAACCCAAAACAGUUUUAUCAAAAUUGUCAGCUCUCUACCCAAGACCUAAAAAGGGUCAAAAAUACCACUAUUGGCAAAAUUGACGCACUCAGCCUUGGAUCACAAAGAAAUCCACGUGACUAUUUGACUUUGAGAAGUCAACAAUUUCAACUAGUCACAAGAGAAGUUGAUUGGAAUUAAUGUAGGCAGGUCAUUACAGAAAAGACUUCUUUGAAACUCUGUAGCCAAAAGAUCAAAAUCCCUUUCUAUAUAAUUCUGCAUCAGAGUAGGUGGUCUUUCCAAGAGAUAAGCAGACUACGUUUUCAAGAGAUAAGUAGAGAAUGAGGGAGUUGUUCAACAAGAAAAGCAAACUAACCAUCAUGAUAGGUUGUGUUCUUUCUCUCUACAAAAAACAAUAGGGAACAAAGAAGAGUUGGUUUUUCUUUCAGAAAAAGGAAGGAAAAGACCUACAUGAAAACUAAUUAUUGAUGGUUCUUCUCUGCCAGAACAGAUAACUUCUCAUUUUCUUUGACAUUUAAAAAUGAAAGGUCUCGCUUUUACAAAAUCUGCCGCCCAUUAUUUAAAGAUUAGAAAACCCACUCCAGCAUUUCCUAUAAAUAUGAGAGGAGGUGAUGUCACAUCACGGGAUUGGCUCUGCCGUAGCACGAUAUUGUCCACUUUGCGCCCCCCUCUCUACCCUCACGGUUUUAUUUUUGGGAACUCACGAGCAACUUCCCAGUGGGUCACUCAUCUUGGGAUUGCUCUAGCCCCCAGCUCGCUUAACUUCGGAGUUCCCAUGACUCCGAAGCCAAUGAGCUCCCAAAAGGCCUCGUGUUAGAUGGAGGCGGGCAUGUACAUAUAAGGCACAUCACCUCCUCUCCGUUGGUCGAUGUGGGAUGUUACAGGUGAACAUAUCAAAGGACAGCCAAAAAAUCAAUCAAAGACAAAAACUCAAAAUGAUCACUUGAUCUCAAAAGCCUUCAAAACACUGAAGCAAGCAAAGCUCAUUGAGCCACAACGAACAAGUCAGCUAGAAUUCAGAAUCUUUAGAGUCAGUUCAGUUUCAGAGAAAUAAUCAAAGAAAGCGAGAUCUCUCUCGUUACAAAUUUGGUUCAGCUUAAAGCCAAAACAAGCAGAGUUCAGGUUCUUACAAAUAUGAAAACCUCAAUAAAUUUAUGGAGAGCCCUGAUCAAGCAAAACAGGUACUACAGUGCAGUUCUAGCUUAGUAAUAAUCAAAUCCACCCACUUCUGCCCCUUCCAGAUUGAGAAGGUCCCAAUUCUGCCCAUUCAAAAAGCCUUCCAAGACUUGAAAUAGAUUAAAGCUCUGCCAAACUCAAAUGUUGGAAUCAAUUCGCAGCUGAAACAUGACAGUUGAAGGUGUUGAUAGUCCAGUCCAGCACAGACAUACCCAGUCUAGCCCAGAUCAGAAGCAUUCACCGAGGCAGAAAUUGAAGUCCAAAGCUCUUUUUGUCUUUUUAGAGUUGGUCUUCCUUUUCUGAGCUUUGUAAAAGGCAAUUCUGCCUAAAACAGUUCACUUUCUUAUCAUUUAUUCUGGCCAGAACUACCAGUUUUGUACUGUGAAAAAUUAUGAAGUCCUCACCAGUCUAAGGCAAGAAAAGAACUUACUUGGGAGAUAUUCCUCACCAAAUUCACAACCGUUUGUUUAGAAAUCAGUAACUUGGUGUAACGACCCGGUCCUAAAUAAAUUGGUAAUUAUUAAUUUAUUCAGAUAAAAGACCAUUUUGCCCAUAGAAUAUUUUAAUAGGUUUACAUGUUGACCCGGGAGGCUUCGGUGAAAUUGUUACAUCUCGGUCCGAAAAAGUGUUAAAAUAAUUAAAGUAGAGUGCUGCUAAAAGAACCCUAAAAUUAACUGAGUACACCCUAUGAUCUAAGUACACCCUAAUAUUUUAAUUAAAAUAUAAAAUUAACUAAGUACACCCUAUAAAACUAUCAAAAAUAACACUGAUACACCCUAAUACUUGUAGCAUUAUUUUAUAGUUGAUUAUUUUAAUAGUGUUUAUAAAUCUUUGACUUUUCAUAUGGAUUUAUGCUUCUACUAAAAUUGUUGCCACUUUUUUUCCAAUUCCAAGUUCUUGCAAUCACCACAUCUUUCGUUAAAAACACAAUAGGACAAGCAAUCUCUUGAUUAGGGUUGAAUAUGGUUAGUAGGGUGUACUUAUUAAUAUUAUAUUUGUUUCACAAUUCCAUAUAUCCUUUUUGGUCAUUUUAUAUUAGGGUAAACCAGUAAUUCAAUAUAUACUUUUAUAGUAGGGUGUACUCAGUUAAUUUUAGGGUUCGUUUAGCAGCACUCUUAAAGUAAGAGAGAAUAAAAUGAAAUAAACAUUAAAAUAAAAUGAUUUGAAUUAAUUAAGGUUUUUGAGAAAUUAAAAUAUUAUUUAAUAUUAUAAGGGGAAAAAGAUCAUUUUAAGUUUGGGAAGGAAUUUGGAAAUUCCAAUUGUACCGUUGUGUAGAGCAUGUCGAAACGAGUCCGUAGACACGUAGUGGACUCGAAUCGUAGUUAUAACGGAGAAAUGGCGAUCAAAAGAAGUUCAGUGGCAUAGCCAUAAAUAUUUCGAAGUUCAGUUUUUUUAAAACCCAAAUUUCUUCUCUCUGGGGAGUGGGAGAGCCAACUUCAAAUGGUGAUUUCUCCCAACUCCGACCACCACACUUCCCUCUUCCUUCAGUUUUGGCAUCAUGAUGGGUUCCAUCCCGGAAUGACACAUUUUCGACGCUAAGGACGUCACAAAUGGUAUUUGAGAUGCUUUGUAAAUUUGUAACCAUGGAAAACACAAUGAACUUUAUGUUCGGAGUUGCAAGAGAACAUUAAGGGGAAUAUGGAGAGUGGGAAAAUAGUAAUAAGUGGAGAUCUGUAUGCUUACUUACUACUGAACUUCCGUCGUGGUGGUUAGUAUGAAAAAGUGUUAGAGAUUAUAGAUUUUAUGGAGGAACAUGGUUGUACACUGAUAAGUAGUCGGUAGGAGUUGAUUUAAGUUCCAAGAGAAAUUCAUUAUGAACUGGGAUGAAUUACUGCAAGAUUCUUGCUGUUUUGAAGUUAUUGAUUUUAGGGGCAUCACCUCUGAAUGAUCAUAAUAACCAUGCGUGGGCUCUGCAUGAGGUUUCUUUGACAUUGUUUGAUUUUGUGUAUUGAUAAUUACACUUAGGGGUGUCACGUUUCUAGAAACGUGUCUAUCCAAAUUGUUGUAUCUCAAUAUCCUAUGGAAGGAAAGCUGAGAAGCUGAAAAUACUGGAUUUAUGGUGGUGAGAUAAAAAUUGUCAGGAACUUUCAAAAGUCAAAUUAUUUCACAAAGGGAAAUACUGGAGAGAAGUAUUAGAGAAUUUUCUUUGGAUAAGUUAUAUAGGAGUGGAGGAGUUGCGAGUUUAACCAAGGAGGGUUGUGACAAUUUAAAUUGAGAAGUAGUGGUGUUGGGUGAAGUAUUAUUUCAUUCGCGUGGGCUUGAAUGCCGCGAUUGACAGGAAUGGAACAUUAGGGUUCUUCUUCCUUGCUCUCUCACGCGAGCUCGCCAUAGAGAGUAUUUCUUGGCGUGGUACUGGCUUCGUCCGACCUCCGAUUACUGUGAUUUUUGAAAGGACCCGGCCCAAAUUUCUCAAAAUCCGAGGCGAAUCCUGUGAAAUUCCCGACAUCACUCCGAUGCCAGGCCCACUUACUAAAGACCGAGACUUUCUGCCGAACUUUCGGCAGAGUCUCCCCUAUAAAUUGGACAUUUUCCAAAACUACCACCUGCAUAAAACACAAUUUAUAUCCCCAACUGGCAGCAUGCACAAGAUAAUUUCAUGCAAAUCACAUAAUCGGCCUGCGGCCUUCAAAUAAUUCAAAACGAAACCACCAAGCACACUAUCAAAUUAAUUCCUACCUUAAACAAGGCAAACAAUAAAUUUAAAUAUGAAUUAUGACUACUAAAUUUCAACAUACGAGGUUUUAACCUCCUAACACAAUCACAUCUAUGUCCGCGGCUGCACCUAAUAACCUUAGGCUGCCUACGUACCUUCACUGAGGGAUCAAGCCACACGUAGUUCUUCCGUAAAACCCAAUUCCACACAUAGGCAAUACCUUUAUUCAUUUCUCUGUAUUUCACAUAAUCUCCCCAUACGCCAGUACUACCAUUGCCACGUAUGGGACUUGUCAACAAGCCGGAUAACCUACACCACGUGCGAUCUCAACAUAAUAUCACAUAAUCUCCUCAUACGCCGGUACAACCAGCGCCACGUAUGGGGCCUGUCAACACGCCGGAUAACCUACGCCACGUGCGACCUCAUCAUACUAUCACAUGAUCUCCCCAUACGCAGGUACAACCAACACCACGUAUGGGGCCUGUCUCAACGCCGGAUAACCUACGCCACGUGAGACCUGAACAUAAUAUCACAUAUCUCCUCAUACGCCGGUACAACCAAUGCCACGUAUGGGGCCUGUCAACACGCCGGAUAACCUACGCCACAUGCGACCUCAAUAUACUAUCACAAUAUCUCCCCAUACGCCGGUGCAACCAACGCCACAUAUAGGGUCUGUCUCAAAUUGGAUAACCUACGCCACGCUAGACCUCAACAUCAUAUCACAAUAUCUCCUCAUACGCCGGUACAACCAACGUCACGUAUGGGGUCUGUCCGCAUGCCGGAUAACCUACGCCAUGUGGGACCUAACUUUCACAGAGUGGUACUUGUAGUGUAACCAAAAUCUGGGGAGGUGCCUAAGGUAGUGCAUAUAGCACUUCAAACUGACAUUCUCUCACUUAUCUAAACUAAUACUAGAGGUCUUCCCAUUUUAAUGGUACCAGUCUAUAGUAGAUUGUAACGUAAUUUAAUCAUAAAAAUAAUAUUAUUUCUAGACCAACGAUUAUUCACAUAAACAUGAAUUUCAUAAUUUCACUAUUUAAAAUAAUAUCUAAAAGUUUCCUAUAAUACAAAUAAACACUCUAAAGAUCCCAACUUAGUCAACACAGCUCAACAAUGCUCAAGACCUGUCAUUAGGGUCAUUAUGAUCCUUCUAGGAAGGUAAAACUACCUCGAAAGACUCAAGGUCAACCAAGGGUCAAACCACCCACAAUUGGUCAAACGGGCCCACGGGGCCCACGACCUCCAAAUUCCAAUCCGAAGGUUCCUAUGGGAUCUACAAGGUAUAGGACACUCGUCUUGCAAGUUAAGCCUAGAUCGGAUGGUCAGAUCGCUCACGAUCGCACAAUCUGAUGGUUAAUAUAAAACAUAAACUUUAAAUUAUUUAAUCGGAACAUCCGGGGCUCCCGAUUCACGAUCUGUUCCUACACGAUCCUAGAAAUACAUAGAUUAACAUAUAUUAAAUUUGAGACCAUCCAACGGUCCUAACCUAUCGAACCCGGAUAACGCGCAAUAGGCGAUAUUCGUUCGAUAGUCAAACGACGUCCGAAUUGAGAUUUACGAAAUCCUACGCACUCGUGACAACCUAAGGAUCUCAUUGAGACAUAUUGCUAUCCCAAAACCGACCGAAAUCCAAUUCGAAAAUCGAGUUACUUACGUUAAGAAUCGACCGAAUCCUACCCAACAGGCAGCUAGAGCAUGAAAAGUAUGUGAGAAACCAUACCUCACUCGUCGAAAUCAGUGGCCAAAGGAGGGAGAUCGACGAUAGAGAAGUUCGGACGAACUGACCGCUUCUUCUCCAUUUUUCAGCGAAACCACGGUAGCUGGUGGCGGGACCUAGCUGGGGUUGGAAGAGGAUGACGCCCCGGUCAUUUUGGUAUCGGCCUCGUGGUCAUCGGUGGCCGGAUGAGAAAACAGCCGGCGAAAAUGUGACCGGCUGCCGUUGCGCACGCGAGAGAGACCACGAGAGAGAGAGAGAGAGAGAGAGAGAGAGAAAUCUGAUUGUGCCACUGAGAUUCUUUUGACCAUAUCUCUCUCGUUACAACUCCGAUUCAAGCCCACCACGUGUCUACGGACUCAUCUCGGUACGACCUAUCCAAAAAUACCAAUCACUACCCCAAAUACUUUUUGGAUCAGAAAGUGACCAAAUUACCCCUACCUCAAUGGUAACUUUGUAAUUUCACUUAAAUAAUUUAAAUAAGGGAUUAAAUUUGGAGUCGGGGUGUUACAAUUUUUGUUGCUAAAUGUUGUCAUCAUUUCUCCUCUACAUCACUCAGUGAUCAUUCACUCCCAUUUCUCUAGUUUACACGGUGAAUUUUAUUUCUAAAAUUUCUUAAAAUUCCGGCCACUGUGAGUUUGACCAGCGACUUGGGUUACUUUUGCCCAUCUUUUUGGAAAUGGAACCGAUUUGAGGAAGAUUAGGAGGAAAGAUACAUAGGCCGCUGAGGCAGAAGUAAAGCCGGAGCUUUACCAUAGACAGAAGUUGUUUUAGAAGUCCUGGAAGAUUGUGAACAGGAAUUGGAAGUUUGCAUGGGGUGAUAGGAUUUUUAGUACUUGUGCAAACAGUGUUAAAAAUCACAUAAAAUACUUGCAAGAAUACAAGGCUAUUGUAGUCUAGAUGCUCAUGCAAGGUCGUUUUCCUCAAGGACUAAUUAGCAAUUUAUGUAAAAAUAAAUUCCAAUUACUACUUAAAAUAAAAAGUCAAGAAAGAUGAUUAUAAAUUUGGUUGAUUCUAAAAAACAAAUAUUAAACAAAAACAAAUACGAUUGAAAGAAAGAGUUUUGAAUAUCAAUUUAUAAAAACACUAGGGUUUCACCAUCACCUAGCAAUCCUAUGAACUUUUACCAAUUACUUAUGAUUUGCACAUGCCACUUUGAAGGUUAGGUUUUCCUAAUGUAUAUUCUACUUAGAACCUCCAACACAGAAUGUAUAUCCAACAUGCAACCCGUCCGGACGUUCGGAUCAAAUCUGAACAUGAAAGACUCAUUAAGUUUUGUGAAAACCCUUUGAAAAACCAUGCAACCCUUAAGACGUGGUGUUCAUCUUAAGUGAAAUUACAAUUAUUAAUCAGAAGAAGCUAGCAUCAAUUUCAGGGAACCUUCCGACCAAAAUUGCAUCCAAUUACUUUUCUAAAGAUCCUAAUGGUGAUCAGGCAUUAAGACAAUUAGAUAGUUUAAAACAGUGAUUAACAAUUCAAAAUACGCAUGCACUCAUCAUAAGCAAUUAAAUAAAAAUCACAUAUUCAUGCUAAGGUUCAAGGCUUCACCCUAGCAAAAGAAAUUUAGUUACGCAUACUCAUAAUUGAAAUCCAAGAAAAUAUCAUUAAGAAGAAAAGAACGAAAACACCUGAAAGUUGUGAAAACCCAAAACCCUAGCAAUUGCUCUCCACAAUGCAAAGUUCAAAAGUGAAAAGGGAGUCCUCCAUUCCUUGUGAGAAAGAGCUUAAAUACCCCUUAAAACCUAGCUGCCAAUGUACAGCUUUUCUAUCCCCACAAGGAAACUAAUUAAAAUAAAAUAAUACUAGGAAAUAAAGUCCAAAUUGGAAUAGGAGAAUCUGCUCAAAAUCUGCCCAGCCACGUUUUGGCCCCAAAUCUCCUCCAAAUCUGGCCCAAGAUAGCUUGUUUUAAAGAUAAAAAAUGUUCUGAACACUUCUUUAGAAGGCCACGAACCCAUCCGAGGUCAUCUUGGGCUCCAAAAACGCAAUAAAAGCCCAACACGUCACUAUUCCAGCACCGCGCACUGCUCCUUUAUUUUGUUGCCAGAAAAUAACCGCUUGGAAGAAAAAUCUGAAAUUUUGAUACGAUCAAGCUAAGUGACUCAAGAACGUCCUCCAACUGGAAUUACUCCAAAAUUCCUCAAUUUGAUUAUGUUUUGCUCCAGAGAGAUUCGAAAGUCCUAUAUUGGAAAUAUAAUUCAAAGUAUCAAAAGUCUUCCAAAAUAAUAACCAAAAUAUACUAAGAAUGAGGUUAAAUAUAUAAUAUAAAAUAUGUCCAUCAAAAUACCCCCAAACUUAGCUUUUGCUUGUCCUCAAGUGAAACAAGACUCAAACAAAAAUAAAAACUUAACAGAUUAGACAUCUGGCUAACACUUAACUAGGACAAAAUUUCCACCUUCAAGUUGCAAUCCAUAGAAAAUUUUAAAAACUAGAACAUCCUUUCAAUAGAUCUAAGUAAUCCCACCACAAAGUCUAAGCUAUUUAGACUCAAUUAGAAAAGAAUUCACAAACUUCUUUCGGUGCAAAGUGAACCAUUAUGGUUAUGGAGACUUGACUAAAACCCUUAACUCUCAUCCCUUUUAUUCAUACUUCACACACUCCACACUUUUUGUUUUUUUUGUUUUUUGUUUUUUGUUUUUUUGUUUUUUUUUCUUUUUGUUUUUAUAGUAACAGUAGUGGUUGUGCAAUGUUGGUUCCCUUAAGCUUUCAAUCCAACCGUGUAGCCAGCUUUAGGUCAAUGUCUCCCAAACCACUCGGGUUUUAGGGCACUAGGUGUAGAACACCCCUAAGGACUUAUUAACUCAAGCUGAAAAGGCUACGAAACCAACUAACCACCCUGCCUCAUGCCAAAACUCUACCUUUUGUCUCGAGAAUCACUGCUGAUUAGGCAGGAUUGACCCGGUUACUAGCAAAGCUUCGGGUGAGGUAAUUAUUACUUUAUAACACAAACUAACUUUAUUUAUAUUGAACAUAAAUUAAAACACAUUUGGACAAAAAGUAAGUAUUCCAAUCUCACUCCCCAAAAACCAUGUUGGUGUGAUGUGCAAAUUUCAAAGUAUAAUUCAUGAAUUAAUGUCUAAGCAACAAUAAAUAGAAAAUACUCUACCGUGGGAUUGAUUUUCACCAUGUCCAUUUGUUCUAACGUUUAAAAUAAUCUAUGGAUAUUGACUGAAAAACGAAAAUUUGUAAACAAGACUCAAAAAAUGAAAAAUAAAAAAAAUUACGUUCCCACCCCCUAACUUAAAUCACACAUUGUCCUCAAGGUGGGGUAAAUAAUCAAAAGAAACAAGAGCAGAAACAAAACGACUAAAACUUAGAAAAUGGAAAUCAAAAAUAAAGAAAAUACUCUAAGAAAAGAAAUUAGGAAGGCAAAGGAUGAGAUCCAGAUGGAUCUGGUAAUCCUAUCCGUAGAGAUGGAAAGAUUCUAUACACGCCAUUGAGACUGGAUUUGGAGAUGAGGAUUUGACCCUACCUUGUUCGACGAAUUCCCUCAAGGGGAAUUAUAGCAAUAAAAUACAUAUGCUUCUACAAACAUUUAAUUGCACUGCUACGACGUGGAAAGAGUGCUUUGGGGUCUCAUCUCAUGUGAACCCGUUCGAGUAGAAAUCUUUCAUUAGAAUCAGAAAUGGGUCAUGGUAAAGAGAGGUAGAUGAUGAUUACAGUUCGGUAAAAAUGAUCAUUUCUGACAUUCCUCUCAAAGAACCGUGUUGGCAAUGUCGUUUAUCGAUUCUAAAGAAAGAAGAAAAAUAUCAACAAGUCAAAGAACGUGGAUUUCUUUUAAGGGGAGAGCUAGAACAAAAUCAAAUCACGAAUGGAAGAGUUUAGCUUUCAGAGGAAGAUUGAGCAUUACAGCAGCUAUUAAAGGAUAUUUUUAGUUGAAGAAUGAGAUUUUUCUUCCUCUGAUUGUUUAGCUAGAGCUUUUGGCUUGACUGCCAACGUGGUUGUGGAGGAAGAAACUUGGGAACCCGAGUAGUAGAUGCGAGCCCACUACCCAUACCCCUUUUGAGUGACAGGUAUGAAAUUUCAAGGAUGAAAUUUUUAUAAGAGGGGUAGAUUGUAACGACCCGGUCCUAAAUAAAUUGGUAAUUAUUAAUUUAUUCAUAUAAAAGACCAUUUUGCCCCCAUAAUAUUUUAAUAGGUUUACAUGUUGACUUGUUGACCGGGGAGGCUUUGGUGAAAUUGUUACAUCCCGGUCUGAAAAAGUGUUAAAAUAAUUAAAGUAAGAGAGAAUAAAUUGAAAUAAACAUUAAAAUAAAAUGAUUUGAAUUAAUUAAGGUGUUUGAGAAAUUAAAAUAUUAUUUAAAAUUAUAAGGGGCAAAAAGAUCAUUUUAAGUUUGGGAAGGAAUUUGAAAAUUUUGAUUGUACCGUUGUGUGGAGCACGUCGAAACGAGUCCGUAGACACAUAGUGGACUCGAAUCGGAGUUGUAACGAAAAAAUGGCGAUCAAAAGAAUUUCAGUGGCAUAACCGUAAAUAUUUUGAAGUUCAGUUUUUUUAAAACCCACAUUUAUUCUCUCUGGGGAGUGGGACGUGCCAACUUCAAAUGGUGAUUUCUCCCAACUCCGGCCACCAAUUCAAGUAAGACCGGCCCCGUUAGAACCACCACACUUCCCUCUUCCAGUCCCAGCCCAUCUCAGUCUCGAUCCGCCGUCGUAGUCGCCGAAAAUCGCCACGAAACAAGGUGGUUUGGAUAGUUUUUGUCGAAAUUUCGUGGAGCUCGUUCUCCCUCCUCCGGCCACCGUUUCAGGCGAGUGAGGUAUCAUUUCUCACCUAUUUUCUAUGAUAUAGCUGAUGGUUGGAUAUGAUUUGAUAAAUUUUGAGCGUUGAUAGUUCGAUUUUCGAAUCAAAGUUUGGCCGAAUUUCGGGAUGAAAUUCCGGCCACUUUCGAUCACUUUUUGGGGUAGGCCCAAGAACAAAAGUGUCUUCAAUUGAUGUCCUGAUCCCAGGGUAAGAGCAUUGGUCGAAAAUUUUGAGAUUUUCCUGCUGGUGGUAUCGCUUUGGGCACCCAUGCGCUGAUGGCGCGUGUGGCAGCGUGUGGGCACUGUAGCAGAGGGCCAUUGUGUCCCAAUGCGACCCCCUUGUUGUCACGAGUGCGUAAGGGUGCUCGGAUUCCAAUUUGGUUGAGGUUUGAACCCCGAAUGGAUUUCGUAUAUUGUACAUUAUCCGGGUUUGAUAGGUUUGAACCGUUGGAUAGUCUUGAAUUUAAUAUAUGUUAGUCUAGACAUCCCUAGGAUCAUAUAGGAUUUCGCGGAUCAUGGAUCGGAGCCCCGGAUGUUCUGAUUUAAUAAAUUAAAGUUUGUGUUUUACAAUAACCGUCCGAUCGUGCGAUCGCGAGCAAUCCGACAGUCCGAUCCGAACCAAACUUGCAGGACGGGUAUCCUAAAUCUUGUAGAACCCAUAGGAGCUUUCGGAUAAGAAUUUGGAGGUCGUGGGCCCGGUUGACCAAGAUUAGGUAGUUUGACCCCUCGGUUGACCAUGAGUCUUCCGAGGUAGUUUCACCCUUCGAGGAGUACUAGAAUGACCUUAUUACAUAGUCUCGACCUUUAAUUGAGCUAUGUUGACUAUGUUGAGAUUUUUAGAGUGUUUAUUAUUAUCGUAUGAAAACUCUUGGAUAUUACUUUUAAUAAUUGAAAUUAUGGAUUUGAUGAGCGUGGGUAAAUUGAUUUGAUGAGUGGUGAAAAGAAGUCGUGGGCUUGGCUAUGACUAUUAGGAAGUGAGGGGACAUUUAUGUUGAAUAUGCAUUAAUUUCAACAAUUGAAAGAACAUGCAUGGAAUGGGUAUAUAUAUAUAUAUAGAUAAAUUGGAUUAAAGAUUGAGAAAUUAAUAAGUUGAGAUAUUAGUAAUAUUUAAUUGAGAAAUGGAUUUUGAGGUGGAAAUUGGAAGGUUGAAUUUGGGGAAUUUUGGAAUUGAGAAUUAUGGGUUAAUACUGAAAGAUGUAGGAUUAUACUAUGUAAGUACCAUCCCCUAGUUACUAGGCUUCCCAUACGUGGAGUUGGAAUUUCUGGCGUGUGGGAAGGAUAUAUGAUUAUUAGAUCUCACAUGCCGUUGGAUUUUCCAGCGUGAGACAGACCCCAUACGUGGGGUUGGAUUUUUCGGCGUAUGGGGAGAUUAUGUGAUGGUUAGGUCACACGUAGGGUGGGAUUUUCCAACGUGUUGACAGACCCCAUAAGUGGCGUUGGAUUUUCCGGUGUAUAGGGAGAUUAUGUGAUGGUUAGGUCACACGUGGCAUAGGAUUUUCCAGCGUGUUGACAGACCCCGUACGUGGCGUUGGAUUUUCAGCGUAUGAGGAGAUUAUGUGAUGGUUAGGUCCCAUGUGGCGUAGGAUUUUCCGGCGUGUUGACAGACUCCAUACGUGACGUUGGAUUUUCCGACGUAUGGGGAGAUUAUCUGAUGGUUAGGUCACACGUGGAGUAGGAUUUUUCAGCGUGUUGACAGACCCCAUACGUGACGUUGGAUUUUCCGGCGUAUGGAGAGAUUAUGUGAUGGUUAGGUCACACGUGGCGUAGAAUUUUCUGGCGUGUUGACAGACCCCAUAUGUGGCGUUGGAUUUUCCGGCAUAUGGGGAGAUAAUGAGAUGGUUAGGUCACACGUGGCAUAGGAUUUUCUGGCUUGUUGACAGACCCCAUAUGUGGCGUUGGAUUUUCGCGCGUAUGGGAAGGAUAUGUGAUUAUUAGGUCUCACAGGUGGCGUUGGAAUUUCCGGCGUAUGAGACACUAACAGUGAGAAGAGAAUGAGAUUAUUUUUCUAUAUCAGAGAAAGGUUAGAGUAUAAAAAGAAAUAUGUUUGGUGUGUGGUAAUUUAAAUUAAAACAGGGAAAGAUAACUUACCUGUACUACUGAAACAGUUGUGUAACAUUUGGAGCAUGAUUAUGGAGUGAAAGAACUACGUGUGGCUUGAUCUCUCAGUAAGGGUACGUAGGCAACCUAGGUGCAGUCGUAGACUAAACGUUAUUUAUGUUGUUUUAUUGAGAUUGGUUCUGACCCUGUCGUUGGUCCUGAAAUUCGGUUGAAAACUAGAUGCGAGUAAAUAAUUGUUCAUACUCCCGUUUCGUUGAGGGAGGAUUGUGUAAAUGUGUUCUGGUCAAGACAGGUAUAAGAACUCGUUUAGGAUUGAUGUACGAUUUGGGCUAAGGCCUUAAACUACUUGUUGUUGUAUUAGGAGAUUAAAACCUCGCAUGUGGGAUAAUUGGGAAAGUUAGAUGAUGUAAAGUGCACUUAGGCAUUCAUAUAUAUGUUUAAAUUUAUUAUUUGUCUUGCUUAACGUAAUUGUUUGACUUAUGGGCUUUAUUGGUGAUUUGCUUCAGAUUAUUUAAAGGCCGAAGGCCGUUUAUGUGAAUUGCAUUUUGAUACAUUGUGCAUGCUACUAGUUGUGGAUAUUAAAUGUGUUUUAUGCAGGUUGAAAUUUUUGGGAUUGUUCAAAUUACAGGGGAGACUGCCAAAAUUUUGAUAGAAAGUCUCGGUCAUUAGUAAGUGGGCCCGGCAUCGAGGUGAUGUCGGAAUUUACACAAGAUUCCUCUCGGGUUUUCAGGAAUUCGGGGCGGAUCCUGUUACUUGGGGUGCAAAUUAUCCAUUUGUUCACCCGUUUUCGUGUUUUACUUCUGAGGUGGAAGGGCGAAGUUUCCCACUGGCUUGGAGACCACUUGUUGGUCGACAAGUCAGCUUUCUUUGGUGUGUGUGAGCGUGCCACUGCUAGCAAUGUAAAUUCUAGCAGACUUAUUUUUUAGAGUGGAUAACUUGCGCCUCAAGUUACUGACUUCUAAAACAAAUGAUUGUGAAUUUGGGUGAGGAAUAUCUCCCAAGUAAGUUCUUUUCUUGCCUCAAACUGGUGAGGACUUUCACAAUUUAUCUCAGUAUCAAAUGGUUGUUCUGGCCAGAAUAGAUAAUAAUAAAGUAGACUGUUUCAGGCAGAACUGCCUUUUACAAAAUUAAGAAGGGAGAAAUCAACUCUAGAAAGGAAAAAAGAUGGCUGGAAUCCCAUUUCUGCCUGGGUAGAAACUUCUGAUCCGGGCUGGACUGGGUAUGUCUAUGCUGGACGGUGCUGUCAACAACUUUAGCUUGCUCGGCUUUAGUUGUAAAUCGAUACCAAAGUUCAAUUUUGGCAGAGCUUCAAUCUACUUCAAGCCUUGGGAGACUUUUGAGUGGGCAGAACUGCAGCUUCUUCAGUUUGAAGGGACAGAAGUGGCUAUUCUCGAGGAUUUAGCAAGCUGGAACUAUGCUAUAAAAUUUGUUGAGGUUUUCAUAUUUGUGAAAACUCAAACUAUGUUUGUCUUGGCUUUUGCUGAACCAAAUUUGUAACGAGAGGGAUCUUGUUUUCAGAAGACUUAUUUUCUAAGUCUGAACUUUGGAAUUCUGAUCUAAAGCUGUUUUCUUGUUUGUUUUUUUUUGAUUGACUGAUGAAUUGAGUGUCCUUUGUUUCUUUGCCUUCUUUCGCUUUUAUAAGAGAUCCUCCUAAGGAGGUCAUUUUUAAUCCUAAACAAUGGGCGGCAAAAAGAUCUCUUAUAAUGUAAAGUAAGAAGGGUUUCUUAUCAAUCAAGGCAGAUAGGUUCUGAGCAGUCACCUCCUAAAAACAGUCCAUUCCCUGGUUUCCUGGGUGGCAGCUUUCUAAUUCAACCAACGCCACCGUCUGUGUGGGCUUUUUAUGGCAGUUUUGGCUCUUUUCUUUUGUAUUUUCUGAGUGGUUCCCUGUUUCCCGUUCUAAUUUAGAAAGCGUGAUUCGUGAAUUCCUUGGGAGAUGGUGUAUUGAUUUGGAGCAAAAUCUUGAACACAGAUGGGUUUUUGAUCUUCAAUUGGCAGUGUUUCAGAGACGUCCCUCUCACAUUUUUAAACUUUAGUUGGAAUUGCUGACUUUUCCAAAGUUGAGGCAAUCACGUGGGUGUGUCUUUGAUCCCUUGGUUUUGAAUCUAUCGAAAAUUACGGGCUGAUCUUUGAAGCCCAUUUCGAAAGUUUCCACAUCUGGGCUUUCUUUGGGCUGAGGCUUUAUUUCCAACAUUCUUGGUGUGAAGCCCAAACUGUCUGGGUCUUAUUUUCGUUUUUCUCAAGUCUCUGGGCUGGGCAGGCAAUUUUAUCAUGGGCCUGUCUUCUGGUCUUGGGCGUGCCGAAUUUGGGCCCAAACAAUGCCCCCUAAGUCUGAAUCGUUUUGGAAUGGUUUCAGACUUAAUGUUUUGCCAUUUAAUUCACGUGCCAGUUUCUUCCGUGUUUUCGCCCACGUCUGCCACGUUUGCCUGCUACGAACUAGAGUUCGUGGGAAAACGGCUAGUUAUUAUCUAGUUACUAGCUAAUAAUCAUCAGGUGCCGUCCCAUCUUCUUCUUCCCACGUUUUCGAGCCCCUCUUUAAAAGAAAUUCAAAUUCAUAGCUUCUGAAAAAAGAAACCCUAAACCUUCCAGCUCUUGUUCCUGCGAGUUCUUUCUUCGAGAUUUCCAAAGCCUUCUUUAGACCUUCCUUUCUUCUGCUUCUUCCCUUGAAUCAGAAAUGUCUUCCCCAAGGUCCCGCGCUCAGUCUUCUUCCGCUUCAGUUCCUCCCGAUUAUAUCACUGGGAGCGGGAUUGAUGCUCACGCGAUAGAAAUCAGGAGCAAGCUUCAUCCCUUUGCCCAGAAGAAUCUGGACGAGAAUGUCCUCCAUUUGUUUGAGAACACCCUGGUGUUAGGGCCUCACUGGUUUGGUCCUGUUCCAGCUGAGAUGGCAGAAUUGCUAAAAAAGGAUGCCGAGGCUCCUUUGUGUUUUGAGAGCUCUUCUGCCCUGGCUUCUUAUUCUUGGGUUAGCAAGAAUUUGAGCCGGUCCUUCCCGUCCAGCGAGGUGAGGAAUAGUCUGGUCAAAUGGGCAGACUGGAUUGAUAGACUUCUCCCGAGAUAUGGGGGUCACUGGAGGAGAGCUGGGAUUUAUGACGCCAUUUUUCUGUCCAAACAAUCGAUUAACAGAGAUGAGAAUCUGCUUGCUGCUGCUUUAUGCUUCUGGAAUUCUGCCAGCAAUACAUUUGACUUCCGCGUGGGUCCUAUGGCGCCAACCUUGCUGGAUAUGGCUCAGAUUUUUGGGUUCAGGCCCCAUGGUAGGCCUGUUGAUGCCAUUGGAGAUUAUCACAGGCGAAGGAAUCAAGAGAAAGUGGCCACCCCUUUUACUAUCCCUCCAGCCGUGAUCAACCAGAACUGCUCUUUCUCCAACUAUCUGAAGAAGUUCAGUGCUGAUAAGGACAAGGAUCAGCAACAUAUGUUGUUCCUUCUGUAUUGGCUGAAUUGGUUCGUUCUCCCCAAUCGGUCUUCUGCAGUUCUGCUAGAGUACAGACACUUGGCAGAAGCACUCCACAAUCACACUGAUGUGGGGCUCGGGCCUACAGUUCUGGCUCACCUUUUCAAGAAUCUGCAUACUUCCACCCUGGAGAACCCAUUGAACCUGUCAGCCCCUGGCGCAUUCUGGAUGAUCCAGAUCUGGCUGCAGGUUUAUUUUCCAGAACUAAGGUUCCCAGACAUAGUUCUGCCUGAAGAUCAAGUCCUGGCUCUUCCUCUGAUGUCGGCAGAAGUGCCCAAGCAUUCUAUUGAGGAGUAUUUGAUGCUCUUCAGGCAUUGUACAAAGAGGUCGGCAGCUCAGUGGCAAGUGGUGAUCAGGAGGACCUAUCCUUGGUUCCAGACCGGAUUUCGGUUGUUUGAGAAGGAGCCAGAAGAUGAAGCUGCCAGAACAGAUUUCAGGAGGAAAUUUCUGAGCAUUACUCUGCCCAGAGAUCUACCCCAUGGUGGGGGCAAACCUCCAAACUAUCAUCUGGGGGCAGAAGUCUACCAUCCCAACUUCUGCGCGAGGCAGCUUGGUUGUCCCCAACUCAUUCCGCUGAAAUCAUAUCGGAGUUGUAACCGGGCCUCUUCUUGGAGGGAUGCAGAUGAUCUGGAGGUGCACAAGGAUGCCCGGUGUGCAGUGAACAAAAUCAACAACAGCACGGAUGCCCUCUAUCCCUCGUGGGAGCUGAAUUCCUGCAGUUCUGCCGACUUUGACGCAUGGUGGAAAGCCAGAUUCCAAAGUCUGCCUGCUUCUGUCACUGCCCUCAAGGUGCUGUUUGAUGGUUGGGAAAACUGGGUCGUUUUUGCGAAUGGGGAUGCCAAGACGCAUAUGAUCCAGACCAUCAAGGAUAUUAACGCGCAAAUUAUAGAAGGUAGAUUUCUGAUUCUGUAUGGGGUUCGUUCUGUCCUGAUGAUUGAUUUCUAAUGUCUAUUCUGCCUGUAUCAGAUCCUUCUUUGACCAGCGUAGGUGGGCAGUCUGUUCAUGCUGGGGAAGUGAUUGGUAAGUCUUUUCUUUUAAUUCUAUUCUGUCUUUUCCUGCUGGAUUGGUCUCUAAUGUCUAAUGCCUUGGUGCAGUCUCUUCCGUUAUUGCUGCCGGGGACUUGGAGCUCCCUUCUGCGGAUGAAGGAGAUGAGGUCCAGACAGAACAAACACCUACCGAGGCCGCUCUUUCUGGCAGAAGAAAAAGGAAAGGACCUGCCCCUCCUUCGGAUAAUCCCACGCGGCCUGGUAUUUCAGGUAAGCUCGUGAUGUUCCAACCAUUCUCUUUAAAUUUAUUAUGUCUUGCCUUCUUUUCCCUAAUACUGCUUUUUGUUCUGUGCAGCUGGAAGUCCUUCCCCUCCUCCUACCAAGUUGAAAAAACUUAAAAAGAGGAGUGAGGAGGAGUAUGUCGCCGCGGAAGAGACGGCAGCAAUUCCCACCACUACCUCCGGGACGGAUGAAGAGCUGCGAGAGGCUUUUGAGGAGGUGGAGCAGGAAAAAGAAUUGGAAGAGCUGGAAGAAACGCCUCAGGAAAAAACGGCAGUGGCGGAAGGAGAGGUAAGUUUUAUUUCUGUGAUUCGCAUCAGUUCCCUUCUCGCCCUGUUUCUUCCGUUCUGACCCUUAUUUUGUAGGAGAAGAUCCCUGCUGAGGUGAUUGCAGAGAGCAUUGCCUUGGCGCAGAAGCAACAAGGGGGUCCAAGGGCUGAGCGGACUAGCUCAGAACUAGCCCUAUUUGAGGAUGCUGAGGCAGAGCAUUCUACUGCCGUUCCAGCGGCUGAGGAUCAGGCGGAACGGUCUGCAUCAGAGCCUGUGGAUCAGGCAGAGCUGUCUGUUGUGGUUCCGGAGGCUGAAGUGGAAACAACCGCCGCUGCCCCUGUGGUUGUGGUAACUUUCUUUCUUUAUCUGUCCACACUCUCCUGCAUUUCUGCCUUGUUCUUUAUUUUUAACUGUUGUAGCCUUUUCAGGUAGAAGUGCCUAAAGCUGUUGGCGUCCUGGCAGCGGUUACCAGUCCCCAGAAGCCUCCCAUUGUUGCUGUAAGUUUUCAUAACUUUUGGGCCUUUAUUUUCCACUUUCUGCCUGGUCUUACCUUAUGCUUUCUUCUUGCAGAUGCCAAUUCAUUCCCUUCCAGGAUCAUCUGCCACGGCUUCUUUUGCUGAUCCAGAACUCGAAGAGUUUGAAGCCAUGGAUCUGGAUGCCCAAUUGGACAGAUUGGAGAAACUCAGCUCUCCUCCAGGCAAGGCAAAAUCUAGGGCAGUGGAGGAGGCCAUGGAGAGGUUGAAAAUCUGGCAGUCUAAUGAGCUGGAGUUUGAUCAAGACAAUGAAGCCUUAAAUCAGCUGAUGAAGGACCUGGACCUGCUUCACAGACAGAACAUGGCUCCAAAACCUAUCCUUGAGAUGGGCCUAAGCUUGGCCAGAGAUGUGCUCAAUCUGCAUGAUCGCUAUGAGGAUCUCAGGCCUACUUUCAAGACUUCUGAAUUCUGCAAGGCCACUCAUGAAGCCAACCUGGCUGAUUUUGCAAAGCAGAAAGCAGAACUGGAUCAGAUGGUGGCCGGAUAUAAGGAAGCCAGGGCCACUGCGGACAAGCUGGAGAAGCCGAUGGAAGAGCUCCAAAAACAACUGGCAGAAUGCAGGGAGGUGCAGAGCAGGCUUGGGGCUGGACUGAGUUCUAAAACUAAGGCCACUUUCCUUGUGCAAAGUAUGGUUGCAGCUUCCAGGACAGCCUUGGAGAUUGCAGAGGCUUCAAUUCACCAGGGGGUGCUGCUCCAGAAAGAGCUUUCUGUCAAGAAAGCGAACCUGCAGGAGACUCUUAGAAAACUAGGAUUUUAGCUUCUUCUUUCCUUUUAUUGUUCGAAUAAUUUGCCGCAAAGGUGGCUAUUUUUAUAUAAGCUUUCAAAGCAUUUUACUGCUUUUCAUUUAUUCUUGAUGCAAUAACUGGAUACGGCUUUGAAAGUAAAAAACAGAACAACUUUAAAGCAAAAAUAAAUCUAAACAAAAUUCUUUUCAAGAAACAAAAAGGUCAAACUUGUUCCUCUUCUAUCCCGGGAUCUGUUUAUACAGCCUGCGAAUCCCACGUGGUUGGAUAGAACUUCUUUAACCAUUUACCAUUGAUUGGGGCAAAAUGAACAACUCCAUCUCGGUCCUGCAACCUGUAUGCCCCCAUUCCGAGGAUUUGGUUAAUUAUAAAAGGGCCUUCCCAUGUAGGUGACCAUUUCCCAUAUCCAGCUAUGUGUGCUCCAAGGGGCAGAAUUGCCUUCCAGACUAUCUCUCCCUCUUCAAAACUCUUGUUUUUGACUCUUUUGUUGUAGGCCCUUGAUACAGCCUGUUUUCCUGCUAAGAGUUUGUUGAGGGUGUCAAUUCUGCUUGCAUCCAAUUCUUCCAAUUCCAGCAACAUGGCUUGAGAGUAAUCCUCCCCAGUGAGACCAUGCUGGUGAGCAAUUCUAAGAGACUGGACCGCUAUCUCCAUGGGAAGAAUUGCAUCGUGGCCGUAGGUUAGAGCAUAGGGGGUCAUGCCAGUUGCUUCUCUCUUUGAAGUUCUGUAUGCCCACAAAGUUUCUGAUAACUUCUCAUGCCAUUACUUUGGAUUCUUCUCUAGCAUCUUUUUGAUGAUAUUGAUAAUCACCUUGUUACUUGAUUCCACCUGUCCAUUAGCUUGAGCAUAGUAAGGAGUAGAUUGAAGCAGUUUGAACUUGAACGUUUCUGCCAUAUCUAGCAUGUCCCUAGAUAUGAAAGAAGAACCCCUAUCGGUUGUGAUUGAUUCUGGAAUGCCAAACCUUUGUAUGAUCUGUUCUUCUAUAAAGGUGAUGAUCUCUUGAGAUGUUGUGGUUUUUACUGGCUUGGCCUCUACCCACUUGGUGAAGUAAUCUGUGGCAACGAUAAUGAAACAGUGCUGCUGGUUGCUGGCUGGAUAGAUUUUGCCAAUGAGAUCCAUUGCCCAUCCCCUGAAAGGCCAUGGUUUUACUACUGGAUUCAUGGGAACCGAAGGAGCCUGCUGGAUUGGGCCGUGCCUUUGACAGGCUUCACAUCCUUUGGAGUAGUUGAUGCAAUCCUUCAUCAUGGUUGGCCAGAAGUAGCCAUACCUUCUGAUUAACCAGCACAUCUUUCUUCCCCCUUGGUGAGCUCCACAGAUCCCCUCAUGGGUUUCUCCCAUGGCUUUCAUAUAUUCUGUCUUCCCGAGGCACCUUAAUAGUACCUCAUCCUUACUUUUUCGGACCAAAUCUUCAUUCCACAUGAGGUAGUUUGUAGCCAUGAUUCUGACUCUUUUCUUAGAGGGCAGAGUGGGAUAUCGUAAGUAAGUCAUGAUAGGCUCCCUCCAAUCAUCUUCAGUGAUCAAGGCAGAAUUGACUUCUAUCUCCAUUCCUCUCGUCAAAACAGAUGGUAGACUUUUCCUUCCUAUCUUGAUGAUCCUUUGGACGCAGUCUUCGGGCAUUUGUAUGCCUGAUGCCACCUGAGCCAGUUCAUUGGCUGCAAAGUUUUCCUCCCUUGGGAUGUUCUCCCAAGUAGCUUCUCUAAAUUCUGUUAGCAGAUUUCUAGCUGCUACUAGAUAUACAGCCAGAGAAGGAUUCAGACACUUAUAUUCUCCAGCAAUCUGUUUUAGGACAAGCAUGGAAUCUCCCAAGAUCUCCACGGACUGGACUCAUAAUUCUACCAACAUCUCGAGCCCUAUAAUCAAAGCCUCAUACUCGGCCAUGUUGUUGGUGCAUUGGAAAUCUAGCUGGAAGGAAUAGCAAUGUCUGACCCCUAAUGGUUCUUCCAGAACAAUCCCUGCUCCUGAAGCCUUGUCUGUCUUUGAUCCAUCAAAAUAUAACUUCCAAGGUGUGAGAUGAAUCGAGUAGAUUGGAUUGUUAAGGCAAACAUGAGCUCUAGUUAGCAGAUCUGCAUUUGCUAUGUCCAAAGAAUCCAUGUUUUCAAUUUCCUCUCCCGAGUGAUCUACCAAGAAGUCUGCCACAGCUUGCCCUUUGACAGCUUUCUGGGGGACAUACCUGAAGGUGAAUUCUGUCAAAGCCAAAGUCCAUUUCCCAAUUCUGCCCCUCAGCAUUGGUCUUGUUAGCAUGUAUUUGAUUAAGUCUGUUUUGGCAAUGAUGUAGAUAGUAUGUGGCAGCAUGUAGUGCCUGAGCUUUACAGCAGUGAAAUAUAAGGCCAGGCAAAGCCUUUCUAUUGCGGAAUACCUUCUUUCCACUUCUGUCAAUGUUCUGCUUAGAUAGUAGGCUGCCUGUUCUUUUCCUUCUUUGUUAUCUUGAACUAUUAGACUUCCAAUGGAUACUUCUGAUGCAGAUACAUAAAGCUUGAGGGGUCUGCCCCUUUUUGGUGGGGACAGAACUGGUGGAUUUGAGAGGUAAUGCUUUAUUUCCUGGAAAGCCUGUUGGUGCUGUUCUUCCCAUUUGAAUGUCUGUUCCUGCUUCAGUCUUAACAGGGAAGAAAAAGGUUGGAUUUUUCCUGCAGAAUUGGAUAUGAAUCUCCUUAGAAAAUUGAUUUUUCCUAAGAGACUUUGAAGUUCCUUCUUGUUCUGAGGUGGUAGAGCUUCUAUGAUGGAUGUUGCUUUAUUUCUGUCAACCUCUAUACCUCUCUGGUGGACCAAGAAUCCUAAGAAAUUCCCUGCUUGGACUCCAAAAACACAUUUUUUGGGGUUCAUUUUCAGUUUGUGCUGCCUCAUUCUUAGGAAUGCCCUUCUCAGGCUUGCUACGUGAUUUCCUUCCUCAGGGGAUUUAAUCACCACGUCAUCUAUGUAUACUUCCAAGGAAUGUCCUAUCAUAUCAUGAAAAAUAGAAUUCAUUGCCUUUGGUAGGUGGCUCCCGCAUUUCUCAAACCGAAAGGCAUUACAGUAUACUCGAAAGCACCUAUAUGUCCUGGACACAUAAAGGCUGUCUUGUGGAUGUCCUGUUCUGCCAUCAUGAUCUGGUUAUAACCUGCAUUGCCGUCCAUGAAAGAUAGCAUCUGGUUAUGAGUGGCUCCAUCCACUAGCAUGUCUGCCAUUGGCAUAGGAUAUUCGUCUUUAGGAGAUGCCUCAUUCAGAUUUCUGUACAAUAUUUGCUAACCAAUCGGAAUAGACGGCUGGCCUGAUGAAUCCUGCCUUGAGCAGCCUUUCUAUCUCUUCUUUGACCUUUAGUUCUGUGUCCAUAGACAUUCUUCUUCUGGCCUGUUUGACUGGAAGGUAGCCAUCUUUAAUUGGCAGCUUGUGCUCCACUCACUGCCUGUCCAAUCCUGGCAUUUCGUGGUAAUGCCAGGCAAAACAAUCUCUGAACUCCUGUAAAAGUGCCAUGAGUUCAGUCUUGAGUGGUUCCUUCAAAAGUGUGCUGAUGAAAGUAGGCCUUGGAUCUUCUUCUGUUCCUAAGUUUAUCUCCUGUAGAGGAUCCUCUACUUCUGGCAGGGAGUCAUCCAGUGCUGCUGGUGCAAAAUCUAAUACUUCCUCCUGUAAAAUUUCCUCCUCUUGCUCUUUUGUGCUUUCAUGGGUGAAUUCUGCCAUAUUGAUGGCUGGAUUCUGUAUGAAAAGCCUCCUUUCUCCCCAGUAUAUCAACAAUCUUUUUGUGAUGGAUCGGAUUGUUGCAGCUCGAUCCUUGUCUAGUUGAUUCGGACUAAACAUCAGAGUUCUGGAAGUUCAGCACAAAAAGGUCUAUUCCAGUCCUCUAGAGAACUGGCUAAACCUUCUUCAAUGAGUCUUUGGGCCGUGACACCAUGUGGACGGCCGUUCUGAUUGACUCCAAGGAAAGUGAAAGGACCGAGGUCAUCAUGAUAAUACCUUGUUUCAAAGCACAUGGCAGAGGGCAGGAAUGGCCGUGGAUCAGCCUCUAUAAUCUCCAUGCAGCCUUCUUCAUUCCAUAGUGCUAACUGCGGGUGGAGGGUGGAAGGAAUACAAAGGCUCUGGUGAAUCCAAUCCCUGCCAAGUAGUGCAUUGUAGGUGGUGGAAGUAGUGUCUAUAACAAAGAAUGCUAUUUUCAACUCUUUGCUUCCGAUUAUGACAUCCACAUCUAAGAUGCCAUGUAUUUUGGUGAUGCAACCAGAAGUUGGUGACGGUCAAUCGUGUUGGAAUCAGAUCUUUCUCUGUCCUGCCCAGCUUGGUCAGCAUUCUGUGGGGUAAUAGAUUAAUGGCUGCACCUCCAUUUACCAUGAUCUUGGAAAUAGGAAUACCCCCAAGAUUUGCCGUUAUAAACAAAGGUCUGAGGUGAAACAAGGUUGCUCUGUAGCUGGUUUAUUGGCUGUUCUGCCUGUCUUGGGGUUUUCUGCUUGUGGUUCUGGUGGCUCCUCUGCUUCUGCCAAUCUACAUUCAAAGCUUUCCUGAGAGAAAACAUCCCCUUCCAGAGUGCUUUCUUGUCCUUCGGCUGCCCUGAAUUUACUUGGUAGGAUGAAUACCAUGUUAAUUCCCAGAUCACCCUGUAGGAGGUCUUCUAAUUCUGCGCCAAAAGCUUCUGUUUCUGGGUCCAAUUCUACACCAAAUUCCAUUAAUUCUUCCCCGUAUUCUUCCGUCCAGUCAUCCUGUUCUGCUACUUCGAGGGGCUCUUUCUGAUCAUCUGCGGAAGGUUCAUAGUCCAAUUGCUCUUCUUCAUAUUCCUCAGUGUAGUCGUCUUCUCCUUGUAACGGGGUAGACCCAGAUUUCUCUGGUGUCUGCGUGGUGUCAGGACGGCUGCUGGACGACGAGGCCACAUGGAUAGGAGACCUGGCUGGGGGUUCUGUUUUCAGCAAUUCCCUUGACUGGCAAGCUUUCUGUUCUGUCUGGGGAAGUGUUUCAGGAUUUUUUCCUUUCCUAGCAGAACUGGGUUGUGAACGUACCUGCGUAUUAUCUUGGCUCUUAAGAUAUGUGCAGUAUUGCCUCUGGAUUCUCCUUUUCUGGGUUCUGGUUAGCUCCAGAGUCGGUCUACCGCUUCUUCCUACGGAAUACCAUCUCCCUUCUAUGAUCGUUGCCAAGGAUCUUUCGUUUCUGGGCAUCUUGACUGGUAUUUCCUUUCUGGGUUGCUCCAUCCUCCUCUCGCUGUAUUGUGUAGGCCUAAGACAGCUCUUCUGCCUUGUUUUGUCUCGGGAUGAGGUUCCAAUUCUGUCAAAGACACUAGGUGUGGGCUGAUUUUGUCUGUCUAGAACCACCUCUAGCUCUGUUUCACAUUUGCACCUACUGCAGAGCACUACCCCAGCCGAGAUGGUCGCUCUUGGUAUUUGACUGGUCUCCCUUAUGAUUCUUCUGCCUCUGCUGCAACCAGCAUCUGUGAUUGGCUCGGUUUUCCUCUGUUCUGGCCAAUUUAAGUUGACCAUAUUGACUUGUGGUUGAGGAAAAGGAUCCGUUGUGACGGAUGGUGGUUUUUCUGCCAGUUUCAACCUUCCUGCCGUUAUCCCUUCUUGUAUUACGUCCCUGAAAACAACACAACUAUUGGUAGAAUGGUUCCAAGAGUUGUGCCACCUGCAGUACUGUCUGCCCUUGAGUUCUUCCGGCUUCGGUAUUCUGUGAGGCGUCUCUAUUGCCUUCUACAGUAGCAUUUCGUGGAACAAGGCAUCAACCUUGGUUAAGUCAAAAGAGUAAACCUUGUUUUACGUUGGUUUGUUUGGAACGAAUCCUCCUGUGAAUGGUGGUGGCUUUUGGUCUUUAGGUGGCUUUGUGAGGGCUUUGCAACUAAUGGGAUGUUUUAGUUUUGCCAUUUCUGCCACUGAAACCUCUUUCUCUUCUGAUUCUUCUGCAUCUUCUUGUGAUUCCACCUCGAUCAGGUGGACUGAAGAAGAAGGGGUUUUAUAGUAUGUACCUUUGGAGGAGUUCCUCCUUUGCUGUUCCUCCCUGAGUAACUCCUCAUAUUUGGAUGCCUUAUCAGCCAGUUCUGCCAGAUCUCCGAACAAUAUCCCGUCGAACCUUUUCCUGAGAGAGAUUUUAAGGGCAACUUGGGCCAUCUGGAUGAAGUGUCUUUCUUCCAUCGGGAUUCGGCACUUCAUUUUGAGCUUUCUGAACCUGGUUAUGAAAUCUUGGGCCGGUUCAUCUUCACUUUGCUUGAGGGCAGCUAGAUCACUGAUGGUGACUUCUGGCUGAAUCCUGUAAUAGUAGUCAUGGAAGACAUUUUCCAUCUGUUCCCAGGUUUGAACAGAGUUAGCUGGCAGGCUGGUGUACCAGGUAAAAGCUUGCCCAAAAAGAGAGUUGCCGAAAAGCCUUAAUUUCAGCAGAGGGUUGCUUUCUAUAGCUAUGCAUUGGACGGAGAACCUGCCUAUAUGUUCAACUGAGGAAGAAUGGGGGUCUUCCCCAUUGAACAAAGUGAAGUUUGGCACUUUGAAACCUGGAGACAACAGUAUUUGAUCGAUAUAGGCUGGGUAUGGCUUUCUGUAAGUAGGCCUUUCCCCUAUUCUAGCCUCGGGUUCCAUGAUUUCUCUGAUCAUUCUUUGCAACGCUCCUAUGUCAUUCAAAGCAUUGACUGGGGGAAGAUUUUGUCCCUGUUCUGGCUGAACGUAAUCAAACCUGGGCUCUGCUCUGUGUGGUCUGGGUGGAACUUCCUCCCUGUGUUCUUCCUGCUCUUCGACUUCUGGAUGAUUCCUCCAGUUUGCCCCCGGUCUAUUCCUGUCAUGAUUAGCAAAAAGGUUGUUCCCUCCUCGGCCUCUCCUCCUUCUUGCAAGUGGAGGGAAUGGAUUAGGGUCCAUCCUUCUGGGUCUAUAUGGCAAUACUGCCGGUGGUUCAGGCAGAAGCGCCAAAGGUUGAUCAUGUGGGAGCACAUGAAGUGGAAUGGGCUGAGGUUCUGGCUGGUUCUGAGCCAGUGCCAGGUUAUCUGGUUGAGCUGGGGCUUCAUGUUUUUGAUUAGGAAGGGCUCCUUCCCUCGGACCAGCCUGAAUUUCUCCGUGGUCUGGCACUCCAGCCAUCUGUGCAACUAGGAAAUUUUCCUGGUAUGGCCAUAUUAGUCCUGGCGGAGGGCCAUAAGGGAGAUCCAACUGCUGGAUUACAGGAUCUGGGUUUGGGUUUCUGGCCAUGGCGGAUUCUCGGUCCUUCCGGAACUGUCUGUUUACCUGCCAUUACAUCAUGGCUGUCAUGUUAUUGAGAGUGUCCUGGCUCCUUCGUACUGUGAUCUCUUGUCGGAGUACUGACUCCUGUAUUUGAUUCAUCCUUUUGGAGCCAGUCCUGGAACGUCUACUUCCUGUACUGCCGUGGGCAGAUUGCCUAGCAUCGCUUUUUUCUGAUUCGAGGCCUUCCCUGAGAACCAUCUUGUUUUUCUCCAUAUCUGGUGUGGGUUCUGACUAGAUCUUCCGGUAUUUGUGAAUCUGUGAAUGAUUCUGUCAGAGUAUAUAUACUGAGAAGUCCCACUGGGUGUGCCAAAUUAUUCACCCGUUUUCGUGUUUUACUCCUGAGGUGGAAGGGCGAAGUUCCCCACUAGCUUGGAGACCACUUGUUGGUCGACAAGUCAGCUUUCUUUGGUGUGUGUGAGCGUGCCACUGCUAGCAAUGUAAAUUCUAGCAGACUUAUUUUUUAGAGUGGAUAACUUGCGCCUCAAGUUACUGACUUCUAAAACAAAUGAUUGUGAAUUUGGGUGAGGAAUAUCUCCCAAGUAAGUUCUUUUCUUGCCUCAGACUGGUGAGGACUUUCACAAUUUAUCUCAGUAUCAAAUGGUUGUUCUGGCCAGAAUAGAUAAUAAUAAAGUAGACUGUUUCAGGCAGAACUGCCUUUUACAAAAUUAAGAAGGGAGAAAUCAACUCUAGAAAGGCAAAAAGAUGGCUGGAAUCCCAUUUCUGCCUGGGUAGAAACUUCUGAUCCGGGCUGGACUGGGUAUGUCUAUGCUGGACGGUGCUGUCAACAACUUUAGCUUGCUCGGCUUUAGUUGUAAAUCGAUACCAAAGUUCAAUUUUGGCAGAGCUUCAAUCUACUUCAAGCCUUGGGAGACUUUUGAGUGGGCAGAACUGCAGCUUCUUCAGUUUGAAGGGACAGAAGUGGCUAUUCUCGAGGAUUUAGCAAGCUGGAACUAUGCUAUAAAAUUUGUUGAGGUUUUCAUAUUUGUGAAAACUCAAACUAUGUUUGUCUUGGCUUUUGCUGAACCAAAUUUGUAACGAGAGGGAUCUUGUUUUCAGAAGACUUAUUUUCUAAGUCUGAACUUUGGAAUUCUGAUCUAAAGCUGUUUUCUUGUUUGUUUUUUUUUUAUUGACUGAUGAAUUGAGUGUCCUUUGUUUCUUUGCCUUCUUUCGCUUUUAUAAGAGAUCCUCCUAAGGAGGUCAUUUUUAAUCCUAAACAAUGGGCGGCAAAAAGAUCUCUUAUAAUGUAAAGUAAGAAGGGUUUCUUAUCAAUCAAGGCAGAUAGGUUCUGAGCAGUCACCUCCUAAAAACAGUCCCUUCCCUGGUUUCCUGGGUGGCAGCUUUCUAAUUCAACCAACGCCACCGUCUGUGUGGGCUUUUUAUGGCGGUUUUGGCUCUUUUCUUUUGUAUUUUCUGAGUGGUUCCCUGUUUCCCGUUCUAAUUUAGAAAGCGUGAUCCGUGAAUUCCUUGGGAGAUGGUGUAUUGAUUUGGAGCAAAAUCUUGAACACAGAUGGGUUUUUGAUCUUCAAUUGGCAGUGUUUCAGAGACGUCCCUCUCACAUUUUUAAACUUUAGUUGGAAUUGCUGACUUUUCCAAAGUUGAGGCAAUCACGUGGGUGUGUCUUUGAUCCCUUGGUUUUGAAUCUUUCAAAAAUUACGGGCUGAUCUUUGAAGCCCAUUUCGAAAGUUUCCACAUCUGGGCUUUCUUUGGGCUGAGGCUUUAUUUCCAACAUUCUUGGUGUGAACUGGACUAAACAGUUAGUCGGACCAGACCGUCUACACAUAUGAACUGGACUCACAAGCCUAUGUUUUUUGAGCUCCCAUAUUGGUCGAAACUCAAAUUGAGGCACAAUCUAGAUGUGAUGCAUGUUGAGAAAAAUGUAUUUAACACAUUGGUGGGCACGAUUCUAGAUAUCGAGGGCAAGACAAAGGACACAAUCAAAGCCCGUCUUGAUUUGGAAAGAAUGGGCAUACAAAGGGGUUUAUGGAUGAACAGGGACAGUGAUAAAGCUAGAAGGGAUCUUGCAUUCUUUUCUAUGAAACCGAAUGAUAAAAAAGAGUUUCUAAAGUUUGUAUCGUCUGUAAAGUUUCCUGAUGGGUAUGCUUCUAAUAUCGCACAUUGCGUGAAUGUUGACGAGGGUAAAUUUACUGGACUGAAGAGCCAUGACUGCCAUGUGUUUAUGCAACGCCUACUUCCUGUGGGUAUUCGACAUCUAUUGCCGGAAGAUGUUGUGAAGCCAAUCAUGUUGUUGUCCAGAUUUUUUUCCCAACUGACGGCAAAAACAUUGCGAAAGACAGACAUAUUUCAGUUGCGCCAUGACAUUGUCCAAGUCCUAUGCAAGUUUGAGAUGAUAUUUCCUCCAGCUUUCUUCACAAGUAUGAUGCACGUGAUGGUUCACUUGCCAGAAGAGGCAUUGCUUGCUAGUCCUGUCAACUAUCGCUGGAUGUAUCCAAUAGAAAGGUAUAUAAUCUUUAUCGUUUGUGUAUGCAUCAUUAUCACAGACUUGCUAAUUUGUAUCAUAUCGUUUUAUUUUGACAGGCUUCUCGGAGAGCUGAAAAAAAGUGUACGCAACAGGGCGAAGCCCGAAGGAUCAAUUAUAGAGGCUUGGGUUCAAUAUGAGUCGCUUACUUUCUGUGGAAUGUAUUUAAAAGAUGUGGAGACGGCUUUCAAUCGUCCUCAACGCAAUAACGACGAAGGUAUGAGAAAGGAAAAACUUUCUGUUUUUGCCCAAAGUGCACGACCCUUUGGAGAUCCUGGACGAGGAGAGUCGUUUUCUAGAAAUGACAUGGAGGUAGCGCAUUGGUUCGUACUGAACAAUUGUGAUGAGAUAAUGGCAUACUUAGAUAAGCAUGAAGAGAUGAUGAAGCGAGAACAUCCAUCACAUUUAGUUGCCCAGAAACACCGUGAAUUGUUUCCACAAUGGUUUUUGGAUUCUGUAAGUUAUAAGUGUUUUGUAUUUGACAAAUAUAAAUUGUAGUAUUUAAUUUUGUCAGACUAACAUGUGAAUGGUUUUGUAUUAUAUUAGGUGAAUAAGUUGAAAUCAUCGAAUUCCCCCACUUACAGUGAUGAGUUAUAUAACUUGGCGUUCGGCCCAAUUCGCGCUGAAUUGUUUCGGGUUGUUAUAUUAAUGGCGUCAAAUUUUUGGGAGCCGCACGAGAUGACAAGUUGUGUAUGCAAAACAGCGGUGUCCAUGUCCCAGGUGGAGGCGAAAGUACGAACAUUGAUUUCUAUGGCAAACUCACAACUGUCAUUCAAUUGCUUUACAAAGAUCGAUACUAAGUGAUCAUGUUUAAGUGUCGAUGGUUUGAUAGCAACCCAAAUAGGCCGGGAAGUGUUAAAAUCAACCAUGGCUUACUAUCUGUGAACAUUAACAGAACUUGGUAUGAUGACGACCCUUACAUUUUGGCAAACAUGGCAACACAAAUUGUGUAUCUAGAUGACCCUAAAGCCGGGAGCAGUUGGAAAGUUGUUCAGAAGAUGGAUCAUAGGAACUUGUAUGCUAUACCAGAACUAGACCCAACUGACAAUGACGUCAACAAUGUGGCUGACCAACGUUUAGAAUCUUCAAUGGAAAAUGAUGCGGAAACACUUCGAGAUACACAUGUUAUACAAGAACCGUUUCAAAUACAAGGAGUGUCUUCAAUCGAAAUACCGAUUCAGUCAAUUACAAUUGACCUCGGGGAUCUUCCAAGAUUCGAUGUUGCAGUGAGCCCGAGCAACGAAGAUGAUGUAGUUAUAGAGGAGGAGGAGGAGGAUUGGGAGACUGAAAGUGAUGAUAGCGAAGAUAACGAAAGUUAUUAUAGUUCAGAUGAUGAAUAAUUAAAUUUUUUAUAUUUUUAUUAUGCUAGUGUACAGACUUUGUGUAAAACAAAAGUUUGAAUAUAUGUAGUUGUGAUAUCCAAACCUUAUAUAUGUGGACAACUGAAACAUUAUUAAAAUAAAUUUAGUUAUAAAACAUCGGUAAAUCAAUAUAUCCAAACCCUUUUAAUAUUCAUUUAAAAUUUUUUUUUUUGACAAAAACGUUUACAAAAUGAAAAUGAUAAAAUAUUUGUUAUAAAACAUUGAUAAAUAAAUAUAUCCAAACCAUUUUCAUACAAAGUUUGAAAAUUAUUGACAACAAACAUUUUUCAAAAAUGAAAAUCCUUGCGCGACGAAGUACACCUCGUCACGCAAAGUUUGCGCGACCCAGUAAACAGUCGUUGUGUAAAGUUAAAACAUUGCGAGACAAAUUAUCAUCCGUCACGCGAUAGAAUUUUGCGCGACGAAUAUUUACUCUCGUCGCGCAAAUGUAUAUUCUUUUAUAAUAUAUUUUAUAUACACAUAUAUAUUCGAAAUUGACGAUCGAGUUAGUUCAUUGUAUUCAUAUAGGGUCAUGGAGUGUAGCUGUAAAAAAUCAUCAAAAUCGGAGUUAAAAUAACUGUUAAAUCAUGACUUUUCAUUUAUAACCGUUCAAAAAUUUUGUCCCGAUACUUGAUCUCUGAAUGUUUUUUUUUUCCGAUUUUUGGGGCCUAAGAUCUCGAAGUAUAAACAAACACGUUUGACGGCUGGAUUAUUGAAACUACUUUCGUAGAAUGCGUAUGCCAUCAAAACUAUAUAUUCACCAACAAUGAAUAGUUUACUUAUACUUUCAUUAAAUAUAACAUAAGAUUAUGUGGUAUCACCCUAGUGUAAACAUCUUAAAUUGAAGAUCAAAUUCAGUAAUUGUAUUCAUAUAGGGUCAAGAAAAGUAGCUAUAAAAAAUCAUCAAAAUCGGAGUUAAAAUAACCGUUAAAUCAUGACUUUUCAUUUAGAUUCGUCGAAAAGUUUUGUACUGUUACUUGAUCUCUUAACGUUUUUUUUGUCAGAUUUUCGGCGUAUACGAUCUCGAAAUAUAAAAAAACAAGUUUGCCGGUUAGAUCAUUAAAACUAGUUUCGGGUUUAGGAUUUCUGCAGUUUAGGGUUUAGGGUUUGCGCGACGAAGCCAUUUCGUUGGUCGCACAAAGCCUGCAAAGAACAGUCUUGCGCUACGAAACUAGGAUUCUUUGUCACGCAAUCUCAACCAGCCCUUUCACCCUCUUCCUCCUUGGACACUUAGCCAAAAAAAGUUGCGAGUUUACAGAAAGCGGCUUUGCGCGACGCUGCCGGUAUUCGUCGCGCAAUAUGUAUGCCAAUAAAACCUAAAUCCCAAAUUUUGGCGAAUUACAACUUUGCGCGACGAAUAUGGGAAGCUUCGCGCAAAGUUUUCAAUCUUUCCCGCUAAACCCUAAGUCCCAAAAUUUUGGCGGAUUGACAACAUUGCGCCACGAAAGAAGGUACUGUGCGUCGCACAAAGUUUUCAAUCUCUCCCGCUAAACCCUAAGUCCCAAAAUUUUGGCGGAUUGACAAUAUUGCGCGACGAAAGAAGGUACUGUGCAUCGCGCAAAGUUUUCAAUCUCUCCCACUAAACCCUAAGUCCCAAAAUUUUGGCGGAUUGACAACAUUGCUCGACGAAAUAUGGUACUGUGCGUCGCGCAAAGUUUUCAAUCUCUACCCAAUAUUUUGCCGGAUUGACAACAUUGUGCGACGAAAGACGAUACUGUGUGUCGCGCAAAAACUACCCUGAUACCAAAUUUUGGGAUUAACAAUAUUGCACGACAGAAGUUAUACUUAUGUCGUCGCGCAAGUGUCAAUUAAAAUAUUUUGCGUGACGCUUUUGUUUGUUCGUUGCGCAAAAUCGAAUAAAAUUGCAGAAACGACGCGAUAGCCUCCUUCUUCCCCAGAUUUGUUUUUCUACCCUAACUCUCUCUCUCUCUCUCCGCCUUCAGCUCAGCCCCCUACCCCAGUGGAUUUUGGACGACGGCGCCACAACAGUGGUACCCCGGAGGUUUCCCGCCGUCACCGUCGAGCCAGCCGCCCUAAUUCCUCGAUUUUCACCGAAUCUGCGCCGCCGUCGUUCUCUCUCCUUCGGCGACCAAAUCCGACACCUGAGGUAUGGUUUCUGUCCUAUUUUUGAUGCUUUAACUGAUGGUUGGGUAGGAUUUGUGUAAUUGUUGCAAUAGGGCAGUGGAUUUGAAACCCUAAAUUUCGACCGAUUUUUGAAUUCCAAUUCCGGCCACUUCUGGCCAUUUUUCAGGGUAGGUCCGAGAACAAAAGUGGCUCCAAUUGAUGUUUUGAACCUAGGGUAGGAACCUUGGCCCUUAGUUUUAAGAAAUUUUCGACGAUUGGUAUCGCUUUGGACACCCACGCUCUGCCAGCGCUUGUGGUGGCGCGUGGGGUACUGUAGCAGUCUUGCAUUGGGUCCCAGUGCAAUCCCAUAUUUGUCACGAGCGCGUAGGUGUUUUCGGAUUGGAAUUUGGUUACCGUUUGAGUCUCGAACGGAUUUUGCCUAUUGUGCGAUUUCCGGGUUUGUUAUGUUCGGACCGUUGGAUCGAACUCAAACUCACGUAUGGUGUACCUUGUAUUUCUUGGAUCGUCUAGGAUUCGACGGAUCGUGGAUCGGAGUCCCGAAUACUCCGAACUCGCAAACCCUAGGUCAAGAAUCUUAAUAAAAUUGUAUGUGCUUUCAAAUAUUCGUAUGUUUUAUUAAUUUGUAUGUGUAUUAAUGAAAUUGUGUAGAUGUCAGACCUGAUUAGACGUCGUAGGGCGGUGACGACUACGCAGAGUUCUGAGCCCCCGGCUCAACUGACAUCUGCUGCCACUGCGCCAGCACUGAUGGACCACUUGGCAGUUGGUCCCGCGGGGUCCCAGGCUCCUGCUUCAUCAGCUUCAUUAGUGGCACAACCUGUUAGCGCCAGGAAGCGUCAUCGGCCUGCCAGCACCACCGACACCACAUCCACUGAUGCGUCGGGGUCACAGCCAGGUAUAGAUUUCCUUAAACUCCAGUUAUUUAUAUUUUUGUUUUUGUUUUUAUUUUUGUUUUUGUUUUUGUUUUUGUUUUUAUUUGUGUGUGUAUUUUAUAGUUAAAUUUGUUAUUUAUUUAACAUUAAUGUCAUCUUUCUUUGCAGCCAAGAAGAACACCCGAGGGCCGUGUCGGUAGUUGAAGACGGCGAAGGUCACUCGGGUGACCAACAGUCGUAUCAACAUCGGAUACGACAAGCGACAUCGGGCUGCACCGACGGCGGAGUUGCAUAGCUCCUUGGCCCACGACAUUGGUGAUGUCAUUCCGAGCCAUUGCCCGAUGAAAUGGAAGUCUUGGAAGGUGAUGCCUGACGAGACCAAGAUGGAGGUUCGCGGCCAGUUGUCAGUAUGUAGGCCUUUUAAUUCUUUUUCUUUCAAAUUUUAUAUUUCUAUUAUUUAAAUGUAUUUAAUUAAUUUAUUGCAGACGAACUACAACUUGGAGGACCUGGACGACGAGUCGUUGGCGUACAUCAACAGACUCUUCUCUGAGAGGUACAAAUAGUGGAAGAGCGACUUGCACCACUAUUUUGAGGCGUUUGAUGAUCCAGAAGUCUCUCUUCAGGAGGGUUGCCCGAAGGAGCUUGAGGGGCGGGAGGAUAGUUGGGCGUGGCUCUGCUCUCAUUUUCAGGCGCCCGCUUUUGUGGUAAUUUGUAAUAUGAAUUUCAAAUUUAUUAUAUUUUUCUUACUAAUGUUUUUUUAAUGUUUUAUAUUUAAUUUCAAUUUCAACUAAUACGUUUUAUUUUUUGUAUAACAGAAUAAAGCCAAAGUCAAUAAGGGCAAUAGGAAGAAGAAGACUCUUCUCCAUCAUUCGGGUUCCAGGCCCUUCUCCUAUAGGAUGGAUGCAUGGCGGCAGGUAAUCAUAAAAAAAAUUUUAUUUAAUUUUUAAUAUUUAAUUAUUCUUAAUUUAUUUUUUUGUACUAAUAUUUUUCUUCUCUUGUUCAAUUUAGGGGGGUCCAAAUUCCCAGAGAUCGACGUCUUUGGCGACGUUUAUGUUCGACCUGGGAAUGAGUUGGGCGAGUCCCUUCAUGUAAGUAUUAUUUAAUUUUAAUUAUUAUGUUACGCAUUCAAGUUUAAAGGUUAUUAUAUGAAUGUUUUAAUUUAUAUUUUAUGUUAUGCUAAACAGAUGACGAUGGUGGAGAGGAGCCAGUUGGUUCUUCAAGAGUCCGCCUCCCAACUUCCUUCCGAUACUCCGAUCGAGUCUGUGGAUCCUCCACAGGAUGCUGGGUUUCAGAUCUUGACGGAGACAUUGGAUCAGACUCUAGGGAGGAGACCGGGGAUAUAUUGUCGAGGGAUGGAGAAUGCCAGGCGGAGGGAAGCCAGACCCCGUUCAUUAGCGCAGUCAAGCAGUCAGGUCACUGCUUUGACAGCACAGGUGGCCACUCUUCAGAGUCAGAUGUCGGACAUUCUGCAGUCCCUCGCACAGUUCGGCAUUCCAGUCCCGCAUUUUGAUGCGCCGACCUCUGAGCCCGUCCAUCCUGAGCAUCCCCACCAGACGACGGCCCUUGUAGACCCCCAGACCUCUGAACCGCAUGUGCCAGACGACAAUGUAGAUUUUGGAACAUUAUGAUUAGUUUUUUUAUUUUCAUAAUUAUUUUUUAAAUAUUUCUCUUGCAGCAUACAUUUAUUUUAUAUAAUAAAUAUGUUCUUUACAAUUCUUUUUUUUAUUGGAAUUUCAUUUUAUUACCCAAAAAAAAAAAACCAAAUUUAUUUUUUUAUAAAAUAAAAUAAAAAGUAAUAUUAAAAUUAAAUAAUAAUUAUAUAUAUUAAUUUUGCGCGACGAAAUCUUUCUCGUCGCGCAAAUUUAUAUAUUACGAAAUAAAAAUGUUUCAUUUUUUUAAAUACAUAUAAUUUAUUCUUGCGCGACGAAUAUUUUCGUCUCUCAAAAAGGAUUUGCGCGACAACAGUUUUUCGUCGCGCAAAAUGUGUUGACACGAAUUGCACGACGAAGAUAUCUUUGUGCCGCAAAUAUCUACGACACGUAUUGCGCGAUGAAAAUGUUCGUCGCGCAAAAAACGUAUGCGCGACAACAAUGUUUCGUCGCGCAAUACGUGUAGACAUGAAUUGCGCGACGAAGAACUCUUGGUGCCGCAAAUGUGUACGAGACGUAUUGUGCGACGAAUAUUAUUCGCCGCGCAUCGUUGUGGCGACGAACCCGCUUUCGUCGCGCAUAAGUUUGUGCGACGAACUAUUGCAUCGUCUCUGAACCUUUUGUGCAACGAAGGGUAACCGUCGCACAAAUUUGCGCGACGAGUGAUACAAUCAGUCGCGCAAAGUCUUUCUUCACCAUCUUUGCACCACAGAUUACGCGCGACGAAUUUUCUGUCGUGCUUGAGUUUGUGCGACCAAAUUUAACUCUGCGCGACGAAAUUGGCUUCGUCGCGCAAAUCGUAAAAUGUAGUAGUGGAAGUUAUCAACAUCUAUAGGAACCCCAAUGAAAAGGCUGUUAACUAAUAAUGAAGUAAACCCCUCAAUGUUUCCGCGUAUCAGAUAUCUCUCAGAAUAUGCGAUUCCAUACUCAAUAAGCAACUCCACAUCCCCUGAGGUUUUCACCAAACCACCCAUUAAGGAAACAUACUGACUCAUGUGUAAUUAUCAUUACUCAUCGGGUAAUGCAAUUGUUCAAAGGCAAGGACAUUUCUCAUUAUUUCUGUAGUGAACCCCAAUGGAAAUGGUGGGAUCUUCAGAACCCCAUUGGUGCUACUGAAUUGUAUGUCAAAUAUGUUUUCACCUUGUCGCGCCUCAAACUUGACUCCAGCGUGCUGUAAUUCUGUCAAGCUGGGUAUGGAUGAUGGGAGUUCCCCUCCAGCUUUUGAUUCCAACGGUUGAUAGAGUUUAAAUAUUUUCCUGUAAAGAUCAACAAUAUGUGCCACUGAUCUAAAAGUCUCCAAAUUGUCUUCCAUUUUGUCAACAGGCAAUAGAUGUUCGAAGAAACUGAAAGAAAGACUAAUUAUUGAAAGCCCCUCAGUAAUGCAGUUAUUGUCAGCAUCAGCAGGGAGUGUAAUUUUCUGUGGGUCGAAAAGAUCCUCGAGAAUGAAGAAUGGCAACUGAUUUUCAAGCAACCACAUAUCUGUCCAUACAUCUUGCAACAUACCUGGUUUGUCAAAUAUGCGGUCAUUUUCAUCCCAAAAUUUGAAGUAGUCCUUCAAUAAGAGCUCAAUAACGAAGGCGGCAUCCACUAGAAUGAUUGUUACAAAUUCAUCACUGCUAAACUUGAUGGGUUCUCCAUAACAACGUCUCAAUCUUGCUUCGUGGUCCUUUAUUUUCUUAAUAUAAUCCUCCAAACUCACAUUGGUCCGACCUAUAAAAUCUUGCAGGUAUCUCUGUUUGUGCUCUUCCUAUACGACAUUCAAGCCUUCCUUUCCAUGGUGAAGUGGGCCUAUAGAGACCACCUGAGGUGUGCAGAGCUUUUCAUUCACACUUCGUAGUCGUUGAGGAACUCUGUAGAUACAGCACUUGGAGGAUGGGGGAGACAAGCUAUUGAACCCUUUUCUCAUCGAAUUUGCUAAUGAAAUGUAUGGGUUUUCUAUGUCAUUUUGAGCAGAUUGAUGGCUUCCUGCCAUUUUCCAGCUCCUGACUAUAUGUGGUGUUCCGAUUGUAACAGAUUACAAUAAUGAUGAGUAUGGAUAACUGAAUUACUGAUAAAACAAUCAAGAAACAUUUCGUUAUUUUCCAUUCCCAAUAACGAAAUCAAAAUGUUCAAGGAAAUAUAAUCAGGAUAUUGCAAUUAUAUAGCCAUUCAUAAGCUGCCUGGCAUGGAAUAAGAGGUGGAAACCAAAUCUACUUAUUGGCCAAAGUUCGAAUUCACUAUAUAUAGAUAUAUAUUUUGCCAAAAUCUAAAACUGACCAACCUUAGAUACAAAAACACGGUACAGCCCGGUUAAAGUAAUUCCAAGUGCGAAGAAAGAAAGGAAUUGAGCGUUUGUACCUCUACAGCUAGCCAAAUUUUCUAUUGAUUCUUUAAAUUUUAGAGAGCAAUUACUCUUAAUUUGGUAGGUGUAGGACUGUGCAACUUCAAGCUUUAAUGAAAGAAGCCAAGUUUAUUCUAAGGGGACAAGUCAGAGACAACGAAAUUUUGCUCAGCUUCAUUUUCAAAUUUGCUGCUUAAGAAGGAAAUUUAAUAUGUUUGUUUCACAAAUUGUAUUGUCAUCAAUGAAACUCGUGCACACCCAACGAAAUUUGCAUGGCUUAUUUUCAAAGGAGUACUGCUAUUUCCAUCCUCUGUCCUAUUUUUCCACUCACCUUAUCUUCAAAAUUUUAAAGACAAAAAUAAACCCCUUUGUAAAAUGCUUAAAAAGAAAUUUAAUAUGUUUGUUUCAAAAAUUGAUAUUGUCAUCAAUGGUUAAAGAAUUGCUGGUGACAACAUAUACUUCUUUUCUACUGUAUUAAUUUCUUUCUUUAUUUUUUCUUCAGUAUAGUUCUGCCUUUCUUUUACAUGUUUAUGCGCAUAUUUGACACGUUCAAGUAUACUUAUAUAACAAAUGCAAUGAGUUUGUAGUCACAAAAAUCAAGGAUUGAAAACAAAAAGUAAUAUUAUGUGCAAGAGAAACUUACCUGCAGAAACUGAAGAACUCCUCUAGUUUCUUCUCUGUCGCUAUGUACUCCCGCGUUCAAGUUAUUAUUCUUACAAUGUACAUACACUAUUAUAUAAUGGCGAGAAGGCUCUGAUUAACCUCCUUUUUGCUUCAUUGGAUGGGGCAAGAAUGGAAUUGUCACCGUGGGUGUGGAGGUGAUCUACCAUUUGAGCAAGAAAUUCCCACAUAUUCUUUAACUAUUUUUCAAGCAUGCAUAUUCCUCCCUAUCAAUCUUUGGUCUCUUCUUUUACUAUUUUUCAAGCAUGCAUACUUUGAUUUUAAAUCAUCUUUUCCGCACUAAUUUGCUUCAAUCAAGAAACAGUUAAUAUAUUUUGUAUCAUCAUUAGAGAACACUUGAAACUGCAUAAGUUAAUUUUGAAGAUGAUGGCAGAACCAAAAUGUGUAUAGCUUAUAACUAUAAUUUCUUGAUUACAACAAGAGGUUUCAAGUUUUCAACAACACAAAUAUGAAUCUCCCAAGCAAAGAUAAACAAUAAAGCAAGCAUACGGAUUGUCAAAUUGCCUUCAAUCACUCUAAAAUACUUCAUACCGUCCGACACUGGCUUCAAUUACUCUACAAUACUUCAAUUCAUAUAUUGUCCUAUUUUCACAUGUACAUCCUGCUUUUACUUAAGGGUUAAUUGUUGAUUUACCCCUUGAACUUGUACUCUACUUUCAAUUUGCACCCUCAACUUUUUUUUUUGAAAAUUAGGUGCAUGAACUAAUUUUUAUUGCCAAUUCCCCCUACCAACAUGUCAUCUAAUAGUCUGUCAAAUCAUUAAAAAAUAUAAUAUUUUUGGAAAAAAUUAAAGAAAAAAAAAUUCCUAAGGACCCACAGACCCAGAACCCACCCUCCGUUGCCCCCGCUUGCUGUUUUCUUCUCCUCCCAGUCCCCCAUGACCACCACCCUCCACUGCCACACCAAUCCCCUACCCAACAGACCCCUCACCCCUUCUUUUUUUUCACCCCCGAACCCAGCAUGAGUUAUUGGUUAAUACCAUUUUCUUAAUUGCCAAAUAAAAAAAAAAAACAGAGUUAACCCUCUGUUAAGCUAGCUGACUAGUGGGGCGAAAUGGAGGAAAAUCAAUAUGGAGACAGCGGAUCCGGUCCCGUGUAAGUGUAUCUGAUGGAAUAAAAGAAUGAUAUUAUUGGUGGUGGGUACGGUUAUGUGGAAGUAAUAAUGGGUAAGAGAAGAAACUUGUUCUCUUGUGAUAAUCAAAAGACAGAAAGUAGUGGGAAAAGACAGAAAGUAGUGGGACACUAUUUUAGAUAUGAUAAUGUUCCUUCCUUGAUUGAUGCAAAUGAAGAGAAAAGGGUGGCUUUAUAUAAUAGCCACUACCGACCUAACACAUUAAAAACACAACUAACACCAAACAUAGUUAAUUCAACUAACUUCUACCACACCAUUAAUUUAACACACAACUACUAACAAACUGCCAACUAUUUCAAAGUUACCAGCCGACUAUUAAUGAAGUCUAGAUUACUUUAACAUCCUCCCUUAAGCUAGACUUCAUUUACGCCAAUUAAUUUUCUCAUCUUGAUGAGCGGCUCUUUCUUCAACGGUUUGGUGAACAAAUCUGCCAGCUGAUCUUGGGACUUGCAAUACAGAACCUCAACUUCUUUAUCUUUGAUUAGCUCUCUGAUGAAAUGGAACUUGAUCUUGAUGUAACACCCCGACCCCAAAUUUUCCCAAAUUUUACCCUUAUUUAAUUAUUUAAUUAUUUAAGGGUAUUUUAGUCAUAUUUUUAACCGGAGAGAGUUUGGGACCGUGACUAGUAUUUUUGGAUAGGUCGAGCUGAGACGAGUUCAUAGACACGUAGUGGGCUCGAAUCGGAGUUGUAACGAGAGAGAUAUGGUCAAAAGAAGCCCAGUGGCACAAUCGUAAAUAUUUCGAAAUGGGAUUUUUUAUAAAAACUCAAAUUUUUCUCUCUCUCUCUCUCUCUCUCUCUCUCUCUCUCUCUCUCUCUCGCGACUCCUCUCUCUCUCUCCCGUCGGCCUCUCCUCUCUCUCUCUUCGUAACUCCGGCCACCGGCCGCGGCUGCGGACGGGGCCGGUGUCAAAAGAACCGGCUCGACCUCGGCAUCACGACCCAGCCCAUCCCCGCCAUCGGCCGCCGCUCCAGCCGCCGGAAAAUGGCGAUUUUCGCCCAGAUGUCGCCGGAACUUCAACGCCGUCGAUCUCCCUCCUCCGGCCACCAAUUCCGUCGACCCAGGUAUGGAUUUUGAACCUCUCGAGCUGCUCUAGCUGAUGGUUGGGUAGGAUUAGAUCGAUUCUUAGCGUAGAUCACUCGAUUUUCGAAUUGAAAAUCGGCCGAAACUUCGGCCGCCGUGAUCGGCCAUUUCCGGCCACUUUUUGGGGUAGGUCCAAGAACAAAAGUGGCUCCAAAUAGGGUGUUAUACCUAGGGUAGGAGUUUGGAGCCGUGGUUUUGAGAUUUUCCGGCGGAGCGUUAUCGCUUUGGGCACCCACGCGCUGCUGGCGCGUGCGGCGGAGCGUGGGCACUGUAUAAAAAGUAGCGAUGUAUUCCGAUGAGAUCCUUAGGUUGUCACGAGUGCGUAGGAUUUUGCGGAUCUCAAUUCGGACGUCGUUUGACUAUCGAACGAAUAAUCGCAUAGUGUGCGUUAUCCGGGUUCGAUAGGUUGGGACCGUUGGAUGGUCCCAAAUUUAAUAUAUGUUAAUCUAGGUAUUUCUAGGAUCGUGUAGGAAUUCACGGAUCGUGAAUCGGAACUCCGGAUGUUCCGAAUAAUAAUUUUAAGUUUAUAUUUUAUAUUAACCAUCAGAUCGUGCGAUCGUGAGCAAUCCGACCGUCCGAUCUGAACCAAACUUGCAGGACAAGUGUCCUACACCUGGUAGAACCCAUAGGGACUUCCGGAUCGGAAAUUGGAGGUCGUGGGUUCUGCAGGUCCGUUUGACCAGGGUUAGAGUAGUUUGACUCUUGGUUGACCGUGAGUCUCCCGGAGUAAUCUCACCCUUCCAGGGGGAAUUAUCGGGAGCUAGACUAUUGUGGAGGGUUACACAAUAUUAGAAUUAUUUAUAUAAAUUAUGUGGUUGUACAAGGGUACAACAGAGUCUAGAAUGUCAGUUUGGAGUGCUAUACGCACUACUCUAGGUACCUCCUCGGACUUUGGAAUUUCUACAAGUACCACCAAGUGAAAGUUAGGUCCCACGUGGCGUAGGUUAUCCGGCGUGUCGACAGACCCCAUACGUGGCGUUGGUUGUACCGGCGUAUGGGGAGAUUUGUGAUAUGAUAUUGAGGUCCCGCGUGGCGUAGGUUAUCCGGCGUUGGGACAGGCCCCAUACGUGGCGUUGGUUGUACCGGCGUAUGGGGAGAUAUUAUGAUAGUAUGGCAUGGUCGCACGUGGCGUAGGUUAUCCGGCGUGUCGACAGACCCCAUACGUGGCGUUGGUUGUACCGGCGUAUGGGGAGAUUUGUGAUAUGAUAUUGAGGUCCUGCGUGGCGUAGGUUAUCCUGCGUUGGGAUAGGCCCCAUACGUGGCGUUAGUUGUACCGGCGUAUGGGGAGAUAUUAUGAUAGUAUGGCAUGGUCGCACGUGGCGUAGGUUAUCCGGCGUGUUGACAGGCCCCAUACGUGGCGUUGGUUGUACCAGCGUAUGGGGAGAAUAUGUGAAAUACAGAGAAAUGAAAUAAGGUAUUGCCCAAGUGUGGAAUUGGGUUUUAGGGAAGAACUACUUAUGGCUUGAUCCCUCAAGGAGGGUACGUAGGCAGCCUAAGGUUAUUAGGUGCAGCCGCAGACUAAAUAUUAGUCAUAAAUUGUAAUUGAACUGUUUGGUAGUCGUUUGAGGAAGUAUUGAAAGGCCGAAGGCCAUUUGUGUGAAUUGCAUGAAAUUAUAUUGUGCAUGCUGCCAGUUGGGAAUAUUAAAUGCGUUUUUAUGCAGGUAUAAAUUUUGGGAAUGUCCAAUUUACAGGGGAGACUCUGCCAAAAUUUCGGCAGGAAGUCUCGGUUUUUAGUAAGUGGGCCUGGCAUCGGGGUGAUGUCAGGAAUUCCAAAGGGUUCGUCUCGGGUUUUGAGAAAAUUCGGGGCGGGUCCUUUCACUUGAUAUGCUUACUCUUGCUGUGAAACAUUGGAUUUUUGGAAAGACAAAUAGCUGAUUUGUUGUUGCAGAACAGCUUUGUAGGUCCUUCUUGAACUUGACCCAUCUCUUCUAAAAUACUUUUCAGCCACCUAGCUUGACAACCUGCUGAUGCAAGAGCAACAUACUCAGAUUCUGUAGUUGAAAGUGCCACUAUAGAUUGCUUUUUGGAGGACCAUGAAAUCGCACUUGAGCCAAUGCUAAAGACAUAACCAGAUGUGCUUUUGCAAGUAUCAACAUCUCCACCCAAGUCACUGUCACUGUAGCCAGUCAAAUUUAGAUUCUGAAUAGGAUAAUAAUGCAAACCAUAAUUGAUAGUUCCAACCACAUAUCUUAGGAUUCUCUUUCCAAGCUCCCAAUGAACAUCUUUUGGUGACUCCACUAAACGGCUGAGGAAGCUUACUGCAUAUGUAAGAUCUGGCCUUGUUGUAGUUAAAUACAAGAGGCCACCCACUAGACUUCGAAACAAAGUUUGAUUUACCAUUGUGCUUCCAUCAUUCUUACCUAUCUUAACACCAACCUCCAUUGGAGUAGCAAUUGACUUUGCAUUUUCCAACCUGAACCUUUUCAACAAUUCCUUUGCGUAUUUCUUUUGAGAAAUAUAGAUACCAUUCUCAUUUUGUUUGACUUCAAUUCCAAGAAAGAAAUGAAGCAAACCAAGGUCUGUCAUUUCAAAUCUUUGUGACAUAAUCAUCUUGAAAUUAUCACACAUUUGAGCAUUACUUCCAGUAAAUAUUAAGUCAUCCACAUAUAAGCAGACAAUCAAAAUCUCACCUUGAGAGUUCUUCUUGGUGUAAAGAGUAUGCUCAUAUGGGCAUUUGUGAAACCCAUACUCUUGGAAGAAUGCAUCAAUCCGACUGUACCAAGCUCUUGGAGCUUGUUUCAAACCAUAUAAAGCCUUCUUCAAUCUACACACUUUUGUUUCUUCAUUUCCCUGCACAUAACCUGGAGGUUGAGCAACAUACACUUCUUCUUCCAAAAAACCUUGCAAGAAUGCUGGUUUAACUUCCAUUUGAAAGACUUUCCAACAAUUUUGGGCAGCAAGAGCUAACACCAUUCGGAUGGUGUCAAAGCGUGCAACUGGAGCAAAAACUUCAUUGUAAUCAAUUCCAUAAUUUUGCUUGUAGCCUUUAGCUACCAAGCGAGCUUUGUAUUUCUCAACUUCUCCUUGAGCAUUCAGCUUGGUCUUAUACACCCAUUUUACUCCUAUAGGCUUCUUUCCUUGAGGAAGAUCAACCAGCUCCCAUGUGUCAUUUUUCUUAAUGGAAUCAAUUUCUUGAUCCAUAGCCUUCACCCAAUUUUCAUCCUUUGAAGCCUCUUCAAACAUAAUUGGGUCUGCAUCUACAAAUAGAGCAAAAUUUGUGCCACCAUUAGUGAUCAAAACAUAAUCACUAGAUGGGUACCUUGUGGAUGGUUGAUGAGCUCUUGUUGAUCUCCUUUGUCCUCUGCAAAUUUCUUCUUCCUCACUGCUAUCACUAGAAGAAGUUGAUGAUGACCCUUGUGAUGAAGAUUCCUAUGAUGAUAGAGUUGUUGGUGGAGUUAAAUCUGGAUUUUCAAGGCCAAUGUCCAACAGUAUUGGACUUUGAUUUUCAGCUUCACUCCAAUUCCAUGCUUCUUCUUCAUUGAACUUGACAUCACGACUAACAAUAAUCUUGUUAGUCAAUGGAUUAAACAACUUAUAUGCCUUGGCCUUUUCACUAUACCCAACAAGAAUGCACUUUUCUGAUUUGUCAUCCAAUUUUCUCCUUGUUUUAUCAGGAAUAUGAGAAUAAGCAAUGCUGCCAAAUAUCCUUAAGUGACUAAUACAUGGCUUGAGGCCACUCUAAGCUUCUUGAGGAGUCUUGCCUUCCACACUAUUGGACGAUGCACGGUUCAAGAGAUAUACAGCACAUGCCACUGCUUCUGCCCAAAAACGAUUAGGCAUUGCUUUUGCCUUCAACAUGCUUCUUGCCAAUUCCAUAACGGUCCUAUUUUUUCUCUCGGCCACACCAUUUUGCUGUGGGGUGUACCGAGCUGUGAACUGAUGCUUAAUCCCAUUUUCUUUUAGAAAAUUUUCGAACACAUUGGAUGAGAAUUCUCCACCUUGAUCAGACCGCAAGGUUUUCAAUGCAAAUCCACUUUGCUUCUCAGCCAAAGCUUUGAAAACUUUAAAGUAAUCAAACACCUCUGAUUUAUAUUUGAGAAAAUAGACCCAUGUCUUUCUGCUAUAAUCAUCAAUGAAUGUAAGAAAGUAGCGGUUACCUCCUGUUGAUGUUGUGUUCAUGGGCCCGCAUACAUCUGAGUGCACCAGCUCAAGAGGAUGGGAUGCUCUCCAAGAAUUUCCUGUAAGAAACGAAUUUCUCUGAUGUUUUCCCAGCACACAUGCUUCACAAACUUGUGUUUGAUGCUGUAUCGUUGGUAGGCCUCGUACCAUAUGUUGUUUCCCCAUCAAUGAUAGUGUAUUGAAACUCAAAUGCCCAUAGCGUAGAAGCCACAACCAUGAGGAAUCCUUGAUAAGUGCACUUAAGCAAGCAAAAGAUUCAUACUUUAUGUUCAGAGAAAACAUAUUGUCUCCUGACAUCUGCACCUUUGUAAUUAGAGAGUUGUACUUGUCUCUAAUUACACACUGGUCUUCCCUGAACUGAAUAUUAUGGCCUUUAUGAAGAAGUUGCCCCACACUAAGGAGAUUGUAAUUUAAAUCUGGAACAUAUAACACAUCAGAGAUUCUUUUUUGUUCUCCAGACUUGGAUAGAAAAAGAAUAUCUCCACAUCCUUUGGCCACUAGCUUUCCACCAUCACCAAUCCUUACUUCUGAGUUGUUGGUAUGCUUGAAAUUGACAAAGGCACUUUUGUUGCCUGUCAUGUGAUUACUACAUCCGCUAUCAAGAUACCAUUUUUCUGCACACACGUUUCCUUCCCUGGCAGCUGCAUAUGCAAGUAGAACCACAUUAUCAUUUUCCCUUUCAGAAGCUUUUUCAUGCACAAAGCUUGAUUCGGCUCCUCCAUUUGUUUUGUUUUUGCAUGUUGACUUGAUGUGCCCAUAUUGCUUGCAAUUGUAGCACUGAAUAUUAGAAAGAGAGGAACCUUGUUCUCUUCCUCUUCCUCUUGAAUAACCACCAUAAUCUCCUCUUCCUCUUGGAUAACCAUAAUCUCCUCUUCUUCUUGAAUAACCAUAAUCUCGUGCAGAGCCUUCAUCAUUAGUUUUUUUUAGGUCAUUUGCAUAGCCACGUCCUUGAUUAUUUCUUCCUCGUCCACGAGUAAAGCCGCCUCUUCCUCUUCUAGAACUUCCUCUGAAUGAGACUUGAGAUUGAAAAGCUUGCUCAACAGGGCCAGAGUCAAACUGCUUCAGUCGUAACUCAUGGGAUUGAAGAGAACCCAUUAAACUGUCAAGAGACAAAGUAGACAGAUCUUUGGAUUCUUCAAUUGCCACCACAAUAUAUUCAAACUUUCGGGGACAUACUUCGAAGAAUUUUUUCAGCAACUCUCUGAUCUUCAAUUUUUUCUCCAUUAAUUCUCAGUUGGUUGACUAGAGAAAUGACACGAUUGAAAUAGUCUUCAACAGAUUCUGACUCCUUCAUACGUAACAUAUCAAACUCACCUCUUAGAGUUUGCAGUCUUGCCAUCUUCACUUUAUCUUCUCCUUUAUAUGAUGCAAAGAGAGUGUCCCACGCCUGUUUUGAUGUAAUGCAUGAUGAGAUUCUUUCAAAGAUAGCUUCAUCCACUGCUUGAAAGAUAAAGAAUAAAGCUUUUUUGUCCUUCUUACGUGUCUCCUUCAGCUCUGUGAGUUGUUGUUGAGUGAGGACUGCUUGAUCAUUUGGCUCCACAAAGCCAUUUUCAACCACCUCCCACAAAUCUUGAGCAGCAUACAACACCUUCAUUUGGAUGCUCCAUUGACUAUAAUUCUUCCCUGUAAACUUUGGAAGCUGGGGCUGUAACAAGUUGUUGUUUGAAGCCAUAUGAUUCUGAGUUUCCAGCUCUGAUACCACUUUGAUGGAAUAAAAGAAUGAUAUUAUUGGUGGUGGGUACGGUUAUGUGGAAGUAAUAAUGGGUAAGAGAAGAAACUUGUUCUCUUGUGAUAAUCAAAAGACAGAAAGUAGUGGGACACUAUUUUAGAUAUGAUAAUGUUCCUUCCUUGAUUGAUGCAAAUGAAGAGAAAAGGGUGGCUUUAUAUAAUAGCCACUACCGACCUAACACAUUAAAAACACAACUAACACCAAACAUAGUUAAUUCAACUAACUUCUACCACACCAUUAAUUUAACACACAACUACUAACAAACUGCCAACUAUUUCAAAGUUACCAGCUGACUAUUAAUGAAGUCUAGAUUACUUUAACAGUAUCGAAUCUAGCUUUAAUAUGUAUUGGGUCCUCUGGACAAGAAUUCUAUCCUUUUCGUCCUAACUAAUAUGUAGGGGAAAAACAAUACAUCAAUUAUCCUUUUCGUCCUAACUAAUAUGUAGGGGAAAAACAAUACAUCAAUUAUGAAUUUUUUUUAUCUGGGUUCGAAAUUAAAUAUGAAUGGAGUUUUGGAGGCUUAAAAGUUAUAAGCUCAAGAAAGGAAGGAAACUAUAUGUACAUUUGGGUCGGAGGCAAAGGUCCAGUCAUCUACCGUCCAGGAUAUACAGUAUCAAAAAAGGCUUAAGAAUUGUAAUAAGGUGACAUACGCCCACAUACGGCCAACGCUAGCAUAUUUCGUAAGUGUAUUAUAUGUCUUCUAAGUAUAUCAUAGUUAUGUGUCAAUUUUAGAUCCAAUUGCACACCCAAAAUACAGAAACAAAAUCAUUGAGAAUACACUUUUUUUCACUUAUAUUUUGAAUAUGCAUUGCCUGUAUUUCAUGUGUAUGAUAUAGGGGCUUCACUUAUAGUUUUUGCACAAAACCUCCCUUGAUGAAGGAUGUCUUAGAUUAAUGACAUCAAUGAUUUGUUACAUUUGGAGUACCCAACAUAACAGCUCUCUGAUUAACAAUAAAGUUAUAAAAUUUCAACAGUUUCAUACCUAACAAGCAUAGAGAAACAAAUAAAACAACCACAUUGCUUCGAUCACUGUACAUGCACACAGCUCACUUUCACUAACUACAGAGGCUAUAUUUUCUACAUAUACACUAACUUUUUCUUUCUCCAGCUCUCUUACACCACCAGGCUGGUGACAAACCCAGCUCGCGUCAUGUGGAGGACCAAAAGGAAAUGACAAGGAGAAAACGGCUAAGGAGAGACUUACUCUCAACACUUAGAAGGCAGAGCAGAGAUAACAGAGCACACUGCUUGUAUAAAAGUGAGUAUGAGGAGAAAAAUAGCGGUAGCAAUUGAAAUAGUUGCCCAAGGUGUGUUGCAAUAGUUUUGUCUCAAGUUUGCCUGCCAUUUGUGCCAAGACGUUCUGCAGUACUUGUUGAGGUCUGCACAAAGAAUAGCAAAAUAGAAGUCAUUAGAGUCCACAAUGACCCCAUCUGCAAGGUUGUUGAUCAGAGUAGACCCUCCACUACUGUCACCGAGCAUAUUUUCGACGAUUCCUUGCUUAACAACCAACUCCACAUCCGUUGCGGUGUUCACAAAGCGAUCCACGAUGACAACAUAAUUGUUUAUGUAAUUCUCCAUGCAAUGGCAUUGUUCAAAGGCAAGGAGGUUUCUGAUUGUAAGCUCUGUCUCAUCACUUAUUGCUAAUUUUGGAAUUUCUAGAAUCCCAUUAGCGAAUUGUAUGUCGAAUAAGUUUUUGGGUGAUCCCACCUUAAACUUGACUCCUGCUCUGUGUAACUCUGUGAUGCUGGAUGUGUUUAAGAGUUUCAAGUCGCCCCUUAGCAGGUGGUUUCAAUGGUAGAGGUAGAUACAAAUUUCUACAAAAAUCUACAAAGUGUUCUACUUUAGAAGUACAUAAUUUCUCCAUAUUGCCAUCCGUUCCCUCUAUGUGCAUUAGAGUUUUGAAGAAAUUGUGGCAAAGGUUAAGCAUCGAAAGCCUCUCAAUAUUGUUAUUGUUAGAAGAGACUUUGAUUUUUUCGGGGUCAAAAAGUUCCUCAAGAAUGAAGAAUGGCAGCUGAUUUUCAAACAACCGCAUGUCAGGCCAUACGUCUGGCAACAGCCAUGGUUUGUUAAAUAUGCGGUCAAUUUCAUCCUGCAAUUCAUCGAAACGAUACCUCAACAAGACCUCAAUGAUGAAGGCGGCAUCCACUAGAAUGAUUCUCACAAAUUCAUCACUGCUAACCUGAAUGGUUUCUGCAUAACAACUGCGCAGUUUUGCUUCUUGGUCUUUUACUUUCUGUACAUAAUCGGCUAGGCUUACCCUGGUCCGACGUAUAUAAUCUUGUAAGUACCUCUUUUUGUGAUCUUCCAUGGCUUUUAGGCCUUCCUCGCCAUGAUGAAGUGGGCCUAUAGAGACUACCUGAGGUGUGUAGGCCUUUUCACUCACACGCCGUAGUCGUUCAGGAACUCUAUAAAUGCAACACAAGGAGGAGAGGGAAGACAAGCCAUCCAACUCCUCACUCAUUGAAGUUACUAAUGGAAUGCAAGGGUUUUCAAUAUCAUGUGGAGCUUGAUCGCUUCCUUCCAUUUUCCGCUGAUGUGUUUGUUGUUGUCAAUCAUAAUGGAUGAUAAUGAAAUGAUAGUCACUGACACAACAAUAAACAAAUUUUUCAAGAUGGCUGAGAAAAUUAAUACAAACAUUGCAAUUAUAAGACCAAACACACAAAGACUUUUGAUCCUUGUAACUCUUACAUACCACACUAGUGCCUUAAGAAUUCGAUUUGAAUGCACCAAAUUCAUUCAAAACUCUUCUGGUCAACUCUGUUUCUUGUAAUUAUUCUUGGAAGAUUCUAAUACAUUUUUGAUUGAAAAAUUCCUACUAAUCAUGUGAAUCAGUACCAAAGUUUAUUUCAAAUUAACAUACAAACCCCACUUUUUUUUUCCUACAUAUAUACUUCUUUAUUUCCCCUCAACUUAUUGGAGCUUCUAAUAAAGCAAAUUCUUUCUGUGAUGAUAUCAGAUAGUAGAUUAUGCUUCCAGUCAAAACAUAGACAAACCAAAAUCCCAUUAGAAGAGAAGAAAAUAAUAUACGACAUUCACAUAACCUUCUGCUCAAUUCCAAUUUCCAACUACAAUGAAACAUAAGACACUUAAAAGCUUCAAGAAAUUGGAUGUGCAAGCAAACAUAGCGAAAUUAUGAAAGACAGAGAAAGGUGUUGGGCAUUGAAAACAUACCUGAUACGUAUUGAAACACAAUUUUUUUUUGCCUUUGGUAGAUGGAGUAGCUAGAAAAGCUCAAUGCACUUGCUCUUCUGCUACAUUUCAAUAUAAGAACAUUGUUUGGAAGUCCGGUCAAUUCCUCAAAGCUUCCUUGCCUUUGUUUUGACAUGCCGAUGCCCGUCUUGGGGAAGUUUGAAUAAUCCAUUGCAGGCCCCAUGAUAGGAUUUUUAGUACUUGUGCAAACAGUGUUAAAAAUCACAUAAAAUACUUGCAAGAAUACAAGGCUAUUGUAGUAUAGAUGCUCAUGCAAGGUCGUUUUCCUCAAGGACUAAUUAGCAAUUUAUGUAAAAACAAAUUCCAAUUACUACUUAAAAUAAAAAGUCAAGAAAGAUGAUUAUAAAUUUGGUGGAUUCUAAAAAACAAAUAUUAAACAAAAACAAAUACGAUUGAAAGAAAGAGUUUUGAAUAUCAAUUUAUAAAAACACUAGGGUUUCACCAUCACCUAGCAAUCCUAUGAACUUUUACCAAUUACUUAUGAUUUGCACAUGCCACUUUGAAGGUUAGGUUUUCCUAAUGUAUAUUCUACUUGGAACCUCCAACACAGAACGUAUAUCCAACAUGCAACCCGUCCGGACGUUCGGAUCAAAUCUGAACAUGAAAGACUCAUUAAGUUUUGUGAAAACCCUUUGAAAAACCAUGCAACCCUUAAGACGUGGUGUUCAUCUUAAGUGAAAUUACAAUUAUUAAUCACAAGAAGCUAGCAUAAAUUUCAGGGAACCUUCCGACCAAAAUUGCAUCCAAUUACUUUUCUAAAGAUCCUAAUGGUGAUCAGGCAUUAAGACAAUUAGAUAGUUUAAAAUAGUGAUUAACAAUUCAAAAUACGCAUGCACUCAUCAUAAGCAAUUAAAUAAAAAUCACAUAUUCAUGCUAAGGUUCAAGGCUUCACCCUAGCAAAAGAAAUUUAGUUACGCAUACUCAUAAUUGAAAUCCAAGAAAAUAUCAUUAAGAAGAAAAGAACGAAAACACCUGAAAGUUGUGAAAACCCAAAACCCUAGCAAUUGCUCUCUACAAUGCAAAGUUCAAAAAUAAUUAAGAAGUCCUAAAUUCCUUGUGAGAAAGAGCUUAAAUAUCCCUUAAAACCUAGCUGCCAAUGUACAGCUUUUCUAUCCCUACAAGGAAACUAAUUAAAGUAAAAUAAUACUAGGAAAUAAAGUCCAAAUUGGAAUAGGAGAAUUUGCCCAAAAUCAGCCCAGCCACGUUUUGGCCCCAAAUCUCCUCCAAAUCUGGCCCAAGAUAGCUUUUUUUAAAGACACUACUACAAAAAGUGAAAAAGACGACCAGAAAACAACGACGGUCUAAGUGAAAACCGUCGUGGUUUUUAAAAAGACGACGGUUCUAAAAACACCGUCGUGUAAUACCACCUUAGACAACUAAAAAAUGGAGAUUCAAAUGGCUGUUCAAAAACAACGACGUACCUAAUUAAACAACCGACGUCUAUUUGAAACAGAUUUCCGCAGUGUAAAAUCAAAGCAAACAAAGAACGGCAGAAGUUAUGAAUAGACCGACGUAGAAAGUAAAGACGACGAUUUCAAUAAAAGCCGCCGUUUUUACUCAUAAAAUAACACGACGAGGUUUUCGUAUAAGACGCCGUAUAAUUACAAACAAAUCCACGGCUUUAAAAUACAAAAUAAUCUUAACAGAUGACACAGAUUUGCAAUCAGAGAGACAAUUUUUUGGAAGUUGAUCAACGUCGUUGAAAAUUUGCAAUCAGAGAGACAAUUUUCAACGACGGUUAUAUUAUACCUAACGACGUUUAAAAACAAAUCAACGUCGCUCAACAAAUAUAUUACGUCGUCUUAGUCUUACUUAAGACGACGAAAAACGACGACAGUAGUAAAAAAACAGUCGUUGUUUUUAUAUUCUUAUUUUAUUUAAAUCUGUCGUGUUAGUUAAAAACGACGGCAUAACAAAAAACCGUCGUUUUGUUUCAAACUGAAUUAAUUUAAAAUUUCUUCAGGAAAGCAAAAUCUAUUUAUAAUUUCCUCGGGUUAGUAAUAUUGUGUCGUGUUAGUUUACAAAUUCUAGAACAUUAAUUUCCCUCAUUUUAAAUUUUCUCGGGAAAGAAAAAUCUAUUUAUCACGCUUUGUAAUUGAAAACUAAAACUGAAAGAAUUCUGGAAAAAAAACUCUAUUUAUAAUUUAAAAAUAAAAUGCACGUCGGUUGUAGUACACUUAACGACGUUUAACAAAAUAAUCUACGUCGGUAAUUAUAAAUCUACCGCCAUCUUACCCUAAUAUAGACGACGAGAAAAGACGACGGUAGAACAGAAAACCGCCGUUGUUUCAGUUUCUUUAACAGUUUGGUCCUUUAUCUUUCUGCAGGACUUGUAUAGUUCAAAGCAUUGACAAUGUCUUCAUCAUAUCUCCCAGCAACUACUGAUUCGAUUGCUCAUGCUUUAGAGGCCAUCUGAAGCCAUUUCUAUUCUUUAUCGCAUUCUUGAAACCCAUCUUCUUCUUCUGAAGCUCUACGGAUAAAGGAANNNNNNNNNNNNNNNNNNNNNNNNNNNNNNNNNNNNNNNNNNNNNNNNNNNNNNNNNNNNNNNNNNNNNNNNNNNNNNNNNNNNNNNNNNNNNNNNNNNNNNNNNNNNNNNNNNNNNNNNNNNNNNNNNNNNNNNNNNNNNNNNNNNNNNNNNNNNNNNUUUUUUUUGGGGUUGGUUUUUUAUAGUAACCAGUUAUAACAGUAGUGGUUGUGCAAUGUUUGGUUCCCUUAAGCUUCGAUCCAACCGUGUAGCCAGCUUUAGGUCAAUGUCUCCCAAACCACUCGGGUUUUAGGGCACUAGGUGUAGAACACCCCUAAGGACUUAUUAACUCAAGCUGAAAAGGCUACGAAACCAACUAACCACCCUGCCUCAUGCCAAAACUCUACCUUUUGUCUCGAAAAUCACUGCUGAUUAGGCAGGACUGGCCCGGUUACUAGCAAAGCUUCGGGUGAGGCAAUUAUUACUUUAUAACACAUACUAACUUUAUUUAAAUUGAACAGAAAUUAAAACACACUUGGACAAAAAGUAAGUAUUCCAAUCUCACUCCCCAAAAACCAUAUUGGUGUGAUGUGCAAAUUUCAAAGUAUAAUUCAUGAAUUAGUGUCUAAGCAACAAUAAAUAGAAAAGACUCUACUGUGGGAUUGAUUUUCACUAUGUCCAUUUAUUCUAACGUUUAAAAUAAUCUAUGGAUAUUGACUGAAAAACGAAAAUUUUAAACAAGACUUAAAAAAAACUAAAAAUCUAAAAUUUACUUUCCCACCCCCUAACUUAAAUCACACAUUGUCCUCAAGGUGUGGUAAAUAAUCAAAAGAAACAAGAGCAGAAACAAAACGACUAAAUCCUAGAAAAUGAAAAUCAAAAAUAAAGAAAAUACUCUAAGAAAAGAAACUAGGAAGGAAAAAUAGAAGAAUAAUAAAAUAAAAUAAAAUAAGAAAGAAAAGGAGAAAAACAACAAUAGAAAAGAAAUAGGAAAGAAAAUACCCAAAAAUGAGACACCUUGGGGAUUCAAAGGCAGGACCAGGCGGAGUGUUGCGAAAAAGCGCUGACCAACUCAACCACGUCCACACUGGCAUCAAAUAGGAGCGACAGCUACAAUAUAACCUGCUGUAGCUGCUGCAUCUGUCAUUUGAAAAAUAUUGGAUUCCCUUCUCCUACCCCGAGCUCAGAGCCGAAAGGCUCUCUUCUGUCCAUUCCCAUUUUGCAGAAGAAAAAAGAAUAUUGCUGGAUAAACCAAAGCCUCCGCUGUGUCCAGAGAAUCAGAAAAGGUCUCUGAUUUCUCUCUUCUCAAGGCCAUCCAUCUCCGCCUUCACUCUUCUUCAUUCUCUCCAACACUCACGAUCCUUUCCUCUCUUUCAACCCAAUUACACCAGCGUUUUCAUCUGCGUGAGGAGGCCACAUUUGCAGCAAACACAACCAGUGAGGUUGAAUUAUCUGAUGCACCUGAAUUUUUGGAUGGUUUUGGAGUCCCUAGAUUCCUCAAAUUCAGAUCUGUCUCCAUCCAUGUCACCAGAUGCUAACUUGUUCCAAGAUGAAAACAAGCUGAAGCCGAACAAGAGUCUAUUCUCCACCAGUAAGGACCCCAGAUCUGUGCAUCCCGUAGGUAAACUUUCGAACCCCAGAACUGGUUUUUUUUUUUUUUUUUUUCCGUUUUUUUUUUGUUUUGAAAAUAAAAGAAGUAAAGAGUUUAGAAAAAUUGGGUUGCCUCCCAAUAAGCGCGCUAUUUUAAGUCUGUAGCUAGACUUUGCAGAAGCCUGGUGGUCAAAUCACUGGUUCCUUCAGAGUCAAAGACUCGGCUGCAAUGUCAAAGGGUGUCUCCACGUAGGGUUUUAGCCUAUGACCAUUCACCUUGAACGUGUUGCCUUUAUCUUCAUUAGUGAUUUGAACUGCUCCAUGAGGAAAAACUUGAGUCACUAGGUAGGGUCCAGUCCAGCGAGAUUUUAAUUUCCCUGGAAACAACUUGAGCCUUGAACUAAAUAACAGAACCUUUUGCCCUGGCUGAAAUUCCUUCCGUAAAAUUUGACUGUCAUGAAAUGCCUUAGUUCUUUCCUUGUAGAUGCGAGAACUAUCAUAAGCACCUUGACGAAUUUCCUCUAGCUCAUUUAACUGCAAUUUCCGCUUUUCCCCAGCUGAGUCAUAUGCAAAAUUUAACUCUUUAAUGGCCCAGUAAGCUUUAUGCUCCAGCUCCAUAGGUAGAUGACAGGCUUUCCCAUAAACAAGUCGGAAUGGUGACAUCCCAAUAGGAGUUUUAUAAGCUGUCCUGUAUGCCCACAAAGCAUCAUUUAGUUUGAAACUCCAAUCCUUGCGUGUAGAGCUCACUGUUUUCUCCAAAAUACGCUUUAUUUCUCUGUUUGAAACUUCAACUUGACCAGAUGUCUGUGGGUGGUAUGGUGUAGCCACGCGAUGAUUAAUCCCGUAUUUUGCCAGUAGGUUAGCAAAUGGUUUAUUAAUAAAAUGCUUCCCCCCAUCACUAAGAAUAACACGCGGUAUUCCAAAACGUGGAAAUAUAACCCCCUGGAGGAACUUCAGGACCACUGAUCCUUGAUUAGUUGGUGCUGCAAUGGCCUCGACCCAUUUUGAAACAUAUUCCACAGCCACUAAAAUAUAUUGGUGCCCAUUAGAAGAUGGGAAUGGCCCCAUGAAAUCAAUACCCCAAACAUCAAAUAGUUCAACAAUUAGGAUACUUUGUUGGGGCAUUUCAUUCCUUCUGGAUUGAUUGCCGACCCUUUGACACCGAUCACAUGCCUUGCACCAAUUCUGUGAAUCUCUAAAAAGUGUUGGCCAAAAUAACCCACUCUGUAGGAUUUUCUCUGCUGUCCUUUUCUGCGCAAAAUGUCCUCCUCAAGCAUAGUGAUGAGCAAACUUUAAAACACUUUCUUGUUCAGCCUCCGGAAUACACCUGCGAAUAAUCUGGUCUGCACAAUACUUGUAUAAGUACGGUUCAUCCCAGAAAUAGUGCUUUACAUCAGAUAAAAACUUCUUUUUCUGCUGGUAGGAAAAAUCUGGAUGCACCACACCCUUAGCCAAAUAAUUGACAAUAUCUGCAAACCAAGGUGUGUCAAUUUUGACAGCAAAUAGCUGUUCAUCUGGGAAACUUUCACUCAAUGGUAGAGAAUCUGCCUCUGUAGCUGCUGGAAUAAUUAAUCUAGAUAAAUGAUCAGCCACAACAUUCUCACUGCCCUUCUUGUCUUUAAUCUCUAAGUCAAAUUCUUGAAGUAAGAGAACCCAACGAAUCAAUCUAGGCUUUGCAUCCUUCUUAGACAACAAGUAUUUUAGUGCAGCAUGAUCUGUAUAGACAAUUAUUUUAGCCCCAACCAAAUAAGACCGAAAUUUCUCUAGUGCGAACACAACUGCCAACAAUUCCUUCUCUGUAGUUGCAUAGUUAAGCUGUGCAUCAUUUAGAGUACGACUUGCAUAAUAGAUGACAUGGGGAAGCUUAUCUUUUCGCUGCCCUAAAACUGCCCCGACAGCAUAAUCUGACGCAUCACACAUUAGUUCAAAUGGUAAAUCCCAAUUUGGUGCAGCAAUGAUGGGUGCCGAAGUUAGGAGUGCUUUCAACUUGUUGAAUGCUUCUAAACAGGCCUUAUCAAAAUUAAAUGGUGCAUCCUUAGCCAAUAAAGUGCACAAAGGUCGACUAAUCUUGGAGAAAUCCUUGAUGAACCGACGAUAAAAACCUGCGUGUCCUAAGAAGGACCUCACACCUUUUACUGAUGUAGGAGGUGGCAGCUUUGCAAUAACUUCAAUCUUUGCCUUGUCAACCUCGAUGCCUUUGCUAGAAAUUGAAUGACCCAAGACAAUUCCCUGUUCAACCAUGAAAUGCCACUUUUCCCAGUUUAGCACUAAAUUUGUCGCUUGACAUCUCUGAAGAACUAAUGAUAAAUUCUGUAAGCAUUGAUCAUAUGAAUCCCCAAAAACAGAAAAAUCAUCCAUAAAAACUUCCACAAUAUUUUCGACCAAGCCAGAAAAAAUACUCAUCAUACAACGUUGAAACGUAGCAGGUGCAUCGCAUAAUCCGAAUGGCAUCCUCCGAUAAGCGUAAGUACCAAAUGGACAAGUGAAAGUAGUCUUCUCUUGAUCCUCUGGUGCUAUUGGAAUCUGAUUAUACCCAGAAUACCCAUCAAGAAAACAGUAAAAAGCCCGCCCAACCAACCUUUCUAACAUCUGGUCAAUAAAAGGCAAUGGAAAAUGGUCUUUUCUCGUCCCUGUGUUAAGCUUCCGAUAAUCUACACACAUUCUCCAACCCGUAGUCAAUCGUGUAGGAACUAACUCAUUAUUAUCAUUUUUCACCACUGUAAUACCGGUCCGUUUAGGCACAACUUGAGUCGGGCUAACCCAUUUACUGUCAGAAAUAGGAUAAAUCAUACCUGCAUCAAGUAAUUUCAUAACCUCUGUUCUAACCACCUCUUUCAUAAUUGGGUUAAGGCGGCGUUGAGCAUCAACUGUUAGCUUUACGUCGUCUUCCAUUAAUAUUCUGUGCAUACAUAGUGCUGGGCUGAUUCCCUUGAUAUCCGCAAUUGUCCAUCCCAAUGCAUCUUGAUAUUUUCUCAAUACACGAAGCAAUUUAUCCUCCUCUGUCGGUGUUAAAUCUGCUGCAAUUAUAACUGGCAACGUCUCUGCAGCUCCUAAAUAUGCAUAUUUAAGAUGUUGUGGUAAAGGCUUCAGCUCCAAUUUUGGCGGCUGCUGUCUGGAUGGUUUAAGGGGCUGUUUGGGCUCCCCUAAACUCUCAUACACAUUCCUAAAUUUUGGCAACACUGUGGGCAGACUGUUCAAUGCGUGUAUGUACUCAUGAACACCUUCAUCUUCAAAAUCUGUCUCAAAUGCCCCCUGUAAAACAUGCAACAACUGAUCUGUUUUUGAAUUAGCAUAAAAUCUGUCCUGCACCAUACUGUCUACCAUGUCAAUACGCAUACAAUCUAGCUGUUCAGCAGGACGUUUUGUUGCCGCAAACAAAUUAAACACCACAGAUUGGUCCUGAACCCGUAAAGUCAAUGUUCCAGCUUCCACAUCAAUUAAGGUCCUAGCUGUUGCCAUAAACGGCCUCCCCAAAAUAAUAGGUGUUUGAAGGUCUUCAUCCAUGUCUAAAACCACAAAAUCUGCCGGUAGAUAAAGAUUAUCAACCUUAAUAAUUAGAUCUUCAAUAACACCUCUUGGAUAAGUGAUUGAACGGUCAGCUAGUUGAAGUAUAAUUGAUAUAGGCUUUAAAUCUCCUUGCCCCAAUCGCUGAAAAACAGAAAAAGGCAUCAAAUUAAUACUUGCACCCAAAUCAAUUAAAGCACUCUUAAAAUUAGAAUUUCCAAUAGUGCAAGAAAUAUUAAAACUCCCUGGAUCUUUUUUCUUAGGUGGUAGUUUGUGUAGCAAAACUGCAUUGCACUGUUCUGUCAAAAUAACUUUUUCCAAAUCUGAAAGCUUCUUUUUGCUGCUGCAAACUUCCUUCAAAAAUUUGGCAUAUGAUGGAAUUUUCUUGAUUGCAUCCAGUAAGGGAAUGUUGAUUUGAACCUUGGAUAAUGUCUGCAUAAAGUCCUUGAGUUGCUGAUCUUUUACUUUUGGCUUCAAACGUUCUGGAUAUGGAAUUGGGGCCUCAUAAACACGCUCAGGUACUUGUUUUGGAACAGUUUCUAGAUCUGCCAUAUUAUGUUUUUCUACAGGUUUGGCAGGUUCUGCUGCUGCAAAAUUUUCUGUAUGAUCCUCCACUGCAUGCUGCUCCUUUUCAAUGUUAUUUUCACGAUUGUCAUAGCUUUUUCCACAUCGUAAAGUCCGAACAACUUUGCAAUCUUCACGUCCAUUUGGAUUAGGAAUUGUUUGACUAGGAAAUUUGCCCUUUUAUCUGUCUGAAAUCUGUGUAGCUAGUUGUCCAAAUUGUUGCUCCAAACUUUUAAUAGAUGCUUCAACAUUUUGAAAUCUUUGAUUGUUGCCCUCGAUGAAUGAUUGAGUUGUUGCUGCCAGUUUAGCAAGUUGAUCUUCCAUAGAUGGUUUGGAGGGAACAAAAGGUUUUUGUGCAUGCUGGAAUGGUUUGGCAUUAGUCUGAUUGUCACCCCAUUUGAAAUUAGGGUGAUCCCUCCAUCCAGGAUUGUAAUGAGUUGCAUAUGCAUCAUUCCUAGGCCUUUGAUAGCUGUUCAUCAUAUUGACAUGUUGUUCAACAAGCUCUGGGUAAGAGUCUCUAUGUGGGCAGCCCAUUAUGUCAUGUGUAGCCAUACUGCAUAUAGUGCAAACUGUUGAUGUAGGUGGCUGCUGUGUAGAACUUGCUAUAUGUUGUAGAAGCAUAUCAAACUUUGCAUCAAUUUUCUUAUCCAUUUUUUCCAUUUGUGCAGACAUGUUGGGAGAACCUACUGAUAACUCAAAAAUGCCCCUUUUCUGUGAAUGUUCUGCUGCCCAUUGCUGAGAUUCUGUAGCCAUCAUAUCAAACAGUUCAAAUGCCUCUCUUGCAGAUUUAUUUGAUAAUGAUCCUCCAGCUGAUGCAUUCACAUGGCUCUUAGAUGUAGGAUUAAGCCCAUCAAAGAAAAUAUUCAUUUGUGUAUCUGAAUCAAUUUUAACAUGUGGACACUUUAUGUACAUCUUUGUAUAUCUCUCCCACGCUUCAUGAAACUCUUCAUUAGGCUUCUGUGUGAAUGUCAAAAUCUCCCUCUUGUAAUUCAAUGUCUUGGAUGCUGGAUAAUAUUUGUUCAGGAAUUUUGUGUGUAACUGCUGCCAAGUAGUAAUGCUAUUAGCUGGUAGAGUGAAUAACCAAGUUUCUGCCUUGUCCUUCAAAGUGAAAGGGAAAAGACGUAACUUAAUAGCCUCAGCAGAAAAACCCCUAAUCAAAAUAUUCUUGCAACCCACAAUAAAUUUUGCAAUAUGUAUGUUUGCAUCUUCAUUAGGCAAUCCCCGAAAAGUAGGUAGAAUUUCAAGCAUAUGGUGCCUGAUCUCGAACGAAUCACCCUCUUCUUGUUCAGGAUACACAAUGCAAUUGGGAACAUCAGUGGCACGGGCUUCCAAUGACUCCCUGAGUGGUCUACCUGCCGCAGGUAAUUCUAACGCCAUGUUACUCUCGUUUGCAAACAGAUCCUGCAGAAAAGUGCCCUGCAGUGAACAGUCCCAAGCCCAAGUAACUUCUCUCCGCUGUCUAUGCAGUGUGCGCUCUGGUUCUGGAUCAAAUUGUACAAUCUGUGUAGUUCCUGAUCUGGUCUGGACCAUGCAGUCUGCAAAAUCUGCAACAGAAACAAAAUUGUUCAAUUUCAAUUUUUUUUUUUGGACGAAAAUUAAAAAUAAAAUAAAAUGAAAUAAAUCAGAAAAAGGUUAAACAAAAAUUGUCUAAAAUAGUCCCCAGCAACGGCGCCAAUUUCUUGAUAGGAUUUUUAGUACUUGUGCAAACAGUGUUAAAAAUCACAUAAAAUACUUGCAAGAAUACAAGGCUAUUGUAGUAUAGAUGCUCAUGCAAGGUCGUUUUCCUCAAGGACUAAUUAGCAAUUUAUGUAAAAACAAAUUUCAAUUACUACUUAAAAUAAAAAGUCAAGAAAGAUGAUUAUAAAUUUGGUGGAUUCUAAAAAACAAAUAUUAAACAAAAACAAAUACGAUUGAAAGAAAGAGUUUUGAAUAUCAAUUUAUAAAACCACUAGGGUUUCACCAUCACCUAGCAAUCCUAUGAACUUUUACCAAUUACUUAUGAUUUGCACAUGCCACUUUGAAGGUUAGGUUUUCCUAUUGUAUAUUCUACUUGGAACCUCCAACACAGAACGUAUAUCCAACAUGCAACCCGUCCGGACGUUCGGAUCAAAUCUGAACAUGAAAGACUCAUUAAGUUUUGUGAAAACCCUUUGAAAAACCAUGCAACCCUUAAGACGUGGUGUUCAUCUUAAGUGAAAUUACAAUUAUUAAUCACAAGAAGCUAGCAUAAAUUUCAGGGAACCUUCCGACCAAAAUUGCAUCCAAUUACUUUUCUAAAGAUCCUAAUGGUGAUCAGGCAUUAAGACAAUUAGAUAGUUUAAAAUAGUGAUUAACAAUUCAAAAUACGCAUGCACUCAUCAUAAGCAAUUAAAUAAAAAUCACAUAUUCAUGCUAAGGUUCAAGGCUUCACCCUAGCAAAAGAAAUUUAGUUACGCAUACUCAUAAUUGAAAUCCAAGAAAAUAUCAUUAAGAAGAAAAGAACGAAAACACCUGAAAGUUGUGAAAACCCAAAACCCUAGCAAUUGCUCUCUACAAUGCAAAGUUCAAAAAUAAUUAAGAAGUCCUAAAUUCCUUGUGAGAAAGAGCUUAAAUAUCCCUUAAAACCUAGCUGCCAAUGUACAGCUUUUCUAUCCCUACAAGGAAACUAAUUAAAGUAAAAUAAUACUAGGAAAUAAAGUCCAAAUUGGAAUAGGAGAAUUUGCCCAAAAUCAGCCCAGCCACGUUUUGGCCCCAAAUCUCCUCCAAAUCUGGCCCAAGAUAGCUUUUUUUAAAGACACUACUACAAAAAGUGAAAAAGACGACCAGAAAACAACGACGGUCUAAGUGAAAACCGUCGUGGUUUUUAAAAAGACGACGGUUCUAAAAACACCGUCGUGUAAUACCACCUUAGACAACUAAAAAAUGGAGAUUCAAAUGGCUGUUCAAAAACAACGACGUACCUAAUUAAACAACCGACGUCUAUUUGAAACAGAUUUCCGCAGUGUAAAAUCAAAGCAAACAAAGAACGGCAGAAGUUAUGAAUAGACCGACGUAGAAAGUAAAGACGACGAUUUCAAUAAAAGCCGCCGUUUUUACUCAUAAAAUAACACGACGAGGUUUUCGUAUAAGACGCCGUAUAAUUACAAACAAAUCCACGGCUUUAAAAUACAAAAAUAAUCUUAACAGAUGACACAGAUUUGCAAUCAGAAGAGACAAUUUUUGAAGUUGAUCAACGUCGUUGAAAAUUGCAAUCAGAAGAGACAUUUUCAACGACGGNNNNNNNNNNNNNNNNNNNNNNNNNNNNNNNNNNNNNNNNNNNNNNNNNNNNNNNNNNNNNNNNNNNNNNNNNNNNNNNNNNNNNNNNNNNNNNNNNNNNGGAAGUUGAUCAACGUCGUUGAAAAUUUGCAAUCAGAGAGACAAUUUUCAACGACGGUUAUAUUAUACCUAACGACGUUUAAAAACAAAUCAACGUCGCUCAACAAAUAUAUUACGUCGUCUUAGUCUUACUUAAGACGACGAAAAACGACGACAGUAGUAAAAAAACAGUCGUUGUUUUUAUAUUCUUAUUUUAUUUAAAUCUGUCGUGUUAGUUAAAAACGACGGCAUAACAAAAAACCGUCGUUUUGUUUCAAACUGAAUUAAUUUAAAAUUUCUUCAGGAAAGCAAAAUCUAUUUAUAAUUUCCUCGGGUUAGUAAUAUUGUGUCGUGUUAGUUUACAAAUUCUAGAACAUUAAUUUCCCUCAUUUUAAAUUUUCUCGGGAAAGAAAAAUCUAUUUAUCACGCUUUGUAAUUGAAAACUAAAACUGAAAGAAUUCUGGAAAAAAAACUCUAUUUAUAAUUUAAAAAUAAAAUGCACGUCGGUUGUAGUACACUUAACGACGUUUAACAAAAUAAUCUACGUCGGUAAUUAUAAAUCUACCGCCAUCUUACCCUAAUAUAGACGACGAGAAAAGACGACGGUAGAACAGAAAACCGCCGUUGUUUCAGUUUCUUUAACAGUUUGGUCCUUUAUCUUUCUGCAGGACUUGUAUAGUUCAAAGCAUUGACAAUGUCUUCAUCAUAUCUCCCAGCAACUACUGAUUCGAUUGCUCAUGCUUUAGAGGCCAUCUGAAGCCAUUUCUAUUCUUUAUCGCAUUCUUGAAACCCAUCUUCUUCUUCUGAAGCUCUACGGAUAAAGGAAGAGGCUAUCACAAAUCUGACGGAUCUUCUUAGUCAAAAAAAUCAAGCAGAGGAUCAGGCACAUCUGAUCUUCAGAUUUCCCUGAGAAGCGAACUUUCCUUCGACAGCGAGUGGAGGCCAGGCUUGCAUCUCUUUUGAUGGAAAGCAAGGAGUAUUCAGAAGCACUAAGUGUCCUAUCAGGCUUGAUCAAGGAAGUGAGAAGGCUAGUUGACAAGCUUCUUCUUGUCAACUAGCCUAAAUGUAAGCUCAAUUUCUCUUUGAGAAAGACCUCCAAAUUAUUGUCUUUGAGAUGUGAGAGACAGUGUCUCUGAGAGAGGAAGAACUUGGAACCCUAAAUGUAAACCGCGAAAAUGAAUGAAAGCGACAAAUUUAUAGAAUAAAUUUUUAAAACCAACGGCGGUACUUACCAAGAAACCGCCGUUUCAAUUGUAAAAUCAACGUCGGUAUUACUGACGUAUAUUACAGAACUCCACGUCGGUACAUUAAUAAUCACGACGUCUUAAAUAAUCUACCAUGACGCGAGUUAUUACUUAUGUACUUUAAUUUUUGAGUUUACUACGACGGUACCUACAACACUACUGUCGUAUUUAUUUACCACGUCCGAAGUUAAAUUUACCGACGUAUUUUGUACUUUAUACGUCGUAGUUAUAUGUAACCGCCGUAUUAUUUUUUUGAAAUGGUUUUAUAUGUAAGCAACUUUUCGUCUACUUGACUUACACAUUAGUUGUUUUUAUAUUCUUAUUUUAUUUAAAUCUGUCAUCCAAAAAAGAAACUUUACAUAUUGCAGAAUAUUAAUUUCCUUCGUUUUAAAUUUCCUCCGGAAAAAAAACUCUAUUUAUAACGCACUGUAAUUGAAAAAUAAACUGAAAGGUCACGGGAAAAAAAAUUCUAUUCAUAAUUUAAAAAUUAAAAUCCACGUCGGUUAUAUUAAACCUAACGACGUUAAAUGAAAUGAUUCCACGUCGAACGAAAAAUAUUUCGUCGUGUUAGUUAAAAACGACGUAGUUAAAUGUAACCGCCGUAUUAUUUUUUUGAAAUGGUUUUAUAUGUAAGCAACUUUUGGACUUACACAUGCACUGUUUCCAAACCCGAUUAAAAAUUUCAAUCUCCAGAGAAACCUUUUCGUCUUUUUUCCUUGUCAGAGCAUUAUCAGAGUUUCUCAUCGUCUUCCUCUCGUCUUCUUCGUCGUCCUUGAACUUAAACAUCGAUCAUCUUCCUCUUGCUUUCAUUGCACGCAAAAGGUAAGCUUUCAUUUUCACUAUUUUGGUUACUGUUUUGCAUGCUCAUACGUUUUUUGUUUGAAAAAUCUUUUUACCUUUUUUCUGGCCAAAAUCAUUUUACUUCUUUCCAAGUUUGAUAAAAUAUACAGACAAAAAGGGAAAGUUUCCAACUUUGAAGACAACUACCUCAACUAAAUGAGACGACGGUAGACCACGACGGUUCGUCAGUUGUUCUAGCGUCGUCUGAAAAUUGACAAAGUUGUUUUUAAAAUAAUAGUCUUUUUUUAUAUGCUUGUUUAAUUGCAGGUUUGAUUUCUCUGAACAAUGGUUUUUGUUUUUCCCUUAUUUGAUAAAAUAUAAAGAAAAAGAAACUAGGGUUGGUAUCUAAUAUAGACGACAAAAUAUCUUAUUGUUUUACGUCGUGUGAAUGUUAAUACCACGACGGUGUAUUACUAUUAACGUCGUAUGAACAUAAAUACCACGACGUUAUAUAAAUAAUAGUUUACCACGACGGUGUAUUACUAUUGACGUCGUGUGAACAUAUAUACCACGACGUUAUAUAAAUAAUGGUUUUAAACAUUUAUUACGUCUGAGAUUAUUUCAUUGCGUCGUCUAAAAUCAUAUCAUACGUCGUAUUUUUUUAAUACCGUCGUUUGUGUUCUUAAUGUUUUCCUGAAAUAUUUUCACUUGCAGUUUUGUCUGUUAAAAUGGUUUCUCAACAACAAACUAAGGAUUCUGGCUCCAAGAAGCUUGGAAUGGUAGCUCCUCAAGACAAGUCUUCGAAGGAGAUGAAGUCUUCGAAGAAGAUGAAGUUUGCUUCAUCAUCUGCUGAGACAGAACCAACCAGCCAGACAACAAUCUCUGAUGAUUCAAAGACUGGUCGAGGCAUGAGCACAAUGCCUCGUGUUGUGAAGAGAAAGCUUCAGAAACUGAGGCCAAUUGUUGAGUACAAUAAAAGGGGGAAAGGUGUUGGCCAAGCACAUAUUGAGAUGCAGUCGUAUAUUGGUGUGUUGGCACGCUCCAGGAUCCCACUUGUGGACAAGAAAUGGUCCCAAAUCCCCAAGGAUAUAAAGGAGCAGAUUUGGGAAGCAGUUGACAUGGCUUUUGUCGUAGGCCAAGGGGGCAAGACCUCUGUUUUAGCUUCUGCUUCCAAGAAAUGGAAGGAUUUCAAGUCUACACUAACGAGGCAUUAUAUCCUUCCAUACACCAAUGACAGGGAGAAAUUAAGCCAACCCCCUGAAACAUAUAAAUUCAUAGAGAAAGCACAAUGGGAUGCCUUUGUAGCUUCAAGGCUAUCCAAAGAUUUUGAGUCUGUGCAUUCUCAACAUGCACAGAUUAGGGAGAAACUCGAGUACAAUCAUCGAUUGUCUCGAAAAGGAUAUGCUGGAUUGGAGGAUCAAUUGGAGGAAACCAUGCCUGGGGUAGAAAUUGAUCGAUCUACCUUAUGGAAGAGAGCUAGACAGGACAAACAUGGUAACAUCCCUGAUCCAAAGGUGGCAGAGAAAGCAAAAUUAAUUGUAAGCCUACUAUCACUCUGUUUUAAAUUUUUAUUAAACUGUGAAUUAUUCUUAUUACGUCGUAUGUUAUAUUUUUCGUCGUGUGAAUGAUAUUACCACGUCGAAAAGUUUUUAAAAACGUCGUUAAAGGUCUAAAUAGGAAUCACUACUAAUUUUCUGUAAUUAUAGCAUAAGACGUCGGUGGUUCAUUUUCGCGUCGUUUGAAUGAUAUUACCACGUCGAAACUUUUUUAAAAACGUCAUUAACGGUCUAAAUAGGAAUCACUACUCUGUUUUCUUUAAUUAUAGCAUAAGACGUCGGUUGUUUAUUCAUUUCGUCGUUUUAAAUAAAUAACCACGUCGGUAUAACUACCGUCGUGAUAAGUUAUAAUAACGUCGGUUUAUACGUUAUUGCGUCGUGUGAAAUUAUAUAAUACGUCGUUUGUACAUAAAUAACCGUCGUGUGUUUUUUUGUUUAUCUUUGUUUUAGGAUGAAUUGCAGAAACAAGUCUCGGAAGGCAAAGUCAGAGUAGAUGGCAGCAAUGAUGUGCUGACCAUGGCUUUGGGCCCCGAGCAUCCAGGCAGAGUGAGGGGAGUUGGUGCUGGUGUUUCCCCAAGGCAAUAUUUCAAUUUGCCCAAACCACAGAGGGUGAGCUUUGACGACCAUUUGAAGGACAGUUUAAGAGUUCUCCUUCAAGAAGAGACUAAAAAGAUGGAGGCUAAGGCAAGGGAAGAGGCCUUAAGAAUGGAGGCUAGGACAAAACAAUUGGUAGAGGCUGAGAGGGAGCAUUUCCUGAGUCAGCUUUCCCAAUUAAUUCCCAAUUUUGAUCCAAGCAUGCUUAAACCAAGAAUUAGCCAAAGCCCCAAAAAUCCAAUGUCUGACAAAGCUAGCUGCUCUGGAGGUGAUGUGAGAUCCCUACAUUUGGAGGAUGAUACUGCCAAAAUGGGGAAACAUCAGCCAGAUGAAGAGAAGGAAGAAGAAAAAAGAGAUGAAGAGAAGGAAGAAGAAAAGGAGAAAGAAGAUGAAGAAAAGCAUGACGACAAGGUAUGUUCACAUAACUUUGCCUUUUUUAUUUGUUUUUCAAAAUUUCAGACGUCGAUAUUUUUAUUUAAUCCGUCGUUUGUUUAAAACUUAGACGGCGGACUUUUUUUAAGACGUAAUAAAAUAUUUAAACGACGGUUUUUGCACCGUCGUUUAAAUGGUUUCAGACGACGCUUUAUUCAUAAAAUCGUCGUCUUUAUUGAAUUACCACGACAGUUUUUUCACCGUCGUUUAAAUACUUUUAAGACGACGUUUUAUUCCUUAAACCGUCGUCUUUGUUGAAUUACCACGUCAUUUUUUUUAUUUCUUUAAACAGGUUAUUGAAGUUGGUGCUUAUUCAAAUAUGGAGGCGCCAUCUUCUUUAAAAACCCUUUGUCGUUUUGUGGAAACGACACUCCUGCCUGAGGAUAAGACACUCCAAUUUACAAUUGAUAAGGAGGUGUUUGGUGGUGAGCGCGAUACCUUCCUCCUGCCUGAAGAUAUUACACAAUUUGCAGGCAUGGAAGAAAUUGGAGCUACUGUAUUGGCUGUAUAUAUGAGGUUUGUACUUCUAAAAUAAUACCUCGUUGGUUUAUAUAUUGCGUCGUCUUAACUAACUAACCACGUCGUCUUAACUAACUACCGUCGUGAUAAAUAUAUUAUAACGUCCUCAUCUAUUUCAGUACGUCGUGUGAAAUAUUAUAAUACGUCGUUUUUUUAUACAUAACCGUCGUGUUUGUUUGUGCUGACUUGUUUAUAUUAUUUUAUGUAUUUAGGUACUUACACGAUGUUUUGAAACAAGCCAAUAUGUGCAGCAUGGUUGGCUUUAUCGACCCUGCUACAGUUAGUGCCAACUCUGGCACAAUAACUGAAAGAUCACGACUGGUAGCAGCUCGACUUCAGAAGACAGACGGUGAACAGAUUUUCAUGAUGCCUUACAAUCCAGGGUUAGUCUCCUUAGGAUUUUGUUUUUAUGAUUUUCAAUAAAUGACAGCUUAUAAACUAACCACGUCGGUGUUUUAUUUUAUUUAGUCGUUUGAAACUACUAACCACGUCGGUAUUUAUUUAUCGUCGUGAUAAAUAUAUAAUGUCGUCGUUAUCUACUUUAUUUCGUCGUGUGAAAUACUAUAAUACGUCGUUUUUGUAAAUAACCGUCGUUUUUAUAUUCAUUUUGUGCAGCCGUCAUUGGAUCUUGCUGAUUGUAAGAGCAAAGAAGGAGACCGUCUAUUUUCUGGAUCCUCUGCCAGGUCAUCGUGUGGUCGACGAAGAGGCGAAAAACAUCGUGAACAGUGCUUUAAAAAUAUAUAAUACCCACAUAGCCCGAGCACGACGUAAAAAUGUAAUUUGGAAAACUCUCUCAGGCACACCAAAGCAACCCAGCAAUGUCGAAUGCGGGUACUAUGUGAUGCGCUUCAUGAGGGACAUCAUCAUGGAUCCUUCCUUGGGGUUUGAGAAUAAGGUAAGAAGAAAUUACCUUCAUACAUUUCACGUCGUUUUUUGUAUUAUCAACGACGGUCAUGUAAAAUUAACGUCGUUGAAUGGAUAUACUACGUCGGUUAUGAAAAAUAUCGUCGUCUGUGAUUGAAUUUCUUUUUAUUUAUAAACCCUAAUAGUCAUUGUUUAUGCAGUAUGCCAAGGGAAACCAGGAAGCUUCAUACCCCCAAGAAGCCAUUGAUGAAGUCCGGAAUGAAUGGGCAGAGUUUGUUUUCCAAAUUAUUAAACAGGGCAAUUAUUGAACACUUGAUAUUUAUGUAUAAUGUACAAAUUUUCUCUAUAAUAUGUAAUGUAAAAAUUUGUUGAGGUUUUCUUAAAUUAAAAAAAAAACAAACAUACAAAUUGCUUAACCGACGUGUAAUACUUUUCCAACGACCUAAUAAAGUCAAAAACCGUCGUAUUUUGUUGUUUCGUGUUUUAAACAAAUACGACGUAAAAAUAUAGUUAGACGACGUUCUUUGAACAAUUGAGUCGUUUAUGGUUUACAACAUCUUCAAUUUCUUAAGGGUUCAGGGUAUCAUCGACGACGUUUAUGUAACGACAGCGGUUAAGUCGUGGAAUAUAUAUUUUACGUCGUAUAGUUAAAUAGCCGCCAUGGUUUCUCAUUUUAACGACGUCAUUUUAACGACUUAGUAGUCUAUUACAAUUUACAACGUCUACAAUUUAUUAACACCGACGUGGUUUGUUGUUGUGGUAAGAAUAUUUUAUUAUUUUUAUAUCAAAAUAUUCAAAAUAAAUUUAAAAUAAAUCAGAAAAUUGAAAAGUCAUCUCCUAUGAAGUCAUUGAUAUAUUUUCUUCCACAUAAACCUUGAAAAAAUUCAUUUUGAAUAACAAAAAUUUAAAAUGACCAUCCAAAACAAAAUUGUUUUGAUGAGUCAUAAAAUCACUUCUAGUUUUAUGGUUUAGGGUUUAGAGUCUAGGGUUUAGAGAUUAGGGUUGUUAUUUGUUGGGGUUUAUUUUUAAAGUAUAAUUUUUGGGUAGUCUAGGGUAUAUGUUAGGCUUUAAAACCAUAAAACCUUUUAUAAACUUAAUUUUUUAAAUUGUAUAAUUUAGUUUUAUGGGUUUAGGGUAUUAAUUUUUAACGACGGUGGUUGCGUCGUGGAAUACAUAUUUUACGUCGUACAGAAAAACAUACGACAUGGUUUACGCUUUAAACGACGUCAUUUUAAUAUGUAAGUCGGUUUAUAUAAUUUACAACGUCUUUAAUUUCUUAACACCGACGUGGUUUUUCAGUCGUCGUUAUAUAAAAAAUUCAAAAUAAAUUUAAAAUUAAUCCGAAAAAUGAAGCUUCAAAAUGAACGGCCUUACGUUCUUAAUCCGAAAAAUGAAGUUUCCGUCGUGGAAUAUUAAAUUUACGUCGGUACUUGUAGAACUUUCGCCUUGGUUUUUCUUUCGACGUUUUAAAACGCGCGAGCUCUAAAAAUUUUCGCGUGACCUAAAUUUUUUUAGAUUUGGCUCUUAUUCUUAUACUUCGAACCCUGAAACCUAAAAUUUUCAGAUUUCGCUCUCUCACUUCUGCUCUAAUUAAAAGUUGCACUCUCCAGGCUUCGUCGAAUCUGUGAGCUCGUCCAACCUGUAAGUACAAACCCUAUCUUCCCCUUGUAAAUUCAUUGAAUGAUAUUAGGUUGUUUUGUUAAAGGGUUUUAUGUGUAUGCUUUGCGAUCUGUUAAUAAUGUGCUUAUAGGUAUGGGUUCAUAGAUUUUCUGUUUAAUGGGUUCAUGGAUUACAUUAUCUGUUAUGUUGAAUUGGGAAUGGAUUUAAUUUUGUCGUAUCUUUUAAUCACCCUAUGUUAUGUUGAAUUGGGAAUGGAUUUAUUGUUUUCAUGCUUGGUUUCAUGUAUAUGUUGGUUUCUUGCUUGGUUUCAUAUAUAUGUUGUGUUCUUAAUGGGUUUUGUGUUCUUGAAAAUAAACUGAGACACGACAAAUUUUAAGGCAUACGACGACGAUUACACGACGGUUUUUUUAAACUACCGUCGUUGUAUUACUUAUACAAGACGGUUUUUUCAUAAACCGUCGUUUGUAUUACUUAUAAUAGACGACGUCUGUUGAAAAUCCGUCGUCUAUAUAUGCCAAAUACGUCUGUUUUUGUUUAAAACCCGUCAUCUCUGUUGUGUAUUACUUGCGAUUAGAUCAUUGUAUAAUCUGCUAUAGUGAUGGUCAUUGCCUGUAUUUUCACUUUAUUAUAGAUAAUAGGUUAUAGUGUCGGAGAUGGAUAAGUCAUGGAUGCACUCGGAUAGAAGAUCGAAGGCAUAUGAAUUUGGGGUGGAAGCAUUUUUGAACUUUGCUUGAGAAGUACUUUCCCCCUUCAUUCUUUGAUAUCAUGGUUCAUCUAGUAGUACAUCUUGUCAGAGAAGUUCGUCUAUGUGGGCCAGUAUAUUUUAGGUGGAUGUAUCCGUUUGAAAGAUAUAUGAAAGUGCUGAAGGGGUAUGUUCAGAAUCGUACUCGUCCCGAAGGUUGCAUUGCUGAGCGGUAUAUAGCUUAAGAAGCGGUAGAGUUUUGUACUCAGCAUUUAUCUGAUGUUAGUACAGUUGGAGUGCCUUCAAGCCAAAAGAUGGGACUUUCAAAGCCAUUAUCAGGUUGCACAGUGAGCGUAGUUGAUCAGGACCUGUUGAAUCAAGCACAUCUAUAUGUCUUGGAGAAUACGGAGGAAGUCCUACCUUAUAUCGAGUACGUAUGAGCUUUAUUCUUUAAGUUUCCAUUUUAAAUUAUUUCUUAUGUUUAUCUUCUAUAUUUGGGACCGUAAUGCUUGAAUUUUUCGUGUCAUGUAGGCAACAUAUGAUCCACAUCAAGAUUGCUUAUCCAAAAUUUAGAAAGAGAACAAAGUGGCUGCAGGAUAAGCACAAUAGCACUUUCAUUCAAUGGCUACGCUUCAAGGUAUAUGUUGUUGAAUAACAUAUUUCUCUUUUAAUUUUCUUCUUAUUUAUAUGUUAGAUUGAAUUAAGAUAUGAUUAAUUUGCAGGUUCAAAGUGAACUUGAGGAAGACAAUCAUGGCGUAUCAGAAAAUUUAAGGUGGCUAGCAGCUGGUCCAAACAUGUCAGUGCCAUUAUAUAGGAGCUAUCUUAUUAAAGGUAUUAAAUUCAAUAUCAAGGCACAAGAUGAUGUGCGGACAACUCAAAAUAGUGGAGUUUAUUUACUUGCACAUACCAUGCAAGUUGCUAGUGCCAAGGAUAAAAACCCAAUUCUCUCAAACAUGGGUUUCUAUGGUGUCAUUCAAGAAAUUUGGGACCUUGACUACCAAAAGUUUACAAUCCCAGUCUUUAGGUGUGAUUGGAUAGAUAGUUCUGGUCUUGUAGUCGACGAACUUGGAUUUACCCUUGUAGAUUUGAGUAAAAUUGGACAUAGGAAUGACCAAUUUGUUUUGGCUUCUCAAGUCAAACAAAUAUUUUUUGUUGACGACCCGAUGCAUCGUGGUUGGUCGGUAGUGUUAUCAAUGCCUAAUAGAGAAUAUAAUGAUGUUAUUGGUGAUGAAGUCUUAGGUGAUGUGAUAAUUGAGUGUGAGCCAUUUACUAGAGGGAUGCCAAAUGUUGACACAUUUGAUGAACUGGUGGGUGAGUUAGGCGGUCAAAAUAUUCGAGAUGGGUGUGAAGAUAUAUGGAUUGAAUGAUGCUUAUGUAAUUGGCAGUGUAUGACAUUAAUUUUGUAAUAUAUUGUAAUGUGAUUUCUUCACUUUCUACGUUCAAAUAAAACACGACGUUAUUGUGAACCAGUUAUUCAGCAUAUUUACCGACGUCUUAAAGCAACGUAACAAUGAAGAACCACGACGCUAUUGUGAAGCAAUUAUUCAGGAUAUCACGUCGGGGAAGGAUUAAGAACCGCCAUGUAAUUCAAAAUAACACGACUCCAAUCCCAUAAUACCGACGUCUAAAAAACGAGAUAUAUAAUCUGAACGUUAAAAAAUACGACGUCAUCAUACAUUUUCCACAUCGCAAGUUCUUUUAUAAACGAAGAGGAACGAAAUGAAUUCCGACGGAAAUUCAUUAUAACCGCCGUCUAAUAACAAUUAAACGACGUUAUUUGUAAUACGGCUCUCAUCAUAAUCAACGCCGUCUAUAUGUUCUGUAAUACGGCUCUCAUUUAUUUGGAACCGACGUUGUUUAGAAGUUCAACGUCGUCUAUAUUAUUAAGUGCGUCGUGAGUAAUGAUGAUAGAUAUAAAUACAACGUCGACUAUAUAAAUGCCACUGACGUUGUUUCGCAUUUCAACGUCAACUGUAUAAAUACAUACGUCGUAAAUAAUGACACUGACAACUAUUUCCACGUCAUCUUUUUUAGAAAAAUCGAAGUGGAAAAUUUAUUUCACGACGGUUGUUUGUAAAUAAGAGACGUAGUAUAUUUCAAUAACGUCGUCUUCUCAUGUAUUUAAAGACGUCAUAUUUUUUCUUGUCGUGUAAAUUAUAUUUAACGGCGUAGUAUUUUAGUUGUCGUCGUUGUAUGUAUAUCUUGCGGCCUUGUUCUUUUAACAUGUGUCAUAUUUUUCCUUUUUAACGACGGUGAUUUGUUUGAGUUGGUCGUCUAUUCUCAUCCUCGACUAUUUUCUAGAACUUUAGCAGACUAAACACGUCUGUUUUUAUUGUUUUCCGACGUUGUUUUAUUUAACAACGUCUAAUAUUUAUCGUCGUUGUUUGUUUCUGAAAAUAUGACGUAUAAAUUUUGUAAUACGACUCUCAUAUAUUUGUAACCGACGUUGUUUCGUUUUUCAACGUCUACUCUAUAAAUACAUACGUCGUAAAUAAUGACACUGACAACUAUUUUCACGUCAUCUUUUAUCGAAAAAUCGAAGUGGAAAAUUAAUUUUACGACGGCUGUUUUUAUAUAUGCGACGUAGUAGGUAUCAAUAACGUCGUCUUCUAAUGUAUUUAAAGACGUCAAAUUUUUUAUUGUCGUGAAAAUGAUAUUUAACGGCGUCGUAUUUUUAUUUUCGUCGUUGUAUGUCUAUCUUGCGGCCUUGUUCUCUUAAUAUGUGUCAUAUUUUUCCUUUUUAACGACGGUUUUUUUAGAGAGUUGGUCGUCUAUUCUCAUCCUCGACUGCUUUUUUAGAUCUUUUUGCAGUACAAAGACGUCGUUUUGUAUUUGUUGAUGACGUUGUAUAUUUUAACAACGACGGUGAUUUUGCGUCGUGGUUUAUGAGGGAAAAGAUGACGGUGGAUUCCACGACCAUUGAAAAACCGAAUACACGACGGUGAUUUACCGUCGUCUUUUUGCUUUUUUGUAGUAGUGAGAUAAAAAUGUUCUGAACACUUCUCUAGAAGGCCACGAACCCAUCCGAGGUCAUCUUGGGCUCCAAAAACACAAUAAAAGCCCAACACGUCACUAUUCCAGCACCGCGCACUGCUCAUUUAUUUUAUUGCCAGAAAAUAACCGCUUGGAAGAAAAAUCUGAAAUUUUGAUACGAUCAAGCUAAGUGACUCAAGAACGUCCUCCAACUGGAAUUACUCCAAAAUUCCUCAAUUUGAUUAUGUUUUGCUCCAGAGAGAGUCGAAAGUCCUAUAUUGGAAAUAUAAUUCAAAGUAUCAAAAUUCUUCCAAAAUAUUAACCAAAAUAUACUAAGAAUGAGGUUAAAUAUAUAAUAUAAAAUAUGUCCAUCACCCCACAACAACUAAAGAACCAACAUUUUGUAGAAGGUUUUGUCUAUACCUUUGACUGUAAGUAAAUCUCUUGUAUCUGCUCCUGUGGUUCGGUGAAGUUUCUUUGUGUCCUUUCUGCGGAGUCUCCCAUGCUUGUUCCAUGAAAAUGUUCUAGGAGAAAAUACGGUUGUUUCUUACUAGAUUCAAAUGAUUAAGAAAAAUAAAAACGCAAGAAAAAAGGUAUUUUCUUGAUGGACUUGGUGAUGAAAAAUAUCACUCUCUUUAUAUGUCGUCUUCCUUGGACUUUGAGACCUUGGGUUUCGAUUCUUCUUGAGGAUUGCAUAGGGUUUCUAGGCCCAAGAAUACUUUGAGUUAGUUUUUGCGUUUUGGGCUUUGAGACUUUGAGACUAUAAUGAGUGGAAAGUUAUAAGGGGUAAGUUAUAAGGGGGUCACUUUAUAGCCAUCAGAUUAAUCCAAGGGCUGGGGAGAAUUGAGAUAAAGUUUCACAAUUGGGUAGGUGAGGAACCCAAACCCGAAUUGAAUAUCCAGCACGUCCAAAAAGAAGAAGAAGAGGGAAACACGUCCGAAAAAGAAGAAGAAGAGGCAAGUUCGAAGUUUGAACAGAAAGAACUCAUCUCUCUAAAACACAGAGGUCUGAGAUACCCAAUGAAGGCAACGGCUAACGACAGUUGAAGGCAACAAUUCGCCACUCCGUUCUCCAGACCCCGAAAAAGUAUUUAUUUGGAGUAGAAGGGGCAAAGGUGUGGAUUCCAAAUCAGUGAAGGGGCGAAGCAGUGGAAGGGGAAGGGGAGAAGCUGUAUUCGUUGGAAGUGUAGGUUCCAUUUGUGGAGCAAAGAAAUAGAAAGACCCCACACAGACACCUUGCAAUAACCAGCAUUUGGUGAGUAAUUUAUGGAAUUUGAGUUUAGGGUUAGAGUAAUGGUUUUCCCCAAUUUGUACCAUAAAUUUUGUUGGAUUUGGCAUCUCUUCGUUGUGCUUCAGUUGCAUGUUAAUUUUUGCUUAGGUAUAUGUUAAAAAAGGAAUGAAAAUUAAGUCAAUAACAAGUGAAUAACAUGUCAAUAAUGAUAUGAAUAAGAUAAUGGUGUUGAAUUGGAGGAGGCCCUCAAAACCUUCCACAUUUGAAGCAGUGCAUAGUGCAGAUUAAGAAGAGGCGCUAGAAUAUAUAUAUAUAUUUUAUGAAGUAAAUAUGAUUUCCUUUGUUACUAAAUUUGCCUGAGAAACAUUUGAACAGAUAAUAAUAAACUCAUGAAUAGAACUGCAAAGCAUUUGAUGAGCAAUGUAAGGAAUUUAAGUUUAGGGUUAGAGUAAUGGCAUCUCUUAUUUGUGCUUCAAUUGCAUGUUAAUUUUUGCUUGGGUAUAUGUUAAAAAAUGAAUGAAAAUAAAGUCAAUCACAUGUCAAUAACAUCUCAAUAACAUGUCAAUAACAUGUCAGUAAUGAUAUGAAUAAGAUAAUUGUGUUAAAUUGGAGGAGGCGCUCAAAACCUUCACAUUUGAAGCAGUGCAGAGUGAAGAGUACCUCUCUGGCACUAGAAUUUAUAUAUUUUGUGAAAUAAAUAUUAUUUCAUUUGUUACUAAAUUUGCCUAUGAGAAAUGAGAACAGAUAAUAAUAAACUCAUGAAUAAAAGUGCAAAGCAUUUGAAAUGAAGGUUGAUCUAUGACGAUUGUGGGUGACUGAAGAAAAAGGUAGAAAGAAAGAAGGAUGUGGCAAUUGCUUAGCAAGCAGAUAGCAGAGUACAUGCUUUGCUUUGCUUCCUUCCACUAUAUUUCUUAUUUAUUUAUUUUGGGUUGUGUAUGAGAUGACAAUAAUUGUCAUGUGUGUGAAGUGCAGAACUUGCCUACAUUGCACUCACACGAGUAUGGAUGCAUAAAUAAAACACGUGAAAUUGUUUGUAAUUCACAUAAUCAUUGCAUUAACAGGUAUUUGCACAAAAAUUGUCAUAUUGCUUUGAUGAUGUUAAAGGCUGUGAUGAGUAAUCCCUAUGCUCAUGUACUUUGUAAAAGUUGUAAUGUGCCUGGUUGACUAGUUGUGAUUGUGCAAAUACGUGGUAGUAUAUAUGUUCACGUUAUUUCACAUUGUAUUUGAGGAAAUGGGAUCCAACGUGGAGCUGGUAUGGCCAGAGGCAGAGGUAUAUUCGUCACGGGUGAACAACUGCUCACAUGCAAAUUCAUCUCUAGCUGCAAUUCGAGCGAAGUUGAGUGCGGAACAAUUAGAACAAUUCAAGACAUCAUGCUUUGGCCAUCUUCUGAAUAUAGAUAAGAUUCAGUUUAGCGGGCAGAUUGUGCAUGGGGUUGUGUUGCGUAGAGUAGCGGGGCAGGGUGUGAAAGACUUGGAUGGACUGAGUUUCUUAUUAGGGUGUGACGUUGCUCAGUUCACUCGUCAGGAUUUCUGUUUGAUCACAGGGCUUCGUUUUGGGGAAGUGCCUGAAGUUUCCAGUGGAGAGAGUGAUGAAAUCAGACUUCAGAAAAGAUAUUUUAUAGACGAAGGAAUUACAUGCAAUGCUUUAGAAGAAGCAUUUGUGAGGUGCACAGAGGAAGAUGACAUCUACAAGCAAGCUCUUGUUUACUUUGCUGAGUUAGUGGUUUUGGGAAGGGACAAACAUUUGAACAUCAAUCUAAAUUACCUGACCCUUGUAGAGGACUUGGAUGCGUUCAACAGGUAUCCGUGGGGUUCGGUGUCCUUUGACAAAACCCAAGACAGUCUAUUUUCUGCACCAACAAAGUAUGUGAAAAGCUUGGAAAAUGAAGAGGGAAGAGGGAAGGGGAAAAGUAAGGUAACGGGAACAAGCCGGAGAAAUGAGAAGGGCAAGAAGGAUAAGCAUGGUGAAGCGCAAAUGAGUGGCUGGAGUUUUAAAGGUUUCACGUAUGCUUUCCAGGUACAUGGUAAUAAUGUUCAUGUCAGUUAUGUUUUGUUUUUCUUUAAAACAUAAAUAAUGACUUUUGUCCUGUGAAUUGUGUAGAUUUGGGUAUAUGAAUUAAUUCCUAGAAUGGCGGACCUGAAUUACUGCAAGGUUGUUGAUCCGACCGUUGUCCCGCGUAUUUUGCGAUGGAGAACUACUACGUCUGUUCCAGAGAUGAGAAAGUUGAACAAUUAUUUUUUCCAGAGCAAAGAGGUUUGGUUUGCAGCCCUUGGAACUAUUGAUAAGAUUGAAUGAAAUUAUGAAGUAGAAUGAUUUGAUAUGACUCUUGUCUGUAUUCUGAAACAGUCAGUUCAGUUGCGGGCGCUAUGUCCGAGUGAAGAGGAAAUGAGACAGCCAUAUUGGAGUUGGCCACAGGAUCGCCCUGCUGUUGUCUCAGCAGAGUCAAUUCCUUCUUCAUGUGGUGAUCUUGAUGAGUUGAACAAGGUGGUAAGUUGGUUGAGGUCCGAGUUGUUUCAAGUAAAGCGGGAAAAAGACGUCCUUCACUUAAAGGUCAUACGGAUGGAAAAACUGUUGGACCAAUGUUUAGGUCCUCAGUUUGAGCAGGAAGUAAGGAGGGACCUAGCUUUACUGAAACAGAGGACGAAUCGUUGUGUCAUCUCACAUCUAUUUAAGGGAUAUGGGGAAAUGGAUGACAUUCAAUGGGAUGAAGGGCCAAGUAACAGAAAUGAGGGAGAGGAAAAGGAAGAUGAAGGGAUUGAAGGGGGUGAAGGGCCAAAUAAUAGAAAUGAGGGAGCACAUAAGGAAAAGGAGGGGAUUGACGGAGAGGAAAAGGAAGAGGAGGGGAUUGAAGGGGGUGAAGUGCAAGGAAAACCAAGUGAGGUAGAGGAAGGGCAAAGGAAAAGAAGUGAAGGAGAGCAAGUGCAAGUAAAAAGUAGCAAAGGAGAGGAAGCCCAGAGACAGAGCAGUGAGGGAGAGGAAGUGAAAAGAAAAAGCAGUAAGGGAGAGAAACUGCAAAGGAAAAAAAGGGAGGGCAAGGAAGUGAAAACACAAACAAGUGAGGAAAAGGAAGUGCAAAGAAACCAAUGUGAGAAAGAAGAUAAUGAAGUUAUGUUGCUUGGGGGUGACAUUGGCGAGAGCACGGAGGGGACACUGCUUGAGUUUACUGUCGGGGACAUUGAUUUGGAUGAACCUACAGCUGUGCUAUCUCAGUUGAACGUGUGGUUGAAUGAUAAAGGUAAAGCUCUGGCACAAGGGGUCCAAUUACGGAAAAGGAAGAGGAUCAUUCCUUUGUGGAAGAUCAUUGAAGGCAGUGAAUUGGUUCCAAAAAUUGGGGCACAGACAACCGGACUGAAGAUGUUAGACCCAAUGAAGGCGAUUUCGCAUGAUGAUCUGGUGAAAUUGCUGAAACUUUGUUGGGAAUGGCGCCAGGACCCAAAGUAAGUCCCUUGCAAUUAUAAGAUACAAGCAUGACUGUAUAUAAUUUUUUAUAUACAGUGUUCUAAAACUGUUUUAUAUUCAUAGUUUGGUGAUGCAAUUUGGCAACGUGGAAGCUGAGAUUGAAUUCUUCGCUUCCCUCGUGAAAGCUGAUGGUUGGCUGAAAGGAGAUGUAAGUGUAAUUGAUUAUGCAUUUGUUUUAAUGUACAUACAUUAUGAGAUUGACAAGAAAAACAUGUUGCAGCACAUUGAUUUGGGGUUGUAUCUCAUCCGGAAGCGACAACAACAGUUGGAGACAGAUUCGGUAGAAGUAGCGGACUGGACAACGACCGAUGUUUUUUUUAUGGUAUGUCAUCGGCCUUGACCAAGUGCCGUUAAUAAUUACACAUUUUCCAUACACACACUAGUGGAGGUGUUUAACCAUUGAUUGUUUUGUAUUUCACAGAAUCACAUUCGUACUUGCUUUGCGGAUAAUAAAAGAAAAAAACAGCAGCUUGGGUGGAAAAUCAGGAAAAGUUUACUAACCGUUGUAAAUGGGAAGGUUCCUCCGUGUGGGUUGGAUUGGCAGACCGUCUAUAAGGUGUAUACCCCAUUUAUGUUGACGAAGUACAAGCAUUGGGUGGCUGUAAUGAUUGAUCUGGUAUUGUGUGAAAUCAAAGUGUACGAUUCAAAGGUUUCACUAAUUCCAGAUGACAUCGUAAAGGAAGAACUCGGCCCGCUAUCAAUUACGCUUCCAAAUCUUCUCAACACCAUCGACUUUUAUGAAAAAGGUGUUUAUGCAAACAAUUGCAGCCAAGAUUAGUGGUGUCCGUGGCCAAUAGAGCGUGUGGAUGUUCCACAACAGUCUAAUGAGUAAGCACAACUUGCAAUUUAAUUUUAUUACUUUCAAUUGUCAAUUACGUUAGAAUGUCAUUAGUUGAAUUGAUCGAGUUCUUGUUUUGCUUCAGAGGCGAUUGUGGCAUGUUUGUGUUAAAGUACAUUGAGCUUUUCAGCGCUGAGCUUCCGUUAGCUACUUGCACCUCGCACAACAUGCCUUUUUUUCGGUUGAAAUUGGCUGCGGAGAUAACAAGGGGAGAUGCUUACUUCCCAUGAUAUUGGUUGAAGAUGACAAAUGGUACAUGAGAAGGUUUUGGGAAUGUCCAUUCUCAAACUAAUGUAAAUACACAAUAGAGAAGUACGGGUCCUUAUCGAAUUCUACCGCUAACUCCUUCAUGACAUUUACAUGUUUGUUAACCAAACUGCAUUGAAUUGGAAUUUUAAGACUGCAUAUGUGAAUUGGGAUUUGAAGAUGGCUUUUUAAGUGUAUUACAUCAUUGCAAAGUGAUAUGUCAUUGUUGAUGCAAGCCACCAUUAAUCGCAAUGUGUUGCAUCAUAAUAGGUGUCUAAACAUGCGAAAGGUUUUCCGCAGCUCAGUAGCAUAAAAGUAGAAACAAAGACAAUAUACACAAAAUGAACAACAAUUCACAAAUGCACCGACAAGCAAUACACACACAACAGACAAACAAUAUACACAAACUUGGCCUGCCAUAUACAGAGAAUAGACAUGCAAUAUACACACAGUAGACAUGCAAUAUACACACAAUAGACAUGCAAUAUACACACAAUACUCCCUUAACACACACAAUAGACAUGCCCUUGCCCACAAUAAUGAUGCAAUAUACUUCAGUCCCCAAGUACACCAACCAUAGGGAAGUCGUAUUGAAUAGGAUAUUAAACUUAACAGUUGUUCUUCCUACUAAAAGAAAGAAUAAGGUUCGUUUCCCCCCUUCAUUCUUACUUGAGUGAUACUUGUGGCCCCAAUAAACAUCCAAUUUUGGGGCAAUGAUAUUCCAUAUACAUGCAGCAAACUAUCAAUAAACCUUCAAUAAACCUUCAAUAAACAUUCAAUAUCGUUUCUAUAACAUGCGAAAUACAUGCAGUUACCAAAUAUUACAAAAUGGGUUUAGGGUCUCAUUGGUGGUGCGUGCAACAUGUCUUGUGCGGGAGAACUUUCACAAUCUUUUAAACCGUGCAGUUAAAUGAUCAUUAAAAGAACAAAUAAAAUGACAAUUGAUACAACUAAUAAAACUAAUACCAAGUCCUUAAUGGACUUCAGCAUGUUCAGCACUCUAGCAUCAUACGUGUCAUCUUGAUGUUCUGCUUCAGCGGAGGUUACAUCAACCCAUUCGAAUCCAUUGCAACUGGUGGCUCCCUAAUUGCAGGCAUCAUAUAUGGAAUAUAAUUCUGUCAGAGUUAGACAUAGGUUUUUUUUCACCCACAUACAUAUUCUUUAAAUUAAAACUUACAUAGGAGGUUAGACACUUCCAGAAUGGCUUCCCUCGAUUUUUGUCAGAUUUUGAAACCCGAAGCACCAUUGUAGCUCCACAAUACUGACACCUCUUUGUUUGAGCGGGAGAUGAAGAUGAAGACAUGUUUAAUCUUCUCAGUUGUACCUCUUCUCACUCAGAUCUUCUCACUGAAACCUCUUCGGACUCAUACCUUCUCACUCAUAGUUGUCAUUCAUACCACUUCACUCAUAACCCUAAACUUGUCACUCAGCUCUCUCUCAUCUCUGCCCAAAUCGAGUUAUAUUUCUUUUUUUUGGGAUCAUUUGGUGGGUUGGUCACGAUGUCGACACCUGUACCGUCAGCAUUGUGACAUCUUUUAGCCCGAAAAGCAAUAUAAACUACUUCACUACCAAAUAUAUUUUCUGAAUAAUGACGGGACACUGCUUCAAUUUUAUUAAUUUAUUUAUAUUUCAUUAAGGCAACUAGUUGGAUAAGAAUCCGUCAUUAUUGGUUCCAUUUUAAUAACAUUACUAGGGGUAAUUGGGUGUGGGAAAAUGAAAAAGUAUAUGAUGGGACCUUCUGUCACUAGUCAGUAAUCCAUCACAUUUGUAUCAAUGAAUUUGAUAGUGGGAUAAACCCAAAAAUGGCUAUGCAAAUAGCCAUUUAAUUAACUUUUUGACUGUCUGACUCUGUAUGCACCGUUAUGACGUUUUCCCUUCUUUUGUCUUAAGUUUUAAUUCACUGGGGUUCAGUUUCUUUCAAAAGGGUCAACUUGGAAAAACCCCAACUGGAAACACCUUUUCAAAACACUAUAAACAGAGGCUAAAACAAAACGUGUACCCCAAAUAUUAUCAUUUAUCCCCUCUGCCACUCCUCAAAUCGUUCCAUUCCAAAAACUUUUCAAUGAAUUCGAAACACUUCACUACAGUCGGAGGAAAGAGAAGGAAGCAUGUCCAUUUCGAUAUGCCCGAAGCCUUCAUCCCGGAGUCCGCUUGGUUUCAAGUCAUGUUAUACGUGGCAACCGAAUCAUCGGAAGAUCUCUUCCGUAUGGCAUCUGUGUGACGAUUGUUCCGAACUUUGGCAAACAGUUCACAAGUGUGGAACACCAUUUCAAUGGCAAAGUACCCAGACCAUCCUAUAUGGUACCGUGCCAGACCUGCGGUCCAGCAUUUCUUGCAACAAUGCAGGGCUUGCGAUAACCCUGAGUCCAUAUUUAGAGAAGCAUUCGAAGGUUUUUUCAGGCACGGUAAGGUGGAAGCGUUGUAUGGGAUGCGCAUUGCAGCCACGGCAGGCCAUAUGGAAGCGGCAUAUGUAGUUGGACUACUUGGUAUGUCCGGAAUUGGUCAGUCAAAAGAGGAUGCAUUACAAUUCUUGUGUUCUUUGAAUCAACGUAACAACAUUGAUAUGAAAGGAACCAGGGAUGCUUUGACAGGAAGAUUUCACGGAGCAUUUGUUGCAAGACAUAUCGUAGAUAUGUUUGACUAUGGGAAGAUUAAGUUCAAUCGGUGCAGCGCUUGUAACAACAAUGAAUGGUAUUUUGUUAUUCCAGGCUGGCCUAGUGAAGACAAGAUAAAUCCUGCGUUGUGGACUUGUUGCAAUCGAUGCAAAUGGCACCGUGAGAGUAUUUUUUGGUGCAAACUGAUGCGUGAGUAUGUUGUGCGAGGGAAUCACGUAUUUUUGCAUUAGUUUUAGUACGAAUUUACGGUUUUGAUGCAUUGUGGACUUGCUUCUCUUCACUUCUAGGUUGGCUGGCUACGUUAUACCUAUCUCAGUUUAAAUGUUGUUCAAAUGUUGGUAUUUUGUCAUAAACCGUUUUAUAUAUAAAUGUAUAAUAUUUAUUAUAUAGCGGAAUUAUUACUUACAUCAUAGACGGCUAGGAAUGACAUUUUACUGACACAGAUAUUUUGCUCACCGACCCCAAUCUUCAUAUUUGAUAAACGAAAAGUUAUGCAUGGAGUAAAUAGGUGUCUUUUCACCAGUGCUUGGGAAUGACAUUUUCCCACUUAGCAUAUCCGAAAGGAUUUGGUUACACGUUUCUUAACCUAGGGGGUUGAACAGUGAAUGACGUAGACUAUUUUUUGUGUGUGGAAGGAGUACAAUGGAUGACUUGUAUAUUUCCAUAUUAUGUUUCAAAACAUCCCUUCAACCUAAAAAAUAAAAAAAUUAACAAAUUGAAGAACAGAGAAACCGAUGAGCACUACAAAUGGCCUAUUCGCACGGAAAAUAAAAUUGUUUUCAACAAGUUGGACUAAAUAUAAUUAACAAAUGGACAGCCUAAAAAGUAAUAUCAUAAUAAUUAUAAUAAUUGUGGAUAAAUAAUAAUAAAAUACUAAUGUAACAUAACCAUUAAACAGGGAAUGCAGUAGGAAGAUGAAAUCGCAAUAAGUUCGUAGAAAUUUUGGGAUCGUUUUUCUAAUUUUUGUGUAUUUAGUUAUGAAUUUUCCAAGAAAAAAGGUAAUAAAAUAAUAAUUUAGGGUAAAAUGGGAGGAUGUGGCCAUGUUCGGUAACGUACACUUGUGCAAGUAGUCAAAAGUGACGGGCUGAGAUCGCGCCAGGUGUCAUAUUCUUGUUAAUUUUGGAUUCUUUUGUUAAAAAAUCUUUGAAACUAGGUAAUAAAUAGUAGGAAAAUCGUAAAAAUGGCCCAAAAAUUACUCCGGCCUCCUUUUGACGUCCUAAAACUAGGAGAACCUAUAAAUCAUUCGUCUCGCAAUGAAAUAAUCCAAAUUGUGUUACAUAACUCACUUUCCUCUUAACCCUAAGUAUUGAUGUUUGUUAACUUCAACUUGAAUAACCUACUUCAACAAGCAUCUCCCGUUAAUAUUGGGAAUUAAUUUUACAAAUGCGUAACAAUGAAUCGGAGAAUUCAGCAACGGAGAUGGAGUGUCAAUGAGUUCGUAGCAAUUUUCGGAUAAUUUUUUUAUUUUGUGUGUAAUUAGUUCUGAUUUUUGUAAGGAAAAGUAAUAAAAUAAUAAUUUAGGGUAAAAUGGGAGGGUGUGGCCAUGUUGACUGACGUACACUUGUGCAAGUAGUCAUCAGUGACGGGCUGAGAUCGCGCCAGGUGUCCUUUUGCUAUUAUUUUGGCUUUUUUAGUGCAACAAUCUGUGGACAUAGGUAAUAAAUUCUACGAAAAUCCAAAAAAUGCCCGGAAAAUGAGAAAAUGAAAAUUAUUUGUACAUAACUCACUUUCCUCUUAACCCAAAUUCACGUUAACACGUAUAUUUCGGAUAAUAUUCGAAAUAUAAUUUCUAAUAAUACAAUAUUUAGUUUCACUAUAUACAAUAAUAUGUUUUUUUUAUAAUAAUGUACAUAAAUAAUAAUUGCACAUGCUUUGAAGCCAUCAUUGCAACUACGCCUAGAGCUUUGAAGACGUCAGUUCGUAUUCAAUAAGUUGUCCACAUGCAACUGCACCUAGAGUUUUCAACACGUCAGAGGUAUUCAAUAAGUUGUCCACAUGCAACUGCACCUAGAGUUAUUAACACGUCACAGGUAUUCAAUAAGUUGUCCAUAUGACGCCGCAUUGGGAAUCAGUAAUAUAUUUUCAAUCAUGUCAAAUCACAUAAAUAAUGCCAUACUUUUUCUCAAUAACCUCACACAAGUGAAGCAAUUUUAAAACCCUUAGUGAAUAUUUAUCCUAGUCUAUAUGAGUGAUUAUAUAAUCAGUUGCAUAAUAUUUUUUUCACAGUAUAUGUUAACUUUGAGAGGGAUUCCACAAACAUAAAAUAUAAAGAAAGCAAGAAAUAGUAGGAAAUGAACCAGUACAAAAAACAAUAUAUAAAGUGUACAUAAUAAUUCCAUAACCUUGUCACAAACGCACUCACAAAAGCUUUUCCAUAAACCUUGUCCUAACAUAUAAUAAAUAAAGGCAACAUUGCAUAUGAUGCAACCAUGUCCAAAUCUGAUAAGUGAUCAAAAACAAAUGGACAUGGCAGCAACAUAUGAUUGAAGUAGAUGGGCUCUUUGCAUCUUCUGUUUUCGUAAUUAAAGACAUCAAAAUAUUAAGGUUUAAAUCUUCCAUAGUAGUUAGCAUCAAAAUAGCUUUGAAGCAGAGUGUAACGAAAAUUCCAAUUCCACUUAUUUGCCUCUGCUCAAACACGAGAACCAAAAUGGUUACUUCCCUUGCUGAGUAUAUUUGGUGACGUCGGAAACGGUAAUAGAUGACCAAUCAAACCCGGGUACGACGAGUUUUGCAUAGGAUCGGAAGUAGUCGAAUCCAGCUUGCAUCACACGCUUCUUUGACUCCACUACAUUAGAUGAGUUCUUGUAUUUUUGAACAGCUACACUCUGAAGUCGUUUGUGUCUACGCUUCAUGCGCUGCAACUUCGCCCUAUCCAGAUUGGCCUGCCUUUUGUCAUCUUCAAUUUGGCCUUCCACAAAUUCCAAACGUGCCCUUGCCCUUUGGAUUUCAUCACCAAGUUGAAGAUGCCUCUCCUUCCAAAAAGCAACAACUCUUUCAGACUCAAAACUUCCAACAAAAUGGUCAUUCUGUCUAGCAAUGUGACAUUGCUUGUCUGGUGACUCACUUGCGUGUCGAAGCCGGUCUUUGUUUGGAGGGGUGUUUAUUAUACUCACAUCAAACUUGGUUGUGCUUAUGCUCAUUCUUUGGGGGGAAUGAGUUUGUUUGCUUGAGAGAGUAUCGGUAGAUGGAGACAGAUUCGGUGGAGGAGUGAGUUUUGUGUGGAAGGAGAUUUUAUAUGAAAGGGGUGAUAGUAAUACCAAGAAAAGGGUUCCCGCCAAAAAAUAUUUGGUUGACAAAGUAGAAAUUAUUUUUUUAGUCUGAUACAAUCUAAGUUUAAUCCUAACUAGUUUGGUUGAGUUAACUAAGUAGAUGUCACUUCCAUUGACUUUCUUUCAACAACUAUCAGUGGUGUAAGGAGAGUGUGAGGUUGACAUGCUUGAAAAGCAAAAGCUGACACCUAUUUUUAAAAAAUUCCCGCCAAAAAGUACAUAUGUUGACUACACACAAGCUUUGGUAUGUUGGUCUAUAAACCUAUGUUCCCUUUCUCAAACGAAAUUGCAUAUGCAAUCCUCAUCCUCCCAAAACAAAGAGGAUUAUUCAAGCAUGUCAACCUCUUCAGGCGCCAACAACACAAUCGAACAUGACAAAUUGGAGUCACAGGUUCUAUUUCCACAUUGUACUCGCCGACCCCUUCCUUUUUCAACAUCAUUUGGGAGUGAGGGGGACUCCGAUGAUCCAUUAGAGGCAAUACAUGCAGUCAGUGGCAAGCUGGAUUAUAAUUCCAGACUGAUCAAUUCAUGGCACGAGAAAUGUGUUGAAGACGAGGCAAUUUUGGCUGAUCUUAACAUUAGGGUGAGCAAAGCGUUAUCCCAAAAGAACAAGUACUUGAAGCUGAGUCAUAGCAGGAAGCUGAAAGCUGAGGAGUUGGAUACAGUAAUGAAUGAUGAAAUGAAAGGUUGUUUGAUGAACCAUAUGCGAUGCGAACAGCACCAUACUGAACUGGAGUUGGCAUUCAACGAAGGAUUCGACAAAUUCCGAGCAUUUGCGGCAACUACUCAUACAAGUUAUGAUUGGAACUAUGUGUCCCCUGAUGCUGUGAGAGAGAUACUAGACGAUGGGGGUGACAUGAAUGAGCAUAAGCACGUCAAAGCUGCUCGGAAGAAGCCGACCGAUACGACUAAGUGAUUGCGGCUACCGCUGUUCAGUUAGUUGAGGGUGACCGUGGUAUUGCACAUAUACUCCCUUAAUGUCAUUAUCUAACUUAAAAUAACACAAAUAUCAGUUUCAUUUGCUUGAUAUAUAAUUAUUGGGACUAUGUAUUGCAAGUCAUCAUGUGUUAUAAUGUCUAACAUUAUAUUUUGCAAAUAUGGAAAUAUUAUUCAAGAAGCAGUCAAUAUCACAGAAAGCCGGGAAUCAGUAAAUGCUCCUUAUCAUGUCCAUUUACAUUAAAGAGCUGGAGUACUAAUGUGUUCAAAAAAAACUGACACGUGAGUCAUAAGUAACAUAACAUGUGCUAUACAUUGUUUACUGAAUGGUUUAUGGUUUAUUUGUAUAUAAUAAAAUUUCAAAUAUUGCUGAAGAUUUAUUUCGUGUAUAUCACUAGGGAUAUGAGUGGCCAUAAGCAUGUGAGACCUGCUAAGAAGAAGCUGACGAGUACGACCCAGUGAUUGGCUACCGUUGUUCAGUUGGUUGGGGAGAUCGUGGUAUUGCUAUGAGGAAGCACACAAUAUGUUUUGCAAUCAAAUGUUCUUUUGUGUGUGGAAUUAUGAGUAUUUAUGUAAGUUAGUGUACCCUUUAAUAUUUUUCACCUAAGUAUCGAAAUGCAGUUUUUGAAUGUUAUGUUUUUUUUUACCCGCUGCUUUCUAUUUGCUCUGUUCCAACAAAGUGCUUCAAGUAUCCUUCACUUACAAAAGUGUACAAAAUCGUGCCCCUAAUAACCAGUCGGAAAAAGUGGCUACUGCUGGAAAUGAUUACUGGUAAUGGAAACAACAGCUGGCUGCUGUAAUUGCUGCAUUACCGUGAGGAUUUGAAAAAUGAAUCUCUGUUAAAACAAAUUUCACCCUAAACUGCCCAUUUUACAUGGUAAAAGUCAUUGCUUCUUCAAAUCUUUUGCAGCUACACGAUGCGUGGUCAGAAUCUUUGACAUAUACGACUUCUGCCACUCUUGUUUCCCAAUUUUUUCUUUCGCUCACGUUGAACACAACUUUACAAGCAUCCUCUGUUUUGAGCUCUAGGAAACAUGCUGUACUUUGUAUUAGUUCUUGCUCAAACUUUUGAAACAUUGUCCUUGUGUACAAGGUAGCCAUUUGUUUGUUCAUUGGCAUCGGUAGAAGACAUUGAGCCACUUCAAAUGCAUCUGCGUGAUCAGCAACUAACUCUUUUUCACGUUGAUGAGAAAGUGCCCUCUCAAAUCGUAUUAUGAAAUCCAUCAACGAAUUUCUCCUUGAUAUGUAUUGCUUGAAAAAACCAUGAGAACCUUCCGCUCUUUGGCUGCUUGACAUUCCAGCGGCAAAAAAUUGUCGUGCGUAGGCUGGAACCCAAGAUUCCCUUAAAUCAAACAUUGAACUUAGCCAUGGAUGGUCAGUCAAACCAGCCUUUGUAACCACAAUAUUCCAUUUUGCAUCAAACUCAUCCUUAUUGUCAGUAUCCCAUAUGGCUUUCUGAAAUUCAGGCCAAUACUCCUUAUAAGCGUCACGUGGUAACUUAACAGAGAACUUUGAUGUGAUGUGCUAUAUGCAAAGUCGAUGAAAUGUACUCGGGAAGGCUAUUGAAAUCGCUAUGGCCAUUGCCGCAUCUUGAUCUGUAAUGAUCGUUUUAGGUUCCCCACCUGGCAUGGCUUUCUUAAACUCCUCAAACAUCCAAACAAACGACUCAGUCGUUUCCUUGCUCAAAAAUGUGCAUGCUAACACAAUUGUCUGACCAUGGUUAUUAACUCCCAACAUUGGUGCAAAUGUCAAGUCGUAUCGAUUCGUGUUGAAUGUGGUAUCAAAUACAACAACAUCUCCAUAAAACCCAUACGCCCGUCUAGAAGUUGCAUCUGCCCAAAAACAUCGACUAAACCUAUCAUGCCCAUCUCCCUCAAUCUUGAAAUAAAAAGCCUCAUUUUUUUUCUGUUCAGCCAUAAAAUACUCGGUCACUAGUUCAACAUCGUGGUUCCUCAGCUUCCCAAUCACACUACAUUCAAGAUUGUAGAUAUCUUUUUUGAUAAAACCGAUUUUAUCCAUUCCUCCGGAUUGCACCUCGAAAAUACUUACCUUCUGAUGAAUGGGAAUAUUAACUGAACCCAACUGUUUUGUGAGUACUUUUGUAGAAUCUGAAAUAUGACGGUGUGAUCUCAAUAAAUGCAUUCUUUCUAAGGGUGUCAUCUUAUGAUUGUGUCCCUCUGCAAAAAGAGAAAUGUUAUACUUGUUGCUCCCAUUUGUCUUCACAACCACAAUCUUUGCUUUGCAAUUGCAUCUACUUAUUCCCCGUUGUCUUUUUCUCUCCCGAGUUUCAUCCUUCCUGUAUGCACCUUGUUUGCAACAUACAAAUUCUUUCCUCAAAAUCUCUUUCUUAUUUUUCCCCCAAAAGCUAGAAUGAAGUCGAAUACCAAAGCCAGCCAAGAAUGCAUAUCUAUUAUAGAAAUUGUAAACGAGGUCAAGCGAGUCAAACUUCAUCCCAACUGCUGGUGUUUCCUCAUUUCUUACUUCAGGAAUAUAAACCCUCCCAUUAGCUGUUGCACAUUCAUCACUCUCUGAGCCCCCAGACAUUUUAUCUACGUAUAUUAUUGAUCCACUUCUAUAUUACUGCAUAGCAAUUAUUCAUUCAUUAAUCAGUCAUUACUGCAUCACAACAUAUCAAUGCAUUCCACUUACACAAAACAUUGCCCAAAUUGACACAAAAUACGCAUAGCCUAACUUCCGAUUACACAAAACACAAGCAAAAUUUCAUAAAAGUUACGUCAUCUCUUGUGAAAUAAUCUGGUCAAAAUAACAUUAGAACCAACAUGUUCAACUAAGAACACAAAUGUAAUUCAAACCACCAAUUACAGAACUUCACCCAAUAUCCUCUCCAACUGCUUACUCCUAAUGUCAUUAAGCCUAAGUUUAGGUUCUUUUACCUACAUUUCAUAAUUUUUCACCCCGACCAACAACAAUGAACUAAGUAUAUUGAAUAUUCACAAGGAAAUGACACAUUAUUGAUGCCACAAAUGACGAAUUUCCCACCCUCACAAAAAAUAAACCUAACCCAAUAAAAUCAAUCCAGCAAGUGAACUUACCUCUCAAAAUCAAUCGAGAGCUCUGAAGUCAGUCAGCUUGAAAGAAUGUGGUGGACAUUAGAGAAGACUCUUUGGUAUUUGAGACUCCAUCUCUAUCAAAAUCGAGGAACAACUGCUGCUGCGGCUUCUAGCUACAAAAACAGAUAUGCUACUUUGCUUUCAUCUAGAAUCUUGUCAGCUGAAUGAAAAAGAGAAGGGGUUUUCACUUGAGCCAUAGAAUCAAAACAGGGCAACAGCUAGGUAAGAGCCAUUCUUCGUAAUACCCAGGAUACCAUAGAUCGCAGGCCUCCCAACGAGCUAAUGACAGUGGAGUGACUAUAAGGUUUGGGAGAUUUGGAUCCUUCUAAUUGUGGGUUUGCUUUACAUUCAAAAAGAAAGGAUUGUGUUCUUCAGUUUUUCACAGAGAGGGAAAGAGGGGAACAACUGAAGUUGGGUUUCUAACGGGUUAGAUUUCAACCCGAUUCUACAUGCACCCUCUUUUAAAAACUCACCGUUGGAUGAAAUCCAACGGCUCUUACAUACCCCUCAAAAACACCCCUUAUAACUUCCCACUCACUAUAGAAGCUCCCCCAACUAAAUCCCAAAAGGGAAACAGAUUUGAACAACAUACAAAUUUGAAGGACACACAAAUAUGAAUCUCAGCACCGGUGAGAAAUUAAUUUUAGUUGAGGUUGGUAGGUAGGCAUUGGAAGUUUUUAUUGUUUUUGCUCCAAGUCCCUCCUCCACUCACUAAUACAGAUUACUCGCAAAUGAACUAAAGUCUGCAGGGAUAUAUGGACUCCCCUGUCCAUACGAAUGUUGGAAGAAAUGUGUGUUAAAUUUUAGAGAGACGGGUCUGUGACCCACCACUAGCAACGUUGAUAUUGUCUCCAACUUAACUACAUGUUUAGUAGAUGUGGGGUUUUAUACAAAAAGUAUUGAUGUUAUUGGGAAUGGAACCACUUAUUAUAAGUUAAAAUUUAUUUAGUCAAGUUUCCUAUGUGGGACUUUCUAUUCUUCAACAAGCCCCUUCAUGUGGGACCACCACAUAGUGGGCCACACGUAGAGCCAAGUCCACAUCGGAGUCAAUCAUUCAAGCCCAAUACCUAAACACCACGUAUUGUGUGAGGGGUAGGGGUAAACAUUCAAGCCCAACAUAUGAACACUGUAACAUCCCAACUCCAAAUUUAAUCCCUUAUUUAAAUUAUUUAAGUGAAAUUACAAAUUUACCCUUGGGGUAGGGAUAUUUUGGUCAUUUUCUUACCCGAAAAGAGUUUGGGGCAGUGACUAGUAUUUUUUGGUAGAUCGUACUGAGAUGAGUCUGUAGACAUGUAGUGGGCUCGAUUCGGAGUUGAAACGAAGAAGUUACGAGCAAAACAUCACCAAUGGCAAAACCGUAAAUAUUUCAAAAUGAAUUUUUAAUAAAAAAAACCUGAAAAACCCUCUCUCUCUCUCUCUCUCUCUCUCUCUCUCUCUCUCUCUCCUGCGCACAGCCCCUUUCCCCCCUUCGUUUUUUCUUUCCGUGGCUUCCAAGAGCCACCAUCGCCACCACGAAUCACCACCGGCCAUGAGGCCGGACUCGUUCGAACUGCCGCCGCAUCCUCUUCCUGUUCCGGUCGCUCCCAGUCGCUGCCAUCCGCUGUGCUGGCCGGAAAUCGAAGAAAACCAGCCGAUUUUUGUCAAACUUUCGGCCGCUCGUUCUCCCACUUCCGGCCACCAUUUUGGCCAUCCAGGUAUAGAUUUUGAACCUCUCGAGCUGUUCUUGCUGCCUGUUGUGUUAGAUUUGGGAGAUUUCCGCGUUUUGAAGGUCGAUUAAACGAUGGAAGUUUGGCUGGUUUUUGGCCUCCGAUUCCGGCCACUUUCGGUCACUUUUUGGGGUAGGUCCAAGAACAAAAGUGGUUCCAAAUAGGGUGUUAUACCUAGGGUAGGAGUCUUGAGCCGUGGUUUUGAGAUUUCUCGGUGAUGCGUAAUCGCUUUGGACACCCAUACGCUACCGGCGCGUGUGGUGGCGCGUGGGCACUGUAGAAAUGGGGUAUUGUGUCCCGAUGCGAUCCCCUUGUUGUCACGAGUGUGUAGUGUGCUCGGAUUCCAAUUUGGUUGACAUUCGAACCCCGAACGAAUUUCUCCUAUUGCACGUUAUCCGCGUUUGAUAGGUUUGAACCGUUGGAUAGUCUUGAAUUUAAUAUAUUUAAUCUAAGCAUUUCUAGGAUCGUGUAGGAAUUCACGGAUCAUGAAUCGGAACCCCGGAUGUUCCGAUUUAAUAAUUUAAAGUUUAUGUUUAUAUUAACUGUCAGAUCGUGCAAUCGUGAGCGAUCCGACCUUCCGAUCCGGACCAAACGUGCAGGACGUAUAUCCUAAACCUUGUGGAACCUAUAGGAACUUUCGAAUCAGAAUUUAGAGGUCGUGGGCCUAGUGGCCCCGUUUGACCAAGUGUGGAUAGUUUGACCCUUGGUUGACCUUGAGUCUUCCAAGGUAGUUUUCCUUCCUAGAAGGAUUAUAAUGACCCUAAUGACAGGUCUUGAGCGUUGUUGAGCCAUGUUGACUAGGUUAAGAUUUUUAGAGUGUUUAUUAUUGUCGUAGGAAACUCUUGGACAUUAUUUUAAUAAUUGGAAUUAUAAAAGUGAGUUUUGGGUUCGGCUAUGACUUUAGUGAAUGGACUUUAUUUUUAAAUGAAUAGCAUGGCUUUGUGAUGGAAUUUUUAGGCAUGUGAAUUUAAUGGUUUAUUGAAAUUCAUUUUUAUAAUUAAUAGUUAAUUUAGCAGUUUUGGUAAAGUAUUAGUGAUGUGUGGGGUACUUGGGAUUUUGUUGAGGUUUAUACAAUAUUAGAGAUUAACUUAUAUAUUUAAAUAUAGGUAUGAAUGUAUGAAAAGAGUUUAGAAUGUCAGUUUGAAGUACUAUACGCACUACCCUAGGUACCUCAUCGGAUUUUGAUUACACUAUAAGUACCACCCUGUGAUUGUCAGGUCACCCAUGGCGUAGGAUUUUCCGGCGGAAUGACAGACCCCAUACGUGACGUUGGAAUUUCCGGCGUAUGGGGAGAUGAUAUUAUGAUUGUUAAGUCACACGUGGCAUAGGUUAUCCGGAGUGCUGACAGACCCCAUAUGUGGCGUUGGAAUUUCCGGCAUAUGAGGAGAUUAUGUGAUUGUUAAGUCCCACGUGGCGUAGGUUAUCCGGCGGGAUGAUAGACCCCAUACGUGGGGUUGGAAUUUUCGGUGUAUGGGGAGAUGAUAUAAUGGUUAGGUCACAUGUGGCGUAGGAUUUUCCGGCUUGAUGACAGACCCCAUACGUGGCAUUGGAAUUUCUGGCAUAUGGGAGAUUAUGUGGUUAUUAGAGAGAUGAAUUAAGAUUAUUAUACUGAGUUGGGAACGAAUGAUGUUUGAAAAAGAUUUUGUUUGGGAUUUCUGCAAUUGAUUGCAUGUUGAUGGACUUGGAAAUUUUGUAUGAAAGAACUACGUGUGGCUUGAUCCCUUAGUAAGGGUACAUAUGCAGCUUAGGGUAGUGCCUAGGUGCAGCCGUGUGCUAAACUUUACUCAUGUUGUGUGAUGGAGAUUCGUUCGGACCUUGUUGUUAGUCCUGAAUUUUAGGUGAAAAUGAGAUGCAGUCUUGUUAGGAGGUUUAAAUUUUCUACGUUUAAUAUUUGGGAAUUUAGAUGAUGGAAAUCGCAUUUGGCGUUCAUAAAUGUGUUUGAGUUUAUAUUUGCAUUGUUUAGAGUUAGUUGGUGGUUUCGUUUCGAAUUAUUUGAAGGCCGAAGGCUGAUUAUGUGAUUUAUAUGAAAUUAUCUUGUGCAUACUGCCAGUUGUGAAUAUCAAAUGUGUUUUAUGCACGUUGAAAUUUUUAGGAUUGUUCAACUUACAGGGGAGACUGCCGAAAUUUCGGCAUAAAAUCUCGUGCCCUUAUUCCUUAUUGGGAAAAAUGAUUUAGUUUUAGAAGUGGGUUCGACAUCGGGGUGAUGUCGGGAAUUUUCACAGGAUUCAUCUCGGGUUUCGGGAAAUUCGGGUCGGGUCCUGUCAAACACCACGUAUUAGGUAAGGGUAAAGGCUCAAUUCAGGCCCAGUCAAUCAACCCAUUAUGAUAUCAUGUUAAAUUUCAGAUAGACGGGCCUGUGGCCCACCACUAGUAACAUUGAUAUUGUCCCCAACUUAACUACAUGUUUAGUAGGUGUGGAGUUCUAUACAAAAGAUCUCGAUGUUUUUAGGAGUGAAACCACUUAUUAUAAGUUGUAAUUUAUUUAGUCAAGUUUCCAGUCAACCUGACUUUGAUACCAUGUUAAGAUUUUAAAGGGACGAACUCUUGGCCCACCAUUAGCAAUAUCGACAUUGUCCCCAACUUAACCACCUGUUUAACAAGUGUGGGGUUUUAUCCUAAAGAACUCGAUCUUAUUAAGAGUGGAGCCAUUUAUUAUAUGAAACUUUCUAUUUUGUUAACUCUGUGUAUUCUUCAUCAAUGUGAACACCCCUAAACCAAUCAUACCUGAUACGGAUUGAAACACAAGUUUGUUUUUUGCCUUUGGUAGAUGAGUAGCUAGAAAAGCUCAAUGCACUUGCUCUUCUUCUGCUACAUUUCAAUAUAAGAACAAGGUUUGGAAGCCAGGUCAACUCCUCAUAGUUUCCUUGCCUUUGCUUUGACAUGUCUAUGCACUUCUUGGGGAAGUUUGAAUAAUCAAUUGCAGGCCCCACGACAACUAAGGAACCAACAUUUUGUAGAAGGUUUUGUCUACACCUUUUGACUAUAAGUAAAAUCUUUUGUAUCUGCUCUUAUGUUUCGGUGAAGUUUCUAUGUGUCCUUUGUUGAACGAAAAAAUGAGGUUGUUUCUUACUAGAUUCAAAUACUUAAAAGAAAAAAAGAAAUUAUUGUUUCUUAAUUGAUUUUAUGGUGAACAAUAUCAAACUCUCCUCUUAUACGUCUUCUUCGUUGGACUUGGGGUUGUUUUCCUUAUAUGUCCCUUAUAUAUAUAGGGCCUUUGGUUGAGCCCACAAAUACCUUCAGUUAGUUUUUGGGUUUAGGGGCCUACAGAACCUGCACUAAACAAUAAAAGAAAAUACCUAAUUAGUUUAGUACGAAUUCUAUAAUGAAGGCUUUAUUAGGUAAGAUUUUAUUUCUUAAUCGUUAGAUCAAAUUUGACAGGACCCGUUCCUGAAUUUCUCGGAAAUCAGAGCGAACCCCGUCCUUGUUUCGACAUCACCCCGAUGCAGGGUCCACUUACUAAAAACCGAGACUUUCUACCAAAAUUUUGAUAGAAUCUCCCUUGUAAAUUGAGCAAACCCAACAAAAAUUUCAGCCUGCAACAUACAUAAAAAUAAUCCCAACCAGCAGCAUGCUUACAACAUACAACAAAACGUACUAAAUGGCCUCCGGCCUCACAAGUAAAAUUUAACAUGGGUAAUCUACUGAUGUAAACGAUUCGGCCUUCGAACACUGCUUGCAACCUUCCUGAAGCGACUACUGGCUAAGGGGCGCAAAACAGAAAACAUGUGAGUGGACAAAAACAAGAUUCAAUUAAAACAACAUAGUAACCCCACCGUGUAAAAAUAAUGCUCAAGACAUGUAGGUUUACAAUUCAUAAUUAAAUAUUCAAAAACAAAUUUCAUUUAAAAUUCUUUAAAACCACAAAUCACUCCAUCCAUAAAACCUCAUGCCCACAAUUUUACUGCUCCUACCAACCCACUGUAUAGACUCUAAUUUCUUCACAAUCACAACUAUAUAUAAAUAUAUAAAUUGUAUCAUACAACAUACUCCUCACACUACUUAGGUACAGGGGAAACAAUCCAACCGGAGGAUCGUUUAACUAGCCCGCAGGAUUUUCAGGUGCUAUCCUGAGUCUAGGAAUGAGUGGUCCAACCAGGGGACGAAACUCUAUAGCUCACACACCGGAACAUCCAACGCCACGUGUAGCUCCAAUACUAAGUCCUACAGGCACAGACUGGAUCACCACACACCGGAACAUCCAAUGCCAUAUGUGAUAAUCCCAAGCAAUAUACAGAGUCUUCCCAUACGUCGGAACAUCCAACGCCGCGUAUGGAAAGUGUUCACACGCCGGAACAUCCAACGCCACGUGUGGGAAGCCUAUUAACUGGGGAAAGUACUUACAUAGUGUAAUCAUACAAUUUCUCUCAACAACUCCUCAUACUCAAGUUCUUCCACAAACUCACCUCAACAAUCCCAAGUACCCCACCUAUAGACAAUAUAUAUAUAACUUCCCCAAAAUCUAUACAAAACAUACUCUCGAUAUCCAAAUAUGCCAAACUCACAAUAUAUUGCCAAAGUGCAAUACAAACAUCAAAAUCAACACAUGAAUAUAAUAUAUAUUCAAUAUACCAUUUAAAACAUUAUGCGUAAAUCUUUCAUCAAUAAAACCAUGCGUAUGAUUGAAAACAAAGUCCACUCACAAGUAUUCCUACGCUGCUUGACCACGAGAGAGUCCUGCCUGCUGAGUACGUGCAGUAGGAGCACCUAUUUUGAGAUACAAACCUUUAAUUAAUAUAAAAUUACUUCAAAACGGAAAACACAAAUUAAAUACUUAAAUCCCCAAGUUCCCAGUACAUGUACGUUGAACGAGGUAUCCUAAGGUCUAGUUACAAGUUUGGGAAUCGCUCACGAUUGGACGGUUAUCGCUAACCCACAAAUUUUGAAUUAUUGAAUCGGAACAUUCGGGGCUCCGAUUCACGAUCCGUGAAGUCCUACGUGAUCCUAGGAAUACCUAAAACAACAUAUUUUAAUUGGAAAACGCACAAUAUGCGAAAAUCCGUUCGAUAGUCAAACGAUGUCCGAAUUGAGAUUCGCAAAAUGCUACGCACUCGUGACAACCUGAGGAUCUCAUCAGGACAAAGUGCAACUUCACCACCCUCACCCACGCGCCGGCAGCGCGUGGGUGUGUAGAGUAAAUUCCGGCGAUGGAAAAACUCCACACCUACUUGAGGUCAGGAUCUCAUCACUCAACUACAGGGAGGUUCAAUUAGGACGGCAACUGGCCGGAAUUUCACUUUGAAAUCCAGCCAAAACUUAGGUUUUCUAAUCGGUUCCUAGACAACAAAUCGAUCUAAACCUAUGCAACAGUCAGCUAGACUAAGGAAAAAGAGGAAGAAACCUCACAUUUUUCACUGGAAUCGGAAGGGAGAGGCGACGGGGCGACGUCGGGAAGACUCGGGUUUGAACCAGUCGAUGCCGUUGACGAUUCUCGCAUUUUUCGGGGGGACUUUGGGUGGUUCGGGUUAGUGGCUUCACGACGAGUCGAACGGGACCGGUCUCGGGGGCUGGGGUGGUCGGGUGUGGUGGCGGUGUGGUGGUUUUCGUCUCGGUGAACAGUAACAGGGGAGGGUUUCGCACGCGCAGAGAGGGACUCGGGAGAGAGAGAGAGAGAGAGAGAGAGAGAGAGAGAGAGAGGAGAGAAAAGAAAAAUUAGAUUUUUACUCUCCUCUUUUCAAAAUAUUUACAAGUUUGCCACUAAUGAUGUUUUGAUCGCCAUUUUCUUGUUACAACUCCGAUUCAAGCCUACCGCAUGUCUAGGAAUUCAUCUCAGUACCACCUACCCAAAAUUACCAGUCAUGGUCCCAAACUCUUCCCGUAACAGAAAAUGACUAAAAUACCCCUACCCCAAGGGUAAAUUCAUAAUUUCACUUAAAUAAAUUAAAAAUAGGAAUCAAAUUUGGAGUCGGGGUGUUACAAAAUUGGUUAGUACGAUCCAACGGUUAAUAGAUAAAACUUUACAUAAAAGUCAUAUAUAAGGCCCUCACUAUAGAAUGACUCGUUAGUUUAGUCUCUUGUUACAUAUCAACUGUUAGAGAUAUUUUUUUAAUAAGGAUCUACCAUACCACAUAGUUGGAUAAGACAUUAUACACAACUUUUGUAAGAGCAUCUCCAGCGAGCCAGGCCAGCCCAAGCAGCAAGGGGCCUUAAGCCCGGUAAGCAGCUCCAGCGCUCAAGAUUCAGCCCAGGCAAGGUGUGGAACCCACAAGGAGAUCUGGCCCGUCACCUUGCCUUUGGGUUUCAGUCAGGCUGAUGUCAACGAAAGAAUUUCAAAAAAAUUUUGCCGUUGCAAUGCACGCGCCAACGAUAAAUUUUCUUUGGAUUUCUUGCGUUGAUCCACAGCUACCAAAAACCAACGGCUACAAGCCACGUGGCUUCUCCAAGAGCCUCUGAUCCAAAAAUCUUGUCAAAUCUAACGGCUGUCCAUUUUUUGGCUAAAAAAAUAUCAAAAAAUUAUGGAAACAUUUUCUAUAAAUACCUACAAAUAUUAUUCACUUCCCACACCAAACCUUCAUACAAAUUCAUAUCCUUUCAAUAUUUUUCACUUUCCACACAAGAUUUUCUACUACUAAAUUUCAUUUGUGUAAAAAUACAAGUGGCCUCUUCUAUCAAAGCCGGAGGCGCGUGGACAACCGUGGAAGAUAUUUUGUUGUGUGAGUGUUGGGUCAAAGUUGGUCAUUGCCCGAUCACCGGCAAUGAGAUGAAGUCCUCUCGUAGGAGUUUCUGACAUCGCAGCGAAAGUAAGAUGUGAUAUGAGAAUGUAAGGAAUUUGAUGAGAGGAAUGGGAUUUGAGGAGUUUGAUGUAGGAAUUGAUGUUGAAUUGGAUUUGGGAGGUAUGUAUAUAUGAUUUGAGAGUAUGUGUUUAGGGAUUUUGAUAGGAGGAUUUGAGGAAUUUAGAUUUGAGGGAUUUGGAUUUGGGGAAUUUAAAUAUGAGGAAUUGAUUUAGGGUUUGGGUUUGAAUAUGAGAAAUUUGAUAUGAGAGUUUAGAGACAACUGAUGAUUGAUUGCUCUAAUACCAUGCUAAAAUAUAAAUAUGGUUUGAAUACUUUAGGUUGAGUUUUAUUCUUUUCCAUAAGGAGGUAUAUAUAGCAGUUUACAUGAGUGUUUUACAAGGAAAUAGAUACAGUAAUCAAUUAGGAUAAUAUCUCCUAAUUAUACAAUAAUUUGUCAACUAUAUAGAAUAGGAAAGUAAAUUCCUUAAUUAAUCAAGAAAAUAAAUCUCAUUGAUUAAUUAAGAGACUAACGUCAACAUUUAUAAGCCAUGGAAGAGCAGAAAAAGAGGUACUUAGGAGAUUUUAUACGUCGGACUAAGGUAAGCUUAAAGGACUAUAUCAAAAAAAUAAGGGACCAAGAAGCAAGACUGAGAAGUUGUUAUGCAAACCCAUUAAGUUUAGCAGUGAUGAAUUUGUAAAAAUCAUUCUAGUGGAUGCUGCCUUCACUAUUGAGUUCUUAUUGAGGUUCUAUCUGAAAGGAUGUAGACAUGAAGGAGACCGCUUAUUAAACAAAUCAGCUCCCAUUCUUUAUUCUUGAGGAUCUUUAUCACACAUACAUAAUAACCGACUCUUUUAGGAAUUAUUACAGUACUCAUGAUCAUGAGAGGCUUUCAAUAAUUAAUAUUUCUAAGAAUUUCGUCACAGCUGGAAUAUUGAAUUUGGAGGGGAAGGGAGACAAAUGGAACAGAAUAUCAUCUUCUUCUAGUGUUGGAAAUUUUAUAUUAUUUAAUAAUAUUUAAUUUCUAUUGUGAAUGAAAAAUAAGUUUCUUUAAGAAACGUGUGUCUUAGGCCAGUUUUUCUAACUGGUCGGCUUCCUUAGAUUUGUGCCUAUUGCUUUUCAAAGUAUAAUGAUGCAAUGGUUGUAUCUCGUUCAGGCAAAUGGAAGGUAUAUAGCAAUUUAUAGAACAAUACAGUAAUCCAGAAGAAAUAUUAUGAAAUGAAAAGAAUAAAAAGUAAAAAAAGAGAAGGAAAGGAAUUCCCACCUGCAAUGUAUAUGUAUGAAAGGAAGGACCAAGUUUGUUUUAAAAUGGUAAGAACAAGUUGAUUUAUAAUUGGGUUCAGAUCAACUCAUGGAUUUCUUGCCUUUUCUAUUCUCCUUCCUUGGACAUGAACUGUUUAAUCUUGGCUCUUCCCCAUCAUGUUGGGCCUAUCUUCUUCUUGAGGAUUGUAUAGGCCCAGGAAAUGCUUCAAGAUAGUUUUUGUGUUUUGGGCAUUGGGACCUAACUUCACAAAAAGAAAACAGAUUUGGCCAAAAAACAAAUUUGAAGGACAUUGAAAUUGUACCUGUAGGAUAGGUUAAAACACUGUAAGGGAGGUAAAUAGUACGUUUACAUAGUUUAAGUGUAAUAAAGGAAUAAAAACAUGCCCAGAGGAUUGAUAAGUGAUAUCAAUUCUUGAAUAUAGAGAACGUAAAAUAAAGGAACACGUAUAAAAUUAUUUUAUGUGGUAAAACCCCAUCUCUAGGGAAAAUCCACGGGACUUCUUAGUCCAAAACAAAUCUAUUAUAGAACGAUGAUUACAAGAAGUACUCACACACUUAUCCUAGACACAUUCUAGAUAAUGUUUACUGACCUCUUCGUAACUCAACUUCUGUCACAGGAUGAUCUUUCGACACUUCUUAUGUUGAACGCAAUACUAGUCACGAUUUCUUUCAAGCUCAUUGGAGAAAAACCGCCACAACAGUCUCGGUGCCCUCAAUCUUAUGAGUCACUGAACAUGCAAAUGAAUACAAUAUGAAUGAUAAAAGUGUUUGAUAAAUCACCAAGUUAUGGAACACUUGAUGAUUUAUUUCAAGUAAAAAUUCAGCUUUCCAAAGUUUAUGAAUUGAAAAUAUGAUCGUUAAAGCUCUCUAAACAAAAAAAACGAAGGUCUUAUUUUAUAGACUUUUUCUUUACAAGAAAGAAAACACGUUGAAAACCAAAUCUCCAAUUUCAAGGCUUGACAGAAAAUCACAAAAGUAUCUUUCCUAUUCUAGAGAUUGGUCACAUGAAGUCCAACCAAUAGGAAAUGAGAUAUUUAAGAAAGGAAGAUUUUGAUCAAUAUCAAUAUCAAAUGAAUUCUUAUAUGCCUAGUCAACUAUUAAGGGUAUCUUAACUACUUGAUAUUAUGAUAUGAUUGAAACAUGAUUUCCACGUUAGAAAAUUAAGGGGAUUUUAAAACAUGAAAGUAAUAGGAGAAUCAAAUUGAUUUGGACCAAAAUUGCCUAAAAAGAAAACACUCCUAAAUAAACUUCAAUUCACUUUUAAAAACAGUAAAACUUGAUUGAAUCGUUCUUUAAAACAAUUCCCUAAUAUACAUGCAUGAUAGUGACAUCACUUACCUCUGAAUCAGAUGCCUUUUACGAGUCAAGCCACAAGUUUGUGUUUUGGGGAUUGCUGAGCUGCAUCAAUCCUGCCAAUGUCAAUUCUGCCCCUAGGCUCUCUCAAAGCACGUUUACAAUCUAUGCUAAUAUAUACUAGAGUUUAUGCUAGUAUCUAGAAAAUGCCAACACUAAUUUCGUAACACGUAGAAAUUGUUAGAGAUUGGAAGUUUUUUUCAUUUUUUUCUUCCAGACUCUCCACCACUCACUAAUACAGUUUACUCAUGUGAUGAAUUUACAAAACCUAUUUCUCUACUCUCACAAAGACUAUACUUAGGGGGGGUGUAUUCAAUUAGGAGUCUAGAGCGUUUAAAAAGAUUUUGUUUAAGUGCCAGCUUUCAUAGAACUUGAUGGAACUUUAUAAUUCGUAUAGAACUUGAUAGACUUUCAGAAGACUUCUGUAUAAUUUGUUAAUAAAACUUUCUUAAGCUUUCAUAGAACUUGAUAGGCUUUUAUUCCAGAAUUAUGUAGACAGUAUAUUUCAUUUUAUCCCCAUCCUUGUCAUUUAAAGAAAGAAACUUGAAUGUUUUCAAUCAAAUUUGUUUUUGUUACCAAAGCAAAAACAAAAAGUACUUGUUUGCGAAGGAAGAACAUAUGCACAGUUCAAAAUGAAAAGAAUAAGAAGCAAAGUACCUAUUGGACCAAUGAAUGCUGUGUCAACUAGAGAAGCAAUUGGAUCGGCUGUCAAAGCCAAUGCUACAGGCAAUGCAUCGAUGGUCCAAAUUGCAAUAAAAAAUAUUUUGUAUAAUGGUUCUUGCAGACAAAGACCACAUAAAUUCUGGACUGGUCCAGCUUGAAUAAUAAGGUUAGAUUAGCCGAUGGAUGAGAGUAAAAGCAAAGAAAGUUGAUGAAUUCAUCACCAAUUAUUUAAUAACUGUAACAUCCCACAUUGACCAACGGAGAGGGGGUGAUGUGCCUUAUAUGUACAUGCCCACUUCCAUCUAGCAUGAGUCCUUUUGAGAGCUCACUGGCUUCGGAGUCAUGGGAACUCUGAAGUUAAGCGAGUUGGGGCUAAAGCAAUCCCAGGAUGGGUGACCCACUGGGAAGUUGCUCAUGAGCUUUAGAAACAAAAAUCAUGAGGGCAUAAAGGGAGGCCCAAAUUGGAUAAUAUCGUGCUACGGCGGAGCCGAUCCCAGGAUGUGACAAUAACCAAUAGAGUAUUUAAACAUAAACAACAAUGUUUGAUAAACAAAACAAAUAGUCCAAAUAUUAUCCAAAAAACAAUUCUAAAACCAAUCAUUCCAAACAAACUAGUCAUUCCCAAAAACUCUCAAAAAACCCACUCAUUCCAAAUUAUAGGAUAUCCAAUUUGAGCGCUCCUCAGGAGACAUUUUCAAAAAUGCAUCCUUUUUUGUGUUACUAUGCAACAAAGAGAGCGCUUUAUAAUGAGCACGUUCAUCCAAAUUUGAGGUCUCCUUAAUGGCAUCCCACAUAUAACUCUGCUGCUCUCGCUCUUUUCCCCUUUUUGCCAAUAGGUUAUGGACCUCCCGGAAGUCGGUGACAAUUGAAUCAAUGCUAAGGCUAAUUCUUCCCAUAGCUUGUUGGGUGGUCACAUUUGAGAUGGCAUUCCCUUCCAAAUCUAUUCUAGUUCGUUUCCUCUAGUAACAAGCAUAAAUCCUAGUAACAAGCAUAAACCCUAAUCCCAACCUAUAACCUAAUAACAAGAAAAACACGAUGAAAAAAAAAUCAUGGAAAAAGAAAACCCAACGAGGUAUUGAUCAAAAAAAAAAAUAGGGAGCAUACCUUCACAGAUGGAGGAAGGAAGCUGUUUGUCUUCACAGAGAGAAAAGCUAGGGAAAGAGAAAAACGUCUGAUGAAAUACUUUGGGGGGAGGUUGGAUUUCUUUUGGUCUUUGAUAUUUAUAACUCUCCCCUUAAAACCUACAAAAAUUUAUCACUUAAUGAAAUCCUUCCAAAUAUAUGACCUUUCGAAUACACCUAGAUUUGAUUCAACUUUUUUAUAAUCCUAAUUGAAUACACCCAUAUUUGAGUGGACUUUUUAAAAGUUCAUAUAAGUCCGAAUUGAAUACACCCAGACUUGUAAAACCUCUUUUAAAGUUUGUAUAAAUCCAAAUUGAAUACACCCGGAUUUUUAAAAUAUUUUUUAAACGCUUUAUAAUCCUAAUUGGUACAUCCCCCUUAUUCUCAAAAGACUAUAUCACUUUACCUCUAUCUCUGUGAAAUGUAAAAAGUUGAAACUUUAAUGUCAAACCUCGACAAAAGAUGAACUUCCAUCAGUUGCGUUGAAUUUGGAUUUGUUGAACUAAAGUGGUUUUACUUUCUCUGUCAGUGUUUGAUGACUUAAUUUGGUAUUUACUUCUUUUUUUCCUUGGAAAUGUGUUCCACCAACGUGAGGAAGAAAAAUGUGCACAAAUUAAUAUAUUUAAUAAAAGCCCAAGAUUUCGGAAGCACAUAAUUUCUACAAAAAUCUAGAAAGUGUUCUACUUUACAAACUUCUUAUGUCUAUCAAUUUCUACUAAAAUUAAUUUCUCUGUGGUGCUCAGAUUCAUCAUAUGUGUGUCCUUAAUUUUAUUGGAAAUUAGAAGUUUCCAUAAUUUUUAUUUUUUGGGAAUUUUCUGAACCAAGAAAAAUCAAGUAAAAUUAAUAAAGCUUAAAUUGGAAAGGGAAAAUAUCUAGAGGACGCAUUGUAGGAUUUCUCAUGCCGAUAAUUGUACCCUCUAAAUAUAUAGGGACAUAUUUUUUUUGUUUUCAUGACAUGUGGUCCUAAAAUUAUUGUUCCUAGCGGGCUCUCCACCCCCUCUCAAAUUUACGUGGUCCAUUAUGAUUAACCAUAUAUUUUAUUGACCAUCCAGCUGUGAGGUUUUAUCCCAAAAACCUUAGGUACAUUUCUCAAUUAUGUCUGAUACAUCACAUCAUGCCACAAUUGUAUAUUCACAAUUAUGUCUGAUACAUCACAUCAUGCCACUUGCCUCAAAUGAAUUUAAGUGAGUGUGGCAGUGGGAAGUAAUUACUUCUAGGUGCCCCUCAUCAUUCGUCUAUAAAAUGGUGAAGCCAGUGGCUAUAAGAGCCAGCUCCAACUUUCUUUUAUUCGUCUAUAAAAUGGUGAAGCCAGUUGCCAAGUUAAUUUCAGUCCUAAUGGGGUUUCAUCUCCCACUCAUCUUUGCUAUUCUCAGUGUAAGCUCUGCAAUUUGAUUAACUUUUCCAUUCUCUCUCAUUGUACUCUAUAUAAACGAAAGUUUUGUGUUCCUAUAAUUCUCUUUGAUUUUAUUUAGUACGUACUUAAGUGUCGUCCACUAAUUAAUUACAGUUUGUGAGAUUUGAUUUUAAUUAGAGUUCGAAUUAAUGUUGCAGCUAGCAGUGGUUGCACUGGCAAACCAUGCUGCUCAACCAGCACCUCAACUUUACUGGAACUCCGUCCUGCCAAACACACAAAUGCCAAGAUCUAUCAGUGAACUUCUGCAUCCUGGUUUGUGUUGAGCUCUUUAGAAUCUUAGAUAUCUCUUCUACCUGCCAUUUUACUAAAAUAUGUUCGACCACAUAUUUAUCAGUUAACUACUGUCAUUACAUGAGUGACACUUAUUCACAAAUCGGCUGAUCACUUAUUUUCCAUUUUACAUGAGUGAUAUAUAAUUUGCAGACUCCACAAAUGAAGAAAAUAUCGUGAAUGCUGUUGGGAAUGGAAAGCGCAAACCUGAAAUUUUCCCAUUGAGAAAUAUAAAUUACGUUCAAAGCCAUUAUGGAGUGUUAAAUAGAAAUUACGUUCAAAGCCAUUAUAAAAAACGUCCUCCUCCACCUGAAAAUAUCCCAUUUGCAAAUCGAAAAAAGUACGCACUAGGUUCUCCUCCAUCUGACAAUCAACUACUCCAUUAUAAAGAGUUAGCUAUUUUCUUCUUCGAGAAGGACAUGCGCCCUGGCGCAACAAUGAAGUUCCAAUUCCCUAGAAAUUCAAACACGGCUACUUUCCUGCCACGCGAAAGUGCUCAAUCGAUCCCCUUCUCCUCUAACAAACUACCAGAAAUUUUCAACCAUUUUUCAGUGAAGCCAACAUCUGUGGAAGCCAAAACAAUUAAGCAAACAAUCGAAGAGUGUGAAGCUCCAGGCACUAAGGGAGAGGAAAAAUAUUGCGCCACAUCUUUAGAAUCAAUGGUUGAUUUUAGCACUUCGAAGCUUGGAACAAGAAACGUUGAAGCAGUCUCGACGGAGGUAUUGGAAAAAGGAGCCACCAUGUCCAUGCACAACUAUACAACAAUGCCGGGACUGAAGAAGUUGGCAGGUGACAAAGUCGUUGUGUGUCAUAAGGAGAACUAUCCCUAUGCUGUGUUUUUCUGCCAUGCAAUAAAACAAACAGCAGCUUAUGUUCUCUCCCUGAAAGGCGAUGAUGGGGAGAAGGUUAAAGCAGUAACCAUCUGCCAUCUAGACACAUCAGAAUGGAACCCAGAGCAUUUGUCCUUCCAAAUCCUCAACGUUAAGCCCGGAACCGUUCCCAUCUGCCAUUUCAUUUCCACUGAUGCUAUUGCCUGGGUUCCAAAACACAAAUUUGCAUGAUCAUCACUUAGCACUGUGGUGUAAGAUAUAUGAUGAGAUAAAGUUUUUGGUAUUAGUGGUCGGGUUGCCUGAAAAACACAGAUUACAGAAACUGCUUGAAAUUAACCCGAUCAUGUUUUCUCUUGUAAGACUUCAACUUGUACUCCUAAAGCAAGUUAUAUUUAUGAAGAGAUAUUAAUCUAUAUAUAUUUUAUGUAUAUAUAUAUAUAUAUAUAUAUGCUUUGGCUUUGUGGUUCUACCCAGUGUUUGAGUGUUGAAUUGUUACGUUGGAAUAGGCUGAUAAUGCGUGUAGUUAGAGAAGCCUUCAUUUAUAUCAAAGUCC
rnacentral:lncRNA from 1 species